rnacentral:lncRNA from 1 species
CAAGGUAAUUAUUGCUAUAUGAGAGGUGAAGCUGGAAUUUUUAAGUUUGUUUUAGAAGCCAUCUUUGUCAUGUAUGUUUACGAAUUUUGUUCGGUACGAUAGAUUUUUCUUUCAACUUCAUUCAUACUGGACCUAUGCUUGCUAGAAGGAGGUUAACACCCAUUCUAAUAAUAGUUGAUUAUCCUUUUACAUAAUUCAUUGCAGUACGAUGCGUUUGAUAUUGGCUUUAUAACCACGGACGACUUCACAAAUGUAGACAUAUCAGAAGCAACUUACCCAGCUGUUGCAAAGAGGUUAUAUAAUGAUUGGAUUAAUGGUCCUGCAAUUCCCAUAGUUACUGGUUUGCUUGGAAAGGUUCCUGCUAUGAAGUUUAAUGGUUUCAAUUCCCAGUAACUGGAUUUUAUGCGCACGAGUUGUAGGAAUAUGAUUUACAUUCUUGUAAUUCCAGGGUUGGAAAUCUGGUGCAGUUACUAUCUUAGGUAGGGGUGGGAGUGAUUUGAUAGCCACAUCCAUUGGCGGAGCCUUAGGCUUGCAAGAGAUUCAGGUACGAUCAACUCCUUAGCGCAUGGAAACUGAAAGUCCUGUGGCCAUUGGCAGUCCUUUUUGUAUCUGUACCAUGUUUUGUCUGAAUUGAUUCACAAUGUUCUCUAGUUAUAAUUGAUAAGGAUGAGGCCGACUUUAGUUGUAAAUACUUAAUAUAUUUUUAUGGAGCAAGGGUGCUUCCUACGUUCACCAUAUUGACUUGUGAUCCAAGUAUUUAUUCAUGUGCAUUGCCUAUACUAUAUUGUAAUUAUAUUACAACUUUAAGGUUUUUUUUUUAUGAGGAGUACGAUUGAUUAUUUAUCUAAUAUUUCAGAUUCAGAAGUGCAAUGUUGCUGUGGGGAUAACUAGGUUUCGUUCCCAAUAUACAUGGAAAAUUACCUUUCUACUUGAAUUAGUGUGUAAAUUUGAGCCUUUUCUUUUAUUGUAUUGAUAGUUUAAUCAUACGUGUUAAAUCCCGUAGUUCUCCUGGAUUUUCAAAUUGAUUAAUGGCUCAGUCUGUAUCUUAUUCUGACUUUUCAGUUGAGGAUUUUGAUGUUGGUUUAAGAUGUUUCAUCAAGCUUCUAAUGUGAAUGUACCUCUGGUCGUUCACCUGUUGCUAGGCAAUUUAAUGAUCUAGUAAUGCAUCCGCUUGAACUGUGUAGGACCUAUUAUGUUAUGAGAUUGUGUGGGAAGUUAGCAUUAGGUACCAUGCCUAUUGAAUGUUUUAUCAGUGAAGGAUAUUAUGAUCUUUUUAAUUUGUUGGUUCUUGCUGUAGUUUUGAUAAACAUAAUUGUUGGACCCUGAAUUUUGGAGCCAAACAUUUGACUUGUUCAAUGUGAACAGUAUAUGUGAAGCAGAGAGAACUCUGAUGCUUAAGUCAGUAAUAAUUCAAGGUGAUAGGAAAGUUUUGAUGGAAUAAGGAGUAUAUAUUUUGAUGGAAAGUUUUGAUGGAAUAAGGACUUAUAUUAUAAGUCAAUAUAUAAAUAUCCAGUAUCUACUAGGGACAUUACAUGCAUGGAUCGUAGAGUGAGGCAAACAGCACAAAUUAACACACGCACAUGAAAGUUCAGACUUUCCUAACCUGGCAAAAUUGAAGUUUAGUACAGAGUUUUAAGGUGUGGAUAAUAAGAUUAUGAGCAUUAUAGAAAUGUUGGUGUAUCUAUUAAGUACUGGCUCCUAUAUGUCAUGAACCUAUCAAGCAUAUGAUCAUAUCUUCCCCCAUCAAGCAUAUGACCAUAUGGAAGCAUGGCCACAUUCAUCAUAUCAUGUCUAUAUCCUAUCCUCAUCAAGCAUGAAUAUUUUCAUGCUUAUGUCCCUCUUUGGUUUCUGGUUGAUUGCUAAUGCAAAAUGAGCCAGAUUGUGACGCUACACCAAUUUAGCACCAGCUUGAAUAUGAGUCUACACCAGUUUAGAUCCAGCCUGCUGGUGAAUCUCUACUUGCUUAUGCCACAUAUGAACAACCCUGCCUUGGGGACAUUACAGAACUAUUCUGCAUGCUGUCAUGUAGGAUAAUGGUACAAACCUGGUAUGCACUUAUCAGUGGAGAGCAUAGCAUUUAAUUUCAUCUUUGAGGAUUGAGAGAUUUCGAAGUAUCAGUCAUGAUGGUACUGAUCUUGUCUUGAAAUUCAUGCUCUGUAAAUGGGAAAACUUACACUUCAAAAUUUUGGCAGGCAGAAAAGGCAGAUCGUGAGGGUCACAGCCUAGGUGGAACACCCCAAGAGCAUAGUGCUUCCUGUAGGCCUGAAAUGGCCCCAUCCUAUUCCAGUACCCGAGAGUGGCUGUGUCCUUAUAGCCACAAUGAAGCUUGAUGGGGUAUGCUCCUUUGAAAGAACUGUUCUCCUUCUCAGAUCUGGAACCAGACACCCACAGGAGGGGCCAUUUGCAGUUGUCAUUAACCGGGCUCUUCACAAAAAGAUCAGACACAUGAAGCCCAUUAAUCUGGAGCUGGCAACCACUUAUGCUGAAUGUUCCUUGCAUUUUGGUGGUCCUCUAGAGGCAAGCAUGUUUUUACUUAAAACAGGGGUUUUGACUUGCGAUCCAAGUAUUUAUCCACGUGCAUUGCAUGUACAAUAUUGUAAUUAUAUUACGACUUUAAGGUUAUUUUCUCUUUUGAUGAGGUGUACGAUUGAUUAUUUAGCUGAUAUUUAAGAUUCAGAAGUGGACUGUUGAUGUGGUGAUAACUAGGUUUGUUGCCAGUCAUUAAAGACACUUGCUUAGGAUACUCAACACAGUCUUGAUUUAUGUAUGUACUAAAAAUGCUGAAAGUCUAAUUUAAUUUUAGUAAGACAGUGCAUAUUGAUACACAUGAAAUAUUUGCACAUGCAAAUAUGUGAAGCUUGUGUUAUUGGCAAUCAUAUAACUUAAAGAAUUUUUUAUAAUUACAGAACAGAUAAAUUCUAAUUGUUUGAUACUCAGAGGCACAACUAUCUGUCUACAGAAUGUGUAUUCAAGAAAUGCAUUAUUAGUACUAUCCCAUAUGAAAGAGCUUGAAGAGGCAUAUAAAUGUGACACCAUCCUGAGAGAUUCAUAAUCAAGUUCAAUCCUUUAUUAUUUCUCUGUAAUUGCUUCAGCAAUAAAUCACAGGUGUUAGUUGUCUUCAUUUACUAGGAUGAUUUUGAACCACUGAGAGAAGUACUUUCUUUUCUCUAACUUGCUGAAUCCUGUUUGAGUCCUAUAUAAAACCAGGAUCCCAACUGCUUGUCUGAUAUGCCUUAGUUCAUCCCUAGCUGAGCCAGCAUACUGAAUAUAAAGCAGAUAUUAGGCCACAUUCUAAAGACAGCAACGUGUAAAGGUUACAGAGGAGUAAUUAAUCUCACCUCUUCGGUUGCUUCAUGGCACCAGUUUUCUAACUCAGCCAAUCCUAUCUUAACAAACUCCCCAUUGCUGAAUGAGCAACAUUCAUGCCUCAAAAGGAGAUUGCAAAAAUGAAUUUAAAAAUGCCAUUUACGCAUAUUACAUAAUCAAAGCAAUUGGGAUCAUAAGAAAAAAGCCAUGUUUGAGUGCACUUACCUGUUGAAUAAGUGAACACCUUGCGGACUAGGAAUGGCGGAACCUGUACAGUCACAAUAACCAACAGAAUGAGGUACUGCUGUAAGAAGAAAAACAAUCAGUUUUUGACAUUAUAUUUCGGACGGUGACACUCACAUGGUUUGCUUUCAUUAUCUUCAAGUAAUAAUUCAGGCUUUUCACAAUGCUUUGCCAAUGAGCAAUCAACGCUUGUUGUGCAACAACAUUAGCUUGAGAACGUCCCUUCACUAAACUUGCCCGAGAUGGUCUAGGUGCCUGUAUAAUGAAACGAUACUUGAAUGGAGAUCAAGAAUAUAUUGGGCAACUUAAAAGUUACAUUGAAAAAGAGAAUGAGCUGCUUUAGAUUGAAGUAGUAAAUGAGUUACUGAGAUGGUGUGUGCCAAUUGGUCAACUUGCCCAAUAGAAACAUUCUUUCUAGGUGCAAAGGAAUUGAUUGAUCCCUAAAUUCUAACAACAUAUUAUGUUAGGGCAUAUAGAUGUAAAAAAAUAUAGGAAAUAUUUACUUACCAUCUAUAUGCCCUAACAUAAUCUGUUAUACCUUUCCCUUUUCUCCCCUUAUAAGUAAAAAAUCAAACAAUAUUGUUGAAGAAAAAGUACAAAAAAAGUCUUAUAAACCCAUUGUGAAAAGAUAGUCAAUGGAUUUGUUUGUAUUUAAAAGAAUUGAAUUGCAACCAAAGUUGAUUGGUUGCGAAAAUGGGUCAUUCCAAUUGAUUUGUUCAAACUCCUCUUAGGUGAAAGCAACAUGGAAUGCAUAAGUGGGGAGGUUAGUAGAUUAGAAAAACAUGUUGAGUUUCAAACUCAUGAACUCGUAACAGCGAAGGCUCUAAUAACAUUUUAAGCCAUCGAAUUACCCCAAAUAAGCUUGAUGUGCCUUAUUGUUCCAUCAUUACCUAACAUCUUAAACUUUUGAAUCAACUUUGUAGUUUAACUUUGUAUAAAGGGGCAAGUUGUCAGGAAGUCAUUAACUCAAACCUCACUAUAUUGUUUAUUUCCCCAAUUUAUUGAAGUUAUCUGUAAUUCCAAAAGAAAGUAAAGGCAUGCAUUUUUUCUUACUUUUAUAAUUUAUGUUUGAUAUGAAUAAAGGUUGAUCACUUGGGGUUUGUUUGGAUAUAUUUAUUGGUGAUUUUUUGUGUUUAAAAUCAUAAAUAAGAGCAUUAUAAAAUAUGCAAGAACUCUUUAAGGUUAUAUUUAAAAAUUGUUGAAAAAACUAAGGUAUCAUAAAACUUUUAAUAGUUUCAAAUUUAAAAUAUUAAAAAAUGAUUUUUGAAGACAUAAGCUAAAAUUAAAUUUUUUUUAUUAACAUUUUUUUAAGUAUAAUUUUUUUUCAUGUAUUAUUUAUUAAUUUUUAGAAAGAUAGCAUGAGAAAUGUAUUUAUAUCAAUUUACAUUAUGUGUUUUAAGGAAUGUACAUUGUGAGGCAUUAAGAGUGGUAUGUUACUUGGGGUUAUAAAUUAUGCAAUUGCCAAGGUUAUUAAAUUGUCUUAGUAGAUGAAUUGGUAUUGCAAUAUGAAUUAUGUAGUUAUCUUAUUUUAUUUUAUUUUCUAUAGAUAACAUUAGAUGGUCAAAAAAGUUAUACAUCUAAAUGAUUUUCAGAUAAAUAUAUGAUAAUCAAUGAACAUGACUUGAACUCAACAUAUUCUUAACGAGUUUGGAUUAAGUAUAAAUGAGUUUGAAUUAAAGUCAUAUCGAUUUUGCAUAGCCUGUUUAAUUAAUAGGUAGUUUUCUUGGUCACUCAACAUAAAAUAAAUGUUAAUAAUGUGAAUUGGUGGCUAAGUAAAGAUGGAAGUCAAAUCUUUGCAAAAUCAUAGUGUAAUUAUACCUGCACUUUUCCCACAUGUCAAUUCUCAUGCCUAGUUUCUCUUCUAAGCUCUCAACUACCCACUUGAAGUUUCUCAUUUAUCCGCAUUUAUACCUACACCUACACCUUACCCACUUUCAUUUUUAGUGCCACUACUUGCUUCAUCGUCCUUCCAGCCCUAUAAACUCAAAUUAAGUCGAGGUGUAGGUGCAGAGAAAUGGCAUCUUCAUUUUAUCGUGAUCACUAACAACAUCCCCACUUGACUUCCCUCCUUUGCCUUUCUAUCUUCCAUUUGAUGUGCUUCCUCUUAAUUACUUGUCGUUGCCUUCACAUUAAAGAUAUGAUAAAAUAGGACUCAGACUUUGUUUGCAUAAUACAUAUUGGUCAUAAAAUGUUGGUGGUACUAAUUUGUAUGGGAACAUUACCUAUUUUGAGACGAAAAUUUCAGAUCACAUUGAAUAUGCAUUAUUUUUUGUUCAACAAUAUGAAAUUUGUGCUUUAUUUGAUGGAUGCCACAAAUAGGAUAUACUAUUACAUUUUCGUGGGAGGCAAACUUGUCCAAAAAAAUGAUGGGUUGUGGGAAUAUGUGGGUGGAAGAAGCAAAGAUAGUCACAUAUAUAAAGAAAUGUCAUUUGAAGAAUUCACUCAAAAAGUCUUACAGCUCUUCAUGUGAUGAGGAUGCACUACACCCUCAAGUUUAACCUUAGAGUCAUCCAAGAUUUAGAAGAUGAAGAUGACUUGGAUAACGUGGUUUCCCAUGGUGAUGACUUUGCUAAUGUGUACAUAGUAGAGUCACCCUGUGUGGAUGCCAUUGAAGCAAAUAUACCGAAUACACAGUUGACAUUUGGGUAAUGCACUUUCACAUGGAUAUCUAUUUAAAAUAUUGUGAAUAUCAAUUUUACGUAUGAUGUAAUCUAAUUUUGUUUAUGUAUGUAAAUGAAAAGCUCUACCUUCCAUGUUUCCUUCGUCUAAUGCAUCAUGCGAUGCAAUUCCUAGUACUAUGAUGCUAUCAAGAGGUUUUACAUCAUGUUAUGCAGACAGUGAGUACAACCUAUUUGGAAUUGAAUCGGUUUCGUGAGGUAAUAUUAGGUUUCGAACAUACAUUUAAAAAUGCAGAGGAGUUUUAGAAGACAAUAUACCAUAUGUCAUUAGUUGGGAGGUUUCAAUAUAAGUAUAAGAAUAAUUCACCUACUCAUAUGUUCAUAAAGUGUUCGAUUGAGGGUUGUUCUUGGAAGGUUACAUCUCACGCUGUAGAAGGGAAUGAAAUAUUGCGAGUUUAUACUUACCAAGUUAAUCAUAAUCAUAUAGCACAAGAUGAGUGUUCAUUUAAGGUGAGGGUUUCUUCAAAGAGAGGCGUUGUUGUUGAAGAUGUGUUAUGAACAACUCUAGAAUAUCUCAUUCGUCAAAUAUACAAGGAUUUUGAACGUGAUCAUGGAGUUCAAUUGACAUAUAACCAAGCAUGACCCCUUAAAGAGAAGGCAAAAAAAUGCAUAUAUGGAGCUCCACGUGCAUCCUACGCAUUUUUGCCUUGGUUAUGCCAUAGACUAAGGGAAAUUAACCCUAUAACUAUUGUGGAGUGCACUUCUCAUGAAGGUCAUUUCAUGCAAUUGUUCAUUGCCCAUGCAUUUUCAAUUCAAGGGUUCAUCAUGGGGUGUCGAUCGAUAUUGGCUAUUGAUUCUUGCCACCUAAGCAGUUCAUACAAGGGAGCUCUUUUGUCGGCCAUUGUAUAUGAUGUAGACGAUGGAAUAUUCCCUCUAGCCCUUGAUGUGGUUGGUUCAAAAAAUUAUGAGGACCAGUAUUGGUUCUUGGAUAAAUUAAAGGAGGUCCUAGAUAAAGAAGUAAUUCUUAUAUAAGAUAAACAUCAGGGGAUAUUGCAUAGUGUUUCGGAGUUGUUCAGGACAAAAAAUUGCACCUAUUGUUAUCGACAUGUCAAGGAAAACUUUUUUAGCUUCUUCAAUAGGCAAAACAUUAGAGGAAAGAAAGGGAAAGAAGAUGUUUUGUUACUUUUAGACAACAUUACAUAUGCUAGGUUGGAUAUAGACUACAACAAGGCAUUUAGAAAACUUGUGCGCUUUAAUGACAACCUAGCAAAGUGGGUUGCGGAGAACAGUCUCGUGCAUUUGGCGAUGUCAAAGUUCUUUAAAAGACGUUGAGAUAAAAUGACAACUAAUAUUGUAGAGUCCUUCAAUGCAUGGUUAAGAGAGGAACACCACCAAACAAUUUAUACGUUGUUGAUGCGCAUGGAUAAGCUUGUAGGCAUGUUGGAUACCCAUAUGCGUGGUACAGGAAAGUGGAAGAGUGUGGUUGGACCGAAAACAGAGGAGAAACUAAUGUAAAAUAUCAUGAGGUCUGGUUCGAUUACUGUGAUAACCUAUUUCGGGGGGGGGGGGGGNNNNNNNNNNNNNNNNNNNNNNNNNNNNNNNNNNNNNNNNNNNNNNNNNNNNNNNNNNNNNNNNNNNNNNNNNNNNNNNNNNNNNNNNNNNNNNNNNNNNGGGGGGGGGGGGGGUGCGUUUAAGGUGUUACUGGGAAGGUUUAUUUGGUUGUGGAUAUGCAGCAACAUAAGUGUACUUAUAUGAUAUGGCAAAUGUUUGGAUUGCCAUGUGCACAUGUGUGUGCUAUGAUCUGCACAUUGAGACACGAUGUGUAUGAGUAUAUCGACCCAUGUUUUCAUAUCUCCACUCAACAUUUGAUUUACUCAGGUCAAUUUCAACCAUUACCAACGCACAACAUGCCCAAAGUUUGUAAGGAUGGGAGUUUCCAAGAUGGAGGAGGCAAUUUAUUUCUUGGUUUCCAACCCUCGUAAGUGAGACAUCUUCCAAGAAGACCCCGACAAAGGCACAUUGAGUCACAAUUUAGCCAUAAGAGAGCUAUUCAUUGCUCUCAAUGCAAUGACAUAGGUCAUAACUAGUCUAAAUGUAAUAAUUCAUUGUUGUGACAUGUUUCUUUUGGUGCUUGUAAGGUUUUCAUCUUGUGGAUGAUCCCUCAUUAUUCCAUUCUAUGGUAUAUUGUGGCAUGGUAGUUUCUUUUGGUAUUUAUGUAUUACCCUUAUUAUAGGCACGCACUAUUUUUUCAUUUUUAUGAUUUAGAGUUGCUUUCAUUAAUGAAUUAAACUGAAAGUGCACUUUUAAUGUGGUAUCCUUUCAAUUGUUGUAUACUUUAACUUGCCUAUUUUAAGUAUGUCCUAUUCACUGUUUUGGUCCAAUUUUAGGCUAAAUAUUAAGAGAGAGUAUGGUACUUGAGAUUGUAUAGGUGGAUGAGGUCUCUACCAUAUUUGUUAUAGUGGGUUCACAUCAUUAGAUGCAUGUAUUUUCAUAUGAUUUAGCUAAACUUUCACAGUAUGCUAUUGUACUUGGUGUGUAGUUAUUUACUUGGUAAGUUUGGCCCUGCAUAACAUUGUACUCUUUUAUGCCCAAUGAUGGAGUUAUAUUAUUCACAAUGUCUAGUAAUGGGUAGAAUGGUUCCGAUAGUAAUUCACACCCUAUCUCGGUAUGAUACAACAUCCUUGCUUAUCUUAGUUGCUUUUUGCAUUCUUGCUUUGCAAACAUACUACUUGAGAGGUUGUGGCUUUUCCAAUAGAGUGGUACAACAACUUAUACUCUAUAGUUAUUUAAUCUAUAGGUAUUGUGAGAACAUAAAUCAGAAUGCAUAUUGGCAUAAAAGAGGCAAAAUAUAAUUUUAUGAUAGUUAUAGAUUAUAGUCGGUGUAAAAAAUGUAUGCAUUCCCUAUUUUUGGUGAGAGGUCUUUAGGUUGUGUGCAAUCUAUGGCAAAAUAUCUAAUGAUGAACAUAUGAGUAAAUUUUAAUGCAACAUGUACAUAUAUUAUGUAGGAAAUUUAUGUGAUAUCCUCAUGUCCCUUAUAGUUAUCAUGUCUCAGUUAUGUUGGAAAGUUCUCUAAUAUAAUAUAUUAAUAAUUCAACAUUUAUUUAUUUAUAUUAUUCUAUUAGCUAUGUAAGUUAUCAGGUAAUUUUUUUUGUAUAAUUUGGUCCUCUGGAAAAUGGUUAGGCACAUAAAUACUAAGUACUUGUGCUUCAGUAAAUAUCCAACUAUCAGGCUUUAGGUAACUUACAUUUUGUUCAUUUGAUUGACUAUUGUUAAGGAGAUUGUUAUGGUUAAUCAUCCAGUAUGACCAAACAAGUUUUGAAGACAAUUGAAGGCUUCUUGAACGGUUUUGCUAUUUAUUUAGUUGUACAUUUCUUUUUUUAUUACUUUUAUAUUAUCCCCUUUAACUUAGCUAAUUUUAGGUACUUCAAUUGGUUGUGAGCACAUGGAUUGUUCAAAUUUUUGUAUCAAAUCUUUCCAACUUCUUCUGUUGGUUUAGUUUCUAAUGAAUAGAUAUUGUAUCAUUUCUUGUUUUCGUAUGCAUUUUGAUUUCUUCAACAAUACAAUUGCAACAACUAUGUUAUUCACAUACACAAUUGAAGUUACAAUCUUCUGUCCAUAUAGCGCCUACCGCUGUAUAUACUAUAGUUCACAUAUGAGAAGUAGAUACCAACAAAAUUGGUUUUCAAAUGAUUAGGUUUAGAAAAUUAACCUUUUUUCCUUUAAUGUGCACCACCUAUAAAUGACUACCUUGGAAGUUAGAAGGAUUGCUGUAAACCCGUCUCCAUCUACUAGCUAAGGUAUAAGCAAUUCCAAUUGGUAGUCAAUCUGUUUUCCAUAGCUUGCAGCACAUUAGUUACAAUUGCAACAAUAGGUUUUAUGUAUAUGCAUUUAUGGUUUUGCUUUUAUACUAUAUUUUUAUGGGUUAAUGAUUGAUUUAAUACACAAGUUUUUCUUGUAUUUGAUUUGUUUAUAGUGUUGUUUUUUUAAAUAUUUUUCAAAACAAUUAGGAGAUGAGGUUUGCACUAAAUAAGCUAAUUAAUCAAAAUGUCAAGAAUACAUAGAUUCCCAGUUUGUUUUUAUGAAGAAUGAUUACAUAAUCAAGAAAAAAUAGUAUGUAGACUACUAAUCAGGAUGGUCAAUAAAGGAUCUUAUUUUGCUCUCUUCUUUCAUUGUGAUUUUAAAGGUAGGAGUUGUUUGAUAAGGCCCCUCUUAUUUUCAAAAACUUAUAAAAUUGACCUACAUCAAGAUCAAGUGAGGUUUCUAGAUAAGACUUUUCCUAGGCAUGUGCUUUUGAAACUAUCUUCAAGAUAGGACAAGUUAAGGCUCUAACUACAAAAUUCUAUGGUCUAUUAUGUUGCUACAUUGGAAGUUUAUAGGUUCUUCAGUUGGCACUAAAUUCAGUUUACAUGCUUAAAGAAUCAGAUAUUUACUACCGUGAAGCACCAGUUGGAUUAGAAGCUCAUUUACCGUUGGUAAUUGGGGAAGAUCUAGUUGCAUAAUUGAACUGGGCUCUUAGUCAUUGUAAACAAUUUGUCAUCAACCGUCCUCUAUUUGGCAGCCCAUAGUCCUUUGUCCAAAUGUUGCCCAUCAAAGUGUUAUCGUUUAAAACAUAUUCUCUAUGGUUAUGGAAAUAAACAUAUUCUUUUUUAAACUAUUUUAAUCACCAUCAUUUUGUAUCCAUUUGUGAUAGAAAUUGAGUAAAAGCUAAUUCUUAUAAUUCAUUCUCAAAUAUUGUUUCUUUUCUUCAUUAUGAUUUCAUACUAAUGUCAAUAUCAUCAUUUGUGUCCCAAUUAAUAGGAAUAGUGUGACAUUGAGUCCCAAAUUCAAAGUUUGCUUAUACAAUAGCUAAGGUGGUACUUAUGAUCCAAUCAUCUAGGUUACAAAUUUGAAUGUUAAUCAUAAAAGAUAUCAUUUCUUUAUUGUUUUUUUAUUGCAUUUGACUUGUUUUUUUACAAUAAAUCACUCUCAAUGGACAUUCCAUAUUUUAUAAACAUUGCCUAGCAUAUAAUUGUCCUCAUCUUCAUAUUAGGUUUGUUGAAACCCAAAUCUAACAUUCCCAUAGCAGAAUCUUUACUAUUAAGUGCUUAAUGCCAAUUAUACGGAGAACAAACUUGUAUCAAUAUCAGUAAGAAAACCAAUAUGAUAUAUGUAUUGAUUGUUCACAUUUUAUAAGAAAACCAAUAUGUAUUGUUUGGUGGUGGCUAACUCAAAUUGAUCAGGUAAAGAAAGAGGAGACAAUUACAUUUGCAUAUGAUCUAUGUCACAUUUUCUCUUGUCUAUUAGGAGCCCUUCACUGAUGCCAUGCUUCUGACUGUGCCAACACACUAUCAUGUGUCCCAUUAUUUGUGUGAAAUUGGAAGAUGUAGAUGUUUGUCAUCAAGUGCUAAUAUUUAUGCUACUGCAUUCUGUAACUCUUACAAAUUACAUCUUCACUUUUUGUCCUAUUUUUUCAUCACCAACUGCAUUGAUGUUGUCGUUCCUAACAUCGCCAUGUUCUCAAACAUUGCAUGCAGGCACCAUCAAUGUCUACCCGAUGCUCAACUGCACGGUUCAAGAAAAUAUGCAAUCGUUUACUCAAUGAAAAAUUGCAAGCCAUAAGAGACCUUCAAUUUGGAGGUCUCUUGGCCUUAAAUUGCACAAAGGUUCGACACAACAUCUGUCUAUUUCUAAUCCAACAUUUCAAUGUUGGAUUUAAACAGAUAGAAUUCUCACCCCACGAACACUAUGUUGUUACAACCAUAAACAUGACCCUUAUUUUCGGGCUCCCAACAAAAGAACGUAUUCUGCAGGAGACAUCUACCUCAUCAGAGCAUCAGUUUGGUACAAUUCGGGCAUGCGAGGAGAAACUCCUCAACUUACCUAUUGGGAAGGAGUUCCGUUGAGCAUUCAUAUACUAUGCAUAUGCCACGUUAUUAGCCCCCACGUCUUGGCUUGAUGGUUGCCGCAACUUGUGGAAUACCAUCCAUGAGGAUGGAUUUAGAAAUGAUGUCAAUUGAGGCCAAUUUAUGCUUGACCAACUUGUAGAGGGAAUUGGGCAAUAUCAAUAAUCAAACACCUCUUUGGUACGUGAUUGUGUUUUGUUUCUACAGGUAUUGAACAUAUAUGGGAUUUGUCUACCAUUUUCUAAUAUAAUUUUAUUUCACUACUAAGUAACAUUUGCCUAUUGAUGCUUGUAUUUAUGAUGUAGUUGCAUUAUGUAAUUAAAUUCUAGGUUCCAAGUCCUGAUCACAGUGCCCCUAGCAUCUGCAUGGACUAAUGAAUUGAUUAAGCAGCGACUAGUUAUUGAAAUAAGAGAGUCUGAAUCAUUUGGACAUACCGAGGUUUAUUUCCAAUUGAUGCAUACAGAAAUAUAGUGUUAUUACUAGCAUAACAUAUAUUAUUUUAGUGCUAAUUGUAGGGGUCCGAUGAGAUCUCCAACCGUAGAGACUAAUGUGGAGCAUAAGAUAAAUGUUGAGCCUUAAAAUAGUGAUGUAAGCUGACAAUUUUUUAAAAUUUUAAUUUAAGCUCAUUUCAUUGUAAUUUUAAUUUUUUUAUACUUGUUCAUUACAAUGAAAUAUGUGGUUAUGAAAUUUUUUGUGCAAAGAUAGUCAAUGAUCAUGUGCACGUGAAUUUACAUGUGAUAGGAAAUAUGACACCAAUACCAUGAUGCAGAACGAGCAAUCGACCAAUAUCAAAGGGGCAUACAAUAGCAGUUGGGAAUAAUGUGUGGCCUAAUGCAGAAGUUAGGAGCUCGAAGACAGUGGGGUCAAUUCAAAUGCCGCUGGUCACUUUGGCUAUGCACCAGCAGACAAUCCCACAAUCGAGGACCAUGCAUUUCCUAGCGAAGGGGACAUGUCUUGGCAUGGUGCAGACCAUGUGAUAGAUUCACCAAAUCGCAUUGUCGCCCCUGACUUUGAGUUGCAACCCAGUGUACCCAUUCAUGUACUAAGUGGUAAAAUUUAUGCAAACAUCCAUAUGGUAGUCAUCCCAACCCAAUGAUAUAGUAUACCUUUCUGCUGACUAUUGCUAAAUCCCAUAUUGCAGAUGGUGAAGAACAAGAUGAAGCUAAUGUAAUGCUAUUGAGUGUUUUUAUUAUAGCCCCCACAAACAAGAUCAUGCGGAGACACCAAGUGCGUCGAAUGGCUCCAAACCUCUUGUUCCCAUUCAUAUCCUAAUCACAAACCAGACAAUCUUCCAUAAGAAUGAACCUAAAAAAAGUAGUUGCAUUUGUCUUUGUAGGGGAUUUAAAUGCUAGGUAACAUACUUCAAACACACUCCUCUCAUUGUAUGAAAGUGAGAAAACAAAAACUAAAUUGUAUGUGUUUUUGACAGUGAGGAACUAGUGGCAAUGCAUGACACUAUCUUAACCAGAGGCAAUUUAGGAUGCUUCAAAGGGAAUGGCUGGAUAGGGAACGACGUGCAUAUGACUUCUUAUCCCUUUAUAUGCAUUAGUUUAAGUUUGAAAAUUAAAUUGUGGUUCUGACUAUUUAGUUUCUUACACUUUUAUGAUGUACGAAAUCAGGUUGUCGAUGCCUAUUGUAGAUUGUUGUAGUAUGAACAUGAAUCGAAGAUGAAAUUGUUUCUAUCGCCCUACAUAGUUGUAACAAUGAUUGAUCCAUUAAAUCAUUGCUUAACUUUAAUUUGUAACUUGAACCAUUCUUUAGCUAUAAUUAAAAAUCUAAAGUUAUCCCAUAUUUGAUAUGCAGAAAAUGGUCAUCCACUCCUAGGGAAAACACUUAGUGAGGGAGGUAGUGAUAGGACAAUUUAAGCCACAUUUGUAUCCCAUGGAUAUUCCAUAUGGGAAUGUGAACGAGGUGUAAUGCAGUGUUUUAUGAUUGUAAUUCAUUUUAGUUGCAUGAAGGUCCAUUAUCUAGAUGUAUGUUUAAUGGCAAUCCAUUGGUGGAGGUUUUCUUACCGGUUCUUAUAAAGAACCAUUGGACACUCUAUGUAUAUGACCUACACAACAAGAUAAUCCAAUUGCUAGAUUCCUGGCCUGGUAGGAAGAAGACCACUUUGAGUGGAAUACAACAAAAUCUGGUAAACUAACAAGUAACAACUAAUAAUUUGUUAGGUUUGUCUUCCCAAAGAAGUUUCAAUUGUUAAAUUAAAAAUGUUUUAGGCUAAGGUUGUCAUAUGGCUCGCUACACAUAAGAAAAAGGUACCACCUUAUGAAUUGAGGAAUGAAUUGAGGACAUUCAAUUUCCUGACGCCAGAUGUACCACCCCAACCUAAUGAGUGAGUGUUUACUUUGUAGUCCAGGUUUAUGUUCAAAUGGAUUGCAACUUAUUUUAAGUUCCUUUGUUAUUUAUAAUUCCACACUUAAUAACGUCUUGAUCAUAAUAUUGUGGUAGGCAUGAUUGUAGAGUGUUUUUUAUGAAAUUCAUGGAGUCUUGGUCAAUGGGAGGGGUUCUCCAAAUCAAUCGAUGUGGUACGUAGAAAGAACUAUGUAUUAUCAUCUCAUUAAUGUUAAAAUAGUUAGAAAAGACUAAAUUAAUUCAUUUGCUGAUUUUUUGCUAUAAACUUGAAUGAAUGCAGGAAAAGUUGAAACAUUAUAGAUUGAAGAUUAUGGGGAGUUUGUUGUUUUCACAACAGAAUGCACACCGAUAGCGUUUCAUGAGGGAUUAAUGGGGACUGUACUUUUUAAUGACACCGUAUAAAUUUGAUUUGGUUGUAAUUUAUGUUAGACAAAUGUAGUUGUGUAAAUGUUUUUGUAUGGUGUCCAUUCUGUAAUUGAACAAUGGUAGUAUGGGAUAAGUAGGAAGUCGAAAUGUUUUUGGAGACAAUAACAACAAUAAUUAAGUUGAUUGCACAACUGAACAAUGACACUAUGGGAGAACAAGUCAUAAAGCAAUAUGGCAAAUACAGGAGAAUGGAAAGAAAUUGCACACAUUAGUUAUGUUGAAAGUGACAGUUGCACUUUUUUAUGUAAUAAGAAAGUUUUUUAGUUAAGCUGAUUGUCAUUGCACUCGAUUUGUAUAGGGACAAUUAAAACCUUCGUUUUUUAUUGUAAAUGUAUGUUCAUUGUUACAGGAACUAAUGUAAUUGGAAUUAUACAUAGAUUUUCAGUGGUUUAUUUUAGAAUCCAUAAUAGGCUACGUUAGGUGUUUGGACUAUAAUAUAAAAUGUUUUAUUAUUUAUUAUUAGACUCAUGUUAUGUCAUUGUAUUGCAUUUGUAUUUAUGAUUUAUGAAAGUUUUAGUUCAUAUUGUAUAUCAACUUUUUGAAGCUUUUGCAAUGUGAUUGAUCAUUGUUAGUGCAAAAGUACAUGUAAUGGCGGUAGCAUAUUAGGUACAUUGUGAUGAAGUGUAUAACCAAUAGCAAGGAAAGAGGAAUUUAAAUUGAGAAAUGCUUGUUUUUUGUUAUCAAAACAAAAAAGAUAAGGCAAGUUGAAGAAAGUGAAGAUAUAGAAUUGAAGCAGUGGCCUUGGCUUGGCCAUUGCUGAGGUCCUUUCCUUCCUUGUGUAGUGAAAUAGUAUUAAUUAUUGGGGAGAAUAUAUUUAAUGAAACUAUAGAUGUUGGACUCUCAAAUCUCAAUUGUAAAUUGCUUAGCAUCUUCUCGGGAUUGUAAUUUUCCUUCUACUUGACUGGCAAAUCCUAUAACAAGGUCGGCUUAAGCAUAUGUACUCAUCCAAUGUUAGAGCUUUCCCUUUCAUGUAACAACUGUGAUUCUUUUUUCAUACAGUAAUAAAGUUCUUCUUAACAUAUAGUUCUUCAUAUUGUAACAACACUGUAGCAAUGCUUCAAGGAUUGUAGUUAUCAAGUUGUAAUUAUCCAACAUAAUAAUUUAAGAUUGAAGAGGUAUUACAUCUAGAUAUUGGAUCGUUUGCAUUCCAAUUAAUAUGAUUAAAAAAACUCCAAUUUGGUAGGGCAAGAAUUACUAUAAAUUGUAGUUUCACAUGACAUAGAACUUGUUACAUGGAAGGACAUAAAUAGUAUAACUCGAAUCUAAUCAGACAUGUAUUCGGGUAUGCGCACAAUGUUUUCAAACUCUGCCAUUGACAUAUCCUGACCAUUGUCUUGUGCAAAUUGAAUGCAAAUGUGCAAUAAUGACUCACAAGCUCUAUGAUGCAUCAUGGAAAGUGAGUGGACACAUCAGCUAGAGGAAUCAAUGAAUUUAGUCCAACAACUUACUAUUUUAGGUGUAUGUGUACCACGUAGAAAGUCGUUGUUUGUUCGUCGAUGCAAUCACAUUAGUUUAUCAGAAGCACUUAAUAAGAUAAAGGAGGAAAACAAUUGGAUGGAAAUUCAAAUUAAUGAUAAUUAUCCAACAACUUAAGUAAGCGAAUGCCUGAUAAUUAAUGAUCAACUUUGUUGUUAAUGUUCCAUUAUUAGCUGACCACCCCAUCAUAUAACAUUCAAAUUAGUGUGACAUCUUGUUAGUCUUACAAUCAAUUUUAAAUAGCAGUCACAUAUUACAUGUCAUGGCAUAUCGAAUGUAUUCCUUUUGAACACACUAUAGGUGGAGUACAAUUUGGUUAGGAAAAAUUAAUAAAUAUUUUUUUUAAAUUUACUAAUGAUUCACAUUUUGUCACAUUUUUCGAAUAUGUCUUAGGCAAAUUAAAUAAUAAUAAUGAUAAUAUUUUGCAUAUCAUAACAAACCAAAUCGAAUAUAUUCGUUCUGAAGAUCUUUUGGAAUUACCCAAUAGGACGUUAUAAUGUAUGUGAAGAACACUUUAGUCAUAGGAUAUUAUUAACUUUUACGAAUGACUGAAAGCGAUGGGUCACGAAAACACUAUUUAUCUGAAAAUUAACUUGACAAUGACACUUUUAUCAAACAUACGUAUUUAUAUUUAAAACUUUCAUAUAGGUCUUGUACUUUUUAUCUAUAUUAUAGAUAGACUCUCUUGCCAAUAAUAUGACUAGGCCCUCUAACCAAUCUUCAAACUAUAUAAAUGGUAUAACCUCAACUUAAACAUUAUAUGCGAGUUCAAAGCACUGUGUAAGGAACCUUGAUUCCAAACAUAUAUCAACCAUAGUGUCCAGGUAUGUUUGAAGGCAUAAAUUUUAUAUUCAAUUUAUUCAGUUAAGCAUAUUAUCAAAGUUUUAAGCAAAUAUGAAAGAAAGGCUUCAUGAAUAGAUUGUUUAUUUGGUUGCAUCAGUAUAAACAAAUACAUGGCAAAUGAAGACAAAAUCUACAUUGUUUUUGUUAGAAGGAGGUCAGGUGUAUACACAACUUGGUUUGAAUGUCAAGUUCAAGUCAUUGGUUACAAGGGUAACAUUUAUAAAUCGUACAAAACUCAUCGUGAAGCUGUAUUGGCAUGGGUGAUGUAUGAGCCUCGAAGGAAAAAACCUGAUGCACCUAUUGAAUCUGCCGAGUAUGUAGAGGGUAACCAAGUUAUUGGCCAAUUGGUAGAUGACCAAGUAUUAAAGAAGACUGUAGAUCGAAAACAAAAUUUUCUUGCUUCUUUUGUCCUCGGAUGUGUUGUAACAUUCACGAUUAUGUUUUUCGUUCAAAAGUUCUUUUAGAUAUGCUCAAAUGUGGUGAUACUAAGCAACAUGUUGUACUUAUAUUACAUGUCUUCAAUGCAAUGGUACUCUGACAAUUCAUUCUUCAUUAUUUAUUUCAGUUUUAAAACAAUACUAAAACAACAUAAAAAAAAAAAUCAGAAGUUACAAAUUGUAGAUGAUGAAAUUUAAAGGGGAAAUGAGUGAGCGAGUUCUUCAAAAUUCUUUAAAAUCCUUCAAGAUAGGCUAUCUUGUACACCUUUGUACAAUUAGCACACGUACCUUGUACACUUAGUGUAAAAGCCUUAUACAGUUACACAUUUAUGUACACCUAUAAUGCAAUGUGUGCAUAUAGAUGGUUAACUAUGUUUCUAUUGUCAUGGCCCAGGAAAAGAGGUAAAAAAAUGAAAUCGAACCCAACCAUGUAUCCCUAAUCAUCAUUUAUGAAUACAAAGUGAUGGAAUGAAUGUAUAUGAGGUCAAAUAAAUGCAUGGACUACAUGUGAUCAAGACAUGUGUGAGGAAUGUCUAUUAUCUCAUGCUUGGAAAAGGGAAAUGAGUGAGUUAGUUCCUUAAAAUUAGUUGAAAUCAUUCAAGAUAGGUACCCUUGUAUACCUGUGUAUAGUUACCAUAUAGUGAAUCCAUAUGGGUGGGGGAACCAUGUUCCAAUGUCAUGACUGACCAAAUUUUUAACAAAUAUGAUGUCAAAUUACGGUUCUAUUCACCAUUACUUUGGUAAGUAACAUGAUGAACAUGUACGAACUCACAAAAAAUUAAUGGGAUGAGUGUUUGAUCAAGUAAUGUAUGUGAUGAAUGUCCUUCAUCGUUGGAAAAUGGAAAUAACCAAGUGAGUUCUUCAUAUACCUUUCGAAUCGUUAGAGAUAGCUACCUUGUGCACUCUUGUACAGUUAGCACAUGAACCUUGUACACUUAAUGUAAAUGCCUUGUACAAUUGCACAUUUAGAUGCGCCCAUAAUGCAAUGUGUCCAUAUGGGUAGGUUAACUAGGUUUCCUUUGUCAUGGCUCAGGAAAAGAGGUAAAAACAAUGAAAUUGAACCCAACCAUGUAUCCCUAAUCACCAUUUAUGAAUACAAGGUGAUGAAAUGAAGAUGUAUGAGGUCAAAUAAAUGCAUGGCUUGCAGUGAUCAACCAAUAUGUGUGAGGCAUGUAUCUUAUCCUUCGAAAAGGGAAAUGACCAAGGGAGUUCCUCAAAAUCAUUUGAAAUCCUUCAAGAUAGGUACCCUUAUACACCUUUGUAUAGUUAGUACAUUUGUCUUGUACACUUUGUGUAAAUGCCUUGUACAGUGGCAUAAUUUCAACAUAGCUACAAUUGAACGUGUGCAUAUGGGUGGGUUAACCAUGUUCCAAUGUCAUGCCUGAGGGAAAAUGAGGAAAAUUAAACCUAAAUUAUCUUAGUAUUUAUCAUUAGUGCGGUAGCUCAUCCAAUGACCAUCUACGCGGUAAAAAAAAAAAAAAAAAAUUGAAUGGGAUGAGUGCGUGAUCAAGGAAUGUUUCUAAGGAAUGUCCCUCAUCCAUACAAAAAGGAAAUGACCAAGCCAGUUUUUUUAUAAAAAAAAAAAUUGAAAUCCUUCAACAAAGGUACCCUUGUACAACCUUGUACAACUAUCAUAUUUUUAUUGUACACUUAAUGCAAAUACCUUGUACAGUCCUAAAAAUUUGAUAUAGAUUAGUGAAUGAGGAAAAUUGAAGUCUAAAUUUGUUCUCUAACUAUUAGUCCACGAUUAUUACACAAUAAUCAUACAAAUAGAUCAAUGAAUGAUGCAAAUUAAAAACCCUUCUACUGACUUCCUACAUGGACAACAUUUGCUACUAAAAAACAAUUUUCCCUAUUAUUAUUCUCCUACUCAAGCAUGAAGGAGUUUCAAUUAUACAAUUAAUGGGGGCCCAAACAUAAAGAAUUUUAACAAAUAUGGAUGUCACAAUUCAUUCCUAAACCUAAUAAAAACACCCUCAAUCCUCCACAAACCUAGAUUCCAAUUCUAGAAACUAUACUAACUCGAAAACCACUUCAUUAGAUGGAACAUAUUUUCAUGUUCAAAGUAGGUCGUUGGGCAUAUAUGCUACUACCAUGCUACAACGGCUUCAGAUCUUGAAGGGAAUGCUUGCUUUUGAGAUUUGUUUUACCCGAAGGAAUUGUGGAAGAAUUACAUGAUCUUCACAGAGUCUUCUUCCCUAGAGUUCACCCUCUCUCUCCAAGAAACAUACCCAAAUUCUCUCUCUGAAUUUAUUUUAUUGGACAAUAGACCUAAGUCAUAGCCACGUACACAUUUUAAAGAGAUUCGACAUGACAACUUCAAUUGACCACAUGUGAAACCCAAAUUUUACAAACAUCUUAUAUGGAAAUUUGAAGGGUAUAUUUGUCUCUUGAUAUUUUAUAUCCUUCCUCUCCAUUAUGCAACUUAUAUGGCCUAAAGGUUAAUUAUGCAUUGAAAAUGAUUGUGUGAGUUUUUCAAAAGCAUUUGAAAUCCUUCAAGAUAGGUAACCUUGUACACACUUGUAUAGUUAACACAUUUGCCUUGUACACUUAGUGUAAAUGCCUUGUACAAUCAUGAAAUCCCAUAUAGGUACAACCAAACGAGUGCAUAUGGGUGGUUAAACAAUGUUUCCAUUCUCAUAGAUUAGGGAAAAGAAGGAAAAAGUUUACUCUCAUUUUGGUUCAUAUUCAUCAUUAGUGGGGGAGCUAAUGGAAUGAAUUAACAUAGUAGACAUCAAAUAAAAUGCAUUUAAUGAGUGUGUGGUCAAGCAAUGUGUGUGAGAAAUGUCCCCCAUGAUUGGAAAACGUAAAUAAGUAAGUUUUUCAAAAUCACUUGAAAUCCCUUAAGAUAGACACCCUUGUAUUCCCUUAUACAUUUAGUACAUUUUCCUUGUACACUGUGUAAAUGACUUGUACAGUUGCAAAAAUUCGACAUAGCUACAACUAAACGAAUGCAUAUGGGUAGGUUAACCAUAUUCCAAUGUCAUGGCUGAGGUAAAAGGGGGAAAAUGAAACCCAAUUUAGGUCCCUAUUCAUCGUUAGUGCGCUAACUCGUCCAAUGAAUGUGUACGAAGGGAAAUAAGGAAUGCCCCCUUUAGAAAAAGGAAAUGAGAAAGCCGUUUUUUCAAAAGCAUUUGAAAUCCUUAAAGAUAGGUAGUCUUAUGCACACUUGUAUAGUUAUCACAUUUGCCUUGUACACUUAGUGUAAAUGCCUUGUACAGUUACGAAAUCCCACAUAGGUACAACCAAACGAGUGCAUAUGGGUGGGUAAACAAUGUUUCCAUUCUCAUGGAUUAGAGAAAAUGAGGAAAAAGUUUACCCUCAUUUUGGUUCAUAUUCAUCAUUAAUGGGGGAACUAAUAGAAUGAAUUAACAUAGUAGACAUCAAAUAAAAUGCAUGCAUUGAGUGUGUGGUCAAGUAAUGUGUGUGAGAAAUGUCCCCCACAAUUGGAAAAAGUAAAUGAGUGAGUUCUUCAAAAUCACUUGAAAUCCCUUAAGAUAGACACCCUUGUAUAUUUAGUACGUUUUCCUUAUACACUUUGUGUAAAUGCCUUAUACAAUUGCAAAAAUUCGACAUAGCUACAACUGAACGAGUGCAUAUGAGUGGGUUAACCACAUUUUAAUGUCAUGACUGAGCAAAAAGGGGGAGAAAUGAAACCCAAUUUAGGUCCCUAUUCAUCAUUAGUGCGCUAGCUCAUCCAUUGAAUGUGUACGAAGGGAAAUGAGGAAUGUCCACCUUAGAAAAAGGAAAUGAGCAAGCCAUUUUUUCAAAAGGAUUUUAAAUCUUCAACAUAGGUACAAUAAGAACAUUUGUCUUAUACACUUAGUGUAAAUGCCUUGUAUAGUGGCAAAAAUUUUACAUAGCUACAACUAAAAGCGUGCAUAUAGGUGGGCUACCAUGUUCCAAUGUGAUGCCUAAGGGAAAAGGGGGAAAUGAAACCCAAUAUAGGUUCCUAUUCAUCAUUAGUGUGGUAGGUCAUCCAAUGAACAUGUAUGAAGUAAUAAAAUUGAAUGGAAUGAGUGCAUGAUCAAGGAAUGUGUGUGAGGGAAUGUCUCUCAUCCUUUCAAAAUGGAAAUAAUCUUAAAAGGAUUUCAAAUCCUUCAACAUAGGUACCUUUGUAUACCCUUGUAUAAUAAGCACAUGUACGUUGUACACUUAGUGUAAAUGUCUUGUACAGAGAAAGAAAUUCCAUACAACUACUAGUGAAUGUCUGCUCAUACAUAGGUUAAUCAUGUUUGCAAUAUUUUGGUUCAUAAAAUAAGGAAAAACUGAAGUAUCAAUUUGUUCCCUAACUACUAGUCAUCAUAUUAUUAAUCUUCUACUCAAACAUAGAGGAGUUUCAAUCAUAUAAUUAAUGGGGUUGUGCUUUGGAUCAUAGCAUAAUAAUUUUCAUAAAUAUGAAUGUCAAAAUGCAUCCGUAAACCUAAUAAAAAUACACUCAAUCCUCCAUCUACCUAGGUUCGAAUUCUAGAAAAUAUACUUAUCCCAUAAUUCUACUCUAAAAAGGAAUAUACCCUAUUUAGCAUAUUUUCAUCUUCACAAGAGGUUAUUGGGCCAAUGCUAUCAUCAGGAUCACAGUUGUAGUCGCUUUAUAUUUUCAUCAGAGUUCUUCAUUUUCUCCGUUUCUUGUGGUAGACCAACUUCUCUACUUUCAAGAUAUGUUUGAUCUAAAGGUAGCUAUUCUAGAGGAAUUGCAUCAUCACUAGAGAAUCUUCUUCCCUAAAGCUCACCAUCUAGACGAUACCCAAUUCUUCUCUUUGGACGAUAGACCUAACAAGCAUAUUCUAAAGUGAAAAUUUUUAAGAUAGGUGAAAUGACAUUUUUUAGGAGAUCAUUUCCAUAAGAUUCACUGUAAGUUUCUUGAAUUUACUUAUGUUGUGCUACAUUCCUAUGAGCCAAGAUGGAUGUGAUCAAAGCCUCAUUUGUCCCCCACCCUACAUCCAAAAAUGCUUUGUUAUUAAGUUCAAAAAAUUUUUAAACAGCCUAACAUGAGAUCAAAACGGUUGUCUUUCCUAAAACCCUGUACUGACCCAGUAAACAAAGAUCCAACACAUCAUCAAAGGAACCAACAUGAUCAAAUCAAAAUGUGAGAAAAGAAUUCAGACCCCCUAUCAUUUGGAUUUGGGAAUGAUGAUGAUAAAAUACCUGCAAAGGCUUUUCUGAGUUGGUCACAAUCCUCGACUGCUGAAGGAACCGAUCGGGGGACAAUCACAGUCGACAUCGUCUAUGAGUAUGCUAUUUACGGAGGGAGAGAAAGGGAUGGGGGUGGUGACCCUUAUGGCCUUUAUUUCAGAUUUUUAAGAUAGGUGACAUGGCAUUUUAAGUUUACCACCUAUGAAACCCAUUAUUUUACAACCAUUUGAGUUAGAAAUUUGAAGGGUAUAUUGGUUUCUUAAUAUCUUACAUCCUUCCCAUCAAUUAUGUAAGUUAUAUGGACCAAAGCUUAAUUUUUGGGCCUAGCUAGUUCCAAAACACAAUUGUCCCAUAAAUAAAAUAAAACAUUAACAAAUAAAACUUCAUAAGUAGAAGAUGACCUUUUAUAUAUCACUACAAUUAGUUCCUUAGAAGAGGGAACAUGUAAAAUUUAAUAAAUAAAUUAAUUUAAAGUUUGUACAAUAUCAAUGUAAUAAGAACUUAUAGACUCUUAAACUUGUGCAUUGCCUUUGCCAAAAAAAUCAAGCUUUCAUGAUGUUUUGUUAAAAAUUUGCUUCUCAUUUUUUAUCAAUUUAAAUUUUUUUCUUUUCCUUUAAAUUUCUAUGUUUUAUCUAUCAAUAUUUCUUUUUAAAUUUUAAAGAGGGUGAUUUAUUAUUUUUAUUUUAGUUGCAUACUUAAAUCUAUCAUUAUUGUCAAGUAUGUAACUUGAAAAUAAAAAAAUUAAUUAGAAAAUUUUCGGAAUAGUAUAAACUCAAACCAACAUGUUUGAAAUGAUGAGGGUUUAAUCAACAUGCCCUAAAAAAAAUAGGUUUGAUUGAAGUCCAUAAUAAAUACACAACCAUUACAAUAGGGAUCCAUCCUUCUAAGCUUCUUUUCUUUUGUUCAUUGUCCCUUUUUAUCUCUUAUUUUCAAAUCAAGCAUGGAGUGUUGACUAAAAAUGUAUUAGCCAUAAAUUUUUUCUUUUAUUUUUUUUACACCCAAUUUCUCACCAUCCAAACAUAGUAAAAAAAAUAAGCAAAAAAAAAUGAAACAAAAGAUAAUAGAAAAAUAAUAAAAAUUUUCUCCCCUUUCCACUUUAAGCCAUUGAAUAUAAGUGUUCGAACCUAUUGAAACCUAAAAUAAUAAAUUAAAAGAAACAAAUUUAAAACUCCAAUGGGUUCAUAGAGUAAAAUAAUAAAUUAAGGAACUUGAUGUUCUUUUUGUGUGCUGAAAGUUAUGUUUUACGAUCCUCAUUUUCUAGGUGUUCGCUUUUGCGGGAAUUUAUGAUUAUAUGAUCUGAAAAAGGAAAAAUUUUGAAAAAUGCAUGGUCAUUUACAGAUCACAUAUUAAAUAUUGUGAUUUAAAUUUUCAAAGCACCAAAAUUCUUGUUCUUCCAAAGUUAGAAUUUGAAUAUUAUAUAUCCUUACCUAGAAUUCAAAAUUAGUUGUAUUCUUCGAGAUAUACCAUUGAAACUUGAAAUUGAAAAUUUGCAAUCAACAUUGGCAUAUAUAUAUAUAUAUAUAUAUAUAUGAAUCAAGUUGGUUUGGUGUUGUAACCUACUAACCUUAGCUUGAGUCCAAUGCUUUCGAUAAGUGUAGCCCUUAGUUACUCUAAAGGGACCACUCUACCAGGUGUAGAUGUUGAUGGUGUUUUUCUUGAUAGCUUUGUAAGUCGUAUCAAGAACACUUCAAUACAUAUGCCUGAAGCAAUUUUUUUUGUUUAUCAAUAGAUGGCUGUCAUAGGAGAAAUAGCAUCAUAGGAGAGAGGAUCAAUAGGAACCAGUGAUUCACCAUAAAAUGCAACUUGUUAUGGUUCAUAACUAAAAUGAUCUAACAUGAACAUUGAUAUGGUUAAUUUUGAUCAUUCAAAACCCCCAUGAUUAUACCAAUUCAACCAUAUUGACUUCUAUGAGAUAAACAUGAAAUAAAGCAUAAAUAAAAUGCCUGCUACACCUAAUUAGACCUGUAAAAGUAGGUCAAAAGAUAACAACUGGCAUAACUGAUCUCUUGGGCAUUCACUUCAAUGUUGAAAAGCAUCGAAGGCCAGAAAAGUUAUUAAGCUGCCCAAAUAAGCCAUGUUGUGGUGAUUGCCAUUGAUAAUUCUUAUGGUAUUUGUCUUUCAACUUAAGAAAAAGGUUGACUUAUAAUUCUUGGUAUAUUCUUAUUUGAAAUGGGUUAUUUUGUUGGACUUGAUUUGGCAACAAUAAAUGAAAAACCUUGGAAGGCUGAAUUAUUCCCCACUAAAUUAGUACAUUAUGAACUUCUCUUUUCGAAUAUAUAAUGUCAGACUCUAAAAAGAUAAAAAUUUUCAAGAUUAUUACAUAGGGAAUUGCAUUUAAGCACACCUUAUAGGAUUUAAUACACCUAAUUAUGCUUUAUGCAUAGUUUCAAAUCAUUUCUAGGAAGUUGUUUGUGGUCAUUUAGAUGACUGCUUUCAAAAAUAAAAAUGGGUAAGUGAUCUCUUACAUAAUGCUUUGAUUCCUUGGACCUUUGUGCUUAAAAUGUGGUUUGAGAAGGGUUUGAUCUAAAAUGGUCAAACAUAAAGAAUCCCAAACAAGUUUAGACUCAAAGAAAGAGAAAAAAAUAGUGAGUUGAUUUAUUUAUGUGUGGAAGAAGUCUUCCAAUUGGUUUAUAACACAAUAUCCUCCUAUAAUGUCCAAAUUGUAUUGGUUGUCCAUUCUAUACACUAUUCUCUUUAUAACAACCUUAUAUAUUCCAAGCCUUUGCAAGACAUCCUUAGCUCUCCAAAGGCUUCUUCACUUUCCCAACCAACGCCUUCACAUCUCUCUUUAUCUUAUCAAGUCUUCUACCGUAUGUUUCUUGCUUCAUACAUAAACAUUUAUUUGUUAGUAACACAAAGUGGGCCAUAUAAGUACAAUUAACAUGUUACCAAUAUUCAUGAUCCACAUAGUCACUUAUCAAUCACUGCACAUAAUCAUAGUCCCGAAUGGUAGGUUAGCAGAAAACUCCAUUCAUGCAGUCUCAUUAAUGGAUUGAAAUAUCAGUAAACACUGAUAUAUCAGUACUUGGAUUUUACGAAUAUAUCGGAAAUAUCAAUGAGACAAAAAUUAUCCAAAAUUGAUGGGAAUGCUUAGAAAAAUCCAAAGAAUGAUAAAAUAAACAAGAAUAUUCAUGUUAAGGUUAUUUUAUAAGUGUAAUUGACAUAAAUAUGGUCAAAGAAAAAAAAUAUCAGUAAACAGUUAACGAUACUUGGAUUUUAAGAAUAGAAAAUAUGAAUUUUGGAUUUGUACACUUAGAAAGUUAGAAUUGAGUUAAGAAAUAUUUGAUUUUAUUAAAUGAAAACAAUUUACACAUAAACAUAAUACAUAUGACAUUGCAAUAGUCCUUAAUACCAAAAUGAAGAUCGAUGUGGUUCCAUCAUAUUGUUAAAUGAAGGAAGCCCAUCUUGUUGAAGACAACAUUCAUACCAAGACAUGGAGUUUCGAUAGUAUUGAUUAGUACAACAAUGUCAAGCAUAAAUGAGAUAAAUAUAAAAAAUAGUUAAAAAUAAAAUGAUAAUAUAGAUUUAAAAUAAAAAAUAAAUUAAAAAUGAAUAAUUAAAAAAUAAAAAAGGAUAAAUAUAUAUUUAAAAAAAAACUUUAAAAAAAAUCUCUGAUAUUUCCCCGAUAUAUUGCCGAUGUAUCCAAUAUAUUCGUCGAUAUAUCACCGAUAUAUCUCUGAUAUUUUGACAAGCUUCCUCCGCUGCUCCGCGCAUCGCUUCACGCUUGAUUUUUUUGUCGAUUUAUUGGUUCCAAAUCGAUAUAUCGUCGAUUUUACCGAUUUUUUUGUCGAUAUUCCUCCCGUUCGAUAAUUGGUGUUGAAUUUUGUUUGAUGUCGCCUGAUAUCCAAUAUAUUGGUGAAAUAUCACUGAUAAAAUCCGAUUUUUCAAUCCAUGGUCUCAUCCCACUUGUCUUGAGUGACUUGUCACUUUACAGUCAUUAUGGAACAUUAAAUGUAUGUACUAGCUACAUAUCUUGAAAGUCUUACCUCCAUUACCACUUAAACCACUUAUUCAGUUUGGUUUCCAUCACAUCUCUCAUCAACUCUCAUUCAUUCCCAUUUACACCUCCUAUUAAGAAAUAAGAUGUGUACCCAAACCAUCACUAAUUAAGUAAUUUAGUUGUUCUACAAGAGAUAUAAGAAAAUAAGAAAGUUUUUUUUCUUUUCUUUUUUCAAAAAAGAAACUUUAUAAAAAAAAGGAAUGUAUAAUUUUAGAAAAAAGAAAUUAUAUAUAUAUAUAUAUAUAUAUAUAUAUAUUGAAAUUUGCUUAAAGUAUUUUUUUUUUUAAAUUUCUAGAAGUUAUUUAACUCUUAAAAAAUUUGAGUGCAGAAAGCUAGAUAAGAAAUGUUGAGAAAUAAAGCUAUUAAUAGAAUUUAAAAUAAGAACUGUUGAGAAAUUUUUGCUUAUUUCCCUUUUUUGUUUGUUUGUUUUUAUGUGGAUCGGCUUGUAGAGAUUUAAAGAUCUUAUGAUAAGGAGUAGUCAAUGGUAUUGAAUUGAUGUGUAUUCUAACUUUGAAUUUGAAGGAUGAGAUGAAUGAUAAAAUAGAGAUUUAAAGAUCUUAUGAUAAUGAGCAAUCAAUAGUAUUGAAUUGAUGUAUAUUCAACUUUGAAUUUGAAGGAUGUGAUGAAUAAUAAAAUCUAAAUUAUUGCAUGAAAGUAUAAAUAUAAAGGAAUAUGAUACAAAUAAAUAAACUUAAAAUAAAAAUAGGAUCAUAAUAUAAAACAAUAAGACUACAAAAUAAUGAAACCUGAUUAGAAAACAAUAAAAUCAAAAUGAAAUGUGUGGCAACUAUGGAAAAGUUGCUCAACUAUAAUAUCAUAAAUACAUGUAAUAAUUCUCUUUAUGAUAUUUAGGAUAUGAUAAAAUAUGUUUUUUCUUUACUCAUUUCUUUUUUUAGUCAUUUUAUUAAGAAAAAUGCUAAGAUAUUGUAGUGGUAUUUCUCGAAAUCCAAAUCUAGACUAUUAAAUACAUAUGAUAAGAUUUGAAUUGUUAAACAAUGGUACAAAUAAAUAAAAUUAAGGUAUUAAAAUAUAAAUAAAUGAGAAUAAAGAAUAAGCAAUAUGACUUAAAAACGUAUAUAUUAUACUUAUGAAAUAUAUAUAUAUAUAUAUUUCAAUUACCUCCCUUAAAGUUUUAGGUAAAUACAACUAACCCUAAUUGAUUUGAAAAUUUGUCAAAUAUCUCACUUAUUUUGAAUUAGGGGGAAAAUGUGUGAAAAUAUCAAAUAAGAAGAAUAAGAUAGGUAUGUCAUAAAAUUUAAAACCAAUAGAAAUUAGGUGUAAAACCAAUAAAAAUUAGAUGUAUUUAACCAAAAUUUCAAGAGCGGUUAAUGAAAUUAACCUUAUAUAUUUUUGUACUGUAGGUAAACCUUUUUAUUAAAUGGUUGGAGGCGAUAGAGGCUGCAUUAAUUUAUAAAAUAGAAAGGGUUUUUCCAAAAAACAUAAGAAGUAUAUAGUGUAGGCUUCUUUGCUUUCUUCAAAAACUUUAAUUUAAUAAUUUUUAAUCUUUCUAUUAGUAAUUAUAUUAACAUAAUUACUCUAAUUUAAAACCAAAUUCAUUUAAAUAAAGAUUAAUUUCAUUGAAACCCCCUAAGGUUUGGUGUAAAUAUAUUCUAUCACCAAUGGUUUUAAAUUUCGUCAAUUAAUAUCCCUAAAAAGAUUUUAAUUAAGUAAAAAUAUUUUAGAUUAGAGUGUUGAACCGUUUUUUAAAAAUAAAAUUUUAUUUUUAAAAAAUUAAAAUUUAUAUAUGAAAUACAUUUAUAAGGAUGUUAAUUGAUAAAAUUGAAACCUAUGAUAAUUUAGAAUGUUUAUACUAAAUGGGCUAUCAACGAAAUUAACCCUUUAAAUAAAAAGAAAAACCUAAAAGUAAUUAACUUUAAGAACUUCAGACCAAUUUCACAAAAGGCUAACCGAUAUUGUUAUUGAUGGCAAUUUUAGACCAAAUUAACAGAAAGUCCUUAAAUCAAAGAUUGUGAAACUUAAGCUAAUCCAAAUUCGAAAAAGUAAAAAAUAAAAAAACCAUUUUUCGAUGAACCAGUUUUUGAAGACUUGCAGUUAGGUAUCAUUUCCAUGCAAUGGUAAAUGUACAUGCCCAGUACCACUGACUCAGUCAUCCCUUCCAGUUUAAAGUUCCAAUAAAUACAAAAUCAACAAAAUCUUUUUCUUAGCUUUCCAAUAAAGCUGUUUAAAUCCACUCCAGUCAAAUGUGAUAAGGCCUGAUAUGUCCUUCCAGCUUAAAGUUCCAAUAAAUCGUUGUGUGUUGGGAGGACAAAAUCAAUUUCUUGGUUUCCAAUACGGCUCUUCAACUUCACUCCAGUCGAUUCUGAAAUUGCCUAUGUGUCCACAAGUGUGACUCUUUCCUAUUACAUCUUCUUCUCGUUUCUGGGAAUGAGGAAAAUUUGUUGUUAGUAGUAUAUAUUAAUUGGUGUCUAGAUUGAAAGUAACCUUUCAUCAUGUCGGAGGUUGCAACGCGGUGGAUUAUGAGGUAACCUUCAGAAAAUGCAUCUUCUUUUACAUUUUCUUUUUGUUUAUAAGUUUUUGUCUUGUUCAUGUUACGAUGUUUACCAACCAAAAAUACCCUCAGGUGUUUUCUCCAUUUUUAGUAAGCCCAUAUGAAUUUCUCAAGGAAAAAGAAAUUGGCCUUCUUCCAGGCAGCCAUGAUGCCGAAACAAAAUUAAACACCCAUAAGGAAUCACAAUUCUAAUCCCUAAACAAUGGUGUGGUAAAUGGGACGGUGUGAUGUGUGAAAAUGGACGUUCCGUAUAAAAACUUGUGGAGGAAGUGAUGAUUUCAAGGAAUAGUUAGUACUAUCUUAACUAUUAACCACCUGCUUAUUCUUGCCGGGAGAAUUGUGUUUUUAACCCAAUUAGGUUUGGUAAUUGAGCUAAGGUCCUCCUUUCACUCAUAAUUAAACUCAAAACCCAAUAAAAUAGUAGAAAUUGAGAGAAAGGAUAUUAUCUUUUGAUAAUCCCUAAAAUACCCUUAACUUUUAAAUAAAAAAACUAGUUCACCCUAUCUUCCUCAUUCUCAUCCUCUCUUUUAACUCUUUUAUCCUUCUCUCACCUAUUUAUUAGUGGGAUUAAGUUGAAUCAUUUCUCAAUUAUUUUUAUCCAUUAAAUUAAAUAUAAAAGAUAAAUGGCUAAAAAUGAUUAUUGUCAAAUACAUUUUUGAAGUAAAUAACUUUUAAAUACCUAAUCAAAUAUUUUUUUUUCAAACUUACAUAAUAUAUAAUAAAUAUUCUUUUUUAUUUCAAACUUAUAUUAUUUCUUAUAUAUAUUAGACAAUUUUUAAACACCUCAUAAAAUAUUAGUAUUCUUUAUUUGUUCUAGCUUACAAAUUAGACAUCAAAUAUUUUUUUUUCAAACUUAUAUAAUAUAUAUAAUAAAUAAUUUUUAAAUACCUUAGCAUUUUUUUUUUGUUUCUUGCUUACAAAAUAAUAAAUAUGUUGUAUAUUAUUUCUCAUAUACAUUAAAUAAUUUUUAAAUACCUCAUAAAAUAUUAUCAUUAUUAUUAUUAUUAUUUCUAACUUGCAAAUUAGACACAUGAUUGUGGACCCCCAUUUCGGCUCAAUGUGUUUCCCACUCGAUGGCGAGCUCGAUUUUGAUUCGAAAAAUUAUGAUUUUUAUUGAUUAUUUGAAAAUGACUCGGAGUCGCCACUUAUUUUUGUUUUAUUUUUGAAAGGGUAAACAAAAUAAGAAAGAAAAACCCUAAGUGUGACUCCUUAUUUUGGAAAAGGUGGUCUGUGAAAAACCGGAUCGGGUUCAGGGGUCAGGUUACUUAUCGGGAAGGUACGGUAGAGACCGUAGCACCCCUCUAAGUCCCUAAAGUCGGGUCUCUACUAAUCAAAUGAAGCAAUCAUGGCAAUUGAUGAGGGAAUCAAUGAAUACUCAGAGUGAUCAUGCACAUGUGAGAAUCUAAACAUGCGUACAAAAAAAAUGACCCGAGCGGAUGUAGAUGCGUACCUGGGUAGCGAUCCAUAAAGCGCUAUCAAGAAGUGAGGUUAGUGCACAAUUAAGGAAUAGUUUCGAGCAUGCCAUAGAGCAGAAUAAAUAAAUCAUGUAUGAUAACCAAGUCAAUCAAUCAGAUCAAUCAACCGAUCAUAAGAUCAUGUAUGUGGGGUCCCCACCAAAGCCCAAUUAUUUUUGCAUGGACCAAAUCCGUAAAUUCCAUUAUUCAGAAUUACAAAAUUUGAUUCUUUGCUUAUUUCAAAACAUUUUUAAAACAGAGGAGGUGUGAAAAUGCUUGCCAGAAAGAAAGAUGACAGCAAAAUUUUAUUGGAAAUGGGACUCUUGGGUGAUCUUAAAAAUUCUAAGGAGGAAAGAUAAGAUGUUUUGAAAUGGUUUUAGAAAAGAAGUUAUAAAACGAGGAUCCAGACAUGUCUGACGGGGGAAGUUGAAUUGCCCCUCUCUCCCAAUCAGGCGUCAGGCGCUGGUUGUGAGACAUCCGAAGAGGGUUGAAUGUCGGCCGGACAGGAUUCCAGAUGUGGGACAUCCGGAGAAGGUGGAAUGGCGGCCGGACAGGAUUCCGGAUGUGGGACAUCCGGAGAAGGCGGAAUGGCGGCUAGACAGAAAUUCCGGAUGUGGGACAUCCGGAGAAGGUGGAAUGGCGACCGGGGCAGGAUUCCGGAUGUGAGACACCCGGAGAAGGGAAUGGCGGCCGGACAGAAAUCUCCCCUGGGUGGAAUGACGGCGAGGCAGGGGUUCCGGAUGUGAGACAUCCGGAAAAGGUGAAAUGGCGGCCGGGGCAGGAUUCCGGAUGUGAGACAUCCGGAGAAGGGAAUGGCGGCCGGACAGAAAUCUCUCCCGGGUGGAAUGAGCUAUGUUGCACGUCACAAGGGGAACCGUCUACGUGCGAGGGAGAGAGGGCUACGUGGCAUUUUUUUAGGGAGGAUCCCACAGGUAGGUGAAGGUUUAGAGAGAAACGGGUUUGGUGGUAUGGUUAAAGGGGUGUACACAUGGGUAUGGUAGAACGUGGUUAUGAGUAGCAUGAAGGAUGGGUAUGGGUUGUAUGGAUAUGGAAGCUUGGGUGAGUGGUUUUAAUGGGUAUGUGAAGGAGCGAAGGAUAGCAUGCACCCGUGAGACUCCAUGUAAGUGAGGGAGUGGGAUGGAGAAUGAAUGAGAGGAAAAUGGGUGUGGUGGAGAAUGCUUGAUUCCUGCAAGCUCACAAAUCUCCUCUCCAGAAAAUGCCAAGAAUAGAGGGGAAGAGCGAAGAAAAAAAGGAAAAGAACAAACAAAAAAAACUAGGAAGAAGAACAGAGCAAUAUAUAAGGGGAGAUAACACCACUAAAACCAAGCUCUACAUCACGAAGACCAAAAGAGCUUUCAAAAGAGUCUGGUGGGAGGAUCUCAAUGAACUUAACACACAAACACAAAAUACCCAACAUGUAGCUCAUACGGGAGAAAACAAAGAUCAAAUAAACAAAAGUCAAAAACAAGUUUGCCUCCUUAGGUAAUCAAAGCAAACAUCUCAAUAUCAGCAAGGAACCUAAGGCGAUCCUAAAAAAUAAGAUAAGAUAAAGUAAGAGAUAAUCAAACCUGACUGGUUCUUCUUCUACCUCUCUCCACCCAAAAAAAAAAAAACGCUUUCCCCCUUCCCCCAUUUUUCUCUUCCUCCCCCCCUAUUCACCGGUCAGCAAGCAUGGCUUGCCCAACCACUCUCUCUGCAAUGCUGUCACCUCCAACGAUCUCUGCAGCAGCCACCUUUCCUGCACCACACCUUCUACAACCAUCUUUCCUUCUCUCUCAUCUGCGCCCCUUGACGGCCUGCGGGACCUCCUUCCAGGAAUGUAAGGAAUAUGAACACUGAAGUGAAAAGAAAGUGUGAAUAGUGAGUGGAAUGAAGUGAACUCUACCGAAGAACCAAGGAGACCCCCAUAGGGACACUAGUGAAACGCAAACUCAUUCAGGCUAGCAGACGAACAACAAAGGCUCUAAUCCUAAAAGAAAAACAUAUCUCAAAGUGCCUCUAAAGCUACACUAAGGACCUAGGCUCCCUUUAAGACGUCUCCAAAAAUGACUCGAAAAACCAUAUCAAAGAUGAGUAACGGUCGAACCACCCUGGAGUACGAGAUGAAUAUGUGAUAAGCACCGAGUAACGAAGCGAGGAAAACCGAGGACAAAUGCAAAACCAUGAAGGUAAGACAUGCACUGCCAGUGAAUAUAAAUGCCAGGAGCUAUGACUCUGAAUGACAAGACUGACUCUAAACGCUAAACUGAGAAAAAUAAUGGCUUUGGAAGCCAAACCAAAAAGCUAACUCUAAAUGCUAAACUGAGAAAAUAAUAGCUCUAGAAGCCAAACCAAAAAGCUAACUCCAAACACUAAACUAGAAGGCCCAUAGGUGAAAACCUACGGUGGUGAUACAAUAAAAAAAAUACCCAUAGAUGCCAAUCUAUGGUGGUGAAACUCCCAAAUGCCCACAGAUAAAAAAUCUAUGGUGGUGAUAAUCCCGAAGGCCCAAAGAUGAAAAUCCAUGGUGGUGAAAUAACUAAAAUGCCCAUAUAUGAAAAUCUAUGGUGGUGAAAAUCUGAUCAAAGCCCAUAGAUGUCCGAUCUAUGGUGGUGAAUCUGAAACAAAUGCUCAUAGAUGAAAAUCUAUGAUGGUGAAAAACUGAAACAAAGCCCAUAGAUGUCUGAUCUAUGGUGGUGAUAAUCUCAAAAGCCCAAGGAUGAAAAUCCAUGGUGGUGAAAUAACUGAAAUAAAUGCUCAUAAAUGAAAAUCUAUGAUGGUGAAAAACUGAAACAAAGCCCAUAGAUGUCUGAUCUAUGGUGGUGAUAUAACUAAAAUAAAUGCUCAUAGAUGAAAAUCUAUGAUGGUGAAUAACUGAAACAAAGCCCAUAGAUGUCUGAUCUAUGGUGGUGAAUCUGAAACAAAUGCUCAUAGAUGAAAAUCUAUGAUGGUGAAAAACUGGAACAAAGCCCAUAGAUGUCUGAUCUAUGGUGGUGAAAAACCGAAACAAAGGGGAUGCCCUAAAUAAACUGACGGUAGGGGGAUGCCCUAAACGAGAUGACAGUAGGGGGAUGCCCUAAACGAGAUGACAGUAGGGGGAUGCCCUAAACGAGAUGACAAUAGGGGGAUGCCCUAAACGAGAUGACAGUAGGGGGAUGCCCUAAACGAGAUGACAGUAGGGGGAUGACCUAAACGAGAUGACAGUAGGGGGAUGCCCUAAACGAGAUGACAAUAGGGGGAUGCCCUAAAGGAAAUGACAGUAGGGGGAUGCCCUAAACGAAAUGACAAUAGGGGGAUGCCCUAAACGAAAUGACAGUAGGGGGAUGCCCUAAACGAAAUGACAGUAGGGGGAUGCCCUAAACGAAAUGACAGUAGGGAGAUGCCCUAAACGAAAUGACAGUAAGGGGAUGCCCUAAACGAGAUGAUAGUAGGGGAAUGCCCCAGGUGAUAACUCAUAAAGAUCGAGAAAUGGGUCUAACAACCAUGAAAUCAGCAUGAGAUGUGGCAAACUCAAAGAUGGGGAAAUGCCCCAAUAGAAAAGUGCUAAAAAUGGGGAAUGCCCCGGUAUGAUGACUCACAAAGAUCAAGAAAUAGAUUGAGCAGUGAGAAGGUACACAAAAGAUCUGAUAAACUCAAGAAUAGGGGUAUGCCCCAGUGUAAGAUAGUAACCAACAUAAGAUACAAAAUGUCACCAAACAAGACACUCUGGGAUAUGCUCAAUGAUGAUGUAAUGAAAAAACAUAUACAAAGCCUCAAUGAACAAAUGCUAAAACAAGUCCAAGCAUCACUGAAACUAUACUGACGAAGCAAAACUAAAAUAAUGGAUCAAACAAAUGCUGACCAAAACUCAAGGUCUGAAAUGUAAGCAAAUCAAGACACGACAUGUCAAAUAUCAAUAUGAGUACAUCAUCACAAGUGCGUACCAUCAUGGGAGAUGUUGAUCAUAAUGUCCAAAAGGCAUGUGAAAACUCAACCAGAAAGCUCAAGACUAGUCUACAUCUUCCUCUGAUCAAGAGAAAGGGAUAAAGUCAGGUAAGAUGAUGAAAUAUGUAGGCUCAAAAGAUGUAAGGCUCUGAUAAGAUGGGUGCAGGUAUAACGGUGUCCAAUGAAGGAUGUAUGGGUGCGUAACAAAGAUAAGUGAAUAUCCAAAUCAAACUAGGUAUGCCGAGAAGACUGAGCCCAGGGUGUCAAUGACUCCAUGAUCCAUCGAAAGCAGCAAUCAUAAACACGAAAUGGAGUCUCAAUGUCAAAAUCAGCAAGGUGGCCAUGCCCCAGUGUGAAUGCAUCAUCUCAGAAUGGGUAAGCUCUCAAUGCAGAAUGAUUUUUGGAAAGUGUGUGUCUGGCAUAAACUGUCAUCUCACAAAAUCAUCAUCGAUGAGUGGGCUAUGCCCCAGUGUAAGCAUCUCCAAAUCAACCGUCAAUGAGAGGAGUGCAACCAAUCAUACAUCAACUGAUCAAAAUGAACUUCUGCUCCUCAAAGUCAUCGUGGUAAUGUGAAGAGAGUAUAUGACCUCCUCUAAAGAAAGAGCAUGUCUCAAUGUGAACUGAUAUCUCUAAGAUCAACCGCCGAUGAAAGGGUUAUGCCCCAGUAUAAGGUAAACCCUGAAAUGAAUAAACUCCGCUACAUGCUCUCAUAAGUGUUCGUGUCCUGAUCCAAUCAUUUGAAAAAUAUGUCAACAAUGAUGAGAAGGUUACGCUCCUAUAAUCAUAUCAAAGAAAACAUCCGGUCAUAUCUCGUACUCCAGUGUGAAAUGAAUCUAAUCACCUCCAAGGAACAACUAUGCCUAAAAAACCAUCAUGAACUGAAAGGGGUAUACCCCUGUGUAAAGUACACCAUAUGAAAUGCUCCAAUCAUGUCUCAUGCUCCAAUGUGAAAGAGGACAUUUGAUAUCCUCCGAGGAACGAACAUGGCUCAAAAAUCUGUCAUCGACUGAGAAGAGUAUGCCUCGACAUAAUGGUCAUCUGAUAAAAAAACUCUGAGAUGGUUAUGCCCCCGUGUAGGGUCAUACCAUAACUCCUGGUCCAUCACAAACAGAAUGCUCCCGAAUCAAUCCCAAGUAUCGCUCACAUAAGAGCUAUCAAACACAACGUGUGAUGUCAUGGCCUCAGGGUGGUCUUAAGACUCAGGACGUAAUGAAGGCUAGGGUGAUAGGGUGAUAGAAAUGAAGGGAAACUAGGCCCAAAUACCCAAUGAUCAAAACCCAUGCCUUCAUGUAUAAAAUGCAACAUGUACAGAAAAUAUCGUGAGCCAUGGACCUAAAGAUGCCUACUGUGAAUAUGAUGUCGAUAAGGAGACAAAUGAAGCAAAACGAACUGAUAAUGAUAUGUGUAAUGAUGAUGCGAAAUGAGUAUCGAACCCGAUAUGGGUUGCUAUAAGGAGAGAAUAAGACGUGAAGUGAAUGAGGUGAAACACAAGUGACGAUAAAAAUGACAGCGAAACAAUGAAUAUAUGAAGAAAGGUGGUGAUCGACUCAGAUCAAACAUGAAGUGAAGUCACAUCAAUAAUGAAUGUAAUGAUGGAAAGGACAAUGACUCAGAGUCCUUAGGAGAAGGUCACUCAUCUCUCUCACAAAAUAGAUAUGACAAAGUAAUACAAAUAAUCAUGGGAUCUCAGAGAGCUCGCAUACGAACUCCCAAUAACGAACAUACUCGAUAAAAAUGACCCCCAGACAUCAAUAUACAUACUCAAUGAUCGAGAACACUGUGCACAUACACACAUGUGCUAAUAAUAAUAAUAAUAAUAAUUUUAUUUUAUUUUUAUUUUUUUUACAUAUAUACAAAUAUGCGUACCCUGAACGUGAACAAAUGAACCCCAAAGAUGAUAUCAACAACAAAUGGACACACUCCCAAGUGCUAAGGUAACAAACAAACUCUCUCUGACAAGAUGACCUUCUCAAACUAAGGAUCUCUAAACCAGUGUCCGCGAGAUAGAUAGUGGAAAUGAUGUGACUAUCCUUCAUGUGAUGAACUGAGGGGGAUCACCACUCAGGGUGAAGAGAAAUAUGAAACAAACAAGUAGUAGAUAGGAUAAGGAAGAAGAGAUGAGGAACACAACCAACGAGAUGAGACGAAAAUGCAGAGGUGCAGUGAUAGGAAAAGAUAAUGAGAAAAACGUGCCCCUAGGUCCAAAGCUCAUGAAACUUCCCAAACAAUGCAUGCAUACAUUAAAGGGCCCCUAUCCCGAUGUGAAAAUGUGAGCAAGGCGAUAAGAAAGAAAGGCUAUAAUGAGCAUGCGAGGCUCAAUGGGCUAGCAACGGACUAUGAUGUCAAUAAAGGUAAUAAGGUAUGAGCUAACCGAAAUGAAGGCCACCCAUCCUGCGACCACGGUCUCAGACAUCAUGCUAUCAAGCCCUCAAAUGAUCAAUACUAGAGAUCGAAGUCCAUCUGAUAUGACCACGUCAACCCUCUAGGAUCAUGCACCAACUGUACUCCAAAUGCUCCAUAAUAAUCUCAAAGAUGAUCCUCUCAAGGCAAAGUAAACGGUGAUCUCAUCAGGCACGACUGAUUACUACUCAAAAAGUGCUAUUUGAUAGCUUGUAAUUAACUCUUUUAAACACUUUUGAGUAGUAGUUAUUGCCUUUUAACCCAAUUAACAUGUUAAGGACCCUUGCAAUCAAUUCUAAUCAAAUUGUGUUAAGUUUUGGUGUUUUGAUAGUUUUUUUAUCACCAAAGGAAUCCAAGAAUGAGGGAGAGCUGUAUAUAGUUCAUGGCAAAGCUUUUGGAAGCUCAAAUUCAUGAAGAACCAAGCUUUGGAGCUCCAUAGCCCUUUUCCAAAGUCGUUCAAAGUAUGCAAGGAGAGAAGCAAGGAGAGAGGAAAAACAGAGUGAAGAAAACAGAGGACAGCAGCUGCAGUCUUCUUUCGCACUUUUGGAGCACUUCCCGAAGUCCAUUUUCUACAUUCUAUAUACCAUUUCAAAGCUCAGGAAGUCAAGAAUCCAACGCUUCAAACCGUGUACGAUUUGGAGCUGAAAUGAGGAAGUUACAGCCUUUGGAAGAUGACUGCUCCAAGCUGAAGGAAGGAUUCAGCAAAGUGUUGCGAAAUCACCCUUUUGUUGCGGAAUGAUUUCGCAGCCUUUUUGCACAGUGCUUUGGAUUUCCCUUGAAUUUUCACACCGCGAUGGAAGCCAAACACCACAAGAUGAAAGCCAACUCCGCAGUGAUGCAAAAUCAGCCGUUUGCUGCGAAGAGAUUUCGCAGCCCUUUUUGGAUGUCUGCGAAAUCUCGUAGACCUCGUUUUCACCUGCGAAAUGGUCCUUAGUGCUUCCCGAUAUUUGUGACCGACACUUUGAGAUAUUUUUCUUCAGAUUUUUAUGUCUAAAUUUCCAUUUUCUCCUUGUAUUCAACCACUCAUGUAAUUCCUUAGCUAGGAAGUAUCCAAGGAAGGGUCAAUUACCUUCCUAUAUAAACUCCCUUGCAUCCACUGUAAUCAUGGGAUGUAAUAUAGAAAUAGAUAGAUAAAUAUAUAGAAUAUACAGAGCCUUGCUCUGUUUUUCCUUCAUUUUCAUUUUCAUUUUCUUGCUAGCCAAACAUUCUCUGAGGAUUUUUCCUUAGAAGAUGAGAGGCUAGGCUCUUUGUCUCUUGGAGUGAGGAAAGCCGGGUAAGUUUCCACAUGCAUAAUUUGGAAGUUUUGUUGUUUUAGUUUUUAAUGAAGAGAAAGUGUGACCCGUUAAUGGUUUUUAUCUUUUUAGUUAACUUAAAACGCCUUUAAAUCACCUGGGCCAACACUUGGUAAGGCAAGUGAUCUCCAACCAUAGAGAUGCACUAGUUUACCCCUUGCGAGCCUUUGGGAGGUGACUUGAAGGUAGGAUUUUCUAGAAUAGCCAACACUUGGUAAGCUUUUGGACUCCAAGGAGACAUCCAUUAGUUAUCUGUUGCGAGCUUUUGACGGGUAAUCCAAGGUUAAAGAUCACCUUGAAUGGUAAGUGCUAGGUGAGAGGUAUGAGCCAUUGCAAGGUGCAUCAGUGAGAGGGAUUUAGUGUUUGAGCCCAUUAAUGGGAAGCAUCUGUACAACACCGGUUGGAGAAGGAACUAUAUGUUAGUUCUCUAAUGCGAGAAAAAGAAACAAGUGACCAGAACUCCCUUUUUGUAUGAGGAAUCUGAGCCUAGUGAUCUAAACUCCAAGAAACAUUUUUCUUUGUAAGUAAAAUCAGUUACUAUUUUUGGUUAGCUUAAAACCAAUCCUUUUUCAUUCAAACAUCUUUAUGUUUUCUUUUAAAGCUAACCUUGAAAUGAAAAGGCACCAAUUCAACUUUGAAUUAACAUCAUUUGUGAAGUGAAAACCCAUCCCAGUGAACGAUCCUAGAGCCACUAUGCUAUAGUAGCUUUGUCUUUGCUACCCUAGUAUAUGGUGUAAUAGGUUAUAAAUUUUGUUGAUUAAUCCCUCAAUCAAGGAGCACCAGCUGGACACGAAUCAGCUGAGACACCAAUUGGGCACGAAUCAACGACUGCCCAUCACAAGUCAACUCUCAUCAUAUAAGAUCAAUCUCUAUACUCACGGCAAAAUAAGUGACAGUCUCAUCAAGCAAUCGACCAAUCCACUCAUCGUAAGCCACUCGAAGAUCAUAAGAUAUCCCUCGCCAUGCAAGAACAACCAUGGGCUCAAACUCCUCAUACUCUACCUGGUCGAAUCAGAGAGGGGAUGUGUAAAGCUAGAAAAAAAAUCGAGGAUGGAAAGGUCAUAUAAUGGUCUCAAGGGUGAUGCUAUGCAAAGCUCAUAAUGGAUGGAUGUAGGUCAAAACAAAAGCAAGGUGUGGGAAGUGAGCAAGGUACUGCUAUGAUCAUAAGAAGAUGUGUCACAGUCUCGAACUCCCUAGGUCAAAUCUCUGAUCCUAGGCUAAUAGGCUCAAUAUCCCCCAUGACAGGUCAAGCCUCGAGACCACAAUGUGCAAGUGAAGAGAUGCCUCAAGUAAAAAAAUACAACACAUCAUAUCACAAAACACAAAGAUAUGUCCAUAAAAGAAAAUGCAUCCAAUGGGAUAAUCCGAUGAGUACAUCAUGCAAAAGAAAGAUAAUAAAGACAAUACUCAAAAAUCGAGUUAUAGUCUCUAAAAGUCAAAAGCAAAACAAGACUAAACAAAUAAAAACAAAAGCAGUGACUGGUCCUGUCAUCACAUCUCUGGCCAUAGAAGGAACAAAAUCUGAGCACCACUGUACCAAGGCAAACCAAUCAUGAGUCAAUCGCCCAAAUCAAUAAGAUCAGGGACUACUGGUGAAGGAGCAUCUGUGUGCAUGGCCUGAGCUGAGGUAGGAAUAGGAAACAUAUCAGACUGAGGAUGCCCAAACGUCUCAGAAUCAACAAUGUCAUGUAUGGCAUGUCGUAGAGCACUGCAACGAUCAGUGUGAUGUCCUACUGACUGAUGGUACGUACAAUAUAAAUCAAGCAAAAACUAUGAAGGCACAGAAUCUGGAAGUGCCCUAGGAGCCAGAGGAGCCAAAAAUCCCAUGGCCUGGAACGUCUCAAAAACUCUGCUUAGGGGUGUGCUCAAAUAUGAAAAGUGUCUCCGACAUAGUCGACGAGGGUGAAGUCGCUCCUGAGGAAAUGAUUACUACUCAAAAAGUAUUAUUUCAUAGCUUGUAAUUAACUCUUUUAAACACUUUUGAGUAGUAGUUAUUGCCUUUUAACCCAAUUAACAUAUUAAGGACCUUUGCAAGCACUUCUAAUCAAUUUGUGUUAAGUUUUGGUGUUUUGAUAGCUUUUUUAUCACCAAAGCAAUAUGAGAUUGAGGAGAGUUAUUUGGAAUCCAUGGCAAAGCAAUGGAAAGCUCAGAAACAUGAAGAACCAAAGCUUUUAAGUCCUUUGCCAUAAGCAAAUCCGGAAUGCAAGGAGGGGAAGUAAAGAGAAAUAUGCCAUGAAGCAUUUUUGAUGACAGUCAUGUCAGCCACUUUUGGAGCACUUCCUGAAGUCCAAUUUAUGCAUGCUAUAUGUCGUUUCAAAGAUUAGGAAGUCAGCAAUCCAAUUCUUCAAACGGUGUGCAAUUCGGAGCUGAAAUGAAGGAGUUACAGCUGUUGGAAGCCGAACACCGCAAGUUGAAAGCCAACUUCGCAGCGCUGCGAAAUCAGCCUUUUGCUGCGAAGUGAUUUCGCAGCCCUUUUGUGCGUCUGCGAAAUCUCGCAGACCUCGUUUUCACCUACGAAAUGGUCCUUAGUGCUUCCCGAUAUUUGCGACCGACACAUUGAGAUAUUUUUCUUCAGAUUUUUGUUGUCUAAAUCCCCAAACUCUCCUUGUAAGCCACCAAUUAUAGGAUUCCUUAGCUAUUAAGUUAGGAAAAAUGGUAAAUAUCCAUGUAAUAAUUAUUAUUGUAAUUUUCAUAUAAAUAGCUCUCGGGAGCCUGCUCUCAAAAAGGAGGACGACGGACCUUUUGUAAAAGUUUGAAAGAAAGUAAAAUACAGAACCUUUGCUCUGCCUUACCUUCUCACUUUGAUUGUAUUUUUCAUUUACUAGUUAUGCACUCUCUGAUGAAGUUUCCCCAGAGAAUGAGUAACUAAACCUUUAGUUCCUUGGAGCUAAGGUUGCCGAGAAAGGUUCCAAGUGCAAGAAUUAGUAGCUUUGUGGUUUCAACCAUGAAUGAAGAGAAAGUGUGAUCCUUUAGUGAUUUCUAUAUUUUUAGUUAACUUAAAACGCCUUGGAGUCACCUGGGCCAACACUUGGUAAGGCAAGUGAUCUCUGUCCAUGGAGAUGCACUAGUUUACCCCUUGCGAGCCUUUGGGAGGUGACUUGAAGAUAGGAUUUUCUAGAAUUGCCAACACUUGGUAAGCUUUUGGACUCCAAGGAGACAUCUAUUAGUUAUCUCUUGCGAGCUUGAGAAGGGAAGUCUAAGGUUAAAGAUCACCUUGAAUGGUAAAUGCUAAGUGAGAGGCACGAACCAUUGCAAGUUGCAUCAGUGAGAGGGGAUUAGAGCUGAAAUCCAAUUAAGGGAUGCAUCUGUACAACACCGGUUAGAGAAUUGACUAUAUGUUAAUUCUCUAAUGUGAGGAAAUGAACCAAUUGACCGGAGCUAUGUUUUUGCAUGAGGAACCUCCCCUGUGAACCUAAAUCUCCAAGGAAUGUUUUUCUUCAUAAUUAAUUUCCAUUACUUGCUGUGCCGUUAGUUUAAAUCUAAACCUUUUUCAACCAAAGUUUGUGUUUUAUUUCUUAAGCUAACCUUGAAAUGAAACAGCACCAAUUCACUUUGAAUUGGUAUCAUUUAUAAUUUAAAAACCCUUCCCAGUGAACGAUCCUAGAGCCACUAUGCUAUAGUAGCUUUUUCUUUGCUACCCUAGUAUAUGGUGUAAUAGGUUAUAAAUUUUGUUGAUUACUCCCUCAAUCAAGGAGCACCAGCUGGACACGAAUCAGCUGAGACACCAAUUGGGCACGAAUCAGGAAAUGUAAUAACUGGAGGGUCCCGAAGCCGGAAUGAAGGUCGUGGAUGUGAGGCACCCAAAGUAACAGAUGCCAAUGAAGCCAAACGUGGCAAUGAAGGCAUUGCUACUCCUGGAGCUCCUCUCGAUGACGAUGGAUGCUCUGACAAAAUAAGCUCCAUCCUCUCAACCCUCUGCGUCAAAUCCACCAUCAUCUCAUAAAGAGUAAUAAGAGUAAUGGAUGCGAUCUCGUCCGACAUGGUGAACCUCAACUGAAGAAGUCUAAUCUCAAUGUGCUCUGAAAAUAUCAUAACCAUCAUGUCAUCAAUCUCUGCUCGGGGACCAGUCACAACACUAAAACUGUCCAAGACUCUAAAACAAACACAUACAAGAGACACAACAAAGCAACACACGAUGCUACUCAACAUAACAACAUAUAAAAUGCAUGGUAUGAAACAAUGAUAAUAAUAAAAAGAAGAUGGAAACACAUACCCAAGAAAGCAACAAUAUCACUUAGUGAAAUGAGAGUACAUCAUGCGAAAAAUAAGACAAAAAGGUCUACUCUCGAAACAUAGGGUAUGAACUCAAAUCACUAACUAUAAAACAAGACUCAAAUAUAAAAUAAAAGAGAACAAAAACCCAAACGACCAACUAACAAUGUAGUCCCAAAAUACACCAACAAGGUCUGCCAUAUCAAAGUGUCUGGUGAAUAUCAAUGCCCUAGGUGUCUCAAACAUGAUGGUAUAAGCCUGAGGGAGGAGGAACUGCAUGUGUGGAAUAGGCUGGAAAGGAAUCAGCAGUCAUAUCUGAACCGAGAUCAGUAUCUAUGGUCGAUACAGGAAAGCUAACAGCACCACUGUCAAUAAGAUCCUGUAUAGUAUGACGUAGAGAAGCACAAUAAUCAGUACGGUGGCCCGCCAUCUGGUGAAAUGCACAGAACUCGUGAGCACGAAAACGCGGAGGUAAGGUACUCGGGGGUGGCCUAGGGGCCAAUGGUACUAAAAAACUAGUAGAUCUGAGUUGCUCAAAAGCUCUAUCCAAAGGCAUCCCCAAGUCAGAAUAAGUCCUCUGACGUCACCGAUAGGGACGAGACUGCUCAUGUCGUGGGAUACUAGUCUGUGGACGCUGAAACUGAAAUGAAGGUAGCACCGUGACAAUAUGAGGAUGCACAGAAGGGUACUACUGAACUGAAUGAGGAUAACGAUUCUGUAAAGACAGGAAAUCGCUCCUAGGUAUCCGCAAUAAUCUCGCAUAGGGAUGAUAACCAGGUCGUUGAUUCUGAAAAUCCGCACAACAUACGUCUCCAUAGCUCUCAGAUGAUCCACUAACUCUUUUCCCCUCAGUAUCUGGGGAAUGAGCAAUAUCUUACCAUAAUCCUCUAGAUAUGCCAUCAUCUACAUCGAACAAAGCCUGAACCAAUGAUCUGAAAUCCUGGAAUGGGACUCCUGUCAGAUGUCGAGCAAACCUAGGAUGCAAACUCCUAAAAAACAUGCUCAUAUGAUCUCUCUUGGUAGGUCGCUCAAUCAUCUCCGCGGCCUUCUCCCUCCAGCGGGAGAUAAAAGAAGAAACAGACUCAUCUGAUCCAUGUCUAAGAAACUCAAGCUCUCUACGUGUAACGCUCGUGUCACUACUGAAGGAAUACUGUCUCAAAAACUCCUGCGCUAAGUCCUCCCAAGUUCUCCGACAAGAUGUCUCUAAUGAAGCGUACCAUCUCUGUGUCAUGCCACUCAAUGACAAUGGGAACAAAGUGAGCAACUGUGCCUCAUCUAGACCAAGAGCCCUCAUAACUGCGCUAUAAAGUCUGAGAUGAAUACGAGGACAUCCAACACCCGUAUAUCUCUCUAUAUUAGGCAUCCUGAAACCGACUGGCAAAGUGGCUACUGGCACAUCGUCAGUGUCAUCCCACGAAAUCGUCUCAUCAGGAUCUCUCAUAUGUCUAAUCCUCCGCUCGAGUUUAUCCAUACGAGAACGAGGAUCCUCAAUAAUGGUAACUGGUGUGACAAUGGGUGGAAUGACAGCAGCCUGAUCAUGUGAAAUAGUAUGCAAAGUCUGUGUAGCUGGCAUCUAAACAGGUAGAAUAGGUGGUGGCACUGAAUCAGAUGGCGUGUCCUCGAGUACUACAUGCCUACUCUGCCGAGUAUCCAUCCUCUAACUCAAACUGGUCAAUGCCUCCUGAAUCGAAACCAUAGAAGCGAUAAGCUAACCAAUCGAAACUGACUAUGAAUCCGUUUAUAGCAGCUCAGAGAUACGAAUCAACCUCUCUCCCACUCAACCCAGGGCACUGAACCAAGACUGGGACUACAAACAGACCCCUACAAAAGAACCUGAGCAAAACGACUCAAACACGACUCAUGCAACGACACGGGAUGCAACGAACAAUGACCAAUGCAUGAUAUAAUACAAACCAAUACAUGACAGGGUGUGAUACACAAUCAUAUGGUGACAAUCAAAAUUUGGAUAUACGAUAGAAAUUCUAGAGUCACAUGAGUGUCUAGUGUGAGAUAACUACAAAUAUGACUAAAGAAUUUCUAUAGAUGACCCAGAAAAUGAUCGAGUUGUGAAGAAAACGAAUGAGGUGUGAAGAACAACACUAUCACGAGAUCGAUACUCAAUCUAGACCAAAACAUCCUUGAUUCGACCUUCAACUCGAGCUCCAUAAGAGAAAAGAUGAUAAGGUGAUCAAGGCGAAUCUCUCGAAAAAUGUGUGAAUAUGAAAAUGUGUCUUUCACCUUUCUGUAAUGAAAAUAUGAGCAUCGAGUCGAAAAUCGAACCAUGGAUCAAACAAACGAUGAGGUACUGAGCCCGUGAUAAGCGUACAAAGUAAAAAGAUGAUCAUGAACAUAUCCCAAAGUAUCGAGUGAGUGACAGCAAAGUGAAGGGGUGUCCCGAGCCAAGAAAUGAGAACGAAAUCCCUAGGGAGAAAACAUGCCAAACUCAUCGAGUAAAAAACAUAAUCUAGAGCGACAAGACGAAAGGUGAUUCAACCGUACUCAAACUCAUACCGAUCUCCAAGCACUCUCAAUUGGAGACUAAAAGGAGGGAAUGUCAAAUCCGAAGUGUAACCAUAGAGGCUCUGAAAGCCCUCAGAUGCACCCACGUGUAGGGAGGGAGUCCUAAUCGAAGGAUCUACGGAUCAACCUACAAGGUCAAGGUGGCUCUAAAUGGAUAUCGGUGGACUUUAAAGAUCCCUAGCAGAAGCGAUCAUACCCUCCGGUGGUACGCAACCCUCUGCACGCCUCUGGAGAGACGGGACGCUUCCAUGCAAGGUGGUCAUCACAUCCACACAUGCACUACCUCGACAACCUAGGGGGUUUCCUAUGGUGAAACCUCUCAAACUCUCAACACUCAAUAGAUAACUAGAGUGCACAGUGAAUGGUGUGGGUGCAUCCGAAAACCCUAUGAAUCUAGAGCAGAAGAAGAAACACACUGAUCGCACAACUAUCCAUGAAACCUAGCUUGGGGCUAUACAGGUCUUCAAUGAUCGGACUCCAAUCGCCAUCAAAGUGUCGUCCUCCUCCAGAAUGCUCCCGUACAUCGAUAUAGCCCGUCGCUAGACCCUACUCCUAAUCUCUGGCUCGGUCAGAGAGCAAGCACAUAGAAGGUCUCACACUUGCAAUAGUGAGAACCGGGAUGAAAAGAAUGACUGAAACCAAGAGAGUUGGAGAUAAGGGGAUAGAGUGCAGCCCACAUAGAUAAACAACAUGCAAUCAUGCAGAAGAAGGGUAGUCAUGCAUCAUACAAUCAGACAAAAUACAGGAUAUAUCACUCAUGUCCACACACAAACUAUGAUAGUCAAAAUGAAUAGUGAUACAGACAUCAUGCUCAAAGACAACCGAGAGAAUAUACAAGCAAGUGAAUCAAUGUCUCAAGUCAAUCGAUAUAUAACAAUGAAUCUAUACAUGCAAGGAGACCAAAACAAUCAUGGCAAAUAUCGGAAUCACUAUGCUAAGCGGAACAAGAUAGGCAAUCAAUGCAAUCAACAUGUCAACAUCUCCAACGAAUAUGGCAAUGAAUCACAAAGAAAAUAGUUAUCUCGGGAUCCUCAAUCAAGAAGAAUCAAUCAUCAUAAUCAGAAUGUCAAAUAUCUCAAACAAAUAUAUCAAUGAAGCAUGAAGAAACUGGCUAUAUCAGAAUCCCUAAUCAAAAUAAUCAACCGACAUGAUCAACAUGUCAAUGUCCCAAGUGAAAACUCGGGAACUCUCGAUGUGCAAUCAAAAGAUGAGUACCCACUGAUCGACUCACCAAACGCCACAUUUGCUUCACUUUAAGUUCAAGCUUGACCCUCUAAAUGAUCCCCAGUGGAGUUGCCAUUUUGUGAACCCCGCAUUUCGGCUCAAUGCGUUUCCCACUUGAUGGCGAGCUCGAUUUUGAUUCGAAAAAUAUGAUUUUUAUUGAUUAUUUGAAAAUGACUUGGAGUUGCCACUUAUUUUUGUUUUAUUUUUGAAAGGGUAAACAAAAUAAGAAAGAAAAACCCUAAGUGUGACUCCUUAUUUUGGAAAAGGUGGUUUGUGAAAAACUGGAUCGGGUUCGGGGGUCAGGUUACUUAUCGGGAAGGUACGGUAGAGACCGUAGCACCCCUCUAAGUCCCUAAAGUCGGGUCUCUACUAAUCAAAUGAAGCAAUCAUGGCAAUUAAUGAGGGAAUCAAUGAAUACUCAGAGUGAUCAUGCACAUGUGAGAAUCUAAACAUGCGUACAAAAAAAAUGACCCGAGCGGAUGUAGAUGCGUACCUGGGUAGCGAUCCAUAAAGCGCUAUCAAGAAGUGAGGUUAGUGCACAAUUAAGGAAUAGUUUCGAGCAUGCCAUAGAGUAGAAUAAAUAAAUCAUGUAUGAUAACCAAGUCAAUCAAUCAGAUCAAUCAACCGAUCAUAAGAUCAUGUAUGUGGGGCCCCCACCAAAGCCCGAUUAUUUUUGCAUGGACCAAAUCCAUAAAUUCCAUUAUUCAGAAUUACAAAAUUUGAUUCUUUACUUAUUUCAAAACAUUUUUAAAACAGAGGAGGUGUGAAAAUGCUUGCCAGAAAGAAAUAUGACAACAAAAUUUUAUUGGAAAUGGGACUCUUGGGUGAUCUUAAAAAUUCUAAGGAGGAAAGAUAAGAUGCUAUGAAAUGGUUUUAGAAAAGAAGUUAUAAAACGAGGAUCCGGACAUGUCUGACGGGGGAAGUUGAAUUGCCCCCCUCUCCCAAUCAGGCGUCAGGCGCUGGUUGUGAGACAUCCGGAGAGGGUUGAAUGUCGACCGGACAGGAUUCCGGAUGUGGGACAUCCGGAGAAGGUGGAAUGGCGGUUGGACAGGAUUCCGGAUGUGGGACAUCCGGAGAAGGCGGAAUGGCGGCUGGACAGAAAUUCCGGAUGUAGGACAUCCGGAGAAGGUGGAAUGGCGGCCGGGGCAGGAUUCCGGAUAUGAGACAUCCGGAGAAGGGAAUGGCGGUCGGACAGAAAUCUCCCCCGGGUGGAAUGACGGCGGGGUAGGGGUUUUGGAUGUGAGACAUCCAAAAAAUGUGAAAUGGCGGUCGGGCAGGAUUCCGGAUGUGAGACAUCCGGAGAAGGGAAUGGCGGCCGGACAGAAAUCUCCCCUGGGUGGAAUGACGGCGGGGCAGGGGUUCCGGAUGUGAGACAUCGGAAAAGGUGAAAUGGCGGCCGGGCAAGAUUCCGGAUGUGAGACAUCCGGAGAAGGGAAUGGCGGCCGAACAGAAAUCUCCCCCGGUUGGAAUGAGCUAUGCUGCACGUCGCAAGGGGGACCGUCCACGUGCGAGAGAGAGAAAGCUACGUGGCAUUUUUUUAGGGAGGAUCCCACAAGUAGGUGAAGGUUUAGAGAGAAACAGGUUUGGUGGUAUGGUUAAAAGGGUGUACACAUGGGUAUGGUAGAACGUGGUUAUUGUGGGAUCCUCCCUAAAAAGUGCCACGUGGCUCUCUCUCUCUCCCUUGCACACGCAGACGACCCCCUUAUGACGCACAGCAUCGCUCAUUCCACCCGGAUGGAAAUUCUCACUCAGUCCACCCGGAUAUCUCACGGCCGCAAUUAUAUUCGACCGACGUUCCACCUCGUUCGGAUAUCUCACAUCCGAAUCCGUCGAUAUUCUACCUUAUCUGGAUAUCUCACAUCCGAAUCCGGCCGACGGUCCACCUCAUCUGGAUAUCUCACAUCCGGAUCCGGCCGACGUUCCACCUUCUCCGGAUAUUUCACAUCCGGCGCCUACCGCCGGAUGGGAGAGGAGGACGAUUCAACUUCCUCGGACAGACAUGUCCGGAUACUCUGGUGACGCUUACCCGGACAGAUUGGCUCGUCAGACGCUCGCAAUUCGCCGGAUCCAUUUCCGCCCUCAAUCAAAAAGCAAACUCAUAUAAUAUUGACGACCAAGUCUCCUGAACUGUCACUCAUCUUCAAUGCAAGAUAAGCUCGACAGGAUAUUCCCAAAUCUUAUCAGAGUGCCUGACACAUUCCCGAUAUUUAAAGAGGCAAGAUAUUCCUAAAUCUUAUCAAAGUGCCUGACACAUCCCCGAUAUUUAAUGUCAUAAUUGAAGUGGCAGCCGCCACCUGGCACCAGAAAUGUCAUGAUUGCUUUGCCACCUUAUGAGCCGCAAUCAUGACGAUGGGACCCGCUAGCACAGCGAGGCCAUACUUUCUGACACUAUAUAAAAUGGCCUUCACACAAGGAGAAAGGUAGGCUAACUAUCCCUGACAAAGCCUGAUAACUUGAUCUCUUGAGCCAUGGCUAACAAAACCAUCGGAGGGUGUGUCCGGACAUCCUGUCCGGGCAUCUUUUUGCAGGAGGAAUGAGGAAUUACUACUAUGCGUUGAUCGAGAUUCCGUUGCUGGUAACUACUAUUGUAGCAGGGGAAUUUUUCCAUCAACAGUUAUGAGCAGCAUGAAGGAUGGGUAUGGGUUGUAUGGAUAUGGAAGCUUGGGUGAGUGGUUUUAAUGGGUAUGUGAAGGAGCGAAGGAUAGCAUGCACCCGUGAGACUCCAUGUAAGUGAGGGAGUGGGAUGGAGAAUGAAUGAGAGGAAAAUGGGUGUGGUGGAGGAUGCUUGAUUCCUGCAAGCUAACGAAUCUCCUCUCCAGAAAAUGCCAAGAAUAGAGGGGAAGAGCGAAGAAAAAAAAGGAAAAGAACAAACAAAAAAAACUAGGAAGAAGAACAGAGCAAUGUAUAAGGGGAGAUAACACCACUAAAACCAAGUUCUGCAUCACGAAGACCAAAAGAGCUUUCAAAAGAGUCUGGUGGGAGGAUCUCGAUGAACUUAACACACAAACACAAAAUACCCAACAUGUAGCUCAUACGGGAGAAAACAAAGAUCAAAUAAACAAAAGUCAAAAACAGGUUUGCCUCCUUAGGUAAUCAAAGCAAACAUCUCAAUAUCAGCAAGGAACCUAAGGCGAUCCUCAAAAAUAAGAUAAGAUAAAGUAAGAGAUAAUCAAACCUGACUGGUUCUUCUUCUACCUCUCUCCACCCAAAAAAAAACGCUUUCCUCCUUCCCCCUUUUUCUCUUCCUCCCCCCUAUUCACCGGUUAGCAAGCAUGGCUUGCCCAACCACUCUCUCUACAAUGCUGUCACCUCCAACGAUCUCUGCAGCAGCCACCUUUCCUGCACCACACCUUCUGCAACCAUCUUUCCUUCUCUCUCAUCUGCGCCCCUUGACGGCCUGCGGGACCUCUUUCCAGGAAGUUCCUCCACGUGUCAAAGUCCUACUACAGCUUCAAAAAGCGAGGUUGAUUCCUUAUGGCCACUAAGGAUGUGACACAUGGCCCGUUGGGAUAGUGACACUUGGAAAAAUUGAGCUGCUGAAAAACGAGCCCCAAAUGGGGGUCUACAAUGAUGUUUAUUAUUUCUCAUUUUAUUUUGGAAAUAAUGUAAACACUCACAUGCGUGUGUGUGUGUGUGUGUGUGUGUGUGUGUGUGUGUAUAAUAUUAAUCAAGAAGACAAUAUUUCUAGUAAUGGGCAUAAUUAAAGUCUUCAAGAUAUUCAAUCCAUUCCAAAAUUACCUAAUUGCUUCCCACACUAAUCCUAAAUAUUUUUAAAUAAAGAUUUAAAUAUUGAAAACUAUUAAAAUAAAUAUUUUCUUAUUAAAGCGAUUUUUUAAAAGUAAUAAGAUAAAAAUCAUGAAAUCUUCAAACCUCUAAUUCCAAUAAAUAUUUUGAUUCUAAUUUUAUUUCUUAUGUAUUAAUUUUUGUAGGGAAGGUGUUAAUGACAUAGUUUGGUAUAAAAAAAAAAAUCCUAUCAAUAUUCGUCUUAAUGUCAAACUCAAGUUGUUUAAAAAUCAUACAAAACCUAUUAGGAGUCUUGUACACCAUUGUAUACUUGACACAUUUCCCCUUAUACAAUUAAUGUAAUACUUUUGUAUAGUGACACAAAUUUCAUAUCCUUCCUAAAUUAUGUGUCCAUGUAGGUGUGUUAACUAUGUUUUCAAUGGUUUUGUUGAAAAAAUGGUGGAUGACUUAGGGUAAAAAAAUUUUCCCGAAUAUCAUUAUUGGGGAAAAUAUUGGAAUUUUCAUGUGAAAGUUAAAUAAAGUGUAUGACAUAGGUAUACGACCCUUGGGUGACAAGAAAAAUAAAGGAGUUGUUAAGAAUCAAUUGAAAUAUUUUACAAAGGAUGGUUUUGUACACUCUUAUACACUUAGUAUAUUUCCCUUGUACAGUUAGUAUAAUACCCUUGUACAAUGGCACAAAUUUCAUAUCCCUUGUAAGUUAUGUGUCCAUAUAGUAUGUUUAAUCAUAUUUCCAAUGGUUUAAUUGAGAAAAUGGUGGAUGAUUUAUGAUCAAAAUUUUUUCCCCAAAUAUCAUUACUAGGGAAAAUUUUGGACAUGUGUGUUUAAUUAUAUUUCCAAUGGUUUAGUUGAUAAAAUGGUGGAUGACUUAAGAUCAAAUUUUUUUCCCCAAAUAUCAUUACUGAGGAAAGUAUUGAAAUUUCCAUGUGUGUUUAAUCAUAUUUCCAAUGGUUUAGUUGAGAAAAUGAUGGAUGACUUAGGAUCAAUUUUUUUUUCCCCAAGUAUCAUUAUUGGGAAAGUUAUUGGAAUUUCCAUAUGAGAAUUAAAUAAAGUGCAUAACAUAUGUGUACAAUUCAUGGAUGAUAAGAAAAAUAAAAGAAUGGUUUAGAAUCGAUUGAAAUCUUUCAUAAAGAGUAGUCUUGUACACCCUUGUACACUUAAUAUAUUUUCCUUAUACAAUUAGUGUAAUACCAUUGUACAAUGACAAUAAAUGAAAUUUAAUUCUUUUUAUUAAUUUCAUAUAGAAAAAAUAGUACUAAACAAGGUUUUCAUUUUUUUUAAUUAAAUGUAUCUUCAAAAAGAGACAAUAUAAAAAUAAAAAUCAUUUUUAAAAAUAAAAAAUAAAAAAUAAAAACUAGAAAAAUAUUUUUAAAACAAACUCAAACAUAAUCUAUAUAAUUUUUAACUACUUGUUUUCAUCUAAAAUGAGUAAAUAUACCUUUCAACCCUUUUAUAUAAGAAAAAUUCAAUGUCUACUAGGUAUAGAUAUACACUUCUAAAAUUAGGUCAUACAAAAACAUUUUAAUUGGGUAUCUAAAAUAAAAACUAUCCAUCCAUCAUUUUUCUUUCCUUUUCUUUUUCUUAUUUUAAUAAAUUUUCAAUUAAUUUAAAUCAUUAAAAAAAUCCUUAGUAAACAAAUUUGCAACAUUUCAUAUAACUUAUUAUUAAAAGUCAUGUUCAAAAAAUUAUUAAAAUAAGGAAGAAAGAAGAUUAAAAAAAAAAAAUAAACUUUUUAUUUUAUAAUAGUAAAAAAAAACUUUAAAAUACUUUUUAGUAUAAAAGAAAAGAAAAUAGUGAAUAUAUUUAUUUUAAAUAGUGUUUUAAUCAUUAAAUUAUUUACUUCUAAAAUGUAAAAUAUAAUUUUUAUUUAUUUAAAUUAAUAUUUUUUUAAAAAGUAUUUUCCAAAAUAGUAUUUGAAUCAUUAGUAUAAUUUUUGUUUAUUUAUAAUUUAAAAAUAGAAAAUAAUAUUGAUUUUUCAAUAAUUUGUGUAAGAGUUUAAAAAAAUAAUGAAAAAUUUAAAAAUGGUUAAAUAAAAGAGAAUUUGCUAGUAAUGACAUGUGAAGAGUGGUAGAAUAAAGACAAAAAUGAGUUAAAGGGUAGUUUUGUCAAUUACUAUCUCAUAUCCUUGUAAUCAAUUAUGGAUAGUUGGAGUACCUUACCUUAAUUAUCAAAUCCAAGUGGGUUGAAAACACAAUUCUCUCAUUCUUGUUUUCUAUCUGUUAUCAUAUACAAUCAUGAAAUGAUUUGGAUGAUUUGUUUAUCAUCUGGGGUACUAAUCUUCUAUUAUAGUUUGCUUCCAUUCGAUGAAGACUCUUCUGUAACUAGCAUUAAUGUGUCAUGAUUAGAUUUAUUCUUUGAGUGGUGGCUGAGAGUGGGAUCAAAACAUUUCCUCACAUACUUUGGAAGCUCUUGAAGAACAAACACACCUUAAAGCUCUUCUAAACACAAGCUUCAGCAGCAUCAAUGGCUCCUUCGCCUGGAUGUAUGCUGUUAGGUUUAACAUCUAGCUUUUGAUGCUGUGAGUUAAUUUUUAUGAAUGCUCUACAUGUCUUACAAUCCACAGUUUGAUUUCUCAUCGCAAUGAGUUAGUUUUGAUUAUUGGAUUUUAUUACUAUCUUGUCAAGUCGGCCUCUCAGUAUUUUGAAGAAUCUGAAAUAAAUAACCCUUAUAUAUAUAUGUGUGUGUGUGUGUGUGUGUGUGUGUGUGUCUUUUUGAAUUCUUCACGUUCACUGUGGACUCCUUCCAGUAUAUAUAAAAUGUGAGUGUUUUAUUCUUUUUUUUUUUUUUUUUCAAUUAGCUUGCUCUUAUGUUGAAAUUUCAAAAUCACCAUUCAAAUUUGAAAUGGUCCUUCAACAGCCAGUUGUUUUCAAAUGGUCAUAACUUUUUUGUUUUUCGACUUUGAUUUAUGCACCAUUUGAAGCAUGGAACUCUUGACUUCUUGAGCUUCAAAAUCAUGUGUCUUGCCCUAAACAGAUUACGAGAAGAUCAAAGGUUUCUAGAGUCUCACCCGAUCUUUGUAAAUUCAAUCUUGUAUAGAGUAUUAGGUCCAAUCUCAUUAUUCUUCUUCCAAAUGUGGAUUCCCUAUCAUGAGUUUUUCAAGACCAUGUUGGUGAUGUACCAAUCUUUGAUUGGGUGGCAUUGCAUUAGAAUCCUUUAAAAAUCUACCAUUUUUUCCUUUCAACAUCCUUUUCAUUGAGGACUUUAAUAUUGUGUCAACAAGUCCUCCAAGGUACUUGAUGCGACUCAUGGUAGCUUAGCUUUAAAGGCGUAUCAACAAAAUUUAUACCUUGAAUACUAUUACUAAAGUAGCCAAGCUACUAUAGCAUAGUGGUUCUAGGAUCGUUCACUGGGAAGGGUUUUCGCAAACACAAGUGAUAUUCAAAUUAGGAAAAUAGGUGAUUUUCUUAUGGAUGUUAGCUUUAAAAGAAGAUGUAAAUGUUUUAGAAAGAUUUAAACUAAUCUAAGCUAACAUUAAAGACUAAAAUGAAAGGGUGUAAAAACAAGUUUCUCAAAAAUAGGAUAGCUAUGCUCUGGCUCUUAUGCAAAUUGGAAAUCUCAGGAUAGGCUCCUCGCGUUGGGGUUGCAACUAUGGUGAUGCUUGCUUCCCGAACCGGUAUGGAUUUAGCAAAUCAAGUUUUAAUCCUUUAAAAUGGCAAAACAGAUGGUAGUGAAUUUCAUCAAUGGUUAUUCACCUUAGACUUCCUUUGAAUGGCUCGUAAGAGAUAACUAAUGGUCUAAAGCCAAAAGCUUACCAAAUAUUGGCAACUCAAAGUCAUUCCAUGUGAUAAACUCACCUUUCAAUGGCCAUUGAAAUUGGUUCUAACAGAUUAAUGCAAAACUUGGAAUUGAAAACCUCACCUUCCAAUAGCUCAUAGGAGAUAACUAAUGGAUAGAAAUCCAAAAGCUUAUCAAGUAUUGGCCAUUGGAAGUUGUCCAAAGGAAAUAAAAACCAAACUUUGCAUUAAUGAACCUUUAAUGAAAAACGACUACCUUACUUUCCAGGUGCGAGAAAUUUCCAUGGGAUUGCAUCCAAGUCAUCACAUAACAUCCAUACUUUGAGAAACUAAAAGUUUUAGCCAAUCAUCCUCUGAGGAAAAGCCCUCAGAGGCUGUUUGGCUUCCAAGAAAAUAAAAUAGUAAAGAGAAAAGAGAAACGAGAGAGCUCUCUGUAAAACGUAACACGCAUGUUCUAUAUCUUCCAAGAGGUGAUUUCCACCCCUUAUAUAGUCUUUACAAAAGCAAAAGCUUGUGAUUGGUUAGUUACAAGGAUAAGAAAGGAAAUUACAUCAAAAAAUACAUAGGAAAAUAUCUAAAGUGGAGUCGGCAAAAACAGAGGAAAAUUCGCACCACGCAUGGGCUGUGCGAAUUUGGAAGGUGUUGUGCGAAAUUUUCGCACAAGCCUGGAGCAGUUGUCUUCCAAACGCCAUAUCUUCCUCAUUUCAGCUCCAAAUCGUACACGGUUUGAAGAGUUGGAUUCUUGACUUCCUAAGCUUUCAAAUGGUAUAUAGUAUGCAAAAAAUGUACUUCAGGAAGUGCUUCAAAAGUUCGAAAGAAGACUGCAGCUGUUUUCUUCACUCUGUUUUCCUCUUCUCCAUUGCUUGUGCUCGUGUUUCCACUUGAAAUUCAAGCCUGUAAUCAUCCAAAAUCCUUGCUUAACUCGCCCAAAUAGCUCCUCCAUCAAUUGGCAUGCUUGAAUUGGUUCAUAAGCUGAUAAAAACAUGUAAACUUGCCACAAAAUGGUUAAAACCAAUUACUAAGGACCUUAAUGAAUUAAUUGGGUUAAAUGAAUAUGAUUACUACUCAAAGGUGCUUAAAACCAUUAUUAUUAGGUCUACAAAAUAGCACUUUUUGGUAGUAAUCACACCCCCCAACCGACUCAUUGCUAGUCCCUUAGCAAUGGAGGAGAUAAAAACUAAGUAAACUAUAAUAAUAUACAUAAAAGGGAUCAUGCAAAUCACUCCAAAAAAUGAUAUGAGUGGCAUGAUGGACAUCCAUGGAUCAAUAAAGAUGUGAAACUCAACCUAUAAUAAGAGUUGUCAAAGCAUUCACUUGAUCAUAGAGUACAAAGAAUGGAUAUUAUGCAAGUUUAAGCAUCAAAAGAAUUUCCACUCUCAAAAGAUCCAAAUCAAAUUCUUCCACUAAAAGCUAAGUGUUAAUGUGAUUAGCUUCCGAGUAUAGUAUGGAUAACUAUCAUCUCCCCCCAACCUAAGUCUUUCUUUAAGCUUAGCAAAAUUAACCAUCUCUUGAUAGGCUAGGAACGCACCUCUUAUUCACAAUUCUUUUCACUUACUAAACUUAACCAAUUCACCCAUGUAACAAGCAGAGGAUCGGUGACUCCCAACCAAUAAAGGCUUAGGGCACCAAGCUUUAAAGGCUUUCGCCACCCCUUCGGACCAUGCUCAGGUUUCAAGGCAAGUAAAGAAGUUUAUUCUAUAUUUUUUUUUCUUUUUCUUUUUCGUUUUCUUUUUCUAUUUUUUCAAAGACUCAUUGGUCUUUAUGAGGUGUCCCAACACUAUUAAAGAGAGGUUAAAGGUGUCAAAUUAUGAUUUCUCAAGCUUAGAGGGUGAGAUAGUUUCACAUCUUAUAACCGGAAUCUAAUGUAUGUGUGUGCGAAUAGCUUAAGGUGGAAGAGAUAAGUUUGCAUGCAAUGGGAGUUUCAACCAUUCAUCAACUUUUAGAAGAGCAUAAUACAAACUCUAAGACUCAUGUAAUCAAGUUGAAACUCGACUUCUCUCAUUUAAUUUUGAGAGUUAAUCCUUAAUAUCCAUGGAGUUUAAAGCAAAAAGUUUAAAAUUUUAAAAAAAUAGCUAAUUUAACUAAGUAUGAUAAAAAUUUAAACUAAUACUUACUUCCUCAUCUCUCCCCCCAACCGAGAUGAACAUUGUCCUCAAUGUUUGAAUCGAAAAUAAGGAGGAAGGAAGUGGUACCUCAUGUGAUGUGGACUUGGAGUUGAGAAGGUUGAACACCUGUUUCAAAAUUCAAAAAUUGAAUGAGAGGGGAAUUUAUACUAAAUAUUUACAAAAAUGAUGAGUGGGCCCCACUUUGAGCAGCUGAGGACAAGGCUCAAAGGGUCCAUGCCAUGAUGGUAUACUCAUUUAAGUUGCAAUGACAUUUGAAUGUAGCUUGCAGGGGUGUUAAAAUUGGAGAUUUUUGGCUAAAACAGGGGAAAACAAAGGAGGAGUGAACAGUGAGUGCCAAAAUUGGCACAGUCACUGUUCACCUCCUUUGAAGCCCGACUGUGUGUUUUCCAAGUUUUGGGAAAAAAUUCAAAAAUGGUUUUUUAAAAGGUAUGGUUAGGCUCUAAACAAGAUUCCUAAGGUGUUUGGGUAGUUUUUAAAUGAUGAAAAACAAAAUUAAAUGAUGGAAAAUGAAAAUCAAAGUGGACGGCCAUGCAUGGAAUGGUUUUGAAAUUUGAUUUUUAAAAAGUUUUGGAUGUAUGGGAUUUCUAAAAUUGGGUUCCUAAGGCUUAGAAUGGAUGAAGGGAAGGUUUCUAAUGGGAGAAAACUAGAAAAUUGGUGAAGGGUGGAGAAUUAAGAAUGGUGGUGUGCAGCUAUGGAGGUUGUGGAAGAAGGUGAAUAGUAUUUUUGGCUUAGAAUGGUGUUUGUUUUUGGAAGAAAUUGGGUUUGGAUUUGAAAACAAAAGGUUUGGAAAUGCAUUCAUGAAUUUUUAAACUUGGAAAAACAUGGAAUUCAAGAAAAAGGCCUUCCCGAGAGCUUUGUUUUUAGAAAUUAGCUUGAAAAUCAUUUCGCACCAAGAUAAACAAGGUGCGAAAGUUUUCACACUGGUAAUUGAGGUGCAAAGAUAGCAUCCCGGGAGGCUUGGCUUUCCAAAAUGUAUAGAAAUUCCUUUUCGCACCAUGCACUGUCACUGUGCGAAAAAUUCGCACUGAGUGUGUUCAUGGUGCGAAAUUCCACUGAGAGCUUUGCUUAUGCAUUUUGGCUCCCCUGUUUCCUCUGUUUCACCUCCAUUUCGAUUUUUGCAAGCAUCGUACCUGCAUGAACACUUCAAAACUCAUCUUAAAAACAUAUUAAAACUAAAUUAAAGCUAAGAAUUCAAACUAAAAUAUGCAUAAAUUUAAAGAAAGCAUAGAAUUUAAAUGAAGCUGAUAACAUGUACCCCAAAAAGAAGAUGAACUAUUUAGCUCAUCCUCACUCACACACCCACUUCAUGCUGAAUUCCCCCUGGAUCCCAAACAAAAUUGGCAUCCUUCCCAUUUGGUCCAAGGGAAUUCAUUUCUCUUCUCUUCCCUGGAGAAGUGGAUGCUUUAAAGGGUUCAGGUAACCCUUUAUCAUCUUGAACCUUAUGAUUUUCAAUGGAAGGUUGGUCCAUAGAGUUGUCAUAGCAAUCCCCCACCAAAGUGUCGAUCUUCAACACUUUCCUUGAUCUUUUUGCAUUGGUUCCUUGAAGGUUAUGGUGGGGUUGAGAAGGAAGCUUCCUUUUCCCCCUUGCUAUGUCGAGAUUGGUGAGCUUCUCAAUGGAGUCUUGAACUUUUUCUAUCCUUAGUGAUAGAUCAUUAUAAACCCCCUCCAUUCUUACAUUUAUUGAACUCUCCAAAUUAUCAAUCUUUUCAUUAAGAUGAGAGUUGAUCUUUUGUUGCUCACCUACAAAGUCCUCCAUGACUUUGCUUAUCUUCAAAAUGGCUUGCUCCAAUGAAGAUGUACUCAUUGAUGGUUGAGGUUGAGGUUGGCUUGUAAGGUUGGGAUGGUUAUUCCAACUUGAGGUGUAGGAGCUUUGGUAACCGUACAUGUCUCUCACAGUUGGAAUGGUAGGGCACUCCCCUACCGUAUGCUCAUAUGAAUCAUCUCCAUUCAAAGCAUACUUACUACCCCAUUGGCUUUGUUGAACUUGCCUUUUCCCCAAUUCAAUCUGAUCCCUCAUGGAUAGGUAUGCGAAUUUGUCCUUCUCAUGAUCAUAAUGAGAGCUUUGAUCUUCAUGUGGAAUUUCCAUUUCUAAAAAAAAAUGAUAUUCAACUAAGGCUCUUUUCUUCAACUUGUACCAGGGUUCCCUCUUGGUCUCGAAUCCAACAAGGAAUGCACAAAUUGAAAUUAAAACAAAAAUAAAAGAAAAGAGAAUAAAAAAUUUAACUAAAUAAAAACUAAACUAAAAAAAAAUUAUAAGAAAACUCACCAAACUUGUGAUGAAGAUCACAAGUUACCCUUAAUGGUUGCUUCACUGUGCUUGUGGCACCUUCCCCGGCAACGGCGCCAUUUGAUUCGACUCUAACUCCAGUCGGGUCAUUUAAUCAAAAACAUUUAUAAAACCUAUGACCUCAUACUAGCGUAGCAAAGCUACUAUCCCCGGCAACGGCGCCAUUUGAUUCGACUCAUGGUAGCUUAGCUUUAAAGGCGUAUCAACAAAAUUUAUACCUUGAAUACUAUUACUAAAGUAGCCAAGCUACUAUAGCAUAGUGGUUCUAGGAUCGUUCACUGGGAAGGGUUUUCGCAAACACAAGUGAUAUUCAAAUUAGGAAAAUAGAUGAUUUUCUUAUGGAUGUUAGCUUUAAAAGAAGAUGUAAAUGUUUUAGAAAGAUUUAAACUAAUCUAAGCUAACAUUAAAGACUAAAAUGAAAGGGUGUAAAAACAAGUUUCUCAAAGAUAGGAUAGCUAUGCUCUGGCUCUUAUGCAAAUUGGAAAUCUCAGGAUAGGCUCCUCGCGUUGGGGUUGCAACUAUGGUGAUGCUUGCUUCCCGAACCGAUAUAGAUUUAGCAAAUCAAGUUUUAAUCCUUUAAAAUGGCAAAACAGAUGGUAGUGAAUUUCAUCAAUGGUUAUUCACCUUAGACUUCCUUUGAAUGACUCGUAAGAGAUAACUAAUGGUCUAAAGCCAAAAGCUUACCAAAUAUUGGCAAUUCAAAGUCAUUCCAGGUGAUAAACUCACCUUUCAAUGGCCAUUGAAAUUGGUUCUAACAGAUUAAUGCAAAACUUGGAAUUGAAAACCUCACCUUCCAAUAGCUCGUAGGAGAUAACUAAUGGAUAGAAAUCCAAAAGCUUAUCAAGUAUUGGCCAUUGAAAGUUGUCCAAAGGAAAUAAAAACCAAACUUUGCAUUAAUGAACCUUUAAUGAAAAACGACUACCUUACUUUCCAGGUGCGAGAAAUUUCCAUGGGAUUGCAUCCAAGUCAUCACAUAACAUCCAUAUUUUGAGAAACUAAGAGUUUUAGCCAAUCAUCCUCUGAGGAAAAGCCCUCAGAGGCUGUUUGGCUUCCAAGAAAAUAAAAUAGUAAAGAGAAAAGAGAAACGAGAGAGCUCUCUGUAAAACGUAACACGCAUGUUCUAUAUCUUCCAAGAGGUGAUUUCCACCCCUUAUAUAGUCUUUACAAAAGCAAAAGCUUGUGAUUGGUUAGUUACAAGGAUAAGAAAGGAAAUUACAUCAAAAAAUACAUAGGAAAAUAUCUAAAGUGGAGUCGGAAAAAACAGAGGAAAAUUCGCACCACGCAUGGGCUGUGCUAAUUUGGAAGGUGUUGUGCGAAAUUUUCGCACAAGCCUGGAGCAGUUGUCUUCCAAACGCCAUAUCUUCCUUAUUUCAGCUCCAAAUCGUACACGGUUUGAAGCGUUGGAUUCUUGACUUCCUAAGCUUUCAAAUGGUAUAUAGUAUGCAAAAAAUGGGCUUCAGGAAGUGCUUCAAAAGUUCGAAAGAAGACUGCAGCUGUUUUCUUCACUCUGUUUUCCUCUUCUCCAUUGCUUGUGCUCGUGUUUCCACUUGAAAUUCAAGCCUAUAAUCAUCCAAAAUCCUUGCUUAACUCGCCCAAAUAGCUCCUCCAUCAAUUGGCAUGCUUGAAUUGGUUCAUAAGCUGAUAAAAACAUGUAAACUUGCCACAAAAUGGUUAAAACCAAUUACUAAGGACCUUAAUGAAUUAAUUGGGUUAAAUGAAUAUGAUUACUACUCAAAGGUGCUUAAAACCAUUAUUAUUAGGUCUACAAAAUAGCACUUUUUGGUAGUAAUCAGUACUCCAUGUGUGUCUUAUUGGGACGCUAUUGCUAAUUUAGUAAAGUGUUUUCAUCAUCGAUUUAGGCAACUUUGAGUACAAGGAAGAAACGAUCUAUGCUCAUGGAAUUGGGAACCAUGGAAGGAUUGGAUACCCAACUCAAUAUCUAAUUCACUAGAGAUCAACCUUCCAUUGCUCAUUGUAAAGUUGGGCAAUUAGUUAUAUUUAUUUUCAUAUGAUUUUGCAUGCUUAUCUUUGUAAGUUUACUUCAAAUGUCCUACUUUGGAUUUUAUAGGAACACAUUAUCUAUGAUGGAGAAAGCAUGAAAGAUUCAAAAAUAGAAGAUACUCAUUUUGGGAAUUGUUGCAAGCUAUGAAGGAAUGAGAGUGAUGAUUAUGCAUUAUGGUAGAUUUAUGAAUGAUGAUAAAAAUUUCUCAUUAUUUGGUGCUUGUUAAUUUGAUGAAAUAACAUUCUCAUUGAAGGACUGCAUCAGAUCAUUAUAGUGAAGGAUGACUCUUGACAGUAGAGUUGGAAUCUUUUUAUUUAUUAAGUGAAUUUGUUCCCAAUUGUUGACAUGGUUUGAAAGGAUUGGUAAUUGGCCUUGCACAUCCUGCAUUGUUUUAGUCAUUCUUUAGAGAAAUGUAUAUAUACUUUUGCAUUCUUAAAAUUUAUUUAUUUGUUAUUUAAGCAGACCAUUCUUAAACUAGUGGCUUCUUUUUAUACUAGUCAUAUAGGGCUGCACAAUGGAUCUGGGUUCUUGGAAGUUAUAUCAAAGUGAGUGUUCUUUUGUUGGUUAUCUUUUAUUUUGUCUAUUGUCUAUGGGUUGUUUCCUUUUUCAUAGCUUAAUUUUUUUAUUUCUCAUGUUGGAGCAUUUUCUUGUUGAUCUCUUCUUGUGUUUUUUUUUAUAAGUUGCAGAAUCAUUUGUUAUCUAUGUUGGGUGUAUAACUUAAUCCCUUUUAAGAAAAAGAACUCUCUACUUCUUUAUGAAAUUUAUGAUAAUGUCAUCUUUAAAUAUAAUAGUUAAUAUUGAGUUCUUUUGAUUGGGUGCUUCAUAUUGAAGAUUGAAAAGUCAAAACUUGUCAUUUUAACUAGUGAUCUAAUCUAUUCUCAACAAGAGCAAGAUAUUUAUAGUCCUGCUAUAAGUGACCAACAUUCUAAUAUUGUGAAUAAUUCUUGUAUAUUCUCUUACGGUUUCCCAUCUAAGGUUUUGUUUUGCGAAUUUCUUCGAAAUUAUUUUCAUAUUUGAGUUUGUGUUUUCCUUUUUCACCUUGAUAUUUUCAUACUCUCUAAAUUGUUCAUCCAUCCGCAUGGAAUAGAAGUCAUUCUGGAUUUACUAAUGAAGAGAGAUAAUCAUUUGAGAUGAACUUCUUCUCUAAGGGUUUUGUGGAUAACUUUCGAAAGCAACACCCUAGUGUUGUUGGCUAUAUUGAUGAAGAGAGGUAAUCAUUUGAGGUGAACUUCUUCUCUAAGGGUUUUGUGGAUGCCUUUCGAAAGCAACACCCUAAUGUCGUUGGCAAAUCUAAUAAAAGUAUUCUACAAUUUGUGUUCCUCGAUUUUCUCCUUUAAUGCUUUUCUUGUAUUGUUUAAUAAAAUGGAGGGAAUGGGAAUAGAAAACCUUGGGUUGUGAAUUCAUGUGGGUGCAACCGUUAUUUUACAUUAUUAAGUGGCCUCGUUGAUGGGAGGAAAUGGAAAGGUGAACAAGACAUUUGUUAAAGAAAGUCAUGAAAUUAAAGUCGAGAAAAUCCAAGUUCACAAAGGUAGAACUUGAAUAACGUGCUAUUAAGGUUUCAGAGUUUCAUAAAUCUUAUGAGGUUUGUAUUCUAUGAUUCCAAAUCAAUGACACUAUGCUACCACUUAUAUUGUCAUUUUAUGUAAACAUGAUCUUAUGUCUACAUUGAAAUCUUUCUUGGACAAUAAAGUCAUUGGUAUCUCAUUUUAUAUUCUUAAUGGUGCUUUAUCUGCUUUCAAAUAUGGUAGAACUCCAAAGUUAGAACUCUAAAGUUCCAAUUUUAUUUUUAUUGUUUCUAUUCCUCCAUCCUCUCAGCAACCAAAAGAAGUGUCCAUGUAAGUAUUAAUUUGCAUUAUUUAAGAGUUUCUUGUAUGUAUGUGAAAGUUUUCAAGUAGUAGAACUAGUAUUUUGCAUUGAAAAUAUAUCAUCAAGAGGAAGGCUAAUAAUUUAUUAGUUGAAGAGUAUGCUCAAAAUGUCAACAGUGUUUCAGAUGCUUUUGGGUUAAGACAAGUAAGAGAAUGGCAAAGCAAUAUCCAAUUGAAGCUAAAAUUGUUGAAGUCAAUAAUGAAAUUGUCACUGACAAAGAGAAGUUAUCAAUCAAAACUGAGAAGGUCAAGUAAUUUGCAACAUAUAUAUCUUUUUAUUCCAAUGAUUCUUAUGUGUCAUUUAUAUUUGUUUCUACAAUUGUUGAACUUUUUCAAAUAGAGACACAUACUCACUCAAUGAGUUCACCAUAAAAAUGUGUUUUUGUUAUUAACUUGAGUUCAAUUGAUUUAACUAAGAGGAUGUCACUGUCUUGUGGUUAUCACUACUAGGCAACAAACUCUAUUAGGGGAAGUGAAAAACAUCCUCGAGGAUUAGUAUUGAACAAAUUGGAGUUGUUGAAAGAACGUUAUAUCUAUGAAUGAACUUGAACGUGGACUAUUCUUGCCCAUUAGAAGCCUAAAAAACUUUGGAUUCCAUAUAACUCCAAGACCAUGAGACCUCCUCUUCUUACUGGGAAUACAAUGUCGUUUGUGAACAAAUGUUUAAUUUAGGUUUCAAAUAGUUCAUAAUAGCUUUAGAAUGAAAUUGGAUUGAAAGUGGAAAAGAUAAAUUUUCCAUAAUUGAAGUGAAAACUAAUUUGGAGUUAUUUUAGGGAAUGAUGCAGGUUAUGAAGGAAUGAGAGUGACAAUUACAUGUUGUAGUAGAUUAUGAAUGUUGCAAGCUUUUUCCAAAAAAUGUCACCAAUGACUUGUUGAUGCCUUCAUUAUCCCAAUUCCUCACUGUAUUGGCAUUCAAAAUAUUUACUUGUGAAGAGGUGUGUUAGGUAUUUUUUAAUUGCUAUUGCACCUUAUUUAAGCUUUGUGCACUUUAAAUCGGGUAUGAAUGUGCCACUAGUGUUCUCUUUUCUUAAGAAUUCUAUGAGUGUGACUUUAAUUUUAUUUUUCUUUGUUGUUUCAUAUAUAUAUAUAUAUAUAUAUAUAUGUAUGUGUGUGUGUGUGUGUGUGUGUGUGUGUGUGUGUGUGUGUGUGUGUGUGUGUGUGUGGCAGUGAAAAUAGUUUCCAUUUGGAGGUGGAAGUUGCUAUUAUGAAAAUUGGUCUUGAAGGAAAGAAGGAUUUAAAAAAUGUGGUAUAUAUCUACCCACAAAGUCACCUAGAUUGACUAAUGAGGAGUUAAUCAUUAUCCAAGAAAAGCUUAAAAAGAAACAAAAAUUAUAUUCUUCUCCUUGGCUUGUUUUUGAACCAAUUGUAGAAAAUUAAGUUGAGAAUGAAUUUCAUUGUCAUGGAAUUUGGUGAUAAAACUCAAGUAGAUCAAAGAACCUAUUGUUUGUGGCAUUGCUUCUCUAAGGAAGGAUCACACUAAGACCUUGGGUGAAUUCUUUUUUGGAAACCUCACCAUUCUCAACAAUUGUUCUCUAAUUUUAUUUACUAUUGUAUAUUUGUGUUUCAUCUAUAGUGCAUUCAUAAUCUUCCAUGGGAUGCUCUAUAUGUAAUGUAUUUGUUUGUUGGUCUUAAAUUUGACUUUUAUGCGCUUUUCUUGAGCUCUCUAUCUCUCUUACUCACACACACACACAAUGGAAGUUGUAUUUAUGAGAGAAUAAAGAAGGGUUUUUCCAUUUUGAGUUGGUGUAUUUACGGUUUACCAUAAUGAUAUGUAGAAGAUACACUUGUAAAGAGAGCUUUCCUUAAAUCUUGAAUUUUUCAAGUUUUAGCACUCUUCUAUAGGCAAUCUAAAUGAGAAUGAAUAUGUUUUCUUUAGUAAUGAUUAAUUCGUUGCAAUGUUUUUCUUUUUAAGCAUUCGAAUUGGCAAUUUUCAUUUCUAAGUGUUUAUCUAAUUUGGGUUGAUUUCUUUCCUACUCCUAGCCUCAAAUUCUUGCAUUCGUGAUACCUUUACUUUUUGAAGCAAUGUAUAUUCUUUCAUUAGAGAUCCCAUUAGUGGUAACAUCAUCUUCCUUGUUUGUGAUAAUCAUGCUAUAAACAUAUGAUAAGAUUUAUUUAAUUUUGGUCAUUUUAUUUUAUUUUUUGUUUAGAAGGAGUUCUGAUGUAGAACAACUCUAGGAUGGUUGCCUAGGACUUUUAUCUUUUAGGGUUUAAAGAGCGGAAUAAGGUAUAAAGUUUAUGGUAACAAAAUAAAAUAUAGAAAAAGAAGAUAAAGAGAAUAAGAUAUAGAACCUUAGGCCUGUUUGGGAACUGUUUCCCAAAAUUGUUUUCUAUUCUCAAGAAUAAAAAACACCACAGAACAUGCUUGGUAACCUAAGUAAUGUUUUGUUCUUGGUGUUCUCCGUGUUCUUAAAAUCCUAUUUUCAAAUAACAUCUUUGACUUGUUUUUCCUAUUUUUGUACUAUUUAGAUAACUAAGUAAGGGGCUUAUUUUUCCUUUUUCUUCGUGUUCUCAAGUGUCCCCCCUUCAGUUUACAUCGUGAACAUCUCCACCAACAACAAAAAUAGAGAAAAACCUCUAAAAAAAAUAAUAGAAAAAUCUUUGAAAAAUCAUAGAUUCUCUCAAAAAGGAAAACUUUCAAUACCCAUGAGAUGAAGAUGAAGAAUGAACAAAUCCGAAUAAUCAACCAAUCGAGAACAAUUCCUUGGUUCCAAUAGUGUCGUUGUGGUUCGAGGCAUCUGAUUCCUCUUAUCGGCGAUGAGAUUGAAGAUCAAUGCAUUUUGCCUUCUCCUUUCUCUCUCUAUGUGGGUGAUUGGUGUGCCCUUCUCUUCUUUGCAUCUGGGUUUUGUGGGUAUGCCCUUAUCGUGCUUGUGAACGGGGAAUGAGAAGCAAGCAGGCAACCGACGAUGUAUUAUUUUAUAUGUUCAAUAUGAAUAUUAAAUAAAGCCAAAUUUAUUAUCAAAACCAUGACUUUGAAUAAUGUGUUGCACGUUGAGAAUGUCCUCAUCGACAUAUCUCUAUUGAGACAUCUAAUAUACCUUUGAUGUAUUUUCAUUAUUUACAAUUAUUUAAAGAAAUUGAAAAUCAUGCAAAUAACUUUAAAAAAUGGUACAUUUUCUUUAAAUUUUAAUGAAGAGUAAAUAUAAAAAUUAUUUAUAUUUAUAAAAUCAAAUUAACUAAAGAAAACUCUUAGUUUAAAAAAACAACUUCCAAACAUUUUUAUUAAUUUAACUAAACAUGUUUUUUUAUAACAAAAACUGUUUUCCAGAAUUCAGUUUUGAAAAUACAUUUUUUUUUUUUUUUUGUGAAAACACCAAAAAAAUUUCUUAAAAACUAUUUUUCGAAAUAGUUUCAAAAACAACAACCAAACAGACCCUUAGAGUCACAAUAAGGCAUUCUAAGAGUCUUACCUAAAAGAAAAUCAAUAGAAUAUUACCAUUAAAAAUUACAAAGUAUGCAAGAAAUGUAAUAUUAGUAAUCAUCGAUCAAUACUUUGGUUAUAUCAAUUAACCUUAUUUGUAAGCUUCUUUAAAAAAUCCAAAGUUUAUUAGGAUUCUAAUAACCUAUUAUGACUUUAAUUCUAAUUGUUUUAUAACCUAAUUAGUUACUCCUAAUUUGACUUCAAUAAAUGUUAAUCCUAAUUUACUCCAACUAAUACUAAUGCACAUCCUUACUAAUUCCUCCCAACUUGGAAAAAAAACUUAAUCUCAAGUUUUAGUGAUUUCUCUAUGGUCAAUUGAAAUAAUGAGUAAUGUCUUCCAUCAUUUCUCUAUAGUCAAUUGAAAUCAUGAGUAAUGUCUUCUACCCUUUCUCAACGAUCAAUUGAAAUUAUGAGUAAUGUCUUCCACCCUUUUUUUUCUUCGUUAAUUCCUUAUUACCAUAAGAUAGGAUUUCAAAAUCUCUUAAAAAAUUUCAAUUUCAUGCAAAACGAGUACCAAACUUUGAAAGAUUUUUCGAUGUUGUGAAAAAAGUUGAUGGUUCUUAAAAUAAUUGUGUGUCAUCAACAAGCUAGUGGUAAGUUAUAUGUCAUGCACAAGAGGACAUACUUUCAUGCACAAGUAAAUAAAAUAAAAUAAAAAAUCAUUGAGAGCAUUAUAUACUUUUGUUGGAUAUUCCUUAUCCUUAUCUUUAAAUUCAUUCACUUCUCGAGCUGUUAGAGCAAAAUAAUUUUAGUUUCCAUGUUCUCCUUUUCAAAUUGACGCAUACCUUUUUUUGUUGUACCUCAUAUGACUUUUUAACUGGUGGAACUUCUUUCUUUGGAUGAGGGAUCUUCUUAUGUGCAUUGUGUAUGAGAGUAUAUGUACUAUGUUUCGUCUUCUUUUUCUCGUUCCUAGGAAAUAGGAAUGAGAGGAGGAAGUUGUUGGUUCGCUGUGGAGAUGAGGUCGUUUAAGAUCUCCAUUGAGAAGGUUUUAGGAAAGCUGCAAGAGGUUAUUAUGGAGAGGGGAAGAGGAUUCACUAGUGGGACUAAGUUUGGGAAGACAAGUCUAAGUUGCUUCCUUGAAGGUGCAAAGGCCUGUUGUAUGUAGGAGGAAUCACUGGUUUACAAUUAGGUAUGGAAGGAAAAUGAUAGGGUUUAUAAGCUUGAGAGGCGUGUUAAUUGAGCGAGGAGGUUUCUCUUUGUGUCGUCUGUGAUGUGAAGGGAAAAAAGAUUUAAUUUGGUCUUCCCAAAAGGAAAAAGAUUAACAGGGGGAUGGGGCACAUUGGCAAGUAAGCUUUGUUCUUUGGGGAUAAGGAGCUUGUUAGCCCCUGUGAAGCUUUCUAGUUUUGUGGUGAAUAAGGGGUUGACAAAAGAUAACAAAGGGCUCUCUCUCAAGUAAGGUUUGUAUGUGGUGAAGGUUGCAAGUGCUCAAAAGAAUUUGGAUAAUAAAGUAUCGGUACGGUUAGAUAAGAAGGAAGUGUUGGAGAGAAUAGUUCCUUGGAACCUUUGUUUGGUGGGGAAGUUGGAAGGAGUGUCUAACUUGGAACCUUGGGUGCCUUAGUUAAGGAAUUGGGUGGACAAAAGGUGGAACGUUAAGAAGAAUGUUAGAAUUUCUGUCUUCAAAGUAUCUUUUUAUUGUUUUGAGUUUGAGAAUGAAGAGGAUUUGAUUGCUGUUUUGUCAAGGGGUUCAAGAAAGAUUGAAGAUAAACUCUUGGAGUUGGAGAGGUGGAGUCUUGAGGUGGGGCACUUGAGGAAGGGAGGAAUUAUUGUAGAUUAUAAUAAGAUAAGACAAAAAUAUAAAGAAAUGAAAAUUAAGAGUGCAUAAAAUGUAAAAUUGUUUACAUAGCUUGACCUUAAGCCUAGCUUCGCACCACACAAACUAAUCAUAUAUAAUAUUUUAUAUAAAAAAAUAAUCACUUAGUGAUCAUAAAAUAUAAUUAGUAUUCUAUUACAAUAAUAGUAAAAUUAAUUUUAAGAAGCUCCUUAACAAAAUGUUAAAUAGAUAUUUUGUGUUGGCAAUUUUGAUUCACAUUAUUUUUUUUAAAAAAAGUUAAUAUUUAUAGAGUUUAAAUGUGGAUAAAUUACUUUUUGAGUUUGAUUAAGAUUAAAAAACCCAUUGCUCAAGUUCAUAGGAGCCUAUAAAUAAUUGCAUUUGUAAGAAAUUUGCUUUUAGAGUAAAAAAAAAAAAAAAUGAGUCGUUAUAGUUGUCAAAGUCAUGAAAAAAAAGGUGAAAAGAGAUAGUAAAAGUGUGUAUUGUGGUUUGGAUGUUGAAUUUUUUUUCAAUAUUUUCUAACUUAAAUGGAUAGAUUUACUUGGUCAAAGCAUCAUGUAACCUAUCUCAAGAUGCAACUUCUUCUAAGUGGUGGCAGUGAUGAUGGUUUCACAUGUUGCCAAUUAGUAGGUAGAAAAUGUUCCCCCACUCAUACAAACUCUCCACUAUUUCAAUUAAUUAAAUUCACAUUUUAAACUUUAAUUUCUUUCUUUGCUUGACAUAUAUGUGCGCAUUCGAUAUGUUGAAUUAGAGGAUUCGAAGAUUCUUUAUACACUCAAGCCAAAUUUUGCAUUUCACAAAUUUAAGGAGUUCGUGUUCAAAGCAAAGAUGGUUCGUGUAUAUAUAUAAAUAAAUACUUAAAUGGAUAAUAAAUAUAUUUAUUAUUUUCUAUUUUUAAAAAUAAAAAAUAAUAAUAAAAUUCAACACAAAAUGCAAGAAGUGUUAGACAUUAUUUUAAAAGGAUGAUGAUUUUUAGAAAUUAUUUAAUUUUUUUUUUAAAUUACUUCCUCAAAUUUUAAAAUUUUAAAAUAUGAUUUUUAAGAAUAUAAGUCAAAUUCAUACUUUGGGUAAGGAUUUCUAUAUUUUAUAUAGAAGGUAUUGCAAUUUUUUGUUUUUAAAUAUAUAAAGUAAGAAGUAUAUCCAAAAGUGCUAAGUAAUUUAAUUCUUUGAAAAAGAAAUGAGAAAGUUAAUUAAAAGAAGAAUAAAAGGGGGACAAGUGUGGUUGGGGCUACCAAAAAAGGUUUUGUAAAUUGAUGAAAUUAAAGGGGUAUAUUAAAAUAAACGGUAUAAAUAUGUGCACGAUGGUAUACUCCCGCCUUCACUUUCAAGUAAUUUUAGUUUAAAAAAUAUUUUUGAAAAAAAAUUAAGUAUUUGACAAAAAUUAGUAAACACUUUUAAAAAUAUAAAAAAAUCACAUGUAAUAUUGAACAAUCAAUUCAAAUAUUUUUUAGAGAAACAUUUAAUAGAUGAUUUUUUUUUUAAAUAUUAAAAAAAAUAUUUUUAUUAAAAGCACUUUAUGCAAAAAUAUUAUUAUGACAAUGUUUCUAUUUUAAUUUUUUUUUAAUGGAAGUGUUUUCUCUUAAAGAGUUUUUAAUAAAAUUACCUAUCAAAUAUUUAUUUAGAAAAUAUUACAGGUGAUUUUUGAAUAUUACAAGUGAUUUUUUAGAUUUUUAAAAAUAUUUUCUAAAAUUUUUCAAACAUCUAAGUUUUUCUCAAAAUAUUUUUUAGACUAAAAAUAUUUUCUAAAAUCAUUAUCAAAUAUGUUUUUAUAUAUCGGUUGAAUUGAUAGUGAUUUUAGUAAACACUUUUAAUUUUUUUAAUAUUUAAAAUUUUUUAUUAUUCAAAGUGUUAUCAAGAUUAAAAACAGUUUUUAACAUGUGUUUUUUAAAGUCUGUUUGAUAAUGAUUUUAUAAAGUGUUUAUAAAUUUUUUUAGACUUUAAAAAUUAUAUCAUUUAAAUGUUAAAAAUAUUAAAAAAUAAAAUAAAAUCAUUACCAAAUAUAUUCUUAAUCUCUUCAUUAGUAAUUAAUAAUUAUGCUACUCUAAUUUAAAAUUAAAUUCAUAAAAGAACGUAAAAGUAAUAUCAAAAACCAACAUUUAAGAUCAAAUUCACAUAAAGCUAACCAAUACCACGGAGCCAAUUUUAAACCCAAUUCACGAAAGUACUUAAAUAAAAAACGGUGAAGCUUAAGCUAAUAAGUUUUCGAGGAGUUGCAGCCUAGGAGGUAGGUGUCAUUUCCAUGGAGUGGUAAAUGUACACGACAAUGGCCCAUGAGUCAUCCCGUCAAAUUUAAAGUCCCAAUAAAUUGUUGCUUUUUGGGAGGACAGAACCGAUUUCUUGGGUUUCCAGGACAGCUCUUCCAAUCCAUUCAAGUUUAAAGUAAUAUUAUUUAUUUAUAUUUACCGGAAGUUAAUGCCUAUUUUGACACUUGUUUAACAACCGAUUUUAUUUUAUUUAAAAUUUUUUUUUCUUAAAAAUAAAAAAAUGUAUUUUUAUUUAUUUUUUAAAAUUAAUUUUAAAAAAUAAUUAUAUAAAAAAUAAAAAAUAUUAAAAAUAAAAUAUUAAAUAAAAAUUAUUUUAAAAAUAUAUUUAAAAAUAUUAAAAAUAUUUUAGGUUUUCUAACAAAAUUUUAUUUUAUAAAAUGUUAAAAAAUAAUUUUUAAUUUUGUUUUCAAAAUUAUUAUUUUUUUCUCAUUAAAAUAGAUUGAUGUAUACACAUAAUUUUAAAGAAAAAAAACUCAAAUUUAAUUAAAUAAUUAUACAUUUAUCUUCUUGUACUUAUCCAAUAAAAGAAAAAAAAAAGUAUGUAAAGAAGAGAUUGUGAAGAAUACUUACAAAACGAAAGUAAAAAAAGAAAAAAAAUUAUUUAAAUAAUAAUAAUUAAUAUCAAAUAUUGGUUUUUAUCUACCAAUUUGACUUUCAAAAGUUACACGAAGAAAAUAAAGAGGAAGAAAAUUUAUUAUUUUCAGACAAUAAAAAAGAAAUCUUACCCCUUUUAUGCAACUUAAAAAACCAAAGCUCCAUUUUUCUCAACACGUGGUUGUGAAUUUCAAAAAUUUUUGAAGCAUAUUCAUGUAAUUAUAUAGAUAGAUAAAAAGGUUUAUUAAGUUCUCAUUUAAAUAUAUUUAUUGUUUUUUAUUUUUAAAAAUAAAUAAUAAUAAUAAAAUUUAACAUAAAAUGCAAGAACUUUAGACAUUACCUUAAAAGGGUAAUGAUUCUUUAAAAUUUUAAAAAUACUUUACUUUUUAAAAUUUUAAAAAUUGAUUUUAACAACAUAAGUUAAAUCCAUAUUUGUGGUAAAAAAAAAUUUAUGUUUGAAAUGUAUUUGAUUUUCAUUGAUUUGAAAUUUUCUUAAAUUUUUUUUUAUUGAAAUUAACAAAUGAAAUAAAAUAUAAUAAAUAUAAAUAUUAAAAAAAUUUAUAUAUAUUAUUAUUUAUUUGAUAUCAUUGAAUAUAUUUAAAUUAAAAAUAGAUAUUAUUAAAUAAAUUAUAUAUAUAUAUAUUUUAAAAAAUAAUUUUAAAAUUUUUAUUUUUAUUUUUUAUAUAAUUUUUAAAAUUUUUAUUAAUUUUUAUAUUAUUAAUAUUUUAUAUUAAAAUAUUUAAUAUAUGCUUAUAUAUAAAAUUGAAGUAUGAAUAUACCAAUAAAUUUAUAGUCAUUCGUCCCAUCCACUUUAAAGGUCCAAUAAAUUUUUGUUUGUUGGGAAUGACAAAAUCCAUAUCUCGGGUCUCUGUUAAAGCUCUUCAAAUCCAGUCAAGUCAACUUUAAAACAGCUCAUAUGUCCUUUACUCUUCCGCGAACGAUCAUUUAAAGAGCAAUAUAGGUGUUAUAUAGCAAAGAAACCCUUUCAUCUCUUUUUUGGUCAGAAGUUGCAACGUUGUGGUUUGUGAGGUAACCUUCGGAUAAUGCUUCUUCUUCUUCUCCUUCUUCUUUCAUGUGUUUCCUCCAUUUCUAGUAAACCCAGAUAAGUGGUUUCUCAAAGGAAAAAGAAAUUGGCCCUAUCUUCUUCCAGGCAGCCAUGAUGUCGUGAGCCCAAAAAGAAUCACUAUUUGUGGAGCCAUUCUAUUUUCUCCCGGAUUCCUUUAUUUCUGAUUUUCUUGUUGCCAUCUUUUCAACCUCUCUUUUUAAUCCCUAAACAAUGGUGUGGUAAAUGGGACGGUGUGAUGUGCGAAAAUGGACUUACCACCGUCUAAACGAAUUGUGGAGGAAGUGAUGAUUUCGAGGAAUAGUUCACUUCAUCUCUACUAUUAACCUCCUGGUUUACUUGUUCGCCCUUAAGUGUUUUCUAUUUUUUUUUUCUUUUUUGAUUUGUUUAUUAUAGACAAAUAGGUGAUUUAUUUAUCGUAUGUAAUAUUAUAUUUUGUUUCCAUUGGAUGAAUGCCCUAUAAGUUGAGUUGGGCUCUUUUAUGAUUAACUUUAAUGCUUCAUGGUUAGAUUUGUUCUUCAACUGUUGGCUGAGAGUGCGAUCAAAACAUUCCUCAAACCACUUGGAAGCUCUCGAGGACCAAACACACCUAAAAGCUCUUUUGAACACAAACUUCAGUAAUAUCGAUCAAUGGCUCCCUCGUCUGGAGGUAUGCUCUUAGCUUUAACAUCUUUUGAUGCUGUGAUUUUAUUUUUAUGAAUGAUAUACCUUCCUGUGGAGACUAUCUUUGGAUCAUAUAUGUCAGGAAAUCAAUAGUUUGAUUUUUCAUUGCAGUGAGUUAGUUUUGAUUAUUGGACUCUUAACUAUUUUGUCAGGUGGCCAGGCUCUCGGUAUUUUGAAGAGUUUGAAACAAAUAUACCUUAUAGGUUAUAUGAAUCUUUUAGAGAAUAAAAGAAAAUUUUUCCUAUAUGCUAAGAUAGUUAGUGGUGUCUAUUGAAUUUCAAAUUUAGAGCAUUGAACGUGUAUGAUGAGAUUGAGGCUAUUGAAUAAGCAUAUAAAAUAAAUGCUGCAAGGUAUUAGGUAUAAACAAAUGAGAUUGAGUGCAAACAAAGAGGUGCAAAUAAUGAGAUUUAAAGAUGUAUAUAUAGCACUAUCUGAUGAGAGGUGCAAAACUACCAUUUGGUCUUGUAGGUGGAUCUAAUCUUUUUUUGAUAUAUAGUCAUAAUAAUUGACUUCUUCCAUGUUAAUGUUAAUUUUCAACUCCUUGUGAAUUCUUCAAGUUCAUUGUGGAUUCCUUUGAGCGCCCAAUAAAAUGUGAGUGUUGUUUUAUUAUUAUUUUUUUCUAUUAACUUGCUCUUAUGGUUAAAGAGUAUUAGACCAAGUGACAAUAGUUAUUAUGAAAAUAGAAAUUAUCCAAGUUGCUUAUGCUUUAAAAAUUUAGUUAUUGACUCUAAGUAAGUACUUUUAUGAUUUUACAUUCACUUUAAUAUGAAUAAUAUUGUAGUGCUAAAGAAGAUGCAACCAUUGUAGGAUGUUAAUGAGGACAUAUUAGGGGUUGAUUUGUUAUGAGAUGGAAAUAGAAUUUUGUUAUAAAUAUUUACAUUUUGGACUUCAAAUUUUUUUAUUUUAUUUUGAAUUUUAAACAACUACAUUUGUUUAUAUUUGAAAAUGAUAAGUAAUAACAUUUUUCUCUGUUUUUUUUGUAAUAUAGGUAAUUUCUUGUGGAUGAAAAUUAUUAAUGGCAUGAGCAAAGUUGGAAAGAUGGGGGUAUUGAAAAGAGAGGUAUGCAAUUGACUAUAUUUUUAUACAUUCAAUUAUAAUUUCAUUAUGUUAUAAUUGUUUUAAAAUGUAAAGUAUAAAAAUUCAACAAUCCUUAAGACUUAGAAUUGAUGUUGAGCUUCAAUAAUGAAUAUUAACUCACGCGUGUAUCAGUUAUUUUGAGACCAAUGAAAAUAUAUCAAAUCAUUACCUUUUGAGAUCUUAUUUUGACAUUAAAAUUCCUUGUGUUGAUGAUUAUGAGGUGGAUUUAUUAUGUAAGAGGCAUGGUCUAGUUUGAAGACAAUGCAUUUACCUGUAGGAACAUUUCACUCACUUUGUCUAGAGGUGAGAGUGUCAAGGCUUAGAUUUGUUGCAAGGAUUAAUAUUAAGAUAGUGUGAGAUCUCAUUCUUAUGAUCGAUAGGCCCCUAUUCUAGAUGUUGAGGUAAUAGAGUUAAAGAAUGAUGAUGUUCAAAUUACUGAGGAGUUGCAUAAUGAUUUUAGAGGGCAGGAGUAUGACCUCAGCAUUAUAGAGAUAGGGUUGUAUGGUUUUAGUCUUAACAUCAAUGAGUAUGUGGAUUGACCUAUCUUUUAUGAGGAGAAGCUUUGCUUAGAUGAUGAAGAUGUCCAAGAUAAGGUUUGACAGUCGAAGAAGAUUCAUACAAAGUGUGACAUGGGGUAUGAUAAGUAGUACUUACUAGCUUUGAUCCUAUCACCCCUUUAGGUGGUUCCCCUUUUUUUUAUCAUAAUACUUUAUGUUUUUAAAGGCGAAAGCGUAAGGCGAGACUUUUUUGUGUUCAUAAGACGAUGCGUAAGUCUCGAGGUGUUGAGGCGUAAGCUUUUUGAGCCUCGCAUUAUAUAAUUAAUUAAUAUUUUAAAAUAUAUAAAAUAAAAUGGCAUAAAUAAAAACAUGAAAACAAUUCAUUAGAAUCAUAAAAGAAAAAAAAACAUACUAGUUCCUUACUUUCACAAAAAACCAUAACAAAGUCAUAAAAUAGAAAAUAGAUUCAACUAUACUAAUAGUUUCAAACUUCAACAAAAAGUCAUAACUAAGUCAUAAAAUAGAAAAUAAAGUCGACCAUAAUAAUAGUUCUAAACUUUUACAAAAAAUUCAUAACUAAGUCAUGAAAUAACAACUAGAGUAAAUUGUUUCAACUUAAAUCCUCAUCUUCAAGGUCAUCAUCAUCCUCAUCCAAUGUAUCAAUAGUAGGAAAAUGUCCACUAUCAUGUAUCCCCAUUUCAUGUAAAUCUUCAUCUUCAUCAAUUGGUGUCAAAUUCAACUCCUUCUUUUUGCCUUUGCCUCCACUUGUACCUAGCAUAAAGUAUUAAUUAUGUGUAAAUAUUAUAAGUUUUUUAAUUAAAUUUAAUCAAAUUUAUGACUUCAAUUUUUGAGUACUUGGUACUUCAUUAUGUUUCCUUUCGUAGGAAUGUGAAGAAAUCAUGUGAUCCGAUGAUGCUUGAGUCUCUUGGGAGUUGGAUGACACAACUCUGAUAGCAUCAACAUUGAAUAACUCAUUAUCUUGAAGCCAACAAAGAUCAAAGGGGAGGAGGGGAUCUUCUUUCUUCGCAAUCCAUUCAUCAUCCGAAUAAAUCUCCUCUACCAAAAUCUGAUCAACAUUUUGUUUCCUUUGUAGACUUCACUCUCUCAAUCUAGUGUUGUACCUUACAUACACUAGAGAAUUCAACCUUUGAUAUUCAAGUCUAUUUUUUUUGUAUGGAUCUACAAAUAAUAAAAGAAACAAAUUUAUGUGUUAAAAUGAAAUAAAGUUCUCUAACAUUAAAAUAGAUAUAUAUGUAUAAAAAUUUACAAAAAUAGAAGUAUUAUUGAUUAAAAUUUGCUCCAAUUUCUUUCACAUCCCGAAGCACUAUAAGUGAGGCUAAGGACUCGAAUAGCAAACUUUUGAAACUAUGGUGUUGAACACCCAAAUCACAUCCACCAAGUUGUAGGACUUCUUAAUGUUCGAGAAUCAAUUGCAAUACGACUCCCAAAUUCACCAAUUGCUUGGUCAUAUGCGUCCAACUGAAUGUCAGCUUUUAAACGUUCUUGAUAAUCCAAUAUCUUAUUCAUGCAUUCAAAUAAUUCCUUUCUCACCUCAUCAACAUUAGAGAACUUAUCUCUAUACUGCAAUUAAGGAUUAAGAUAAUAACCUGUUGCAUGUAAAGGUCGAUGAAGUUGCGGAGUCCAUCAUCUUGCAUCAAUUUUUCUCCAAAUUGGGCCAUAUUUUCUCUCCACACCCCCACAAUUAAAUGCAAUUUUCUCUUUAGUUGAAUCUAUCAACUCAUAAAUAUAACCCAUGGCUAAUCUUUCCUCUGAAUCAACCUCUCUCAAGACACUAACUAAUGGAAUAGUGGUCUUUAUGCAAAAAGCAACAUGGGGCUAACAAUUUAGAUCAAACAACAUUGUACUUCAAGUUUUCACACCUUCUACAUUUUUAGCCCAUGUGCUUGAUCACUAUUUUUCUGAGGAGAAUAUUGCUAUAAGAGCUUGUUUUUGCUUAUAAAGACUUUAAAGAGUAAGAAAUGCAAUAGCAAACCGUGUAAUUGCUAGAUGAAGAAGUUCAUGAUUUUUUUGUAAAUGUUCUCAUCAAGCUAAGAACCCAAGUAUGCUCAUAUAUGAACUUCACUACUUGCCUAGCUCGAGAAAGUGUAAUAGCAUGAACAUUUAGCUUUCCAAUAUCCUCCAACAUCAAAUCAAUACAAUGAGCAGCAUAAGGAGUCCACCAUAAUCUUCUCCUUUUUUUCCAUAAAGCCUCAUUCCAGCAUUCACAUAAUUAGAGGCAUUAUCAAUGAUGACUUGCUCAACAUUCUCCUCUCCAAUUUCUUCAACCACCUCAUUAAGAUAUUUGAACAUCAAUUCCUCAUUUUUUUUAUUGUAUAAAAAACAUCAAUUGAUUUCAUAAACCAAGUGCUAGUAAGACUAUUCACCAAAAAAUUGAUAAGACACCUACUAUUUUCAUCUAUUUAACCAUUUGACAUAAUUGAACAUCCAUAUUAUUUCCAAGCUUUUUUGUGAUCUUUCAUAAUGAUACUUAGAUCAUUCACCUCUUCUUUAAGAAUUCAUGUCCUCAAUUCGUGCAUAGAUGGAGGCUUAAACUCGAGCCUAAAAUUUGCAACAACAUCCAUCAUAGGAAACCAAUAAGGAUCAGUCACAGUGGUUAAUGGGAGACCUUUUGAAUACAUACACCUACCAAUUUUUCUACACACUUCCUUCCUUUCUUCUUGCUUCCACUUUGAAUUCAAAGUAUUUUGUCUAGGUUGUGAAGUGGUAAAUUUAUCCAUGGGUCUCCUAGGAAUAGGUUCCCUACUCCCACUUCCUAAUGUCGCUAUUGUUUUAGACAAGACACUCUCAUGCAUUGAAGUUGGACCCAUACCGAUUUCUUGGAUCAAUUUAUUUCUUUUCAUUUUUUGAUCCUUAAAAUUAGCCAAUGCCUCUUUGCAUUCCAAUCUAGCUUAUUCACUAACUUUGUUGCAUGGUUUCAUACCAUGAUGAGUUCUGGCUAAGUGAUGCUUGUUCACCCCUCCCAUGCAUAUUUGAUUGCAAAAUUUAUAUCUUAAAUAUUGCUCCCUGAAAACUUCAAUAACAUACUUCCAUACAAAAUAUUUUCUUGAAUUUUUCAAAUCGGUGGAACUCAUUCUAAAAAAAAUACCAAUAAUAAUAUUCAAAUUUCUACAUAACAAUAUAAUUGACUAAAAAAUAAUAACAAGACAUAAUUGAAAGGAAUUUAAAAAUGAAAUAUAAAAUUUAAUUGGUUUAAAUUUAAAAAACCCAAUAUUUUUUUUAGAGGAAUUUAAAAAUUAUACAUAUAAAAUUUAAUUGGAAUUUAAUAAUGAAAUAAAGAAAAUUUGGGUGAAAAUUAAAAUUAAACUAGAAAUAAAAAAAUAAUUUUAAGUAGAAUAUUUAAACCAAUUUACUAGAAUAUGUAUAAAAAAUGGAUGAAUGGAGAAAUAAAUAACGACUUAUUGAGAGCUCCAACUUUGGCUGAAAAGUCGAUUGUUGAGAGAGAGAGAUGAAUGUCUGUGUCGACUGUCGAGAGAGACGAAGAGGGAAUAAACCAUGGAAGAGGGAGAAAACCAUGAGAGAUGAAGUUGAGGGGGAGAAAGAGAUGAAGAGAUGAAAAGAAGGGAAAACAUGGGAGACGAAGAGGGGGAGAUCGCGAGUUCGUGACAUACUUGAAGAUGAACGAGAGGGAUUGCCGUUGGAGAAGAUGCAUUACGGUUGGUCAUCGCCUAAGGUUGAGUACUCCGUCGUCACUUGAGGUAGGGUUUCGUUUGAAGCUUUUCCUAAUUUGUGUUUGCAAAAGUCUUCAAUUGGGACUCGGGUUGCCGUUUCAAGGAUUACUUUGGGUUUUUUUUUUUUUUUUUUUUUUUUUUAAUUUUUGUUCAUGGCCACAUCAACUCCCACAAAGGUUACGCCUUUUUCUUAGAGCGUAAAAGGCGCAAUCAAAGAACGCCUCAGUCACGCCUCAUUGGAAAAGGCGUAUGCCUUUCAAGAGUCGCGUUUUAUUUCUUACGCUUCAAGGCGUUUUGGCCCCGCCUCGCCCUGAGGUGCGCUUCAAGGCGUGCCUGAGAAACGCCUUUAAAAACUUUGGUAUUGCUAUCAGACGAGUUUGAGGUUAGAGACUUGAGAUUUUUCUUUUGAUCUCUAAAAUCUAUGUAGCCAUCAAUACGCACAUGCAACUCUUAUGAUGCUUAUUUAGUAUUGUAGCACCUUUGCACUAUAACCUUCAAAGUUUGUCUUUUUUAGGUUGGUUCGAAUUUUUUAUUAACAAAUAGUCAUAUUACCAAUUGAAAGGGGUGAGAGGCAGGUCCACUUCACGAUUGAUGGUUUUCACCAUGUUCUUACUACUAAGCAAAGUUUUUAAAGGCGUUUCUCGAGCGCGGGGCCAAAACGCCUUGAGGUGUAAGAAAUAAAACGCGAUUUCUGAAAGGCGUAUGCCUUUUCCAAUGAGGUGUGACUGAGGUGCGCUUUGAUUGCACCUUUUAUGCUCCAAGAAGGUGUACGCUUUGUGGGAGUUGAUGUGGCCAUGAACAUAAAUUAAAAAAAAAACCCUAAGUAAUCCCUUAAACAGCAACUCGAGUCGCGAUUGAAAACUUUGGCAAACACAAAUUGGGAGAAAAGCUCAAAAUGAAACCCUACCUUAAGUGGCGACAAAGUGCUCAACCUCAGGUGGCGACCAACCGUAAUGCAUCUUUUUCGGCGACGAUCUCUCUCGUUCAUCUUCAGGUAUGUCGCGAACUCGCGAUCUCCCUCUUUUCGUCUCCCAUGCUUUCCUCUCUCUUCAUCUCUUCAUCUCUUUCCCCAUCUUGGCUUCAUCUCCCAUGGUUUUCUCCUUUUUCGUCUCUCUCAACAGUCGACACAGAGGCUCGUCUCUCUCUCUCUUGACAGUCGGUUCUUCAUCAAUUUUUUUUUUGUUUAUCAAAUUAACUCUCAAAUGACCUUUUCAUCCAAUAUUUAUUUAUUUAUUUAAAUCAUUUUGACCAAUUGGAGCUCUCAGCCAGUAAGCCAUUAUCUGUUUAUCCCUUCAUCCAUUGUUUUAAAUAUGCUGGUAAAUUGGUUUAAAUAUUCUGCUUAAAAUUAAUUUUUUUAUUUCUAGUUUAAUUUUAAUUUCCACCGAAAUUUUCUUUAUUUCAUUAUUCAAUUCCAAUUAAAUUUUAUUUGUAUAAUUUUUAAAUUUAAACCAAUUAAAUUUUGUAUUUCAUUUUAAAAUUCCUUUCAAUCAUGUCUUAUUAUUUUUUAAUCAAUUAUAUUGUUGCAUAGAAAUUUAAAUAUUAUUAUUGAUGUUUUUUUUAGAAUGAGUUCCUCCGAUUCGAAAAAUUCAAGAAAAGAUUUUGUGUGGAAGUAUGUUAUUGAAGUUUCCGAGGAGAAAUAUUUAAGAUGUAAAUUUUGCAAUCAAAGAUGCGCAGGAGGGGUGAAUAGACUCAAGCAUCACUUAGCGGAAACUCAUCAUGAUAUGAAACCAUGCAACAAAGUUAGUGAAGAUGCUAGAUUAGAAUGCAAAGAGACGUUGACCAAUUUUAAGAAUUAAAAAACGAAAAGAAAUGAAUGCUCCAAGAAAUUGGUAUGAGUCCAACUUCAAUGCAUGAGAGUGCCUUGUCUAAAACAAUAGGGACAUUAGGGAGUGGGAGUAGGGAACCUAUUCCUAAGGGACCCGUGGAUAAAUUUAUCACUUUACAACAUAGACAAAGUACUUUGAAUUCAAAAUGGAAGUAAAAAAAAAGGAAGUGUGUAGAAAAUUUGGUAGGUUUAUGUAUUCAAAAGAUCUCUCAUUCAACAUUGUGAAUGAUCCUUAUUGGUUUCCUAUGAUGGAUGCUAUUGCAAAUUUUGGGUUCGGGUUUAAGCCUCCAUCUAUGCAUGAAUUGAGGACAUAGAUUCUUAAAGAAGAGGUAAAUGACUUACGUAUCAUUAAGGAAGAUCACAAAAAAGCUUGGAAACAAUAUGGAUGUUCAAUUAUGUCAGAUGAUUGGACAGAUGGAAAGAAUAGGUGUCUUAUCAAUUUUUUGGUGAAUAGUCUUACUAGCACUUGGUUUAUGAAAUCAAUUAAUGUUUCUGAUACAAUAAAAAAAUGGGGAAUUGAUGUUCAAAUAUGUUAAUGAGGUGGUUGAAGAAAUUGGAGAGGAGAAUGUUGUGCAAGUCAUCAUUGAUAAUGCCUCUAAUUAUGUGAAUGCUGGAAUGAGGUUUUAUGGAAAAAAUGAGAAGAUUAUGGUGGACUCCUUGUGCUGCUCAUUGUAUUGAUUUGAUGUUGGAGGAUAUUGGAAAGCUAAAUGUUCAUGCUAAUACACUUUCUCGAGCUAGGCAAGUAGUGAAGUUCAUAUAUGGGCAUACUUGAGUUCUUAGCUUGAUGAGAUUAUUUACAAAAAAUCAUGAGCUUCUUCAUCUAGCAAUUACACGGUUUGUUAUUGCAUUUCUUACUCUUCAAAGUCUUUAUAAGCAAAAACAAGCUCUUAUAGCAAUGUUCUCCUCAGAAAAAUAGUGUUCAAGCACAUGGGCUAAAAAUGUAGAAGGUGUGAAAACUUGAAGUACAAUGUUGUUUGAUCUAAAUUGUUAGCCUCAUGUUGCUUUUUGCAUAAAGACCACUGUUCCAUUAGUUAGUGUCUUGAGAGAGGUUAAUUCAGAGGAAAGAUUAGCCAUGGGUUAUAUUUAUGAGUUGAUAGAUUCAACUAAGGAGAAAAUUGCAUUUAAUUGUGGGGGUGUGGAGAGAAAAUAUGACCCAAUUUGGAGAAAAAUUGAUGCAAGAUGAUGGACUCCGCAACUUCAUCGACCUUUACAUGCAGCAGGUUAUUAUCUUAAUCCUCAAUUGUGGUAUGGAGAUAAGUUCUCUAAUGUUGAUGGGGUGAGGAAGAGAUUAUUUGAAUGCAUGGAUAGGAUGUUGGAUUAUCAAGAACGUUUAAAAGCUGACAUUUAGUUGGACGCAUAUGACCAAGCAAUGGGUGAAUUUGGGAGUCGUAUUGCAAUUGAUUCUCGAACAUUAAGAAGUCCUACAACUUGGUGGAUGUGAUUUUGGGGUUCAACACCGUAGUUUCAAAAGUUUGCUAUUCGAGUCCUUAGCCUUACUUGUAGUGCUUCGGGAUGUGAAAGAAAUUGGAGCACAUUUUAAUCGGUAAUACUUCUAUUUUUGUAAAUUUUUAUACAUAUAUUUCUAUUUUAAUGUUAGAGAACUUUAUUUCAUUUUAACAUAUAAAUUUGUUUCUUUUAUUAUUUGUAGAUCCAUACAAAAAAAAAUAGACUUGAAUAUCAAAGGUUGAAUUCUCUAGUGUAUGUAAGGUACAACACAAGAUUGAGAGAGCGAAGUCUACAAAGGAAACAAAAUGUUGUUCAGAUUUUGGUAGAGGAGAUUGAUUCAGAUGAUGAAUGGAUUGUGGAGAAAGAAGAUCCCCUCUUCCCCCUUGAUCUUUGUUGGCUUCAAGAUAAUGAGUUAUUCAAUGUGGAUGCUAUUAGAGUUGUGUCAUCCAACUCCCAAGAGACUCAAGCAUCAUUGGAUCACAUGGUUUCUUCACAUUCCUACAAAAGAAAACAUAAUGAAGUACCAAGUAAGUACUCAAAAAUUGAAGUCAUAAAUUUGAUUAAAUUUAAUUAAAAAAAUGUAUAAUAUUUACACCUAAUUAAUAUUUUAUGCUAGGUACAAGUGGAGGCAAAGGCAAAAAGAAAGAGUUGAAUUUGACACCAAUUGAUAAAGAUGAAGAUGAAGAUGAAGAUUUACAUGAAAUGGGGAUACAUGAUAGUGGACAUUUUCCUACUAUUGAUACAUUGGAUGAGGAUGAUGAUGACCUUGGAGAGGAGGAUUUAAGUUGAAAUAAUUUACUCUAGUUGUUAUUUCAUUUAUUAGUUAUGGAUUUUUUGUAAAAGUUUAGAACUAUUAUUAUGGUUGACUCUAUUUUCUAUUUCAUGACUUAGUUAUGACUUUUUGUUAAAGUUUGAAACUAUUAAUAUAGUUGAAUCUAUUUUCUAUCUUAUGAUUUGUUUUUUAUGGCUUUUUGUGAAAGUAGGGAACUAGUAUGUUUUUUUUUUUUUUAAUGAUUCUAAUGAAUUGGUUUCAUAUUUUUAUUUAUGCUAUUUUAUUUUAUAUAUUUUAAAAUAUUAAUUAAUUAUAUAAUGUGAGGCUCAAAAAGCUUACACCUCGCCUCACAAACACAAAAACGUCUCGCCUUACGCUUUCGCCUUUAAAAACAUCGUAGUACUAAGGAUAAAAAUAUCGGUAUUUUGAUUUUACGAAUAUAUCAAAGAUGUAUCGGAUAUAUCAAAUAUACAUCAAUUGAUAUUGUGGAAAAAAAUACCGAUAGAUUUAAAAUUGAUAAAAACUCAUGAAAAUAUAAGAAAAAUUUCAUAGAAACAUAAUUAGAAGUAUAAUAAACAUUUUAAAUUUGUUUUGUUUAAGAAUUUGAUAUAUGUAUAAUAUAAUUUAUCAUAUUUGAUGAUAAUAUUUUGGAAAAAUUGUAGUGCCAUUGGAGAUAUUGUGCCUCCAUUUGAUUUAGGCCAUUGGAUGAAAGUGGUUUAAUCUUAGUCGUCUAAAUGGUAAGUGGAAAAAAAAAAAUCUAUGCUUGGAUGAAACUAACUACCUAGAGAAGGAAAGAAACGUGUAAGACGAUUGAAUUAGCUGUAAAAAUUGCAUAUGAGAUCUGAUUGAAAUUGAGUGAACAAGGGAGAGUACUUCCCUAAUAUGAGACUCAUAGAGACAUUAGUGUGUUUGCCAUUUGUUACUAGUAGUCAUACUUACGAAUUGAAAACGAAAUAGUAAGAGAAAGUAGUUUGGAGAUUGCAAUGAUGGAUUCGACAUUAAUGUUUUUAAUAGGAGAAGAAAGAAGUAAGGAAAACAUACCUAGAACUAAAAAUUCAUAGAGCUUCCUUUUUUGAGAGAAAAUGAUGAGGGCAACCUCAACAUCACUUACAAAAGGUGAGUUGGUGACUUGUGGAGUUUUCUAUACGGCGCAUUUGAGUCUUUUCUCUCCGCAUCUCCAGAAAGGCAGUUUAAAAUUGAAACUCUGCAAAACACACAAGCUGAAAAACCGCAAUAAAAGGGAUUGAAGGGAAUGAUAUUGAGAGAAUAAACUGUCACCAAAAUGAGCAAAUGAAGAAAAUCAUGAAGAGGCAAAACAAGGCAAAGAAACAGGAAAAAAUAUAAUGACAAUGAGCAUAAUAUAAACAAUUGAGAAGGAGGAAGUGGGUGUCUAUGUUUUAUUGAUUCUUAUUGCAUAGCCCCUUUGUUUUGUAUUGUAUAUUUUUUCCCAUGACUUCUCAAAUUUCUUCUUCCCCUUUAUUUUCUACUCUCCAAUGGCCAAACGCACACCCUUUUCUUCAUUCAUCUUAGCUCUCUUUCCCUCAAUUUUGUUGAACCCCACCUAGAAAAAAAAAAUUAUUAUUUACUUCAUAGGAUAACCUCAUCCUUUGGGACUCUUGGUAAAACCCACAACACCUACCAAAAAGAGAACAUUGGGUUUGAAGCUUGCACAAAGAAAGCUUUAAUAAGUGGUAAGAUACAUAAUAAGUUCUUUGCUUCUACAUUGGCAAAUUGGAAUUAAAUGCUGAAUUGGGUUUUGGAUCUACGAGAGGGUUCGUUGAGAACUUUAAUGAUUGAAUUGAAUUAUAAAUAAUGAGUUUACUCAAUGCUAUGUGGUUGAUACGGAAAAGGCAAAAGUUGAGGCUUGGGAUUGAUUCAUUUCGUUAUUGUUGUUCUUUAAGAAAUGAAAAAGUUGUUUGAGAGGAUUUGUGUAUUUAGUUUUAUGUAAUGCUAGUUUGUUAUGUACUUUGUGUGUAAAUGCUCUUUGUUUUAUUAGAAAUUACAUGUUUAGUGAACUUUUCAUUUUGAAAAUGUUAACGGGUCAUGAAAAUUAUAAAAUUGAAAGUUUUUUCUUCAAAACAUUUGGUACGAGACAAUAAGUAAUCAAAUGUAUGUAUUUAUUCACAACCAGCCUUUGUGUAAUAGAACCUGUUGUUUCUCAUAUUAAUACAUUUCAUCCAUGUAUGAUCCUUAUUUCACUUUAAAUUUUUUAUUACAUAUUUUCAUCACUUAAAUGAUAGAGUGAAAAAAAUUAUUGGCAAAAUGUGUCUUCGACAAUUGAUUGUGUCAUUUAUAAAUUAUGUAAAUAACAUGUAUUGAUACUGAUUUUAGACAGGCUGUAAUUAGGCAUAUUGAAAUUAUAAUUAGGAAUUCUUAAAUAUGAAACAUUGGUAUUCAUAGUCUCUUCAUGAUUCAUUGAUCGAUAUCAUUUAGGUGCAUGAGAUGAGGUUCCACAAACUUUAAGUUCCAUAAAUGAAAAGCUUAGAAGUGGUAUUCUGUGUUCCUAUCAUUGAAUAUGGUUUUUGGGUUAAGGAUUUAUAGAUAACAAAAUGAAUAGGCACUACAGAAUUAUGGCACAAUAUCAUCUAUAGUAUUCAUGGAGGCUCCUUUAGGAAUAGAGCCCUAUUACACAAGUUAUUAUGGAGGCUCCUUAAGGACAACAAUACUUUAUGGAACAAUAUCAUCUUUUCUAUUUAUGGCCUACACUCUAAUGCUAUUGUUAGGUAGUCAUAUUGGUGCCAUUGGAAGGUCCUUACAUAGGUAUUUUGUGAUUUCACCAUUUUCACUUAGUUCUUAAUUAGUGAUGGCAUAAAAAUUCAAUUAUGGAAAGCUACUUAGUAGUGUGAUUUACCUUUCUAUGUUCAAUUCCCAUAUUUGUAUACAGUGGCGAGCCAACGAGAUUUUAGUGCUUCAUGUACAAAAAUACCAUUUGACCUCUUUCUUGCUUCCUUUAUGCAGUUGAUAUUGUUUCAAUUCCAUUUCAAGCUAUGAACCCAAGGCACUUCAGCAUAUACUAUGGUUCAUUGACACUCCAACUGUACUUUUUCUUUAACAAACAUUAUUGAGUAGUACACAUUAUUAAACCAGCUUUGGCAUGUUUUAGACGUGGAUGUUGUUAUAAUAAACAUUUAUUUGUCAUCCCUCUGUUUACAUAUUACACUUGUGCGUACCAUUUUCCUAUAUUAUUUAGGCACUCAAUGUACUUGAUACUAUAAGUUUCACUCACAUGUCCAACAUAUUAUUAAAUAUAUGUGAGCCUUAGUUACUUCAUUCCUUAACAUUAGCUAAUUACUUUCUUAAUGUCAUGCAGUUCGUUUGGCAAUGAUAUGAUCAAUAAGUGGCAUUGCAUGGGGUACGUCCAUUAAACAUACUCAAUUGUGCAUAGAAUUGAGCAAGCUAUUAGGUACUACCUUAGCACAUCGUGUUUUAUUCCAGUGAUCAGUUGGUUAACCUUUUGUCUACUGUUGAGUGAACCUUAUGUACUACUUAAAUAUACCUUUGGUACUACCUUAAUCAACUUUAGCUACUACCUUAGUCAACAUUAGGUACUAUCUUAGCACACCUUGGGUACUACCUGUGUGACACCUCGAAACUGUAUUUCUAAACAUUAAGACACUUCAUUUGUGAAUAUUAGUUCCCUUAUUUUUCAACCCAAGGGAGUUGAUUUGUCAAGCAUAGGACCCACAAGCUGCUUUCAAUCCAUGCAUAACUUACAAUGUAUUCGGUUCCACACUCAACUAAUCAUGGCAUUAUGGUUCUCCUUUUAUAUACUAGUGAUUGUACCUUAGUUACUACCUUAAUUAACCUUAGGUACAACCUUAGUAAUCCUUAGGUACUAAUGUAGUUGCACUUGCACACUACUUGUGUGCAACAUCCAAUGUUCAUGUCUAAACCUUAAUUAGGUAGUUCCUUGUUGGAAGCUUCGGCAAUCCAUAUGUUAAGCUUAUGUAAUUUCUACAUACAAGGAAUUGUAAUCAACAUACAUAAUUCCGCAAUCUUUCGUUGUUGCAUAUAUUGUUUGUAACAAAUCUUUAUGUGAUUAAGGAAAUGGAAGUGUCACAUUCAUUAAGGAGGUGAGCUUGUUAAGACUGCCGUUGGGUCCAUCAUUGGCCUAUAUAAAAAAGUAAGUUGAUAUUGACUUCCUCAUUGGCUUAUAUCCACUUUCUAAUAGGUACUUGAAGCUCGUGUCAUAGAAACAUAAGAAAGUAUGUUGAGAUUGGCUUCCUCACUAGUGCGGGAUGUUGCUGCAUUGCGUUCUCAGUGUUUUGGAUCACACACCACUUGUUCAGUCCCUUGCCUACAACCAUCGCAACAAGUUGAAGAACAUACAAGCCGUGACACAACAGACAUUCAGCCUUUUGCUGAAGAAUUCGUAAAAACAACACAACCUCCUACUAAGCCCAUGAUCCCCAAUUGAAAUGCAAGCAUCAACAACAACCCUUGCUUCCAAACAAGUGCCCCCACAAUCUCAUGCAUAGUCCUCUCUUCAAUCGGAAUUGGGGGUAGGAGAAGAGGUGGAAAAUGUUGGGGCAGGUGCUAGUGGCACCCAAUCAGUCAUCCUUUCGUCUAUUUGGAGAUAUAAACAGACUGCUAAGAGGAUUUUGAAGCGUACUGCCAUUUGCAAAUCGCCAUUUGUCGCGCAAUGCCUGAAACAAUUCCUUAAAAUCCCACAUCAAGAUAGGGUCAUAGCUAAUUAUGCAUUGAUAGAAGAUGUUGAUCCUAGGUACAUUAAUUUGUAUUUUCCAACCAUUGUUAUAGUGAUAUAAUAUGUCAAGAACUUUAACUUAGUUUCACAUAAUCCUUUUUUGACAUUGUAGUGAGGUUUUAUGGGACAUGCAUGGGAUGUACAUAACAAGGGAAGAGUUGUCUUGUUUAAAUGGAGAUCGAUGGGUGAAUGGUGUGGUAAGUUACUAAUCCUUCAGUUGAAUUCAAUUGCCAAUUAACGGUUCAUAUGAAUGCAUGAAGUCUAGAGUCGGGUUGUAAAAAAAAUAUUGCACAAGAUACACUAAACAUUAUCAACUCUCACAAGAAUCAAUAGAUCCAUGCAAUGAAUUAUGUGGAUACAAAUAACAUGGAUGACUAAAAUAGUAGGAGGGAUAAAUCAAUGAAGUUUAGUUCACACUAUUGCUGCUCAAUGAAGGAAACAAUGUUAGAGACAAAAUUAUGCAGGCGUGUCUAUUGUAACUGAAGCAAUUCCUCGUGAAGUGUGUCAUUUUGUUCAGGUAAUCAAUAGUAUUGCACAAGAUGCACUAAACAUUAUCAACUCUCACAAGAAUCAAUAGAUCCAUGCAAUGAAUUAUGUGGAUACAAAUGACAUGGAUGACUAAAAUAGUAGGAGGGAUAAAUCAAUGAAGUUUAGUUCACGCUAUUGCUGCUCAAUGAAGGAAACAAUGUUAGAGACAAAAUUAUGCAGACGUGUCAAUUGUAACUGAAGCAGUUCCUCGUGAAGUGUCAUUUUGUUGAGGUAAUCAAUAGUAUUGCACAAGAUACACUAAACAUUAUCAACUCUCACAAGAAUCAAUAGAUCCAUGCAAUGAAUUAUGUGGAUGCAAAUAACAUGCAUGACUAAAAUGGCAGGAGGGAUAAAUCAGUGAAGUUUAGUUCACGCUGGUUAGAUGGUCAAGUUUUCCCUUGUUGUCGAUCAAUAGGUUCACACAUUGGGCCCAUUCUAAUUAAUUUUUACCAUUCAGUUUAUGAACGGUUAAUUGAAAUGAAGAGUUUAGAUUGUUGGUGUCAAAAUUCUGGAUUGAUGUUGAGGAGACAUUUUGAAUGCUGUCCUCAUCUCCCCUGGAUGUAACCGAGCUUCUGGUAGCUUUGAUAAUGGCAGAAGUAUACCAUCUGCUUCAAAAUUUGGCAUAUCAGACUUCCAGGUCAUGUAGAGUGCCCCACACCUUUCUUUUGGGUGUAGUCCAUCAAAAAUCGCAUCAUAAGGAUGCAGCAUAGAGUAUGUUUGUUCCUUUUUUUGUUAGGUUCAUCAAAAUCCACAUCUUAUGGAUGCAAUUAUAAAAGUAACAAUACCACAUUCUGGAAAUGUAAUUUGGCGGCCUCUCAUAUGGACCACAUUGAUUUCCUUUUCCCCUUUAGAACACCAUCCCUGAGAUCCGACUUUUAGUCAAACAAAAAUAAAUGCAUAUCUUAGUGUGUUUGGUUACUUCUUAUAACAACUGGUUUCCCAAAAUUAUUGGAUUUUGGAAAACAAAGAACUCUACUCUACAAAAUGUUUUGAGCUGGUGUAAUUAUUGUAAAUUGUUUUUAUUAGUAUCUUCUGCAGCGAUUUAGGCUUUUAACUUUUUGGUUGCUAUUAAAAAAGCUUGGGAGAUUUGGAAGAUCCAAGAUCCAGCUGUGGCAUCUACAUGGUGACAAUAACAAAUUAUUUUGUUUAUUUUCCAUGUUAUCUUAGUUCCAACCUUCACACCCAAAGGUUUACCUUGUUUUUUCUUUCAGAAGAAGCAACCUUAUAUUGUUUCUGCAGAUGUGGUUAUGACUUCUGCUAUACUUGCGGUGCUGAAUGGAAGAACAAAAAGGCGACAUGUUCCUGCCCACUCUGGGAUGAGAAUAAUAUUUGGGACGAAGACGAUAGAGAUUUUGAUGAUGAAUACUAUUCAGAAUAUGAGUAUUUUAUGCUUACCAAGGAACUGGUGUCAGUAUUGCAUUAGAUAUUAUACCCCUUUUUUUUGCAUGCAGUGGACUUCUCUUUUCCCUGUCUAAUCUUCUUCUCGUUUCCUUUCUCAUUUUAUCAUAUGAUGUAUUUAUUUCCUCAAAUGGGUGGUGAUGAACACUGCCAUGAGGCGGUUCUGCUAGAAUUAGGACAGGCUUACCCUUCAGUGUAACGGACCCAAUAUAUUGGCCCAUUCUUUAACAAUAGUCUUCAAUUCUAAUAGGGCAAUCAGGUUUGGAGGCAGGCCUUGCACAAGUAACAAUGAGAUUUGUGCUCACUUGAAUAAAAAUAAGCAAAUGUUUUCUUGGUGAUUUUGCUGUCCGGGUAUCAUUAAGAACUUGAACAACAUGCUGUCAUUCAGAUCCAAUCAUUUUGGCUGGGCCCCAUAGACAGAAUAUCUUGGAUCAAAUUUCAUAUUGGAUAAAGACUUUGUUUUACAGGGCAAUGAUUUCUUGGGUUUCGUUUCUUUGCUUUUCCAUUUUUUUUACCCUGCAAAUUAAAUCAUGCAAAGUGUGUUUUCACUGAUAUUUCAUUUUAUUUUCCAAUUCUAUCUAUUUGUGUGGGUGAGCUAUGGAAGGAAAUUCAAAUGAUAAUAUUGAAAAAUUAGAAAAUGUAAUUAAUAAAAGGAUAAAUUAAACAAAAGAAAAAAUAGAUGUACAAUUAAUAAAUUAUUUUUAGAUAUUACUUCAAACUCAAUUAUUUUUGGAGUUUCAUUCAAAUAUUAAAUAAUUAAAAAUAUAUAAAUUUUAACUGAUUUUUAUUAUAAUUAAUCUUCUUGUGUAUUUUCUAUAGUGAAAUUUAAUAUAAGAAAAUGAUUUUUCUUAAUAUUUUUUCUUUUUGUAAUACUUUUAAAAAAUCAAAUAGAACAUAAGAUAUCAACUUAUGUUAUAUUUGAUUAUAAAAAAAUGAUGAUUAUACAAAUAAAUGAGAUUGAGUAUAAUAGAAUAAGAUUAAGGCAUAAAAUAAUGAGAAAAAGGGAUUUUUGAUAAAAUGAUGUCACUUUGUGCCAUGUAAGCUUCAUUAAAAGCUAUACAUCAAAACUUAUCUUGAAAUCAUGUCAAGACACGACUUAAUGUAUCAUUGUGAAGUCGUACUUUCAAGUACGGUUUUAAAACAUUAUUCCUAAAGUCGUGUUUUACAUGAUUUCAAUGAUUUAUAAUGAAAUAGUGUGUUCAAGACAUAAUUUAACUCCAUUUUAUUUCUUCUCUUUAUUUACUUUUUCUUGUAAUAUAUAUGUAAAUUAAUUUAUUUCUUUUAUAAUAGUUUUAUAUACAUGUGUAAAAGGUAGCAUGAAUGUUGCAAUAGGUAGGUUUGUAGAUGUUUAUUUUGGAAGAAUAUGAACAAAAAAAAAAAAAAAAAAGCAAUUGAAAAUAAAUAUACAUAAAAAAUAUAAAAUAAUUAAUUAUUUUUGGUAAUGGUAAGUUUUGAUUGAAAUUUUAUAAGCCAAUGAAGUGUUCUAAUGGUCACAUCUUUAAAUAGGCUACCGUACAAUUACCUUUUUAAACUUGCUAAUAGUAUGAAUACGACUCUAGUAGAUAUUCAAAUCGAGAACAGAUGUGGACAACCUACGUUAACUUCAAUAUUACAAGCAUGAAACCACAUGCUACAAAGAACCCAAAAAUAAAUAAAUAAAUACUGAUGAUAGAACCAUAUGGAACUUUUUGCAUACGAUUAGCCUCAACUAAUGCAUAUUGAGCCUUUGCCACUGCAAAUGGUGAAGAUUCAUCGAGCCUCCUCCAUCUUGGUUCAUAUAGCACCCAUGCUCGGACAGCUUGCUCUCGAGAGGUAUAUGCUUUGUAUACACUCCCCUUAUAGAAAAGCACAUUUCUUUGAUAUUCAACCCAAGAAUCGUAAACUCCAUGGUUGUACCUAAUAAACACUACAUAGAAUGUUUGCAUGUUCAAUGGGCUACAAAAAAAAUAUUUGGGUUAGUUUAUCAUAAUUUGUUAAAUAAUAACAAAGGUAGUCCCUAGGCUAUAUUGACUAGUACCUAAGGUGCACUAAGAUAGUACCUAUGUUUUGCCAAGGUAGUACCUUAUGUACAUUAAGAUAGUAUAUUUAGAAACAUUAAGGUAGUACAUUUAGGUACAUUAAGGUAGUACCUCGUGCAAUAAGGUAUUAGCUUGUCUUAACUGAUUGCCUAACCUAUUACAACAAUUCAAUGCCAUGUUGAAUUAAGGAAUUUGUGUAUUGAGUCUAAUUUCUUGGUUCAUUUUCAAACUAAGAUGGAAUUGAAUGCCAUAGAUACAUCCUAUGAUUGGCCAUGAUAGUACCUACAAUUGACAAAGGAACUACAAUAAGUUCACUAGUGUAGUAGCGAAGGUGUUGAAAGGUACAUCGUUCAGGUUCACAAAUGUGGACUCCCUUAGGUACAAUAAGGUUGUACCUAAGGGACAUUAAAGUAGUAGUUAAGGUACAUGAAGGUAGUACCUAUACAGUCUUAUGUUUAAUAAGUCUCAAAUUGACUUACCAAUUACAACAUAAUAGUGUAAUGCUCGUAUAUGUAAUGGAAUUUAAGAAAUUGUGUUUUCAAUACAAAAGUGCAACAUUUUUGAAAUCAUCUUCGUCUUUAUGUUCUCCAAUAUUAUUCAGUGGAAAAGUAGGUACUGUAAUAGACAAAACUAGUACGGUUGGCAUAAGAACUACACAAGGGUUAGGAAUGAAGUAAGGUCCACUAACAUAAUAGCUAAAUUCACUAAGGCUGUACCAAAGGUGCUUUAAAAUAGUACCUAAGGUGCAUUAAGGUCACCCUUAAGGUGUAGUAAGGUAGUAUCUAAGAUACAUUAAAGUAGUACCUAAAGUGCAUUAAGUUUAUACCUAAGAUGCAUAAAGGUAGUACCUAAGGAGAACCUCCUUAAUAACCUAUUAGAACAUAAUAAUGCCAUGCUCAAUUAAGGAAAUUGUGUACUGAGUAUAGAAGUUCGACAUUUAUCAAUUCAUCUUUAAACUAAAAUGGAAGUGAAUGCCAAGGCAAGGUCCUAUGAUUGAGCAACGUGGUACCUAAGAUUGAAAUAGUUGGUUCACAAAUGUAGGACAAAAAGUUCACAAAUGUAGUACCUAAGGUGCAUUAACCUUGAAGUUAAGGUGCAUUAAGGUUACUACCUAAGGUACACUAAGCUAGUACCUAGGAUGCAUUUAGGUAGUACCUAUGGUGCCAGAAUAUAGUACCUAAGGUAUGUAAGGUUUUACCUUCACACCAUUAAGGUUGUACCUUCACACCAUUAAGGUAGUACCUAAGGGUUUUAUUGACCAACGAAUCACAACAUAAUGAUGUCAUGGUCCUAUCUGAAAUGCAUUAAAGAAAUUGUGUCUUCAUAAGAUAAGUUGCAACAUCGUUCAUCCUCAAAUGUUGUUCUCCAUCCUUAUUGAAUGCCAAAGCUAGGUACUAUACUUGAGAAAGGUUCACAAAGGAAGUACAUGUUCACAACUCAAGUACUUAAGCUCCAUUAACCUAGUACCUAAAUUUCACUCAAGUACUUCCUCUCAUGGCCUCAGGUAGUACCUAAGGUACAUUAAGGUAGUGCUUGAGGUACAUCAAAGUAGUACCUAAGGUACAUUAGGGUAGUACCUUCAUUUCAAUUAUAGUUACUUAAGCUUCCAAUUGACUAACCAAUUACAACAUAAUAGUGUCAUGCUCAUAUCUGUAAUGCAAUUAAAGAAAUUGUGUCUUAAGUACAAAAGUACAACAUUUUAAAAAUAAUCUUGAACUUGAUAUUCUCCAACCUUAUUGAAUGCAAAAGUAACUAAGGUACACAAAGUAGGAUUGAUAAACUAACUACCCAAGGUUCACAAACAAACUACCUAACCUCCAUUCGUAUAUAUAUCUAACGUACACAAAAGUAGUCCCUUUGCUGCAUUAAGGUAGUACCUGAGGUAGAUUAAGGUAGUUCUUAAGGUAGAUUAAGGUAGUACCUUAAGGUUACUAAGGUCGUACCUAAGGUACAGUCAUCACUCUACCAAAGAUGAACCAACUAACCACACAAUGACAUGCUUACACUACAAGGAAAAAGAUAUAUGGUGACAUUUAUAAUAAGUCACUAUAAACAUAGGGUGUCACUACAACAUAGCGUCACCUUAUCCACUGACACCAUAGAGGGUAUCAAUUGGUGACGUAUUUGGAAGCGACACCAAAGCAGAUAAAUGGUGACACAUUCAGAAGAGACACCAUAUAUUUUUAGUGAUGCUUAAUUUGAUAUAGAAUUGUAUGAGAUAUAUAAGGUGUCAUAUUAAAUGCAUCAUCUUUGAGUUAUGGUGUCACGUUAAAUGUAUCACCUUUAAUUUAUGGUGUCACAUCAUUGUAAAUGAUUAUGGAAGAUAUGGUUGUUUUUUGUUGAUUAGUUUGUAGAUUUUUGUAAUGCUUAUUAAUAAAUAAGACUAACCUGUGUAAAUUGUCCAUAAAUAUAAUAAUCAUAUUACAUUUAACUUAUAUUUUCAUAAUGCUUAUGAAUUAAUUUGUAACAUAUUACAUCAUCCAAUAAUAUUUGUAUAUCAAAUGUUCACAAAAUGAUAGUACAUCAAACACAUCAAACCCACCAAAACUAAAAAAGAAAAGUGAAUACACAUUAAAACAUGAUUUAGAAAUGUUAAGCUUCCCAACAUUUAUGUAUACUUGCAUUUCAUAUGCAUAAAACCGGCUAACCAUAAAAUGACACAAGAGUUGCAUCCAAAAACCCAAAAUUCUCAAUUCCAAAUAAAGUAACAUUUAUGUCCUAUAAUGUAUGACAUAAGAGUCAUAUCUAAAAACCUAAAUCUUGUUGCCUCUUUCUCCUUUCUUUUUAUUCUUCAUAUUGUCCUCCCAAGAGUGUAUACCUGCAUUUCAUAGUUUAAUGAGUUUUAGAGUUCUUAUUGAAAAUAAAAAUGUGAUAUUAUAAACAAUAAACAAAUCUAAGUACUAAUGUUUUCUUUUUCUUUUUCCUUUUUCUCAUUUUGGUAUAAAAAUAGUUCGUAAAGAAUAAGUAAUGUUAUACAAUAUCAAUGGAAAAUUCAAUCAUAUAACAACUAAGGGACUUACCAUGAAUGAUCACGAUACAUCAAUAUGAUUCAUGAUUAGUUAUAACACAAAAGUAAUCUAUUUUUCUCUAAUUUCAUCAAAUUCUACUUGAGAAUAUGUUUUAUUUGUCAUCAAACUGAAAUCAAAUGAGAAUAACAUUAAUAUCACAAUAAUUGAAAGUAUGAAAUUAUGUACAAUUCAUUAAACGAGUAAAACCUUUUAUGCAAUAACUGUAAAAUCAACAAUUAUUUCUUUAAUGAAUCUCAUAACAAAGUAGUCAUAUUUGAACUCAGUAUUAUUUUUUUACUAUUAAAUUAUUUUUAAACAAAAUAACAAUUAUUAAUAUAUUGGUUCAUUUUUAAAUACUUUCAUAAGAAUAUAUUUUAACUACAAGUUAUUUUAAUUUAUCAAAAGAUUUUUAGGAAAUGAGCUAUUAUCCAUUUAUUAUUUUCUUAUUUUUCAAAAAAUAUUUUCAGUCAUUUCAUACACGUUUUCAACUACUAAAAUUAUUGUUUUUAUAGAAUAAACAAAGAAGCAUACACUUUUCCUCCACUCACUAAGUCAACUAUUACAAUCACCAUAAUAUUUUAUUCACCUACCAAUAUCUCAUUCCAUUUAGAUAACUCUCUCAACAAAAUCAUUUCUACAAUACUUUUUACUCUCCUAUGAUAUUGAAUAUUUUAUUCCAUUUAGGUGACUCUCAACACAAAGAAAAGUAGGAAUGUCUUCUUAGGUUAACUAAACAAAGACUUUUUUUUUUACUUUACAAUAUGUAUAAAAAAAACAAUUAUUUAUUACAAGGAAUGUGGUAGAAAGGUCAUUUCAUUUUUAAAGAAUUUUUUAGAAUUUCUUAAACAUUUACAAAAAAUAGAAUCUAACAAAUUUAUUUCUAAAAAAAUUGAUCAAUUCAAAAAAGAAAGAAGAAUGUUAUUUUUUAAGAAAAGUUAAUAAACCACUUUAUUCUUGAAUUAUCUAAACAAAACUUACUAAAAAAUAUUUUAUCCCAAAUUUAUUUUCAAAACUUUCUUAUUGAAAACUAUCUCAUAUAUAAAUUAUUUUAUUAUAUAGAGAAAUUCUUAUUUUAUUCUUUUUUUAGAGAAAAAUUCACUUGUUUAUUAAAUAUCAAAGAAGUCUAUUUUUAUGUCUAUUAUAUAUAUAUAUAUAUAUAUAUAUAUAUAUAUAUAUAUAUAUAUAUAUAUAUAUAUAUAUAUAUAUAUAUAUAUAUUCUCUUAUUUUCAUACAAGAAAUUUCCAUUUAUGCCUAAAAUACUUUUAGAAAAAUCAUUGCCAACAAAAUUUUAUUUUUAAAAUUAUUUUCAACAUUCUUAUUUAAAAAAAUUAUCAUUGGAUUAUUUUCAAAAAGGACAGUCCUAAAAAAAUUAACCAUUUAUAACCCAAUUUAAACUCAAAAAUUAUCCCCAAUAUUAUUUUAUAUUCCUAAAUUAUUUUCAAACAAAAUAACAAUUAUUAAUAUUUUGAUUCAUUUUAAAUACUUUCACAAAAAUAUAUUUUAACCACAUAUUAUUUUAAUUUAUCAAAAUAUUUUUAGGAAAUGAGUUAUUUUCCAUUUAUUACUAUCCUAUUUUUCAAAACAUAUUUUCAGGCAUUUCAUUCACAUUUUAAAAUUUCAAAUACUAAAAUUAUUGUUUUUAUAAAACAACAAAGCAUGUAAAUUUCAACUACUAAAAUUAUUGUUUUUAUAGAAUAAACAAAGCAACAUACACUCAUCUUCCAUUUACUAAUUCAACUAUUACAAUCACCCCAAUAUUUUGUUCACCUACCAAUAAUUUAUUCCAUGUAGGUGACUCUAAAAAAAAAAAGUCAUAUUUAUAAUACCCUUUACGACUCUGAUAUCCAAUAUUCUAUUCUAUUUAGGUGACUCAAUACAAAGAAAGUGGGAAUGUUUUCUUAGGUUAACCGAAGAAAACCCUAAAUAACUUAAGUGCUUUUGGAUUAAUUGAGUAUCAUCUUGUAGUAGAUGUCAAUCUCUAUUGUUAGACUUCACCAAAAAGCUCCUAGCACGGUGGAAAAAAGUAUCAAAUAUAGUCAAGUCUUCAAUAAAAUACUAUUUCAUGCGAAAAAUUACUACAAACUAGUGUAUCUCUCAUUCUCAAUUAGACAAAAUUUUUAAAAAUAAUUCAUUUUUCUUGUUUUCAUUUGUUUUGGGGCUUAUUAGCAAUGAAACAAAAAAUAUGUUAGAAUGUUAAACCUAGUUUUAACUUCCUUGGAACUCGAUAAAAAACACCAUUUACAAAACCCACAUCAUAGAUAUACUAAAUCAAGAGAUAUAAAACAAUUAUACUAACAAAGUUUUUUGCAUUAAUAACAAAAAAUGAAGAUGGUAGAUAAGAGAUUUUGACUUACGCGAGAUUUUACGAAGCAAAGAAUAUCAAUUAUGGGUGUGCCGACCAUGGGUGUGAGAAGAAGGAGAAGAAAACGAUGGUUAGGGUUAAGCAAUAAGAUCUUUUAUAUUAGUUAAUGUAUAUAUGGAAACAAUGGACUUUUCAUAAAUUGUUCCUACUCACUAUUUUUAAAAAGGGCCCAUUAAGUUAUAAAAUUUAAAACUUUUUAUUUCAUAUGGUGUCACUUCCAAAAAAUGACACCGUAAAUCUGAAAUUAGCAUCAUCUAACUAUCCUAAUUGAAGAUUUUUUAUAUGAUGUGUCACUUUUAUAAAUUUUAAGUUCAAUGGUGUCAUUAUUUUAAAUGCGACACCAUAAAUAAUGACAUCAUAUAUUAUUUUUGUAGUAGUGUUAGUUUUAUGUGACUCUGAUUAUGUUGUAAGUUUUGUCGAAAUUGAAUACAAACAUGUAGGUCCUAUCAUUCCACAAAUUGACUACCUAAGGUUGCCAAAGGAACUACCUAAUGUUCACAAAUGUAGUGACUAUGCCUCACAAAUGAAGUUUCGAGGCUUCACACAGGUAGUACCCAAGUUUAACUAAGGUAGUACCUGAGGUAGAUUAAGGUAAUACUUGAGGUAAAUUAAGGUAGUACUUAAGGUAGAUUAAGGUAGUACCUUAAGGUUACUAAGGUCGUACCUAAGGUACAAUCACCACUAUACCAAAGGUGAACCAACUAACCACAUAAUACCAUGCUUACUUCUAUUUGACUAUGAUUACAUUGUAAGUUCCAUUCCAAUUGAACAUAAACAUAUAGGUCCUAUCAUUCCACAAACCAAUUGCCUAAGGUUACCAAAUGAACUACCUAAUGUUCUCAAAUGCAGUGAUUAUGUCUCAUAAAUGAAGUUUUGAGGCUUCACACAAGUAGUACCCAAGUUUAACUAAGGUAGUACCUGAGGUAGAUUAAGGUAGUACCUUAAGGUUACUAAGUUCGUACCUAAGUUACAAUCACCACUCUACCAAAGGUGAACCAACUAACCACAUAAUGUCAUGCUUAGUUCUAUGUGACUACGAUUAUAUUGUAAGUUUCAUUCCAAUUAAACAUAAACAUGUAGGUCCUAUCGUUCCAAAAACCAAAUGCCUAAGGUUACCAAAUGAACUACCUAAUGUUUGCAAAUGCAGUGACUACGUCUCACAAAUGAAGUUUUGAGGCUUUACACAUGUAGUACAUAAGUUUAACUAAGGUAGUACCUGAGGUAGAUUAAGGUAGUACUUAAGAUAGAUUAAGGUAGUACCUUAAGGUUACUAAGGUUGUACCUAAGGUACAAUCACCACUCUACCAAAGGUGAACCAACUAACCACAUAAUGCCAUGCUUAGUUCUAUGUGACUCCGAUUACGUUGUAAGUUCUGUUCGAGUUGAACAUAAACAUUUAGGUCCUAUUGUUCCACAAACCAACUGCCUAAGGUUGCUAAAAGAACUACCUAAUGUUCCCAAAUGCAGUGACUACGCCUCACAAAUGAAGUUUCAAGGCUUCACACAGGUAGUACCCAAGUUUAACUAAGAUAGUACCUAAGGUUGAUUAAGGUAGUACUUGAGGUAGAUUAAGGGAGUACCUAAGGUAGAUUAAGGUAGUACUUAAGGUAAAUUAAGGAGUUACGUUAAGGUUACUAAGGUUGUACCUAAGGUAUAGUCACCACUCUAUCAAAGGUGAACCAACUAACCACGUAAUGUCAUGCUUAGUUCUAUGUGGCACCGAUUGCAUUGUAAGUUUCGUUUGAAUUGAACAUAAACAUGUAAGUCAUAUUGUUCCAUAAACCAACUGCCUAAAGUUGCCAAAGAAACUACCUAAUGUUCACAAAUAUAGUGACUACGCCUCACAAAUGAAGUUUUGAGGUUUCAGACAAGUACCCAAGUUCAACUAAGGUACUACCUAAGAUAGAUUAAGGUAGUAUCUCAGGUAAAUUAAGAUAGUACCUAAGGGUUACUAAGGUAGUACUCAACUUCUUAUUAUGUCCAGAACAUUCUUCAAAACAUCACAAAGUAAUUACCAUUUUCAUUUUUUCAUUUCAUGAGUCUCUGAUCCAGAAAAAGCAUUUAAAAAUACUAUUAGGCUUUGGUAGUUAUAUCUAUUGAACAAAACCUUCGAAUUGUUAAGAUAUAAACCAUUGAAUAAGACUACAAUCAUAUGAGACCAAAACAAUUAGAAUACCAACAAUAAAUCUUAAAAAUAUAUACCUAAUUGAUCCAUUUUUUUUAAUCAGAUGGUUACUGCCAAUCAUUUUAUCAAGUCUGAAAUUAAAUUUAAAAAACAUUCUAAAAAGAAUGUCACCCAUCUUGACAUUUUUUUCCCUCAAUUAAUACAUUCAAGUUUUUCAACCAAAGACCAAGGAGACAACAAUAAAAACAUACACACAAUCAAAUUGGCAUUCAAAAGAAUCAUUAGAACACAUUAAGAGAUGAUGAAGGUCUAGCUACCUUAACAACAACUCGAUCCCACUCCACACUCUUGCCCUAAUGUCCACCUUCAAAUCAGGCAAAAAGGGAAAUUUCAAAUUUCGACUUAGGCCAAAGUGAGACGAACAAGUUUUCAGAUGAAGAUGGGUAAUGGAUUCAAGUGGUCAAGUUGAGAAGAGAAAAAUAGUGGGGUUAGGGCAAAAUCAGAGCAACAACUUUCGGGAAAAUGGGUAUCAUCGGGUGCGGCUGGUCAAGAUGUAAAGAGAGAAAUGGCUGAAUAAAGAAAAAUGUACACUGGAGUUCUGGAUUUGGGUUUUUGAAUUGAAAUGAGAGAAAUUUUGGGUUGUCGGGAGUGAAGAAAGAUGAGAGAAAGCUUCCAAAUGAGAAAGGAAAACUUUCAAAUUGGGUGGUCGGGUCAGGUGUUUUUAUUUUUAUUUUUUGAGAAGUUAUAGAUUCAUAUUUUAGUGUUUUUUCUUAAUUUUAGUGGUGGUGCUAACAUGGAGGUUGGGAUAAUGUUAAGGAUAUUGAGUUGGAGACACGGAGGGGCAAUUUGGGCACAAAAGAUAUAACUGACUCAGAGUGCACAAAAAUGAUAAUACUUUCCAUAUUAAAAGUUGAUUCUCAUAUUUUAUAAACUUGGGUUCCCAAAACCAUAUAUUUCCCAAAUAACAAGCCUAAAACAUAAUUUUCCCUAUAAUUUAUGUCAUAGUGAAUUUCAAAUUUGUUACAAAAGAUUUUGUAAACUAAUUAUAUGUCCUUGUAAAAUAUAUUUGCAAAAUAUAUUUACAGCUAUUCUACCAUGAGCAUAUAAUGUUGCAAGAGAAAUUUCCAUUGCUAUGUACUCGACCUCCUCGGAUUGGUGCUUGGGAAGAUGAUGAUGUAUUGGAGGUGAAAUGAAAAUUGAAAAAAGUUGGUGGAUAUGCAAAUGAUAAUGUAAGUUAUAGUUUUGAAACUUGUUAAAUAUUUGCUUUUUUUAAUUGAUUUAGAAUAGGAUAUGUGUGAUAUAUUGAUGAACAUAUUGUAGGUGAAAAUAUGGGAGAUACAAAACAAGGAAGAGGAUCGAGUUGAUCAAAAUGAGAGGAUAAUGGAGGGGGAGAAUGAGGAAGACAGUAAGAAAGAUGAGAAAUUGAAAAUCCAUCCACAUAAAGAUGUUCUUAAACAAGCAAGUUUUACAAUAUCUUUGAACUUGUAUAAAUAUUAGUAAUUAACUCUUGUAUUGUGAUGUUACUAAUCAAAUUCCUAUAUGUCAUUAGGUUGAUCCUGAGAGCUUAGUGGAGAUGGAUAAAACAUUUCAACAAUUGAAGACACAAGUAAUUGAUUUGCAUUAUGGUCUAAGUACUAGUAAUUGUGAAAAUGUUUUUAUUGAAGUUGAGGUGAAAUAUACAACAUUGAAAAGACUCUUCCUUGCUUCAAGAGAAAAACUUUUGAGAGACAAUAAGAAGCGAAUAAAGAGGGAUAUUCUUUCAUGUGAGAGAAGUUUGAAAAAGGAAAUGAACUUUAUGUUGAUACUUUGUCAACUCACAAGUUAUGCAUAAAGAAUGUGAAUGGAAAGAAUAAAGAUGCAUACUCUACAUUAGUUGAAGUGUACAUCAUUUUCAAUGAAAGUGUAGAUAUUUUACCACUUUGGAUGAAAAGACCUACCAAAGAUAAUGGAAAUGUAUAUAUAAUCUCAAAAUUUUUAUUGUAGUUAACUACUUAUUCAUUACCUAGUACAUAUAUGUAUAUUAAUGUCAUUUUCCAUGUUGGGAACCAUUACGAGUACUAUGUGGUCUUCUCGAUCAUGUCAUGAAAAUACGUAUAUCGAGGAAGAGGAAAUAGAGUAGAUUCAAGGUCUUCCUAUUUGUACAAAAUUUAGAGAAGAUGGGAAAACGUAAAGCAUGUGAGGUAUAAUACAAAUACUCAAAUACCAUUUUCUUCUUAAUGAAGCAUGACAUUUAUACCUAAUAAUUAUCCUUUUUUUUUUCAUUUAGUCAAUCUUCAUGUCCAUUCGGGAAAAUGUAGUGAAUUCUUAAUCAUUCAAUAUACUUCAAUCUCUUAUUGCUGAUUAUAUUUUCAAUAAAUUGUUGUCAACAAGGUUUGUGGUGUCUGAAACAUUCAUGGAUGUGUUGUAACAAUUUUAGCCUCCAUGUUUUUCCAUUUAUGUAAUAAAUGUUUUAUCAUAUUAUUGUUGUAGUGAGCUUCUUAUUGACUUCAAUCAUGAACAUGGAGUUUAUGGAGAUUUUGAGUGUUUACGUCUUAGACAAAAAUUAUUGGAUGUUGUAAGUAUCUAUUUCAUUCAUAUUAAUUAAUUGUUUUAUGAAUGAAAUAAAUGUAUGAAAGUUAUUAUGCACCACAAGUCGUCAAUAUAUUAGCAUCAAAGCUUAUUUACUUUGAGAGGCAAUUAAUAGGCAUACGAAGUAUAAGAUGCUAUCUUGACAUUUUGAGUAAGCUCAUUUUUUUUAUUCUUGUUUAGGAACUUAUUAAGUAUAAUAUACUAAUGUUUAUGUUAUGUUAUAUGAUUAGAAAAUUAUUUUGUGCAUGAGUCCACAAUCUAUUUUUGAUAGAAAAACAUCCAUUGUUAGUACAUUAGCAAAUUGGACGAUUGAGAGAAGGUUAGUAAUAAUUUGUAAUAUUUUAUUACAUAUAUCAAAGUUUUAGUAGAUAUUAUUUUGACCUAAAAUAGGGUUUGAUAAUUUCAAAUUCUCCGGCUUUUGGUUGAAUAGUAAAUUGAUUUAUUGCUUCUAUAUCUGCAAGUUUUUUUUUUUAAUUAAAUUGAUUUUAUAAAGCUGUUCAAUUAUUCGUUCGUUUGUAUAUUUUUUACACUUUAUAUCAACAAAGUUUUCUUGAUCUAUUUGUUCUACUAAUAACGCUAGGCAAAACUUAGCUAGUGAAUUUUUAGUGAAUUUUGAAAAUUUUUAAUAUUUUGCAUGAUUUUAAAGAUUUUCUAGGUAAACCCAAAACUCAACUAAGGUGCUUCCAAUUUUUGCAUCUAGUUGUAAAUUCUCAAAGAAGCAAACCAAUUCAAUAAAGGCCAUGAAGAGUUGUAUUGCUCAAGUGGUAGGACCAAAUAGAAGCACCAACAUGAAUUGGAAUUACACAUCGUAGCAUAGAUGGACAAAGUACAAUGGAAGUUUAGAAUUUGAAGGAUAUAUUUUAUAAAAUAUUUGCCAUGCCAACAUUCUUCAAGCAUAAAUAGAUCAGAAUAAGUGUUAACCAAUAAACAAGCUUGCCCUUAUCUCAAAUAAAUAACUAGUGGUUUGAAAUAUAAGUUUGAAAGUCCAAUUAGCAAUUUGUGGAGGAUUGUAAUAAUUAGGUCAAUGACAGACUAUUGAAUACAACUAGAAACAACAAUAGAAGAUUUGAAUAUUAAAGUGAAUCUAUCCUUAACAUAUAAGUUACAAAGAUUUGCACUAAAUCUAUCCUAAAAAUGCACUAAAUCUCAACAAAUAGAUUUUCUUCAAUCAACUAAAAAUGAUGUAACAUUGAAUACUAUUACUUGAAAAGAGUCAAAUAAGAAUGAGAAGACCAAAAGGGGAAUACAUAAUUGUAUUCAAAAGGGAGGAUUCCCCUUAUCGGUUUUGACUAAUAUGUUUCAUCUUAAUUUCUUCAUCCAUUCAUUAUGAGAUGCAUGUGAAAGAUCUCACUUUAUGACUCUCCUAAAUAUUACAAAUGUCUUAAAUAUAUUUUGGGGUUUUUUUUAGCUCAUAUUGCCAAUAACUUUUAAAUUAAACUCACUAUCAAAGUCUUAGUCUCACCCAAAUACCAAUAGUACCAAUAAUAAGGAAGUAACUAUUACCUCAGGAUGAGUAUUAAAGAAAUCUUCAUAUUUGACUUCAUAAACAAGCUUUAAUAAUAGUUGAGCCAUAAAAGCAGAGUUUUCCAGAUGACCUUCAAUGACAUCAAACAUCAAGGAAAUUUUCAUAUAUGGAUUAAUACACAAACUUUACACAUCAUGUAUGAAGAUAUAAGCAAUUUCUACAACUUCAUGAAACAUAUAAUCUAUCUGUGUAAGAUGCCUAUAUGAGAACUUUCUGAAAGAGAAAAACAUCAAUGGUUAAGCAUUUAAGGAAGGCCUAAACUAUAAAGUACAAACAAAUGGGAAAUGUAACUGAUCCUUGCACUAUGUGACUUUAAACCUGUGAUUGUGAGAGUUCUGUGUGUGCAAGAAUUUGUAGCAUAUGCAAUUCUAUCCAGAUUAAUAUCAAGAAAGGUGAGGUAACCUCGAUAUCUAAAUUUCAACAUGUGUAGUAUCAUUUAUGACCAUUAGGCGUCUAAUAAGACCAUAAACUCCUAAAGUUAUUUAUCACAUCUAUGAAUGCUCACUUCUUUUUUGUGCCAUGAAUGAAGCAAUUUUAGUUUCACAAUUCAGAUUUCCAACAAUUCCUCAUGUUUUAUUUGGGCUAGGAAAUAGAGUAUUUGAAUUUGAAGACAUUAGGUAAGAUAAAGGCAAAAAUAUGUCGUAAUGUACCAAUGGUCGAUCGCUAUGAGAAGCAGUCUUCAGUGCUGCUGCUAGACAUUGCCUAUUUUGGAGUGACUUACCCAAAUUGGCAGCGUCUAUUGAUUGAGGAAAAAAUGGAGUCGCUUGUUACAGCGGCCGACCGUUUAAAGUAAUGGUUGUCACUUGUUCCUUCAUUUUAAGAUGUCAUUUCUAGUUUUUAACUUCUACUUUGAUUUACUAGUAUGAGUUGGAUGCCUCAUAGCACGUCUCUUCAUUGCAUUCUCUUUUCCUAACUUUAUGGGAAAAUGGGGCCUUGGAGGGAUAAAAUCCUAGCUUCUAUAUGACAAGAAAGGAACAAAGAUAACUUUUAAAGGAAAAACAAAAGAUUUUUAUGUAUGAUGUCUCAAUGGCAUUACAUAGUUGCUAUGACAUGCAAAGAUCUGUAGCAGAAAGUGGAAAGUACUACAGAUGAUCUGUGAGCAGGAGCCAUGUUGAGUCAAUGGAAUCAUGAAUCACACAUCAAACAAAAAUUGCCUAGGGAUUAUGGAGACUUGGAAUCCAUUGAAUGAAAGUUAAAGAGAUUACAUGUUAUAACCUAGACCAUAUGGAUAGGUGUUAAUCCCAGAGAAUACAGGUUAGUCUUGGUUAGUUUGUAUUUCAACAAGUAAACCAAGGCCAUUAAGUUAUCUCACAGGUCAGCGAAAGGGUUGCUAUGACUUGCUGUCAAGAGGACAAACAUGUACACAACCCUAUAACUUGUUCUAACCUAUACUAAUUUAAGAUGAUUCAAUACUCCCACCAAAAUAGAUAGCAUGACUUCUAACAUUUAUGGAAAUUCCAGGUCAAGCUAUUUUACUUUAGCAUGACCUAGAUUAGAUGUGAACUUAAAUGAGUGCUUAAUAGGAUGCAAAAAUAUUUAAUGCUACCUUAACCAAAAUAUAGUAUAGAUUUGAUAUCUAGUGAAUAGUAGGCUAGGCUUCCAUAGCAGUAACAUUAAACUUGCAAUACUUGAACCUUUAAGGGAUGUCCUCAACUUGAAGCUUAAAAGGCAAUGGAUGGAAGUGGAGUUGAUUUCCAACUUAAUGGCAAUAAAAGUGGACAACACCAUUCCUUAAUAAGAUAUGAAGUACUUUGUGGAUAUAUUCUUUGAGUUUUACCUUCUUUGGAAUAUCAACAUCUGUAAUUUGGAAGAACAAGAUAAAAGGUUAACACAAGGCUCGUAAAAUGGGUGAAACUAAUUCACAACAAGAACUAAACCAAGAAAUAACAUACUAGACUACCAAUUGCUUCCAUGUCUACUGACUCCAAAUGAGGAAGGAACUCCUUUACAAUUUCUAGUUCAUUUUUCAUGAUAUUAAUAAAAUAGGUAUCCUUUUGACAAAUAUCACCAAACUGACUACAGUCUGAUCAAAUAACACAUGAAGUUAGUAUUUUGCUAUUAAAGCAGCAAAUGCAAGCAUGCAUGUAUACAACAAUUAGGCCAUGAAGACAAAAAUCAAAUACUUGCAACUAUUUAAGGCACUAAUCAGAUCCUAAUAACUGUAAAUAGGCAACUUGGUCAAUUAAAGAUAUCCAAAUAAAUAAAACACAGAAAAAAAUAAUGCAUUAGUUUGUUUUCACUAACCCAUAUGUAAGAUUUAUAAAUUUUUAUGUAGCUAUAAAGACGAAUAUUAGUACAUAACCAUCAUAAUGCAUGGUAUUCAAGAAAUUUCUUUUUUUGGUGAAUAAUGUACAUAAUUAAAAAAACAAGGUAAAGUGAAAAAGUCAAUACGUAAUAUCAAGAAAUGCAUACAUUGAAAUUGUAAAUAUUUAUAAUAAAUGAAUAGCAAAUAAGUAUUCAUACAUAAUAUCAUCUAUAUUUGUAAAACGAAAUAUAUCAUCCAUGUAACAUCCAUAAAUGUCAAUGUAAACAUAUCACUCAUAUAUGUGAUUGCAUAUCAGUGGAAAAUCAAGUCAGAAGACAAAGUCAUAAAUACAAAAAAUGUAUUACAUUCUCAAAAUGUCCAAAAAACAACCAAACUAUCCUAACUAGAUAAUCAGUUGAAGAUGUAGGAAAAGGUCAACCCUGGGUUGGGUUAUGAGGUCGGAAUUGGGCUCUCAAGAGCGCCAUCAUCUCAUCAUGCUAGUCCCGUAUAACUUGCUUACUUGCUUGGAAAUCUUUCUUGAACCUAUCAAUUCGCCCUUCCAAAGAUGUCAAUUGUCCAUCAUUCGCUAAUGCCAUCUCUUCUAAAUGUGUAGCAAUGUACCUAAUCUCAACAUUGAGGUUGUCUGACACUUUUGCCUUGUUCCUAGCUCGUUCAGAGGGAUGAUCCACAAUACCUGUAGCUCAUGCCCCAUUGUUUGGGGGUAUUUUUGUGGCAUUUUUCGAAGACCCCUUGUCUAAGACACAACCACAUCUAGAGAUGGCAUAAAAGAUUUUUUUCCCGACGAACCAUCUUUCUUACAAACAAAUUGCAUUUGACGUAGUGACGCCCAAUUAUAUGUAUCAAAUGAUUUCAACUUCUUACCAUCAGUCUCACGCCAUAAAUUAACAUAGAAGAAUUUUACAAUCUUUGUGAUAAACAUGCCAUAUAGGAGGACUGACUUUUCACUCGAUGAACAAGCUUUCAUAUGCCGAAAUAUGAUAUACCCCAUAUUAAUCUUCCUUUCUGUCAAAAUGUUGUAAACCAAAAAGGCCUCCAAGAAAGAAACAUCAUCUCAAUGUCCUCAUUUGUGGGAAUAUGAGAAAUCAUGUGCUAUAAGACCCGACUCAACAUAGUCAAUGAAUGAGAUGUUGGUCUACCAACCUUCUCAUAACCACACAACAUAUGGACAACUUCUACUAGUUUGAAACCCUCAACCUUGGGCCACUUCUUUGAUUCAUAUAAACAGAACCCUUCAUUUAGAAUAUUUAAAAUCCUACAAAGUUCAACCACAUCAAACAUAAUUUCUACACCAUUAAUGUUUUUAGUAAUGGGUCCCUCCUCUUCAAACUUCAUAUUGAAGUAAAAGUAUUUGACAACCCUAGGAUAAACAAGCUUUUUCACCAAGACAAUAGGAAGUCAUCCCAUUAUAAAAAAAAAAACUAUAAAAUCAUAAAUAACUUAGCUUUGAGAAAUCAAUGUUCCUACUCGAGUUGACAUUCCUAUUGGUGAAAUGAAGAUUAAAUCUCGAUGUUAGCUUUGGGGUUGUGAACAUACCUCUAUCAAAGGUGACCUUCCUAUGGACCUCAACAUUUUCCUCCAUCACCCGUCUUCUCCCUUUACUGGUGCUGGUUCUUAUUGCCGUUGGAGCUCAUUUCGAUGCCAUGGGAAGUGAUUUCAACAAUAAGGAUUUUCGUUCAACUAUGGGGUGUCAGAAAGUUGAAAGGAAGAGAAGAGAGAAUGGUUGAGGGUUUUAGGUAGGUCGCCUAAAUCGAUCAACCAUGGUUUUUGGUGGGAAUUACAUAUGGUUUCAAACUUUAUUUUUAUAAUAAUGGAUGUGAUAUCCUAAUGUUUAAAAUUCCAUUUUAAUAUAAUGGGUGUGAAGGUGAAUUAUUUUGUUUUUAUAAUAAUCAAAUUAAUUUAAUUAAUUAAGGUAAAUUACAUUGUUUUUAUAAUAAUUAGGAUAUAAUAUGACAACUUAAUUAAAUUAAUUAAAGUAAAUUAUUUUGUUUUCAUAAUGAUUAGGAUAUAGUAAGACAACUUAAUUACAUUAAUUAAGGUUAAUUGAUUAAAUUUUAUAAUCAUUAAGAUAUAGUAUGACAACUUAAUUAAAUUAAUAAGUGGACAAUUGAGUAAAUUUUAUAAUCAUUAGGAUAUAGUAUGACAACUUAAAUAAAUUAAUUAACGUAAAUUGUUUUGCUUUUAUAAUAAUUAGGAUAUAGUAGGACAACUUAAUAAAAUUAUUUAAGGUUAUUCAUCAAAUUUUAUAAUCAUUAUGAUAUAGUAUGACAACUUAAUAAAAUUAAUUAAGGUUAAUUCAUCACAUUUUAUAAUCAUUAGGAUGUAGCAGCACUGCUUAAUUAAAUUAAGUAAGGUGAAUCGAUCAAAUUUUAUAAUAGUUACGAUCAUGGAUGAAAAUUUUGGAAAAAAUCGCUGAAAUUUCAUGUUUCGGCCAGGGGUGAUACAAAAAAAGGGGAAAAUAUCAAAGGGAAUAUUGGAAAAAAAUCGGUGAAAAUCGCCUCAAUAUCGACUAGGAUCGAUUAAUUGAAUUUUUUUUUUAAGAAAAUCGCCUGAGACCGUAAAAUAUCACCGAUAUUUCUAUAAUUUAUUGUCGAUAUUUUGGCGAAAUUGGAAAAAAAAUCGACGAAAAAAACGUUGUGCAGUUGCGGGACUAGGCUGUUGACCGGUCAAACAAAAAAAGAUUUUUUUAGGUUGCUGGUGCGAGACUCGAACCUGAAACUAGUGCACAUAGCCUAUUCACCAGUCACCAAUGGCUACCUUGACUUUUAAUAUUUGAUGUGCACUAGAAGAAUAUAUACUAAGAUAGUGAUAAAAACAAAAUAUUUUAAUAAACAAAUUAAUUAUAAUUAUUUUAUUUUAAAAUUUAAUUUAAUUGACCAUUAAAAAUAUAAAAAUUAUAGUGAUAAUUUUCUUAACUUUUUUUUAUAUCAUUUACAUAUUAAUUAAAUAUAAAAAAUAUAAAUAUGAAAAAAAAACUAUACAUAUAUCAUCAUUUAUUUUAUAUCAUUUAAUACAAUUGAAUUAAAUGGAUCAUAAUUUUAAUAUUAAAUAUAUUUUAAAAUUGGACAUAUUAUAAUUAAAUAUCACAAUAUUAUUGUGCAAUAAUAUUUGAUGUAAUUUAAUAAUAAAUGUACACUUAUAAAAUUCAUAUUUUUUUAUUGACACAUACGAUAUUAUUAUAUCAAAUAUGAUAAUAUAUAUAUAUAUAUAUAUAUAUAUAUAUAUAUAUAUAUAUAUAUCUCAAAUUCUUAAACAAAACAAAUGUAAAAUGUCCAUUAUACUUCUAAUUACAUUUCUAUGAAUUUUUUUUAUAUUUCCAUGAGUUUUGAUCAAUUUUAAGUGUAUCGAUAUUUUUUCCCAAAAUAUCCACCAAUAUAUCUCUGAUAUAUCAUAUAUAUUCGUAAAAUCAAAGUACUGAUAUAUCUGUAAUUACCGAUAUUUUCAUCAAUGGUUACGAUAUAAUAUAUCAGCAUAAUUAAAUUAAUUAAGCUAAAUUCAUUGAAUUUUAUAAUCAUUAUGAUAUGGUAUCAUUGCUUAAUGAAAUUAAUUAAGCUCAAUUCUAUUGUGAAAUUUAAAUAUUAUAAAUUAUCUCCAUGGCCCCACAUUAGGAUAUUGUUAACAUCAAUUCAUUGAUUUCCAUAGAAUAAUUGGAAGUAUUUUCGUAUUUGAAUUCAAUUAAUUAUCCAUAAUGUAAAUUUAAGUUAAAUUACAAUAAUAUCAAUUAAUUACUUUCUAUUAUUUUGCACAUACUUUAUAUUUUGUAAAGUUAUACAUACAUCCAUUUAAAAUGAGUGUAAUGGUCGACGUUAGGCUAAAAUUUGCUCCGUGUUAUUAUUGUUCUUUUUAAUGUCCCAUAAGAAAAUUAACCAAAAAUGGUAAAAUUUAACCACCAAUUGUACCAUUAUACAAGUUUUUUUCUACAUGUGGCAAUCUAUUAAAACUUCUCAUUACUUCACCAACCAACCUCUUAUAUAUAUUAGUAGUUAUUUGGAAAUCAAAUUUUUUUUAAAGGGAGCUAGAGAGUGAAAGAGGAGUUCUCACUGUGGGAGCUCUUGAUGCAAAAUAAUAAUAAUAAUAAUAAUAAAAUAAAUAAAUAAAAUAAAACCCUAUUUCUUGAGUUAAAGCUCCCUCAAACUUGCAAUUUCCAUUGUCAAUGUAUCAUCUUUAACAAUGAUUUGUUAAACAAAACCAUAAUAGUUUUUCAAUCUAAUUACCCCCCAACCUUUAAAGUGAUGGGAAAAAUGUGUCCCAAACCUAGAUGUAAUUUGAAAAAAAAAAAAUCUCUUUAAAAAAAAUAAAUGUAGGUUAUGCAUGUCUAUAACACAUUAUUAGUAUUUUUCAUCAGUUAACAUUUUUUAUUUCAAUGUAAUGGCGGGAGCACACUUGCCACCAAUGUCUAUCGGUUGAGGUUUUUACUCAAUCGAUUGACUAAUUUUAUAGUUGGUUGCCACUGCUACUAACAAGAUUUCUGAAAGCUACUCCAAUUGAGUGACUAGUAUACAUUGCCUCUAAAAUGAAUGACUUAUACAUCAUAGGUCGACUGGAAUUAUGCGAUUGACUUAUAUGAAAGUCAGUCGAUCCUUACUUAAGUUGUCAUUCCUACAAUUUUAAACAUGUUUUCUGAAAUGUAGGUGCUACAAUUGGAGAUGAUGAAAACAAUCAAGUAAGAAUUUGAAGUAAUGAUUGAAGAGUUACUACUAUGAUGCAAACACUUUGAAAGAGAAGAUGUUGAAGGGUAUUUCGGUUGAAGAAGUGUACAAAUUGGAAUUCAAUUGCAUAGAUGAGACAAAAACGUUUUACAACUUGUUUGCCAAAGUUACCUGAUUUAGUAUUCAGAAAGAUGAUUUAAAAUAGGACAAAAAUGGAGAUAUAGCAUCUCGAAAGUGGGUGUGUUAUAGAGAAGGACAUGGAUCGACAAAGUGUUUUGAAAAUAAGAAUCAACAAUGUGAGUCGUGAUCAUUGACUAGAGUUGACUAUGAAAUUGCAUUUCAUAUUGGGUUGAAUCAUAAAUUUGGAAAGUGAAUUAUUAAGGAGUUCAUAGGAGAGCAUAAUCAUCAUUUGGUCAAUGCUAUCGACACAAUUCCUUUGGUCUUAUUGAGCAGUAAGCAAUCUGGAUAAAGCAUAAAUUAAUGUUAUACAUAAAGGUGGCGUUAAAACAACCUAAAUUAUGGAGUAUAUGGUCCAAUAAUCAAGAGGACAUCAACAUGUUGGUUUCACACAAAAAAAUAUAUACAAUCAUGUUGAUGUAAUGCGUAGAGUUGAAAUUAAAGAUGGUGAUGCAGAAACAACUUUGGCUUACUUGUGCGGAAGGCAGAACCAGAUCCUUCAUUUUUUUUAUUUUAUAAAUUCAACGUCAAUUUAAAAUUUUGACUAGAGAACUUGUUUUGGGCUUGAUUUGAUUGCUUGAUUGGAUUAUGUGUGUUUCAAAAGAUGGGCUAGCAUUUGAUACAACCUAUAGGGAAAAUGCCUAUAAAAAGCCACUAGUCGUGUUGGUGUUAAUCAUCACCACUAAAUUAUGGUAUUUGGUUGUGUACUAUUGAUGGGUGAAAGUCUUGUUACAUAUGAAUGAGUUUUGGAGAUGUUUCUUAUAAUAAUGAUGAACAAGAAGUCCAUUUCUGUUGUAACCGAUGAGGAUAAAGCAAUGUGUAAAGCAAUUAAGAAAGUCCCUGAUGCAUGUUAUCACAUGUGUGAAUGGCAUCUCCAACGAAAUUCAUUCAUGAAUGUGCAUAUUAAAGACUUCACAAGCACCUUUGCAAGGUGUAUGUUCACGCAAGGGAAUCCUAAAGAAUUAGAACAGGCUUAGCAUGAAAUGGUUGAAAAAUUGGAUCUUGAUGGGAAUCAUUGGGUUAUAGAGAUUUAUGUGAAACACAAGAGAUGGGUUAGGCAUAUUUAUGCGAAGUAGAUAUUGUUGAAUUGAUGUCAAUUACUGUUAACUUAGAUACUGUCAAAGUUUAUGAUAUUUUAUUACAAGAAAAUAGUACAUGACUUAAGGUUGCAAAUAUGUUAAGUGAACAAUUUGAUGAAGACACUUGUUCUAUUUCAAUGUCACAUUGGGAAAAGAAAUUAGUUUCCUGCACCAUGCGCAUAAUGCAAUGAAUCUUACAGGAGAAGUUAUAUAUGUAAGUACAAGUAAAAAAUGAGAAGUUUUACAAGAAAUGCAUAAUGAAUCUUACAUACCAUAUCAUGAUGAUUGCUAAUAUGAGGAAUUGUAGCUUGAAGACACUUUUGAAUUGUGUGACCUAUCAUUUUAUUUCAAUUACAUAGUCUUCUUUUUUGAAUAUGUGAUGCAACUUUGUUUAAAUUUCCUUUACUCUUCACUAUAUUUGGAUCACAAACUUGGUGAGGACUUAUGGCUCCAUCUGGUGCUAAUUUCUUGACCUUCAAAGUAUUAUUAAAGGUUCCUCAAUUUUCACAAUUAAGCUUUCAAUUUCAUUAUUCGCUUCUAGAAAUGAAGAUGACGUAUGUGAAGCAUAGAAAGGGAGCUUGUUACACAUAAAACUUAUUGAAUUGUAUUGUACAAUCUGAUCUAUGUCGUUUUCCAUCCCAUUCAUUGAUGGUGAUCUUGGAUGUGCCUUUGCUAACUUUGUCCACCUCUUCAAAAUACAUGAAGUAGGAAUCUCUUCCAAAUGCUUUACCUUCAUAACAAUAACCAUGUGGUAACAAGGGAUGUUGAUUGACUCAAACAUCAUGCAUAAGCAUUUUAAUGUUAGAAUAUUCAACCAAAAUUGGACUUCCCAUUUAAAUUUUGGGUGUUUAAACUUAGAUAAUGUGUAUGACCACAAUGUAUCAUGGCUUACAAGCCUUACAACAAAAAAUAACUUUGCAUUCUUCAUCUCUUUACGAAAUUUGAGGAAGAAUUCCUUUGUGUAUACACUCGCAUCAUGAUUUUCAAGUAUGACGAGUUUGGUUGAAAGAACAGGUGAAGAAUUGUUCAUCUCAAACUAUACCUUUGCCUCAUUGUGUUGAAUUCUCAUUGUUGCCCUAUCGAAUUGUUGUACAAACUCAUAUAAUCGCAAAUGAAUUUUCAAGAAUCAAUUUAGAUAUGCAUUCAUACUCUCAUACCUUUGUGUGCUUCUCAUCCCUCCAAAGAAAUUUUCACGCAAAUAUGCCUCAACCCAUCUUCUAUGUUUCACAUAAAUCUCUAUAACCCAAUUAUUCCCAUUAAGACCUAACUUUUCAACCAUUUCAUGCCAAACUUGUUCGAAUUCUUCUAGAUUUCCUCACAUGAACAUGCACCUUGCAAAGGUGCUUGUGAAGUCCUUAAUAUGUACAUUUGUGAAUGCAUUUCGUUGGAGAUAUCAUUCACACAUGCGAUGACAUGCAUCGAGAAAGACUUUUUUAAUCGUCUUACGUAUUGCUUUAUCCUCAUUAGUUACAACAAAAAUUGGUUUCUUGUUCAUCAUUGUUAUAAGAAACAUCUCCAACACCCAUUCAUAUGUAGCAAGACUUUCAUCCAUCAAUAGUGCACAACCAAAUACCAUAGUUUGGUGGUGAUGAUUAACACCAACCAACAUGACUAGUGGCUUUUUAUAGGCAUUUUUCUUGUAGGUUGUGUUAAAUGCUAGCACAUCUCUAAAACACGCAUGAUCCAAUCGAGCAAUCAAAUGAACUCAAAACAUUGCAUCAACAUGAUUGUAUAUAUCUUUUUGUGUGAAACCAACAUGUUGAUGUCCUCUUGAUUGUUAGAUCAUAUAGUCUAUAAUUUGGGUUGUUUUAACACUAACUUUAUACAUAACAUCAACUUAUGCCUUAUACCAAUUACUUACUGCUUGAUGAGACCGAAGGAAUUUUGUCGACAACAUCGACCAAAUGAUGAUUAUGCUUUUCUUUGAACUCCUUAACAAUCCACUUUCCAACUUUUUGAUUCAACCCACUAUGAAAUGUAGUUUCAUAUUCAACUCUAGUCAACGAUUGUGGCCCACAUUCUCGAUUCUCAUUUUCAAAACACUUUGUCAAUCGACAUCCUUCUCUAUAACACACCCACUUUUGAGAUACUUUAUCUAUAUUCUUGUCCAGUUUCAAAUCAUCUUUUCAAAUACUAAAUCUGGUAACUUUAGCAAACAAGUUGUAAAAUGUUAUAGCUUUAUCUAUGCAAUUGAAUUCCAAUUUGUAUACUUCUUCAGCUAAAAUACCCUUCAAAUCCUUCUUUUUCAAAGUGUUUGCAUCAUGGUAGUAACUCCCACCAAUAUAUGCAUCGUUAAGGACCACAUAUUCAAUUUUCACUUCAAAUUCCUGCUUGAUUGCUUUCUCCAUCUCUAAUUCUAGCACCUACAUUUUAGAAAACAUGUUUAAAAUUGUAGGAAUGACAACUUAAGUAAGGAUCAAUUUGCUUUUCUAUAAGUCAAUUACAUAAUUUUGGUUGACCUAUAAUGUAUUAGUCAUCCAUUUUAAAGGCAGUGUAUAUCGGUUGACUUGCAAUAGUCAACUAGUAUUUAACUGGUCGCCCACUUGAAGUAGCCUUUCAGAAAUCUCGUUAGUGGCAGUGGCAACCGACUAUAAAAUUAGUCAACUGAUUGAGUAAAAACCUCAACCAAUAGACACUGGUGGCAAGUGUGCUUUCGCCAUUACAUUGAAAUAAAAAUUGCCAACUAAUGAAAAAUAUUAACAAUGUGGUAUAGACUUGCACAACCUAUAUUUAUUUUUUUAAAAGAAUUUUUUUUUUCAAUUACAUCUAGGUUUGGGACACAUUUUUCCCAUCGCUUUAAAGGUUGAGGAUAUUUAGAUUGAAAAAGCUAUUAUGGUAUUGUUUAACAAAUCAUUGUUGAAUUAAGGAUGAUGCCUUGACAAUGGAAAUUGCAAGUUUGAGGUAGCUUUAGCUCAAGAAAUCUUAUUUAUUUAUUUAUUUUUUAUCUUUGCAUAGGGCUCCCACAAUGAGAACUCUUUCGCUUUCCAACUCCUUUUAAAAAAAGUUGAUUUCCAAAUAACUACUAAUAUAUAUAAGUGGUUGGUUGGUGAAGUAAUGAGAGAUUUUAAUAGGUUGCCACAUGUAGAAAAAAACUUGUACAAUGGUACAGUUGAUGGUUGGAUUUCACCAUUUUUGGUUAAUUUUCUUAGGUGACAUUACAUAGAACAAUAAUAACACGAAGGGAAAUUCAACCUAAUGUGGUUCAUUAGACUUAUUUUAAAUGGAUGUAUGUAUAACUUUGCAAAAUAUAAAGUAUGUGCAAAAUAAUGAAAGUAAUUAAUUGAUAUUAUUGUAAUUUAACUUAAAUUUACAAUAUGGCUAAUUAAUUUAAUUCAAAUACAAAAAUACUUCCAAUUAUUCUAUGGAAAUCAAUGAAUUGACGUUAAAAAUAUCCUAAAGUGGAGCUAUAGAGUUGAUUUAUAAUAUUUAAAUUUCUUAAUAGAAUAAUUGAGAAAUUUCUCAAUAGAAUUGAGCUUAAUUUAUUUCAUUAAGUAGUAAUAUCAUAUUGUAAUUAUUAUAAAAUCUAAUGAAUUCAGCUUAAUUAAUUUAAUUAUGACAUCAUAUUAUAUCAUAACUAUUAUAAAAUUUGAUAAAUUCACCUUACUUAAUUUAAUUAAGCAACACUACUAUAUCCUAAUGAUUAUAAAAUUUGAUGAAUAACCUUUUAAUUUUAUUAAGUUGUCCUACUAUAUCCUAAUCAUUAUAAAAACAAAAUAAUUUACGUUAAUUAAUUUAUUUAAAUUGUCAUACUAUAUCCUAAUGAUUAUAAAAACAAUGUAAUUUACCUUAAUUACUUAAAUUAAUUUGAUUAUUAUAAAAACAAAAUAAUUCACCUUCACAUCUAUUACAUUAAGAUGCAAUUUUAAACAUUAGGAUAUAUAUGGUAUGUCUUGUUAAAUAAUGAACCCCCUAUAUCUAAGCAUUCCAAUUCAAUAAAUAGGGGAAGUUGAAAUUAAUUUAUAUUUCCCAAUUAUCACCCAAGUAAACCAAUUUAAAUAUGCAAUUUAAUUAAUUUUUUUCUCAAUAAACAAUCUACCUAGGGUAAUCAUUGCAAUUAAAAGUAUGAGAAUUUUGACACAUAUAUAAUAUUAAUUUAUUUAAAAUAAAGUCUGAAACCAUAUGCAAUUCCCACAAAAAACUAUGGUCGACUGGUUUGGGCAACCCAUCUAAAACCCUCAACCAUUCCUUAUUCCCUUCAACUUUUCGAUACCUCAUAACUAAACAAAAAUCCUUGUCGCUAAAAUAAUUUCCCAUGGCAUCAAAACAAGCUCCAAUGACAAUAGAGACCAACACCAACAAAGGGAAGAGACUAAAGGUGGAGGAAAAUGUUAAGGUCCAUAAGAGGGUCACCUUUGAUAGAGGUAUGUUCACAACCCUAGAGCUAGCAUCGAGAUUUAAUAUUCAUUUCGCCAAUAGGACUGUCAACUUGGGUAGGAACAUUGAUUUCUCGAAGCUAUGUUAUUUUCAAUUUGAUAGCCUUUUUUUGAUAAUGGUAUGACUACUUAUUAUCUCUAUGAAAGAACUUGUUUAUCCUAGGGGUUAUCAAAUACUUCUACUGCAAUAUGAAGUUCAAAAAUGAGGGAUCCAUUACUACAAACAUUAAUGGUAUAAAAAUUAUGUUUGAUGUGACUGAACUUUGUAAGAUUUUAGAUAUUUCGAAUGAAGGGUUCUGUUUAUCUGAAUCAAAGAAGUGGCCUAGGGUUAAGGGUUUCAAACUAAUAGAAGUUGUUCAUAGGUUGUGUGGUUAUGAGAAGGCUAGUAAACCAACAUCUCAUUCAUUGAUUGUGUUGAGUCGGGUCUUACGACACAUGAUUUCUUACAUUUUUAUCCUUAAUGGAGGACAUGAUGUUUCUUUCUUAGAGACCUUUUAGGGUGACAACAUUUUGAUAGAGAGGAAGAUUAAUAUGGGGUAUAUCAUAUUUCAACAUAUGAAAGCUUGUUCAUUGAGCAAAGAUUCAGUUCUCCCAUAUGACAUGUUUAUCACAAAAAUUAUAAAGUUCUUCAAUGUUAAUUUGCAGCGCGAGACUGAUAGUAAGAAGCUGAAAUCCUUUGAUACAUAUAAUCGGGCGUCGCUGCAUCAGAUGCAAUUUGUCCGUAAGAAAGAUGGUUUGUGGGGAAGGAAGCCUUUUGUGCCCUAUUCAAAGGUGGUGUGUCUUCAAACAAAGGGUCUUUAGAUGAGGAAAAUGAAAAUCCGGAUGUGGAGAGAGAAGAUACCCAAAAUGAAAAUGCAGCAGAAAUACCCCCGAACUAUGGGGCAUGAGCUACGAGCAUUACAAAUCAUCCCUCUAAACCAGCUAAGAACGAGGCAAAAACGUUAAACAACUUAAUGUUGAGAUCAGGUUCACUGCUACAUAUUUGGAGGAGAUGGCAUUAGCGAAUGAUGGACUAUUGACAUCUCUAGAAGGGUGAAUUGAUGGAUUCAAGAAGGAUUUCCAAGCGAAUAUGGAGGUUAUAUGGGACCAACAUGAUGAGAUGAUGGCAUUUUUGAGAGCCCAAUUCCCACUUCAUGACCCAACCCAGGAUUGACCCCUUUCUAUAUCUUCGACUAAUUAUCAAGUUAGGAUAGUUUUGUUGUUUUUUUGGACAUUUUGGGAAUGUAAUAUAUAUUUUGUAUUUAUGACUUUGUCUUCUAACUUGAAUGGCCACUAAUAGGCAAUCACACAUAUGAGUGAUAUGUUUACGUUAACAUUUAUGGAUGAUAUAUUUCAUUUUACAGAUAUGGAUGAUAUUAUGUAUGAAUACUUAUUUGUUAUUCACAUAUUAUAAAUACUUACAAUAUCAAUGUAUGCAUUCUUGAUAUUGCGUAUUGAUCUUUUUUUCACUUUAUUUACUUUUUAAUCAUGUACAUCAUUCACUAGAAAAAGAAAGUUCUUGAAUACUAUGCAUUAUGAUAGUUAUGUGCUAAUAUCCGUCUUUGUAGCUGCAUAAAAAUUUAUAAAUCUUGCAUAUGAGUUAGUGAAAAGAAAUUGAUGCUUUAUUUUGAUGUGUUUUAUUUAUUUAGAUAUUUUCAAUUGACCAAGUUGCCUAUUUGCAAUUAUUAGGAUCCUAUUAGUGCCUUAAAUAGUUGCAAAUAUUUGAUUUUUGUCUUCAUGGCCCAAUUGUUGUAUACAUGCAUGCAUGAAUUUGUUGCUUUAGCAGCAAAAUACUUACUCAAUGUGUUAUUUGAUGGGACUGCAGCCAGUUUGGCGACAUUUGUAAAAAAAAUACCUAUUUUAUUAAUAUCAUGAAGGAUGAACUAGAAAUUGUCAUUUAUGUUAUUUCUUAGUUUAUAUCUUACUUGCUAUGAAUUAUUUUCACCCAUUUUGAGAACAUUGUGUUAACCUUUUAUCUUGUUCUUCUAGAUUAUAGAUUUUGAUAUUCUGAAUGAGACAAGACCCAUAGAAUAUGUCCAUAAAGUACUUCAUAUGUUAUUGAAGCAUGGUGUUGUCCACUUUAUUUCCAUUAAGUUGGAAAUUGACUCCGAUUCCAUCCAUUGCCUUUUAAGCUUCAGAUUGAGGACAUCCCUUGAAGGUUCAAGUAUUGCAAGCUUAAUGUUACUGCUAUGGAAGUCUACCGCAUACUAUUCACUAGAUAUCAAAUUUAUACUAUAUUUUGGUUAAGGUAGCAUUGAAUAUUGUUUAAAUAGGUUCAUUACACUUUGGGGGUGUUCAAAUGAUGCCUGGAAAAUCAAAAUUUAAAGAUACUAAAAAGUUGGCAAGGGUACAUAGAAUGUGAGGAAUCCUCACAUUCUUUGUGCCCUCCUAUUUCUCCACUUCUUUGGACUUUUUAUAAAUUUUUGGCACCCCAUAAUAUAGGUUUGUUACUGAUUACUACUCAAAACAUGCUAUUUUGUAGCUUGUAAUUAGCUCUCUUAAACACUCUUGAGUAGUAAUUAUUACCUUUUAACUCGAUUAACAUGUUAGGGACCCUUGCAAUCAGAUUUCUAACAAUUGUGUUAAGUUUUGGUGUUUUUUGAUAGCUUUAUGCCCACCAAAGCAAUUUAAGAAUGAGGGAGAGCUAUUUAUAGUUCAUGGCAAAGCUUUUGGAAGCUUUGAUUUUUGAAGAAAUCAAGCUAUGGAGCCUCAUAAUCCUUUGCCUUAAUCGUUCAAAGUUUACAAGGGAGAAACAAUGGAGAAGAAGAAAACAGGGGAUGAAAACAGGGGACACAGCUGCAGUCUUUUAGUGCACUUUUGGAGCACUUCCCGAAGUCCAUUCUUUACAUUCUAUAUACCAUUUCGAAGCUCAGAAAGUCAAGAAUCCAAUGGUUCAAACCACGUAUGAUUUGGAGCUGAAAUGAGGAAGAUAUGGACUUCGGAAGACAACUGCAUCAAGCUGAGGGACAAUUUCGCACACCACUGUUUAAGGUGCGAAAUCCUCAGUCCACUGUGCGAAAAUUUCGCACACCUCAAACCAACAUGCGAAAUUGGAACUCAGCGUGCGAAAAUUGGAUAUUUUUGCCGACUCUUUUUUCUUCUGAUAUUUUUGUGUUUAAAUUUCCAUUUUCUCCUUGUAUUCAACCAACCAUGUAAUUCCUUAGCUAGGAAGUAUCCAAGGAAGGGUAAAACUACCUUCCUAUAUAAAUUCUCUUGUAAUCACUGAAAAGAUAUCUUCUUUUCGGGGAGCUUUCUCCAGGAGACCAACUUAUGUAACUUUGUUAUACAAAGAUCUCUUUUGUUUAUUUUCUCUCUUCUAUUUUCUAUUUUCUUGCAAGCCAAACACCCUCUGAGGAUGUUUUCCCAGAGGAUGAGAGGCUAAACAAUAGUUUCUUGGAUUAAAGGAAGCUAGGUGAAAAGUCCAGAUUAAAAGGUGGAAAGUUUCCGUGCAUUAAAUUCAGGUAGUUGGAGUCCAUAAAUGGUUUUUAAAGCCAAGGCUUUGCCUUAAAUCCCUUCGGAUCACUUUGACUGGCCAAUACAUGGUAAGCUUAAGGUCUCUGUGGAUACUUAUUGCUAGAUCCAUAUCAGUCCAUUAGUUAUCAUGUACGAGCCAUUGGAAAGUGAUUCAAGGUGAUAGCCCAUAGUGUCUUAAGCCAUUAAUGGACCUUGACUACCAUCUCUAGUGACUUUUUAUGGAUUAAAACUUCAUUGUCAAACCUAUACCGGUUCGGGAAAUAACUAUAGGUUAAAUCCCCAAUGCGAGGAGAAAAAUCCGGAAUUUUCCACUUUGCAUCUGGAACUUGAACCUAGCAACCUUUAGCUCCAAGAGACUUUCUUUCUUCCACUUUUUACUUAGUUCUAUGUGAGUUUAGUUUAAAUCACCACUUUCAAAGCAAUUUUAUUUUCUUUUAAAUUUCAAGUUUGUGCUAAAGGAAAUCAUCAUAAUCAAUUUCUAAAUUAGAGCCUAUCACUGAUAGAGUGAAAACCCAUCCCUGAGUUCGACCCUAGAACUGCUAUACUAUAGUAGCUUUGCUACGCCAGUGUAAGGUCAUAGGAUUUAUAAAUAUUUUUGAUUAAAAGACCCGACUAGGCACGAAUCAGUUACACUUAGGAGGCAUUCAAAUGAUGCUCAAAAAAAUGAAACUAAAAAAAUACAAAAAAAAUAGCAAGGGUACGAAAAAUGUGAGGAAUUGUCACAUGUCUCGUACCUUUCCCAUUCUCAACUUCUUUGAACUUUUAAAAGUUUUUUAAGAUUUCAUAUGGCUUGGAUAUUGUUUAGAUAGCUCCAUUACACUUAGGAGGUGUUCAAAUGAUGCCUUAUAAAAUUAAAAUCCAAAAAUACUAAAAAAUUAGGCAGGACAUGAAGAAUGUGAGGAACCCUCCCUAUUCUCCACUUCUUUGAACUUUAAAAAAGAAAAAAGAAAAUUGGGACUUCAUAUGACUUGGAUAUUGUUUAGAUAGGUUCAUUCAGUGUUUGAAAUAUCGAUAAACACGUAUAUAUCAGUACUUGGAUUUUACGGAUAUAUAAAAAAUAUCAAAUAAAUAUCGAUGGAUAUUUUUACACAAAUAUCGGUGAGACGAAAAUUAUUCAAAAUUUAUGGGAAUGAUUGGAAAACUCCAAAGAAUAAUAAAAUAAGCAAGAAUACACAUGUUAAAGUUAUUUUGUAAGUGUAAUUGACAUAAAUAUGGUUAAGAAAAAAAAAUCGGUAAACAAAGAUAUAUCAGUAGAUUAAAUACUUGGAUUUUAAGAAUAGAAAAUAUGAAUUUUGGAAUUGUACACUUAGAAAGUUAAAAUUGAGUUAAGAAAUACUUAAUUUUAUUAAAUGAAAACAUUUUAUACAUAAACAUAAUACAUAUGACAUUGCAAUAGUCCUUAAUACCAAAAUGAAGAUUGAUGUGCUUCCAUCAUAUUGUUAGAUGAAAGGAGCUCAUCUUGUUAAAGACAAUAUUCAUACCAGAACAUGGAGUUUCUAUAGUAUUGAUUGUAAGUACGAACAUGCCAUGCAUAAUUUUCUUGAGUCUUAUCCACAAUUUGUCCAUGGAUGGGAAGUCUAAGGUUUUCCCAUAUGCUCGUUUGAAAUCCUUAUUGUUGCAUCUAAUAUGGAAGGUAGUACAACAUUUGUAUGUAAGAAGGAUAGUUAUACUUUUCAUACUCUUCAUUGGUGGAACUUGAAAGAUUUGGAGAAGGCUGACCAUAACUCAUUGCAUAAGGGGCAUAAAUGUUGACUUUAUUUGACGAGUCACUGAAUUGAGUCUCUAUACUCAUUGACUCUAAAUUGGCCAACAAUGAGUCCUUGUUACAUGGCAUUAUCCUUCAUUGUCUUCCUCUAUAUGGCUUGUCAAUGGCUUCAACACCUAGACUAACUCUUCUAGAGUAGUGGUAUUCAUCUUGAGUACAAUGUGUGAAAUCAUUUUCACAAGUAAAUGUCGAUGGUUGUCCACUUUGCUGUUGUCGUCUAACAUCCCCUCCAUCAUUUCCACGGUCGCUACCAUCAUUAGUCUUCUCUCCUCUAAUAACCCAAUAGUUCUCAUGAAAACCUAACUUUUCAACCAUAUUAUGCCAACCGUGUUUGAAUUCUUUGGUAUUCCCUCUCAUGAACAUGCACCUUGCAAAUGUGUUUAUGAAGUACUUAAUAUGCACAUCUGUGAAUACAUUUUUUUGGAGAUACCAUGCACGCAUGUGAUGACAUGCAUCGGGAAACACUUUUUUGUCACCUUACGCAUUCCUUUAUCCCUAUUAGUUACAAUAAAAAUGAGCUUCUUGUUCAUCAUUAUUAUAAGAAACAUUUCCAACACCUAUUCAUAUGUACCAAUACUUUCAUCCAUCAAUAGCAUAAAACCAAAGACCACAGUUUGGUGGUGAUGAUUAACACCAACCAACACGACUAGUGACUUCUUAUAAGCAUUGGUUUGAUAUGUUGAAUCAAAUUUCAACACAUCUCUGAAACAUGCAUAAUCCAAUUGAUAUGUAGAAUCAACCCAAAACAAGUUUACCAGUUGACUUUCUUCACCAAUAUUAAAUUUAUAAUAAAAUGAAGGAUCCGCUUCUGUCAUCCUACACAAGUAAGUCAAGUUGUUUCUGCAUCACUAGCUUUAAUUUCAAUUCUACGUAUUGCAUCAACAUGAUUAUAUAUAUCUUUUGGUGUGAAACCAACAUGUUCAUAUCCUCCUAAUUGUUAGAUCAUAUAGUCCAUAAUUUGGGCAGUUUUAACAUCAACUUUUCGCAUAGCAUUAACUUGAGCCUUAUCUAGAUUACUUAUUGUCUGAUGAGACCGAAGGAAUUGUGUAUUGAUUGCAUCAACCAAAGGAUGAUUAUGGUAUUCUCUAAAGUUUUUAACAAUUCACUUUUCUAGUUUUCUAUUAAAGCUAAUACGAAAAGCAGUUUGACAUCCAACUCUAGUCAAUGAUUGUGGCUAAUGUUGUUGAUUCUCAUUUUCAAAACACUUUGUUAAUCGAUGUCCUUCUCUAGAACACAUCCACUUUCGAGAUACUAUAUCUUCAUUCUUGUCUCAUUUCAAAUCAUCUUUUCGAAUACUAAAUCCUAUCACUUUGGUGAACAUGUUGUAAAAUGUUUUUGCUUCAUCUAUAUAAUUGAAUUCCGAUUUGCACACUUCUUCACUUGAAUACCAUUUAACACUUUCUUUUUCAAAGUCUGUGAAUCGUGGGUAUAACUCCCACUAGUAUAUGGAUUCUCAUGAAUUUCAUUUUCAAGCUUCACUAUAAAUUCCUUGCUUUCUCAUUUUUCCAUGUCUAAUACUACCACCUAUAAAUUUCAAAAUAGAAGCAUAUUACAGUUGUCAAUUUUACAUUGAUGAACUUAGAAUAUAUUGCACCAUAUAUUUUAAUUUUUUUGUCUUCUUUUUCAAUGCCAACAGAUAAUUUUUGUAAGAGGAUCACAAAAUGUUUGUCCUCUACAUCCAGUGAGUAGUAGUUAAGAAAUGGAAUUACAUGUCCCAAAAUGGUGGUCAAUCGAUUGUGGCUAGAUGGGCCAUAAUUCUAGCAAUGUGUACUAGUUGAGGAACAAUAUUCGAUCGACAACAUUGCGGUCGACUAGUAUGUGUGGUAUUGUAGAUGGUUUCGAAUGUGAUAGGGUUUAUCAGUCGAGACAUUUUUCCUCCACCGGUACCCACUAGUGCUUUAGGCUUCAUGUAAAAAAUAAAUAAAUAAAUAAAUUAAGGAUAAAAAAACAUGGUUAUGUGAAAUUUAGUCCACCUGCUUUUAUUUUUUUAUAUAGCUAAUAUAAAGUUCAAAAAUGUAAUUUGUCUUUCACAAUGAGUUAUUUUCCCACAAUGAAGGUUAAAGGUAGUAAAUAAUAUGCUUUUGAUUAACAAGGUGACACAUUAAGCUUACUUUGAGAAAAUUUGAACUUUUGGGUUUCUUCGCCGACACAAUUUGCUCUAAUUUUUUGCUUUCAUGGCUUCCACUCAAACACUUCUUUUUUCACACUCUCUAUUUCCCUUUAAAAAAAUUCUUUUGUUAAAACUCCUACCAUAUGGAUGUUGGUUGGUGGGUGAAUUAAUACUAGUUUUAAUAAUUUGUCACAUUUAGGAUAUAAUUUCUACACCAGUACAUUUGGUUGUUGAUAUUUACCACUUUUGAUAUAUAUGGGUAGAUGAUGUUAAAUAGAACAUUAAUAAGAAUGAGGAAAUUUUUAUUAUUUUAAUUUGUAAUGGUAAAUUGAAAAAUUCAUGAAAUUUAAAUUAUUUUAAUUUGUAAUGGUAAAUUGAAAAAUUCAUGAAAUUUAAAUUAUUAGCAUUUGAAUUUUUAGGGGAAAGUUACACCAUUAAUAAUGAAUACAACAUUAAAAUAAGUUGAAUCGAGACUAUUUGUAAAAAAAAAAAAAAAACAAACAAACAAACAAACUAUAUGCAAACUAAUAUAAAUUAAUCAUUUGAACAUAACAAUAAGUUCAAUUGGAACUAUGUGUAAUUAAUUAAAUUUAAAAUUGAAUGUAUGGGCAACAUUUAAAUACAUUAAAAAAUUUCAAUUAACACUUAUGCCUAAAUAAUUUAAUUAUAAAUUAAAACUACAUCCAAUUUAAUCGAAAUUAAACAAUUUAUCAUUUCAAUUAGUUAAAUUGAAAGCUUAGGCAAAAUGGAGAUUCAUUAAAAUUUCUCAAUUAACACUUUUGCCUAAAUAAUUUAAUUAUAAACUAAAACUAUAUCCACUUUAAUCAAAAUUUAACAAUUUACCAUUUCAAUAAUUUGCAUUGAAAGUGUGGGUGAAUUGAGACACAUUAAAAUUUCCAAAUAAACACCUAUGCCUAAUUAAUGAAAUUUUAAAAACUCAACCUAUAUCCAAUUUAAUUGAAAUUAAAUAAUUUACCAUUUCAAUUAUUUAAAUUGAAAGUAUGGGCAAAAUGUAGAUACAUUAAAAUUUCCCAAUUAACACCUAUGCCUAAUUAAUUUAAUUAUAAACUAAAACUACAUCUAAUUUAAUAAAUUUUUAACAAUUUACUUGUUAGUUAUUUAAAUUGAAAGUAUGGGCAACAUGUAGAUACAUUAAAAAAUUUCAAUUAACACUUAUGCCUAAAUAAUUUAAUUAUAAACUAAAACUACAUCCAAUUUAAUAAAAUUUUAACAAUUUACUUGUUAGUUAUUUAAAUUGAAAGUAUGGGCAAUGUGUAGAUACAUUAAAAAAUUUCAAUUAACACUUAUGCCUAAAUAAUUUGAUUAUAAACUAAAACUAUAUCCAUUUUAAUUAUAAAAAAAAAAAAAAUCCAUUCUAAGUAAAUCACUAAGGUCCAUGGUCGACUGAUUUGGGGUAGCCACCUAAAACCCUUAACCCGUCCCUCUUCCCUUCCCUUCAUCAUCCCAACACCCAUACCUAGAACACAAACCCUAUAGCCAAAAUCCCAAUCCAUGGCACCCAAACGAGCUUCGAAGGCAACAACGACCAACAACGACAAAGGGAAGAGACUGAGGAUGGAGGAAAAUGUUGAGGUCUAGAAGAGGGCCACAUUUGAUAGAGGUAUGUUCACUACUCCAAAGCUAACAUAGAGAUUUAAUUUUCAUUUUGCCAAUAUGUGUGUCAUCCCGAGUACGAACAUAGAUUUCUCAUAGUUAGGUUAUUUCCAAUUUUUCACAGCUAGCUAUUGUGUCUAUGAAAGAACUUGUUUUUCCUAGGGUUGUGAAAUGCUUUUACUACAAUAUGAAAUUCGAAUAAGAAGAACCCAUUACUACAAACAUUAAUGGUAUAGAAGUUAAGUUUGAUGUUGAUGACCUUUGUAAGAUUUUAGAUAUUCUGAAUGAAGGGUUAUGUUUAUAUGAAUCAAAGAAGUGGUUGAAGGUUGAUGGUUUCAAACCUACAGAAGUUGUACAAAGGUUGUGUGGCUAUAAUAAAGCUAUUAUGACUAAUAUACCAACAUCUCAGACAUUAACUUUGUUGAGUAGGACCCUAUAACAUAUGAUUUCUUACAUGUUUAUCCCCAAAGGUGGACAUCAAGACGAUGUUUCAUUCUUUGAGCCAUUUUUGGUUGACAAUAUUCCAAUAGAGAGGAAGAUUAACAUGAGAUAUAUCAUUUUUCAACAUAUGAAAGUUUGUUCAUUGAGUGAAGAUUUCCUCCUCCCAUAUGAGAUGUUUAUUACAAAGAUUGUUAAAUUUUUCAAUGUCAAUUUGCAUCAAAAGAGUGAUGGUAAAAAGCUAAAGUCCUUUGAUACAUACAAUCUGGCCUUAAUGCAUCGUAUGCAAUUUGUGCAUAAGAAAGAUGGUUUGUGGGGAAGAAAGUCUUUUGUAGAUCUUACAGAGGUGGAUGUGCCUUCGAAUGAGGUGUCUUCGAAAGAGGAUGAUGACAAUUGUGAUAUAAAGGAAGGAGGUACCGAAAACGAAAUUGCCAUUAGAUCACAGAGGGGCAACGAGAGAGGAGUAGAGGUCGUUAUAGAUCAUCCAUCUCAUACAACUAGAAAAAAGGCUGAGUCUUUAGAUAACCUAAAUGCCCAAAUCAACUCAAUUGGUACACUUUUAGAGGAGAUGGCAUUGGCAAAUGAUGGACGAUUGAAAUCUCUAGAACAACGAAUUGAUAGGUUCGAGGAGGAAUUUAAAUCGGGUAUGGAGAUUCUAAGAGGCUAGAAUAAAGAGAUGAUGACAUUUCUUAGAGCCCAAUUCCCACCUCAUGACCUAGCCUAGUAUUAACCAAUGUUUUCAAAACUGGACCAGUCAUUGAAUCGAAAAAAUUACCGGUUCACGGUUCACUGGUCGGAUCAACGGUCAAAUCAGUGAUGUAAUAAAUAUAUAAUUUAUAUAUUAUAUAAAAUUAAAAAUAAUUAUAAAAAUUUAAAAUAUAUAAAAUUACAAAUUUUAAUAAUGUUUGAUUUUUAUAUUUGGUAUAUUAAAUUAAAUGAUAAAUAAAAAUUUAAAAUAUAUAAAAUUAAAAAUAAUUGUAAAAAUUAAAAAUAUAUAAAAUUACAAAUUUUAAUAAUGUUUGAUUUUUAUAUUUGGUAUAUUAAAUUAAAUGAUAAAGUUUAAUAUUUUAAAUUUUAUUAAAUAGAAAUAUGUAAUAUUUAAGAAUGAAGAUAUAUUUAAGAUGCACUACAAGGAAAAAGAUAUAUGGUGACAUUUAUAAUAAGUCACUAUAAACAUAGGGUGUCACUAGAACAUAGCGUCACCUUAUCCACUGACACCAUAGAGGGUAUCAAUUGGUGACAUAUUUGGAAGCGACACCAAAGCAGAUAAAUGGUAACACAUUCAAAAGAGACACUAUAUAUUUUUAGUGAUGCUUAAUUUGAUAUAGAGUUGUAUGAGAUAUAUAAGGUGUCAUAUUAAAUGCAUCAUCUUUGAGUUAUGGUGUCACGUUAAAUGUAUCACCUUUAAUUUAUGGUGUCACAUCAUUGUAAAUGAUUAUGGAAGAUAUGGUUGUUUUUUGUUGAUUAGUUUGUAGAUUUUUGUAAUGCUUAUUAAUAAAUAAGACUAACCUGUGUAAAUUGUCCAUAAAUAUAAUAAUCAUAUUACAUUUAACUUAUAUUUUCAUAAUGCUUAUGAAUUAAUUUGUAACAUAUUACAUCAUCCAAUAAUAUUUGUAUAUCAAAUGUUCACAAAAUGAUAGUACAUCAAACACAUCAAACCCACCAAAACUAAAAAAGAAAAGUGAAUACACAUUAAAACAUGAUUUAGAAAUGUUAAACUUCCCAACAUUCAUGUAUACUUGCAUUUCAUAUGCAUAAAACCGGCUAACCAUAAAAUGACACAAGAGUUGCAUCCAAAAACCCAAAAUUCUCAAUUCCAAAUAAAGUAACAUUUAUGUCCUAUAAUGUAUGACAUAAGAGUCAUAUCUAAAAACCUAAAUCUUGUUGCCUCUUUCUCCUUUCUUUUUAUUCUUCAUAUUGUCCUCCAAGAGUGUAUACCUGCAUUUCAUAGUUUAAUGAGUUUUAGAGUUCUUAUUGAAAAUAAAAAUGUGAUGUUAUAAACAAUAAACAAAUCUAAGUACUAAUGUUUUCUUUUUCUUUUUACUUUUUCUCAUUUUGGUAUAAAAAUAGUUUGUAAAUAAUAAGUAAUGUUAUACAAUAUCAAUGGAAAAUUCAAUCAUAUAACAACUAAGGGACUUACCAUGAAUGAUCACGAUACAUCAAUAUGAUUCAUGAUUAGUUAUAACACAAAAGUAAUAUAUUUUUCUCUAAUUUCAUCAAAUUCUACUUGAGAAUAUGUUUUAUUUGUCAUCAAACUAAAAUCAAAUGAGAAUAACAUUAAUAUCACAAUAAUUGAAAGUAUGAAAUUAUGUACAAUUCAUUAAACGAGUAAAACCUUUGAUGCAAUAACUGUAAAAUCAACAAUUAUUUCUUUAAUGAAUCUCAUAACAAAGUAGUCAUAUUUGAACUCAGUAUUAUUUUUUUACUAUUAAAUUAUUUUUAAACAAAAUAAAAAUUAUUAAUAUAUUGGUUCAUUUUUAAAUACUUUCAUAAGAAUAUAUUUUAACUACAAGUUAUUUUAAUUUAUCAAAAGAUUUUUAGGAAAUGAGCUAUUAUCCAUUUAUUAUUUUCUUAUUUUUCAAAAAAAUAUUUUCAGUCAUUUCAUACACGUUUUCAACUACUAAAAUUAUUGUUUUUAUAGAAUAAACAAAGAAGCAUACACUUCUCCUUCACUCACUAAGUCAACUAUUACAAUCACCAUAAUAUUUUAUUCACCUACCAAUAUCUCAUUCCAUUUAGGUAACUCUCUCAACAAAAUCAUUUCUACAAUACUUUUUACUCUCCUAUGAUAUUUAAUAUUUUAUUCCAUUUAGGUGACUCUCAACACAAAGAAAAGUAGGAAUGUCUUCUUAGGUUAACUAAACAAAGACUUUUUUUUUUUACUUUACAAUAUGUAUAAAAAAAACAAUUAUUUAUUACAAGGAAUGUGGUAGAAAGGUCAUUUCAUUUUUAAAGAAUUUUUUAGAAUUUCUUAAACAUUUACAAAAAAUAGAAUCUAACAAUUUUAUUUCUAAAAAAAUUGAUCAAUUCAAAAAAGAAAGAAGAAUGUUAUUUUUUAAGAAAAGUUCAUAAACCACUUUAUUCUUGAAUUAUCUAAACAAAACUUACUAAAAAAUAUUUUAUCCCAAAUUUAUUUUCAAAACUUUCUUAUUGAAAACUAUCUCAUAUAUAAAUUAUUUUAUUAUAUAGAGAAAUUCUUAUUUUAUUCUUUUUUUAGAGAAAAAUUCACUUGUUUAUUAAAUAUCAAAGAAGUCUAUUUUUAUGUCUAUUAUAUAUAUAUAUAUAUAAAUUCUCUUAUUUUCAUACAAGAAAUUUCCAUUUAUACCUAAAAUACUUUUAGAAAAAUCAUUGCCAACAAAAUUUUAUUUUUAAAAUUAUUUUCAACAUUCUUAUUUAAAAAAAUUAUCAUUGGAUUAUUUUCAAAAAGGACAGUCCUAAAAAAAUUAACCAUUUAUAACCCAAUUUAAACUCAAAAAUUAUCCCCAAUAUUAUUUUAUAUUCCUAAAUUAUUUUCAAACAAAAUAACAAUUAUUAAUAUUUUGAUUCAUUUUUAAAUACUUUCACAAAAAUAUAUUUUAACCACAUAUUAUUUUAAUUUAUCAAAAUAUUUUUAGGAAAUGAGUUAUUUUCCAUUUAUUACUAUCCUAUUUUUCAAAACAUAUUUUCAAGCAUUUCAUUCACAUUUUAAAAUUUUAAAUACUAAAAUUAUUGUUUUUAUAAAACAACAAAGCAUGUAAAUUUCAACUACUAAAAUUAUUGUUUUUAUAGAAUAAACAAAGCAACAUACACUUAUCUUCCAUUUACUAAUUCAACUAUUACGUACAAUCACCCCAAUAUUUUGUUCACCUACUAAUAAUUCAUUCCAUGUAGGUGACUCUAAAAAAAAAGUCAUAUUUAUAAUACCCUUUAUCACUCUGAUACCCAAUAUUCUAUUCUAUUUAGGUGACUCAAUACAAAGAAAGUGGGAAUGUUUUCUUAGGUUAACCGAAGAAAACCCUAAAUAACUUAAGUGCUUUUGGAUUAAUCGAGUAUCAUCUUGUAGUAGAUGUCAAUCUCUAUUGUUAGACUUCACCAAAAAGCUCCUAGCACGGUGGAAAAAAGUAUCAAAUAUAGUCAAGUCUUCAAUAAAAUACUAUUUCAUGCGAAAAAUUACUACAAACUAGUGUAUCUCUCAUUCUCAAUUAGACAAAAUUUUUAAAAAUAAUUCAUUUUUCUUGUUUUCAUUUGUUUUGGGGCUUAUUAGCAAUGAAACAAAAAAUAUGUUAGAAUGUUAAACCUAGUUUUUACUUCCCUGGAACUCGAUAAAAAACAUCAUUUACAAAACCCACAUCAUAGAUAUACUAAAUGAAGAGAUAUAAAACAAUUAUACUAACAAAGUUUUUUGCAUUAAUAAAAAAAAUGAAGAUGAUAGAUAAGAGAUUUUGACUUACCCGAGAUUUUACGAAGCAAAGAAUAUCAAUUAUGGGUGUGCCGACCAUGGGUGUGAGAAGAAGGAGAAGAAAACGAUGGUUAGGGUUAAGCAAUAAGAUCUUUUAUAUUAGUUAAUGUAUAUAUGGAAACAAUGGACUUUUCAUAAAUUGUUCUUACUCACUAUUUUUAAAAAGGGCCCAUUGAGUUAUAAAAUUUAAAACUGUUUAUUUCAUAUGGUGUCACUUCCAAAAAAUGACACCGUAAAUCUGAAAUUAGCAUCAUCUAACUAUCCUAAUUGAAGAUUUUUUAUAUGAUGUGUCACCUUUAUAAAUUUUAAGUUCAAUGGUGUCAUUAUUUUAAAUGCGACACCAUCNNNNNNNNNNNNNNNNNNNNNNNNNNNNNNNNNNNNNNNNNNNNNNNNNNNNNNNNNNNNNNNNNNNNNNNNNNNNNNNNNNNNNNNNNNNNNNNNNNNNNNNNNNNNNNNNNNNNNNNNNNNNNNNNNNNNNNNNNNNNNNNNNNNNNNNNNNNNNNNNNNNNNNNNNNNNNNNNNNNNNNNNNNNNNNNNNNNNNNNNNNNNNNNNNNNNNNNNNNNNNNNNNNNNNNNNNNNNNNNNNNNNNNNNNNNNNNNNNNNNNNNNNNNNNNNNNNNNNNNNNNNNNNNNNNNNNNNNNNNNNNNNNNNNNNNNNNNNNNNNNNNNNNNNNNNNNNNNNNNNNNNNNNNNNNNNNNNNNNNNNNNNNNNNNNNNNNNNNNNNNNNNNNNNNNNNNNNNNNNNNNNNNNNNNNNNNNNNNNNNNNNNNNNNNNNNNNNNNNNNNNNNNNNNNNNNNNNNNNNNNNNNNNNNNNNNNNNNNNNNNNNNNNNNNNNNNNNNNNNNNNNNNNNNNNNNNNNNNNNNNNNNNNNNNNNNNNNNNNNNNNNNNNNNNNNNNNNNNNNNNNNNNNNNNNNNNNNNNNNNNNNNNNNNNNNNNNNNNNNNNNNNNNNNNNNNNNNNNNNNNNNNNNNNNNNNNNNNNNNNNNNNNNNNNNNNNNNNNNNNNNNNNNNNNNNNNNNNNNNNNNNNNNNNNNNNNNNNNNNNNNNNNNNNNNNNNNNNNNNNNNNNNNNNNNNNNNNNNNNNNNNNNNNNNNNNNNNNNNNNNNNNNNNNNNNNNNNNNNNNNNNNNNNNNNNNNNNNNNNNNNNNNNNNNNNNNNNNNNNNNNNNNNNNNNNNNNNNNNNNNNNNNNNNNNNNNNNNNNNNNNNNNNNNNNNNNNNNNNNNNNNNNNNNNNNNNNNNNNNNNNNNNNNNNNNNNNNNNNNNNNNNNNNNNNNNNNNNNNNNAUGGACUUUUCAUAAAUUGUUCUUACUCACUAUUUUUAAAAAGGGCCCAUUGAGUUAUAAAAUUUAAAACUGUUUAUUUCAUAUGGUGUCACUUCCAAAAAAUGACACCGUAAAUCUGAAAUUAGCAUCAUCUAACUAUCCUAAUUGAAGAUUUUUUAUAUGAUGUGUCACCUUUAUAAAUUUUAAGUUCAAUGGUGUCAUUAUUUUAAAUGCGACACCAUAAAUAGUGACAUCAUAAAUUAUUUUUGUAGUAGUGAUGAAAAAAUUUAUAAUAUUUAAUUUUAUCUUUUUGUCUUUGUAUUUUAUUGUUUUAAAAUUAUUCUAUUAAUUAAUUUAUAUUAUUUUUUAUAAUUAUUAUUAUAAAAAUAAAUAGGAAUUUAAAUAUUUACAUUUCUUUAAAGAUUUUAUAUGAUAAAAAUUUGAAAUAAAAAUAUUAAUCUUAGAUUCUUAUUAUAUAUUUUUUUAAUAACAUCAUUUAAUAAAUAUGGUGCAAUGCUCAAUGGUUCAAACUUCAAAGACUUCAAAGUUCAAACUUUAAUUUUUAAGAGAUCCAUGCGUCCAACCCUCAAAGGGGCAAUGUUUUACCUCUAAUCAGUCCCAUUCCUAGACCCACAUCGGAAGCACAUGAAUUCUAUGUGCUCUAAGUGCUUUAUAAAUACCUUGCAACAUGCCUUUUAAGCCAAACAUCUCAACAAAUUGGGCCUGGAAGCAUGGCCCACAAGUUAAAGUUUUAUAAGCUUUUUUGUCAUUGGAUUGGGCCCUAGUGGUUUGAACCAAAUAUGAGCUUAUAAUUAGUUUCAGUUUUAAAAGUAUUGGGUGUGGAAUGGGCCUAAUGGAUAAUGGGCCUCUUAGUAGUAAACAAAUAUUUGUUGAAUUAAGGUUUGGCCGGUUUGUAAAAAAUCGGAUGGUUUGUUAGGUUUGGUGGUUCAACCGUCGGUUUGAACGGUUCAAUGUCGGUUUGACCAUGAAACGGUUCAUUGAGAUGGAUCGAAUCAGCAAGUUCACUGGUUAAUGGUUUGACCGGUUGGUCUGGUCCGAUUUUUAAAACAAUGGUAUUAACCUCGUCCUACAUCUUGGACCGAUUAUAUGGUUACCAAAGUUUGGUUUUUUUUUUUUGGACAAUUUGGGAAUGUAAUUGACAUUAUGUAUUUAUGACUUUGUCUUAGUUAUUUGGUCACUAGUGAUAAGUCAUCGACAUAGAUGAGUGAUAUAUUUACCCUGAUAUAUAUGGAUGGUAUAUGGAUGAUAUAUUUACUUUUACAACAUCAUUAGAUUGAUGUAUAGCGGUAGAACUCCAAAAUAAAAUAUUUAAGUUUAAUUUAAAUAGAUUUUUUGUUUUGUUUUUUUGUUUUUAAAUAUUAGAAAUAAAAUUCAACACAAGAUGCAAGAACUUUUAGACAUUUAUUUAAAGGGUAGUGAUUUUUAAAAUUGAAAAAAAAAAGAAUUACUUCCUCAAGUUUUAAUUUUUUUUUAACAACAUAUGAUAAAUCCAUCUUUAGGUAAGAAUUUCUAUAUUUUAUAUUUUUUGUUUUUAAAUAUAAAAAAUAAAAAGUACAUCUACAAGAGUUCUGAGUAAUUUAAUUAUUUAAAAAGAAACUAAGAAAGUUUAAUUAAAAGAACCUAAAAAGUUAAUGAUUCUUGACUAUCAAGUAUAAAAGUUUUAUUAAUGGCUAUAAGUUAUUUAACUCUUAAAGAAUUUGAGUGUAAAAAGUUAUAAGUAUAAUUUAGGGUUAAUGUGACUCAUCUUUUGCUAGGAUUUGACUAAAUAUACGUAACCCUUAUUCAUUUGAAAUUUUAUCAAAUAUCAUUUUUUAUAGUAAGUGAUGUGAUUCAAAGGAGAGGGAAGUGAAAAAGAAAAAGAAAAAAAAAGAGAAGUAAUUGAUGAAAUUUCAAACUGUUAGAUAUAUUUAACUAGAACCUCAAUGAAGGUGAAUGAAAUUAAUCAUAAAAUUUAUAACAAUAAUUGUAUAAAAAGUUUUGCUCAUUUCUCAUUGAAUUUUCAUUAGAUGGAUGGUUUUCCUUGUAUGUUGAGAUUUUAACGAUUUAUGAUGUGAAAAAGUCAACCAUAUUGAUAUAGUAUCAUAUUAAAUUUUGAAUUUGGAAGCUUUAAUAUAUGAUAAAUAUGAUUUAAUAGGAUUUAAAUAAAUAAAAUAAAGGUAAAAAAUGAUUAAGAUAUAAAAUAAUGAGAUUAAGAUAUAAAAGAAAAAAAUUAAAAUAUGAAAUAAAAAAUGAAAAUAUAAAAUAUAGAGGCUACAAAAUAAUGGAACCAGAACAAGGUUUAAAAAUUCCGGAUAUAUUGUUGAUAUAUCCUCAAAUUUUUGGUUAUAUGUGGAUCCUAACAAUUGUCCUAUGGUUCAAGCAUGGGUUUUUCAGGUAAAAAACCAACCUCUGCACCAUUGGGUGAACAUGUGUUUACUUAAUAAGUAGACAUACAUUUUAUAUAUUUUAUUUUAAAACUAAAUUUUAUAUAUAUUUUGAAAAAUAAAAUAUUAAAAUAAAGAUUUAAUAAAGACAUUAAUUUAGUUAUUUAUUUUUAAAUUUCAUUUAAUUUAUUAUUGAAAACACAAAAAUAAUAAAUUAAAUACAAAUAUAAUAACUAUAUAUAUAUAUAUAUAUAUAUUAGAUAAAUUAUCAUUUUAGUAUCAAAGUUAUUUUUAAAAUCAACAAAUUAUGAUUUNNNNNNNNNNNNNNNNNNNNNNNNNNNNNNNNNNNNNNNNNNNNNNNNNNNNNNNNNNNNNNNNNNNNNNNNNNNNNNNNNNNNNNNNNNNNNNNNNNNNAAUAUAUUUUCAAAUAUCACCUAUUAUUAUUAUAAAAUAUCAUAAAUUAUAUUAUUCAUAUAUCAUUUUUUUCAUAUCUCAAUUAUAAUAUAUGUAUUAUUAUUUCUUAUAUUAUUUUUGAUAAAAUUUUUAAUAUUUUUAUGAAUUUUGAUUAAUUUUUAUUCUAUCGAUAUUUUUUUGUAUAUCCUAAUAUAUUCGUAAAAUAAAAAUAGUGAAACAAUAACAAAAACCAAUAAAAUCUAAAUGCCCCAAUGGAAAAGGUUCGGAGCAAUAUCACAGUGGAACAAGUGUGAUGGUUCUCAUUAUGAUAUUUGGGAUAUGAUAAAUAUAUUUUUCUUUGCUUAUUCAAUUAGGAGGAAAGGAUUUUUCAGAUAAACUAUAUGUACAGAUGGUAUUGUACUUUUUCCUCCUUUGCUUUCUUCAAAUGACUUCUAAUGUCUUUACUAAUAAAAUUAUAUUACUUUAAUUUAAAACCAAAUUCAUAAAAAACACCCCUAAAAAUAACUUCAACAACUAACAUUUCAGGCCAAAUUCACAAAGGCUAACUAAUAUUAUCCGGGGCAGUUUUAAACCAAAUUCACAUAAGCCCUAAAACCUAAUACAGUGAAAUUUUCAAGGAAAUAUCGUCCAGGGCAAUUUUAAAUCAAAUUCACAUAAGUCCUAAAAUCUAAGUAGAGGAACCACUUUUUGAUCAAGACUUACAGGCUGUUGUCAUUUCCAGGCAGUAGUAAAUGUACUACCACUGACUCAUGAGUCAUCCCAUCAAAAGUAUAAAGUCCCAAUAAAUUGUUUGCUUGUUGGGAAGACAAACACUUUCCAAUAAAGCUGUUUCAAAUUCACUCCCGUCAACUGUGAAAAAGUCUGUAUGUCCAUUAAUGCGACUCUUUACUCUUGCAUCUCCAUCACUCUUCCCGUUGAACAAGAGGAGAUUCAAAGAAACCUUUCACCUCUCUGUUUGUUGGAAGUUGCAAGACUCUGGAUUAUGAGGUAACCUUCAGACAAUGCAUCUUCUUAUACACUUUCUUCCUUUUUUUUUUUUUUUUUUUCGUGUGUUUCCUUCACUCUUAGUAAACCCAAAUGAAUUUCUCAAGGAAAAAGAAAUUGGCCCUAUCUUCUUCCAGUUAGUCAUGAUGCAGUAACAAAAUUAAAUGCCCAAAGAGAAUCACUAUCUGUGGAUCCAUUCUAUUUUCUCCUCUUCUGAUUUCCUUGUCGCCAUCUUUUCAACCGUGUGGUAAAUGGGACGGUGUGAUGUGUGAGCAAGCGAUGAUUUCAAGGAAUAGUUCACCAUAUCUCAACUAUUAACCUUCUGGUUUACUUGUUUGUCCUAGUGUGUUUUCUUUUUUCUUUUUUCCUGAUUUUUUUAUCAUAUACAAAAACUAAUGUUUAUCGUAUGUAAUACUAAUCCAUUAUAUUUUGUUUCCAUGGGAUGAAGGCUCUAUAAGUUGAGUUGGACUCUUUUAUGAUUGGCUUUAAUGUUUCAUGAUUAGAUUUAUUCUUUGAGUGUUGGCUGAGAGUGGGAUCAAAACAUUCCUCAAGCACUUUGGAAGCUCUUUUGAACACGAACUUCAGUAACAUUAAUGGCUCCUUCGUCUGGAGGUAUGCUGUUGGCUUCAACAUCUUUUGAUGUUGUGAUUUAAUUUUUAUGAAUGAUAUACCUUCCUUUGGAGACUAUCUUUGGAUUAUAUAUGUCAAGAAAUCAAUAGUUUGAUUUCUCAUUGCAAUGAGGUAGUUUUGAAUAUUGGAUUAUAUAUGUCAAGUAUGACUCUCGUGUUUUGAAGGGUGUAAAAUAAAUAUACCUUAUAAUAUAUAUAUUCUUUUUUGGAAAAUAAAUUCUUUAUUUUUACAAAAUGCUAAGGUGCCAAAAUCAAUUAUUGAAUUUCAGAAUUUGAAAUUUGGACCAUUGAAUGUAUAUGAGGAGAUUUAGAAUAUUGAAUAAGGGUAUAAAUAAAUGAGACUUGAAGAUGUAUAUAUAUGAUAUUACCUAUUUUGUGGGGUUUGAUGCCUACUGAAAAAUGUUUUGUUUGACAUUCUAGAUGGAUCCCUUUUUUUUUUUUUUUUUUGAUAUAUAGCCAUAAUAAUCAACUUCCAUAUUUGUUAACUUCAAUUUUCAACCCCUUUUGAAUUCUUAAAGUUCAUUAUGGAUUUCUUUUAGGACUAUGUAAUAUGUGUUGUUUUAUUUUAUUUUUUUCUAUUAGCUUGCUCUUAUGUUUAAAAAGUAUUAGUCCAAAUGGCAAUUAGAAAUUAUCCAAGUUGGCUAUGCUUUAAUUAUUCACCUAAACAAGUGCUUUUAUGAUUUUACAUUGAGUUGAUUCAUCAUGAGAUGGAAAAAUAGAAAUUUUUUAUUUACAUUUUGAAUUUUAAACUACAUUCAUUUGUAGUUGAAAAUGAUAAGCAAUGGAAUUUUUUCUCAAUUCAUUUUUUGUAGUGUAGGUUAUUUCUUAUGGAUGAAAAUUGUCAAUGGCAUGAGCAAAGUCGGAAAAAUGGAGGGGUACUUAAAAGAGAGGUAUGCAAUUGACUAUAUUUUAUACAUUUGAUUACAAUUCAAUCAUGAUUUAAUUAUGUUAUAAUUAUUUUAAGAUAAAAAGUAAAGAAGAUGAGUAAUCCCUAAAACUUAGAAUUGAAUUGAUGUUGUUGAGCUUCUAAUAAUGAAUAUUAAUAUUAUGGGUUCACACCUAUUAUACAUUUCCAGACCAAAGAAAUGUAUCAAAUUUUUAUUUUUGGAGACUUUAAAAAAUUUUUUUUUUUACUAAAAGUGCAAGACCUAACACUAGCAUUAAGAUUUAAUGCUAUAAAUUAAAACUUUAACUCCAUUAAAACUUUGACCCCAUCCACUUUUUGUUGAGAUCCAAAAUGUUGAGUUUUCUCAAAUUUUGGCCCUUGAGAGUAAUGUCAAGCACAAUUAUAGUUUGGUCAUUAUAAGCUAUUAUUUAGUUAUUUAGUUUUGGAGCUAAAGUUUUGACAAUUGAUUAACCUCUAAUAGGAGGAGAUAAGAGAGAUCUAGUUUUUAUUUAAGAAGUAUUUAGAAAAAUUCUACAGUACUGGUACCUCGGUACCAUAUCGAAAAAACAGUCUUGGCCAUUGGAACAAUUUUCCUCACUCUAUAUAAAUAAUUAUUAAUUAUCCAUGUGUAUUUUGAUUAAAUCUCUACCAUGGAUUGAAAUUUCGAUUUUUAUCAAUCAUAUUUUAUGAAUUAAAAUUAAUUUGAUAAGAUAAAUUAUUAAUAAUUUUAAUUAUUUAAAUAAAUUAAUGUUAAUAGAAAAAGUUGUUAUCACAUAUUUUUAAUAAAAUUUUAGAAAUUAAAUCUCAAAUAAAAUUUUGUAUAUAAAUUAAUUUAAUUUUUCAUUUAUAAUGUAAUAAAAUUCUAGACUUUUGAAACUUUGAAUGAUAAAAAUUUUAGUGUUAGAAAAGUUAGAAGCGCUUUCUAAAAUCACUAUCAAAACAUACACUUAAUUAUAUUUGAUUUUAUUUAUAUCUAAAAGGAAAUGGAAAGAGGAUAAUAUCCAAUAAUGAAGUUUAUUGGUAGAUAAUAUCCAAUAGUGGAAAUUGGAUAUUAGAAUAAAAUAAAUAAAUAAAUUACGAGAUAUAUAUAUAUGAUAUUGUAACACUAAUUUUGUAGAAGUAAAAAAUAAAAAAUAAUAAAUAAAUAAAAGAUAAUAAUAAUAAUGCAACACUUGAACCUAAAGACUCUCCUAAUGCAAACAAUGAAAUGUAGAUAAUAUCCAAGGAAAAUUCUACAGUACCACUUCGGUACCUAUCGAAAAAAUAGUUUUGGCCAUUGGAUGAAGAUGAUUCAAUCCGGACCGUUUAUGUAUUUUAAAAAGUUUUAAAAAUAUAUAUAAAAAUAAAAGCAAGUUGUCGGUCACCUUGAUUUCCCGCUUCUAUCUUGCUUAAUCUUGUCUAAAGACAAAAAUUUGUCUGAUGGGUAUUACACUUGACGCCUAUUUUCAGAGAGGUGAGCUAUUAGAUUGAUGGGCAUUACAACUUUUCUCGAAUUGUAGAGAGUUAAGCUUCAGAAAUUUGAGGGUGUGGAGAUGGAAUUUUUUGGGUGAAAUGAGAAUUUACAGAGAGAGUGAGCUGAGUGGGGAUUUUGAAGGAGUAAUCAAAGAGGAGAAAUCAGCAAGAAAAGAAUCAGGCGGACUUUGGCGGAGUAUCCGAAACCAAUCUCCCCCUGCAGGCAACUCUACCCACUCUCCCAGAAUAGGUACUUCACUCAGCUUAUGUCAUAUGGUAGUGAUUGAAAUGUCAAAAAAGUUCGGCGAUAUUUCUGAGAAAGACACAAUAUUUUUAUCGAUUUUUUAGGAAAUUUCUCGAUAUUUCCUACCAGUCCAGGCCGUGCACAAACAUGAUAUUUUGACCGAUUCAAAAAUAUCGUCGAAAUUUUUGUAUUUUUACCAAUUUGUUUUUGGAAAUUUCUCGAUAUUUCCUACCAAUCCAGGCCACACACAGGAUACAAAAUCUAUCCAUUUUUUUUUAAAAAAAAAACAUAAGAUGCUUAUUGGUAAUUUGAUCAUGAUUUGUAGGCAAAGCUUGUGUUUUUUAGCCUGGCUAAAAAAUCGUGGAUUUAGGUUUCGUGAAAUUUAAAUCGAAUGGCACAAAAGCCAAGAGACCCCUAAAACAGAUCCAAAAAACAUAAGGAGUAAAAAAAAAAAAAAACCAAUUUUUUUUUUAUUUUCCUUGGGGGUUUUGGAUGGAUUUUCUCGGAAAUCGAAUGGAGGAUGGAUUUUGUUGAGAAUCAAACAAGGGUUGAAAAAAAAAUGAUAACAUGAUUAGAUUAGUACCUACGAGGAUUGAGAGUGGCAAAGUAAAAUAGAGCCUUUUUAGGGAUUCUCUCGUCUGGAGGGCAACUUCAGAAAAGGGUUUCUUGACGCCCGAGGCCUCGACUGAGAGAAGUGGUAAAAAUAGGGCCUUUUUAGGAAUUCCUCUCUAUAUAUAAAUAAUUAUUAAUUAUCCAUGUGUAUUUUGAUUAAAUCUUUACCAUGGAUUGAACUUUCGAAUUUUAUUAUCGAUAUUUUAUGAAUUAAAAUUAAUUUGGUAAGAUAAAUUAUUAUUAAUUUUAAUUAUUUAAAUACAUUAAUGUUAAUAGAUAAAAUUGUUAUCACAUAUUUUUAAUAAUAUUUUUAGAAAUUAAAUCUCAAAUAAAAUAUUUUAUAUAAAUUAAUUUAAUUUUCAUUUAAAAUGUAAUUAAUUCUAUACUUUUGUUGAACGUUUUAGUGUGAGAAAUAAUAAUGCAACAUGGAUUCGAACAUAACUCUAUCAUUUUUAAAAAGUCCCUUAUUACCACUAAAGUACCUUGAUAUGAUAUAAAAUACCAUUUUAUUAGUGUUUUGAAAUUAUGAAUGUUAACUUGUGUAUAAAAUAAUAAUAAAAAUUUGAGGGAUAAUAAAAGACAUUUUUUUUUAAUAAUUGUGUUUCUAAUUAAAAUUUGAUUUGUUCAAAUAUUUAAUUAAAGUAUGAGUAUAUGUUACUCAUUAAAAUUAAAUUAAAUUCUUUUGGUCAGGUGCAAAAUGAUACGAUUGAGGAGAACUAGGAAAGUACUAAGGAGUAGAGGACCUUGGCCGCGUUUGGAUACAAUCUUGAACUACAAGAGGGACCCUAGCCAUUCUACAAAUGAACAUGUGGAUCGUGUGGCUAAUAUGUUCAAACGUUUCGAAGAUGAAUAUAUCUUAGAGCCAAAUCGUAAAAAACAUAUUCUACAAAUGUCAUUAACAGAACCUGAGAAAAAAGUUCUUGAAAAUAUAUGUGAAUCCAUUCAAGAGAGGCCUCAUGGUUUCACAAAUAGGUCUUUUGAUGACCUAGUAGUUAUUUUCAAGGAACACUGGGAAAAAUGCUUCAUGAAGAAUGCCAUUAGACGAACAACAGUGCUUUCUAUUUCUCCUAACUUACGAAAUGCAAGAUUUUCAAAUUCUAGUAGGCAUAAAAAUCUUAGAGGGUUAUGGUUAUUGAAAACAACUUCUAGAGUUAUAGAAGACAUUGUGUAUAAUCCUAACAUUGUUCCUUUUAAUUUCAAGGGAGAAGAUUAGUUUUCCUUCUAUAUAUUACAUUUUCUUUUAUGUUUUGUACAUAACAUAUAAAUAAUUUGAUAUGCGAGACAUGACAUGUCUAUUUAUCUUGUUGAUGUGGCCUCUCUCAUAAAAAAAUUCUUUAGCUCGCAUUACUUUGUUAAGUUGUAUGCAAGAUGAUCUCAUGAAAUGUGGGAAGCGUUAAAAGACAAGUAUGGUGGACUUUCAACUACGAAGUUGAGAGGACUUGUAAUGAAAUUUGGAAAUUACAAAAUACGACUAAUCUAUAAAAUGAAACAACAUCCUAAGGAGAUGAAAAGAAUGAUAAAAGAGCUUAAAACAUUUGGACAUAUGCUCAUUGAUGACCAACAAGUUGAGAAAGUCCAUUACAGGCAUCUUUUUUUAUAUAUAUAUUGUGGAAAUUUUUUUGAAAGAUAAAAAAUUUUAAAAUAUCAUACUCUAAAUUUAAUUUUUUUUUAUUUUCUAUUUCUAAUCCAACACAACAUUAUUAUUUUUUAAAAAUUAUAAAUUAUUUGAUAUAAUUUUAAAAUUUGCCUUUUUGCUAUGCCAUGUAAAAAAGAUAAGAUAAAAUAAAUAAAAAAGAUUUAAAGUAAUUAAAUUAUUUUUAUUUGAUAAUUUAAAUUUAUUUUAAUUAGUUUAACUCAUCGAUCUAAUGAUUAAUAUUUUUAGAAAAAAACUCCAUUGUUACAAAUAUUUUCAAACUCAUUGUUGUCAAAUUCAAAACUUAAUUUUUAUCAGUAUGCUCAUUAUGUUGUAGGCUACACAAUUGCUUAGUAUAAAAGGAGUUUAUCUUAUUUUGAGCAGUCUUAUUGCAUCUUGACUUAGAAAGCCAAAUAUAUAAGAUUUUAUAUUUAUUACUUAAUUAUUUGAAUAUAGUACAUAGUUUUAAUUAGUUGUAAAUUACAUUCAUAAUGUUGUAUUUUAAAUAGGAGAAACAAUCAUUUGAGGAGAAUCCCUUCAAACCAAAAACGUCCUAUGGGUUCAUGGCUUUAUUAUUUGUAAGAAUAUAUAUACAUAUAUAGUUAAUUCAUUUUCGAUAUUUAUUUAUAUGUUGAAAAUAUAAUUAUUUUUAUGUGAUGUUUUUUGCAGUCGAGAACAAGUACUCGCAAGAAAAGGAGAUGACAAGGAAUUGAUAAUAAAUCAUGAUGUAAGAACAGAAAUGGAUAUUUGCAUAAUAUGUUUUUUAGUCAAUUUUUAUACUCUAUAUGAUAACUAACUAAUUUAAUAUUACAUUUGCGAAAAGAGAUUGGAAAAAAGUGGCAAUCCCUUUCAAAUGGAAAAAAAAAAAAAAAAAAAAAAAAGUUCUUAGAAAAGUCUAAAAAAUGCCCUCAUGAAUAUAUAAAACAAAAGGGUCGAAACUCAAAAAAUGCAUAAAGGUAAGAAAUUCGAAAUUUAUGUUUUUAAAUUAUGAUAAUAUUUUCUUUCAAUUUAAAAUAUAUAUGUUUAUGUAUAUUUAUGACUUCUAGUCGUAUCUUCACACGCGUUGUUCACCUAAUCGGGUGUAUAAACUACUUCAACACUUGCAACCUAAUCAAAAGGCGGCCAUACAAGAAAUAGGGUUUGGAGGUAUUUUAGGAUUACGAUGUACUAAACUUGAUCAUAGUUUAUGUCAUUGGUUGGUAUAGAAUUUUGACAUUCUUUCAUGCAUAUUAAGUGUGCAUAACACUUCCAUUAAAUUAUCCCUAAUGGAUGUUGAGUUAAUUUUAGGCUUGAAGGCUAAGAGAGUGGAGGUAGAUAUAGAGAGAUGCACAAGUAAACGGAAUUGAUUUAUACAUGUAUUGUGAUGGGAAGGGAAAAUUUCCAUUGUUGAUGUUAGAAAACCAAAUACGACAAUAAAAGGAAUGUGGAUUAUAUGAAUGGAAUGUAAUGCCAUUUGGACUAAAAAAUGCUCCUCAGAUAUUCCAAUGAAUGAUGGAUAAUAUUUUUGGAAAAUAUUCUUUUGUUCUUGUAUAUAUUGAUGAUAUUCUUGUCUUUUCAUAUACUCUUCAAGAACACAUAAAGCAUUUAGAAUUGAUUUUUGAAAAAUUAAUUAGUCAUGGAUUAAUAGUAAGUAAAAAGAAAUUGAAAUUAUUUAAGACUCAAAUAGAAUUUUUAGGAUUAGAAUUAGAGGAUGGACAAAUAAAAUUACAAGAACAUAUAGUGCAAAAAAUAAAUAAUUUUCCAGACAAACUCGAAGACUUAAAAACCCUUCAAAGUUUUUUAGAAUUAUUAAAUUAUGCUAGGCCAUAUAUUAAAAUCCUUAGUAGAUUAGCUGGACCCCUUUAUAGUAAAACAAAAAACACAGGCAAAGAUAUUUUAACCAAGAAGAUAUUAAACUUAUACAAAAAAUAAAAGAACUUGUGAAACAUCUUCCAACCUUACAUUUACAAUAGUGUGCAAAGUUGUCUGUAAAAAGAAGCUCCAUCAUCUUCAGCUUUGUAAAUUCAUCAGCAAUCAAUAAGAAAGUAAGAAUUUUCUGUUAAAUUUUUUGCCUUCAUUUAAAUUUCUUUAUUAUGUAUUUUUCUUACCCUUAGGGGGUAAAAAGGUAAAGUAGGGAAAUGAAAAUUAUUUGAAUUAUUUUUAAGUUUUCUUUACUAGUUAAUAUCUGUAAUAUACAUGGAUCCUUUUUAUAUAAUGUUCUCAUCAACAUAAAAAAAAAAAUCGGUUUAUUUAGAAAAUUUUGGGUGUAAAAUCAUGAAUUUAAAACUAGAGUCUUUAGUCUUAACCCUUGACCUCAAACCCAUUUUUGCCGAAAAAUUGGCGUUUUAGGGAGACUAUGUCUGGUCAGAAGGGGGGUAUUACCUUGACACGAAGUGAUGUUUUAAAAAAUUUUGAAUUUUAACACCUGAAUUUUUGAGAUAUCCGAUUUCAAAAACUUAAAUUUUAAACGUUCAAGAUUUCAAAACUUAAUUUUAUACGUUCAAAAACUUUCACUAUAAGCACAGAACUCUUUUAUUAUUUUAAUAAGUCUUUGUAAAAUUUUAUAUUAUUUUAAUACUAGUAAUUAUUAGGUGUUUGAAAAUUUUAUGUUAUUUUAAUAAGUCUUUGAAAAAUUUUAUAUUAUUUUAAUACUAGUAAUAAAUGUGUUCACACUUUAAUUCAAUAAAAAACUUUAAUCAAACUCUCAUUGCUAUCAAAGUUUUUUAGAAUUAUUAAAUUAUGCUAGGCCAUAUAUUAAAAUCCUUAGUAGAUUAGCUGGACCCCUUUAUAGUAAAACAAAAAACACAGGCAAAGAUAUUUUAACCAAGAAGAUAUUAAACUUAUACAAAAAAUAAAAGAACUUGUGAAACAUCUUCCAACCUUACAUUUACCCUUAGAAAAUGAAUAUAAAAUAGUCCAAACUGAUGCUAGUCAAACACGAUGGGGAGGUAUACUUUUAGCAGUAACUAAUAUAGGAGAAGAAAAACUUUGUAGAUAUUGUAGUGGAACUUUUAAUGAUUAUCAAAAGAACCUUAGCUCUACAGACUUAGAAAUUGAAGCAAUAAUAUUAGUCUUAGAAAAAUUUCAAUUAUUUUUGAACCAAGAACAAUUUACUUUAAGAACCGAUUGUGAGAAUAUUAAAAAAUUCUUUGAAAACAAAAAUUCUUCAAAACUGUCCACCAAAAGAUGGAUAAAGUUUCAAAACUCUUUAAUUGGUUUCAAACCUAAAUUUGAACAUAUUAAAGGAAAAGAUAAUAUAUUAGCAGACUGGUUAAGUAGACAAAUAAUUAAUAAUGUCGAUAAUACUAAUGAUUGAUUUCAUGAUUACAGGAACAUGGCUCAAAGAAAACCUACGAAAGCUAGAACCUUUCAAUAUGGAACCAUAUGUCUAAACGAAGUGUUGAAUCCAAACCUAAGGUUUAACUCUUUAUUUUCUCAAAACCUUUUUGAAGAACAUAAGGUUAUUGUAGAUAAUUUUUGGUCUCUAAAACCACAGAGUUUUUCGAACCAAAAUUUAGAAUAUGGUUAUGGAAAAACAGUGUUAGCUUUAGCCCAACAUUUACAAAACCUUCAAAACCAACUGAUUGCUUUAGAAACCCAAAAAUUCCAAAACCUCAAAAUCCAAGAAAAUCAAGAAAAAAUGAUAGAAGAUUUGAAAACCAGUACAGUGUCAACCAAUCAAACCAGCUGUUCGAACAGUCAACCUGAAGUAAUUAGUUUAAUUAAGAAAUCAGUUCUUCUGACUGAACAAUAUGAAAGGCUUGUUGUUAAAAAUAUAAUUGGAGUUGAUAACUACUCUUUCGUCGAAACCUUUUUUCUACAAAACCAAUAUAACAAAGUGUUUAAAAAUCAAGAACUUUUGUAUAAACAUUUUAGAACUAAAAAUGACGAGAUAAAAACAGGGUAUAUGGCAUAUCACGACCUUGAAUUUUUCUUUGUUAUAUAUUUAGCUUAUGUAAAUAUGUCUGUUGUAAAUAAAGAAAAUUUUGAUUUAGUACCGCAACUUAUGGAUCAGGGAAUUUUAAAAAAUGUUUUUAUGAACCAUAUAUCUCAAAUCCCUGAAAAUUUCCCAGAAAAAUUGAAAGAUAUUUUAACUUAUCUUUUUAAAGCCGAAAAAUAUAUAGAUAUUGCUUUUGAAACCAUUCCACCUUUAUUUCAACCCGAUGGAUCAGUAGUACCAGCCUAUCAUCAUGUAUAUAUAAAACAUAAUAAAGAACCACUCAUCCCUCAACAAGCACCAGAAUGGGAAAUGACCCGUUCAGAUGAAUUUCCAGAAUUUUUUACUCGCUUUAGAGCUUUUCAAAUCUAUGAUCUUAGACAAACUCGGAAUAAAUUAUUUCAUCUCAUUGGCGAAAUAAAAACCAUGUCUAUAUGGAGAGUAAAACCUUUAGAACACAUUAUUGUUCCAAACCCUUUUAUUACUUCUGAAGAACAAGAUUUUAUAACCGAACUCAGUGUAGAUAUACCGGAACCAUCUUCCUACCUCAGCGAUGACGCAUUAUUUUGGGACAACCUGGACGAUGAAAGUUAUCAUAAUCUACAAAAUGCAAUGGAAGGAUGAUGUCAGCAAUGACGACAUUGAAGCAGUAAAUGUGUCUUCAACUACAAAAAUUAAAUAUGGCAGUACAAGUUCAGAAGCAGUAAAGACAUCCACAAGCCACGUAUUAUGCAUGUAAUAAAAAGAGAAGAAAAUGACAAGAGAAAGAGACAAGAAGGAAGAGAAGAACGGAUGAAUUAAAGUCACAAGUCUAUCACAAGUCUCAAAAGUAAAAGUCUCAAAAGUCUUUGUAUUUAUUUUAUACCAAACCUCUGAACACCGUAAAUAUUUUUCCUACCAUCCAACCACUUGAAAUUAAUUCUCACCUGUAUUCUCACCUGUCACUUGUAAAUGCUUUGUUUAUAAAUUAGUGGUAGAAAAAGAAAAGAAGUGUGCUCGAGAAAGUGUGUCAAAAGGUGUGUGCAAUAGUGUGCAAAGUUAUCUGUAAAAAGAAGCUCCAUCUUCAGCCUUGUACAUUCAUCAGCAAUCAAUAAGAAAGUAAGAAUUUUCUAUUAAAUUUUUUUUUUUUUUUUUGCCUUCAUUUAAAUUUAUUAUGUAUUUUUCUUACCCUUAGGGGGUAAAAAGGUAAAGUAGGGAAAUGAAAAUUAUUUGAAUUAUUUUUAUGUUUUCUUUACUUGUUAAUAUUUGUAAUAUACAUGGAUCCUUUUUAUAUAAUGUUCUCAUCAACAUAAAAAAAAAAAAAAAAAAAAAUCGGGUUAUUUAGAAAAAUUUUGGGUGUAAAAUCAUGUUUUAAAAACUAGAGUCUUUAGUCUUAACCCUUGACCUCAAACCCGUUUUUGCCAGAAAAUUGGCGUUUUAGGGAGACUAUGUCUGGUCAGAAGGGGGGUAUUACCUUGACACGAAGUGAUGUUUUAAAAUUUUUGAAUUUUACUACCUGAAUUUUUGAGAUAUCCGAUUUCGAAAACUUAAUUUUUAUACGUUCAAGAUUUCAAAAACUUAAUUUUAUACGUUCAAAAACUUUCACUUUUAGGGAGACUAUGUCUGGUCAGAAGAGGGGUAUUACCUUGACACGAAGUGAUGUUUUAAAAAUUUUGAAUUUACUACCUGAAUUUUUGAGAUAUCUGAUUUCGAAAACUUAAUUUUUAUACGUUCAAGAUUUCAAAAACUUAAUUUUAUACGUUCAAAAACUUUCACUAUAAGCACAGAACCCUUUUAUGUUAUUUUAAUAAGUGUUUGAAACUUUUAUAAGUGUUUGUAAAUUUUAUAUUAAAAUAUUAAGUAGAUGGGAAAUGUUUAUAUUAUUUUAAUGCUAGCAAUAAAUGUGUUCACACUUUAAUUCAAUAAAAAACUUUAAUUAAACUCUCAUUGCUAAUGGAGAUUUUAAGAACCUUGACUAACAAACUGUUGUUGAAACUGCUUAUUGGGAAAAGUGUGACUGGUAAUGGGAAAAGUUGGUAUCAGAGCCCCUCUCUGUGUAUUGCAGUAUAUUAAUUAGGAAAGGAGACUGUAGAUUCAAAUUAAUUUUCAGAGUACCGAACUUUAUCUUACCCCAUAUAAAGUCUGAUUAAUUUUGCUCAAUUUAUUCUGAAUCUUUAUUUGCUCUGUUUAUUUAGUGUCAUAAGAAUUAAUGUCUUUUAUUCCUUAUCCUCCUGGUAUAUAUAAUAUAGAUUAUGAUCGUGUAAAAGAACUUAAUAAUAGGUUGUAUGCUCAACGUAAAGAAUUUAGAGAAACUUGUGAUAAAUUACAUAAUUUAAGAACUACUGUAAAAGAUUUAACCACAUAUAUUAAAAACUUAACUUCUCUUAAAUAUUUGAAUGAAUACGAAGUAGCUAUACAAGAAGCUUUUGACGAACUUUUUGCUACAGAAACCAUAAUUAGAAGAGAAAUUAUAAAAUAUUAUAUUGAUAAUUUAUAUGCUAGCUCAUCUAAUUAAAACAUAUUAGAGAUAAUGAACCCUCAUCUACAAACCCAAGAGGUAAAGUAGUUAAAAUUUUUAGUAGAGACACAAUUAAAAAUAACAAACGAAGUAUUACAAGAACAAAUUCAGAAAGAAAACCAAAAUAAUAUAGAUAUUUUAAAAGAAAUCCAGAAAAGACAAAUAAAAUCUGUAGAAAAACUAAACACAGUCUUAGGAAUUAGAAAAGAAGCUGGAAGACUUUAAGAACCAUAACUUGCUAAGAAAUAACCUAGAUUAUAUUAAAGAACAAUUAGCUAGAGAGAAAAAUUUGUUAGAAAAGAAAUAGAACAAAUAAAAUUUGACAACAAAAUUUAAAAGAAACUUUAGAAAAAAUUAACCAAAAAGUAGAUAAACUUUUAGAACAAAGAAAUAUAGUAAUAUCAGAGGAAACAACUGUACUGGUUUUCNNNNNNNNNNNNNNNNNNNNNNNNNNNNNNNNNNNNNNNNNNNNNNNNNNNNNNNNNNNNNNNNNNNNNNNNNNNNNNNNNNNNNNNNNNNNNNNNNNNNNNNNNNNNNNNNNNNNNNNNNNNNNNNNNNNNNNNNNNNNNNNNNNNNNNNNNNNNNNNNNNNNNNNNNNNNNNNNNNNNNNNNNNNNNNNNNNNNNNNNNNNNNNNNNNNNNNNNNNNNNNNNNNNNNNNNNNNNNNNNNNNNNNNNNNNNNNNNNNNNNNNNNNNNNNNNNNNNNNNNNNNNNNNNNNNNNNNNNNNNNNNNNNNNNNNNNNNNNNNNNNNNNNNNNNNNNNNNNNNNNNNNNNNNNNNNNNNNNNNNNNNNNNNNNNNNNNNNNNNNNNNNNNNNNNNNNNNNNNNNNNNNNNNNNNNNNNNNNNNNNNNNNNNNNNNNNNNNNNNNNNNNNNNNNNNNNNNNNNNNNNNNNNNNNNNNNNNNNNNNNNNNNNNNNNNNNNNNNNNNNNNNNNNNNNNNNNNNNNNNNNNNNNNNNNNNNNNNNNNNNNNNNNNNNNNNNNNNNNNNNNNNNNNNNNNNNNNNNNNNNNNNNNNNNNNNNNNNNNNNNNNNNNNNNNNNNNNNNNNNNNNNNNNNNNNNNNNNNNNNNNNNNNNNNNNNNNNNNNNNNNNNNNNNNNNNNNNNNNNNNNNNNNNNNNNNNNNNNNNNNNNNNNNNNNNNNNNNNNNNNNNNNNNNNNNNNNNNNNNNNNNNNNNNNNNNNNNNNNNNNNNNNNNNNNNNNNNNNNNNNNNNNNNNNNNNNNNNNNNNNNNNNNNNNNNNNNNNNNNNNNNNNNNNNNNNNNNNNNNNNNNNNNNNNNNNNNNNNNNNNNNNNNNNNNNNNNNNNNNNNNNNNNNNNNNNNNNNNNNNNNNNNNNNNNAUUUGAAAAGCUCUAAAGCGAGUAAAAAAUUCUGGAAAUUCAUCUGAACGGGUCAUUUCCCAUUCUGGUUCUUGUUGAGGAUGAGUGGUUCUUUAUUAUGUUUUAUAUAUACAUGAUGAUAGGCUGGUACUACUGAUCCAUCGGGUUGAAAUAAAGGUGGAAUGGUUUCAAAAGAAAUAUCUAUAUAUUUUUCGGCUUUAAAAAGAUAAGUUAAAAUAUCUUUCAAUUUUUCUGGGAAAUUUUCAGGGAUUUGAGAUAUAUGGUUCAUAAAAACAUUUUUUAAAAUUCCCUGAUCCCUAAGUUGCGGUACUAAAUCAAAAUUUUCUUUAUUUACAACAAACAUAUUUACAUAAGCUAAAUAUAUAACAAAGAAAAAUUCAGGGUCGUGAUAUGCCAUAUACCUUGUUUUUAUCCAGUCAUUUUUAGUUCUAAAAUGUUUAUACAAAAGUUCUUGAUUUUUAAACACUUUGUUAUAUUGGUUUUGUAAAAAAAAGGUUUUAACGAAAGAAUAGUUAUCAAUUCCAAUUAUAUCAUAAGGUUUUAUUUUACUUUCUAAAGGUUGUACAAGGUUUUCUAAAUUUAAAGGGGUUUGACAAAUUACAUAAUUUAAGAACUACUGUAAAAGAUUUAACUACAGAUAUUAAAAACUUAACUUCUCUUAAAUAUUUGAAUGAAUACGAAGUAGCUAUACAAGAAGCUUUUGACGAACUUUUUGCUACAGAAACCGUAAUUAGAAGAGAAAUUAUAAAAUAUUAUAUUGAUAAUUUAUAUGCUAGCUCAUCUAAUUAAAACAUAUUAGAGAUAAUGAACCCUCAUCUACAAACCCAAGAGGUAAAGUAGUUAAAAUUCAUAGUAGAGACACAAUUAAAAAUAACAAACGAAGUAUUACAAGAACAAAUUCAGAAAGAAAACCAAAAUAAUAUAGAUAUUUUAAAAGAAAUCCAGAAAAGACAAAUAAAAUCUAUAGAAAAACUAAACACGGUCUUAGGAAUUAGAAAAGAAGCUGGAAGACUUUAAGAACCAUAACUUGCUAAGAAAUAACCUAGAUUAUAUUAAAGAACAAUUAGCUAGAGAAGAAAAAUUUGUUAGAAAAGAAAUAGAACAAAUAAAAUUAGAACAACAAAAUUUAAAAGAAACUUUAGAAAAAAUUAACCAAAAAGUAGAUAAACUUUUAGAACAAAGAAAUAUAGUAAUAUCAGAGGAACAAAAAUUANNNNNNNNNNNNNNNNNNNNNNNNNNNNNNNNNNNNNNNNNNNNNNNNNNNNNNNNNNNNNNNNNNNNNNNNNNNNNNNNNNNNNNNNNNNNNNNNNNNNNNNNNNNNNNNNNNNNNNNNNNNNNNNNNNNNNNNNNNNNNNNNNNNNNNNNNNNNNNNNNNNNNNNNNNNNNNNNNNNNNNNNNNNNNNNNNNNNNNNNNNNNNNNNNNNNNNNNNNNNNNNNNNNNNNNNNNNNNNNNNNNNNNNNNNNNNNNNNNNNNNNNNNNNNNNNNNNNNNNNNNNNNNNNNNNNNNNNNNNNNNNNNNNNNNNNNNNNNNNNNNNNNNNNNNNNNNNNNNNNNNNNNNNNNNNNNNNNNNNNNNNNNNNNNNNNNNNNNNNNNNNNNNNNNNNNNNNNNNNNNNNNNNNNNNNNNNNNNNNNNNNNNNNNNNNNNNNNNNNNNNNNNNNNNNNNNNNNNNNNNNNNNNNNNNNNNNNNNNNNNNNNNNNNNNNNNNNNNNNNNNNNNNNNNNNNNNNNNNNNNNNNNNNNNNNNNNNNNNNNNNNNNNNNNNNNNNNNNNNNNNNNNNNNNNNNNNNNNNNNNNNNNNNNNNNNNNNNNNNNNNNNNNNNNNNNNNNNNNNNNNNNNNNNNNNNNNNNNNNNNNNNNNNNNNNNNNNNNNNNNNNNNNNNNNNNNNNNNNNNNNNNNNNNNNNNNNNNNNNNNNNNNNNNNNNNNNNNNNNNNNNNNNNNNNNNNNNNNNNNNNNNNNNNNNNNNNNNNNNNNNNNNNNNNNNNNNNNNNNNNNNNNNNNNNNNNNNNNNNNNNNNNNNNNNNNNNNNNNNNNNNNNNNNNNNNNNNNNNNNNNNNNNNNNNNNNNNNNNNNNNNNNNNNNNNNNNNNNNNNNNNNNNNNNNNNNNNNNNNNNNNNNNNNNNNNNNNNNNNNNNNNNNNNNNNNNNNNNNNNNNNNNNNNNNNNNNNNNNNNNNNNNNNNNNNNNNNNNNNNNNNNNNNNNNNNNNNNNNNNNNNNNNNNNNNNNNNNNNNNNNNNNNNNNNNNNNNNNNNNNNNNNNNNNNNNNNNNNNNNNNNNNNNNNNNNNNNNNNNNNNNNNNNNNNNNNNNNNNNNNNNNNNNNNNNNNNNNNNNNNNNNNNNNNNNNNNNNNNNNNNNNNNNNNNNNNNNNNNNNNNNNNNNNNNNNNNNNNNNNNNNNNNNNNNNNNNNNNNNNNNNNNNNNNNNNNNNNNNNNNNNNNNNNNNNNNNNNNNNNNNNNNNNNNNNNNNNNNNNNNNNNNNNNNNNNNNNNNNNNNNNNNNNNNNNNNNNNNNNNNNNNNNNNNNNNNNNNNNNNNNNNNNNNNNNNNNNNNNNNNNNNNNNNNNNNNNNNNNNNNNNNNNNNNNNNNNNNNNNNNNNNNNNNNNNNNNNNNNNNNNNNNNNNNNNNNNNNNNNNNNNNNNNNNNNNNNNNNNNNNNNNNNNNNNNNNNNNNNNNNNNNNNNNNNNNNNNNNNNNNNNNNNNNNNNNNNNNNNNNNNNNNNNNNNNNNNNNNNNNNNNNNNNNNNNNNNNNNNNNNNNNNNNNNNNNNNNNNNNNNNNNNNNNNNNNNNNNNNNNNNNNNNNNNNNNNNNNNNNNNNNNNNNNNNNNNNNNNNNNNNNNNNNNNNNNNNNNNNNNNNNNNNNNNNNNNNNNNNNNNNNNNNNNNNNNNNNNNNNNNNNNNNNNNNNNNNNNNNNNNNNNNNNNNNNNNNNNNNNNNNNNNNNNNNNNNNNNNNNNNNNNNNNNNNNNNNNNNNNNNNNNNNNNNNNNNNNNNNNNNNNNNNNNNNNNNNNNNNNNNNNNNNNNNNNNNNNNNNNNNNNNNNNNNNNNNNNNNNNNNNNNNNNNNNNNNNNNNNNNNNNNNNNNNNNNNNNNNNNNNNNNNNNNNNNNNNNNNNNNNNNNNNNNNNNNNNNNNNNNNNNNNNNNNNNNNNNNNNNNNNNNNNNNNNNNNNNNNNNNNNNNNNNNNNNNNNNNNNNNNNNNNNNNNNNNNNNNNNNNNNNNNNNNNNNNNNNNNNNNNNNNNNNNNNNNNNNNNNNNNNNNNNNNNNNNNNNNNNNNNNNNNNNNNNNNNNNNNNNNNNNNNNNNNNNNNNNNNNNNNNNNNNNNNNNNNNNNNNNNNNNNNNNNNNNNNNNNNNNNNNNNNNNNNNNNNNNNNNNNNNNNNNNNNNNNNNNNNNNNNNNNNNNNNNNNNNNNNNNNNNNNNNNNNNNNNNNNNNNNNNNNNNNNNNNNNNNNNNNNNNNNNNNNNNNNNNNNNNNNNNNNNNNNNNNNNNNNNNNNNNNNNNNNNNNNNNNNNNNNNNNNNNNNNNNNNNNNNNNNNNNNNNNNNNNNNNNNNNNNNNNNNNNNNNNNNNNNNNNNNNNNNNNNNNNNNNNNNNNNNNNNNNNNNNNNNNNNNNNNNNNNNNNNNNNNNNNNNNNNNNNNNNNNNNNNNNNNNNNNNNNNNNNNNNNNNNNNNNNNNNNNNNNNNNNNNNNNNNNNNNNNNNNNNNNNNNNNNNNNNNNNNNNNNNNNNNNNNNNNNNNNNNNNNNNNNNNNNNNNNNNNNNNNNNNNNNNNNNNNNNNNNNNNNNNNNNNNNNNNNNNNNNNNNNNNNNNNNNNNNNNNNNNNNNNNNNNNNNNNNNNNNNNNNNNNNNNNNNNNNNNNNNNNNNNNNNNNNNNNNNNNNNNNNNNNNNNNNNNNNNNNNNNNNNNNNNNNNNNNNNNNNNNNNNNNNNNNNNNNNNNNNNNNNNNNNNNNNNNNNNNNNNNNNNNNNNNNNNNNNNNNNNNNNNNNNNNNNNNNNNNNNNNNNNNNNNNNNNNNNNNNNNNNNNNNNNNNNNNNNNNNNNNNNNNNNNNNNNNNNNNNNNNNNNNNNNNNNNNNNNNNNNNNNNNNNNNNNNNNNNNNNNNNNNNNNNNNNNNNNNNNNNNNNNNNNNNNNNNNNNNNNNNNNNNNNNNNNNNNNNNNNNNNNNNNNNNNNNNNNNNNNNNNNNNNNNNNNNNNNNNNNNNNNNNNNNNNNNNNNNNNNNNNNNNNNNNNNNNNNNNNNNNNNNNNNNNNNNNNNNNNNNNNNNNNNNNNNNNNNNNNNNNNNNNNNNNNNNNNNNNNNNNNNNNNNNNNNNNNNNNNNNNNNNNNNNNNNNNNNNNNNNNNNNNNNNNNNNNNNNNNNNNNNNNNNNNNNNNNNNNNNNNNNNNNNNNNNNNNNNNNNNNNNNNNNNNNNNNNNNNNNNNNNNNNNNNNNNNNNNNNNNNNNNNNNNNNNNNNNNNNNNNNNNNNNNNNNNNNNNNNNNNNNNNNNNNNNNNNNNNNNNNNNNNNNNNNNNNNNNNNNNNNNNNNNNNNNNNNNNNNNNNNNNNNNNNNNNNNNNNNNNNNNNNNNNNNNNNNNNNNNNNNNNNNNNNNNNNNNNNNNNNNNNNNNNNNNNNNNNNNNNNNNNNNNNNNNNNNNNNNNNNNNNNNNNNNNNNNNNNNNNNNNNNNNNNNNNNNNNNNNNNNNNNNNNNNNNNNNNNNNNNNNNNNNNNNNNNNNNNNNNNNNNNNNNNNNNNNNNNNNNNNNNNNNNNNNNNNNNNNNNNNNNNNNNNNNNNNNNNNNNNNNNNNNNNNNNNNNNNNNNNNNNNNNNNNNNNNNNNNNNNNNNNNNNNNNNNNNNNNNNNNNNNNNNNNNNNNNNNNNNNNNNNNNNNNNNNNNNNNNNNNNNNNNNNNNNNNNNNNNNNNNNNNNNNNNNNNNNNNNNNNNNNNNNNNNNNNNNNNNNNNNNNNNNNNNNNNNNNNNNNNNNNNNNNNNNNNNNNNNNNNNNNNNNNNNNNNNNNNNNNNNNNNNNNNNNNNNNNNNNNNNNNNNNNNNNNNNNNNNNNNNNNNNNNNNNNNNNNNNNNNNNNNNNNNNNNNNNNNNNNNNNNNNNNNNNNNNNNNNNNNNNNNNNNNNNNNNNNNNNNNNNNNNNNNNNNNNNNNNNNNNNNNNNNNNNNNNNNNNNNNNNNNNNNNNNNNNNNNNNNNNNNNNNNNNNNNNNNNNNNNNNNNNNNNNNNNNNNNNNNNNNNNNNNNNNNNNNNNNNNNNNNNNNNNNNNNNNNNNNNNNNNNNNNNNNNNNNNNNNNNNNNNNNNNNNNNNNNNNNNNNNNNNNNNNNNNNNNNNNNNNNNNNNNNNNNNNNNNNNNNNNNNNNNNNNNNNNNNNNNNNNNNNNNNNNNNNNNNNNNNNNNNNNNNNNNNNNNNNNNNNNNNNNNNNNNNNNNNNNNNNNNNNNNNNNNNNNNNNNNNNNNNNNNNNNNNNNNNNNNNNNNNNNNNNNNNNNNNNNNNNNNNNNNNNNNNNNNNNNNNNNNNNNNNNNNNNNNNNNNNNNNNNNNNNNNNNNNNNNNNNAUGAGCUAGCAUAUAAAUUAUCAAUAUAAUAUUUUAUAAUUUCUCUUCUAAUUAUGGUUUCUGUAGCAAAAAGUUCGUCAAAAGCUUCUUGUAUAGCUACUUCGUAUUCAUUCAAAUAUUUAAGAGAAGUUAAGUUUUUAAUAUAUGUGGUUAAAUCUUUUACAGUAGUUCUUAAAUUAUGUAAUUUAUCACAAGUUUCUCUAAAUUCUUUACGUUGAGCAUACAACCUAUUAUUAAGUUCUUUUACACGAUCAUAAUCUAUAUUAUAUAUACCAGGAGGAUAAGGAAUAAAAGACAUUAAUUCUUAUGACACUAAAUAAACAGAGCAAAUAAAGAUUCAGAAUAAAUUGAGCAAAAUUAAUCAGACUUUAUAUGGGGUAAGAUAAAGUUCGGUACUCUGAAAAUUAAUUUGAAUCUACAGUCUCCUUUCCUAAUUAAUAUACUGCAAUACACAGAGAGGGGCUCUGAUACCAACUUUUCCCAUCACCAGUUUCAACAACAGUUUGUUAGUCAAGGUUCUUAAAAUCUCUGUUAGCAAUGAGAGUUUAAUUAAAAAAUUUUAUUGAAUUAAAGUGUGAACACAUUUAUUGCUAGCAUUAAAAUAAUAUAAACAUUUCCCAUAUAUGAUAAUGCAACACUGCAAUCCUGUAGAAGUAAAAAAUAGUAAAUAAAAUAAAAUAAAAAUAAUAAUAUAACACGGAUUCGAACAUAAGUCUAUCAUUUCAAAAGAGUCUCUUAUUACCAUUAAAGUACCAACACUUGAUAUGAUAUAAAAUACCAUUUAUUAGUGUUAUGUUGUUUAUUUCAAAUUAUGAAUGUUGAUUUGUGUAUAAAAUAAUAAUAAAAAUUUGAGGGAUAAUAAAAGACUUUUUUUUUAAUAAUUAUGUCUUUCUAAUUAAAUUUUGAUUUGUUCAAAUAUGUAAUUAAAGUAUGAGUAUAUGUUACUCACUAAAAUUAAAUUAAAUUCUUUUGGUCAAGUGCAAAAUGGUACGAAUGAAGAGAACUAAGAGAGUACUAAGGGGUAGAAGACUCUGGUCGUGUUUGGAUACACUUAUGGAUUAUAAGAGGGACCCUAACCAUUCUAUAAAUGAACAUGUGAAUCAUGUGGUUAAUAUGAUCAAGUGUUUGAAAGUGGAAUAUAUUUUUCAGUCAAACUAUAAAAAGCGAAUUUUACAAAUGUCAUUAACGGAACCUAAGGAUAGUUUUAAAAAAUAUGUGGGAAUUCGUUCAAGAAGAGCCUCAUGGUUUGACAAAUAGGUCUUUUGAUGACUUAGUAGCUCUUUUCAAGGAACAUUGGCAAAUAUGCUUCACGAAGAAUGUCAUUAGAUGAACAACAGUGCUUUUUAUUUCUCCUAACUUGCGAAAUGCAAGUUUUUUGAAUUCUAUUAGGCAUAAAAAUCUUAGAGGGUUAUGGUUAUUGAAAACAACUUCUAGAGUUAUAGAAGACACUAUGUAUAAUCCUAACAUUUUUUUUUCUUAGUUUUAAGGGAGAAAAUUAGUUUUUCUUUUAUAUAUUACAUUUUCUUUUAUGCUUUGUACAUAAAAUGUAAAUAAUUUGAUAUGUAAGACAUGACAUGUAUAUUUAUCUUGUUGAUGUGGCCUGGAAGAAAAAAAAAUUCUUUAGCUCGCAUUACAUUGUUAAGUUGUAUGCAAGAUGAUCUCAUAUUGAGUAUAGGUAUACCAAACUCCUCAUGAGAUGUGGGAAGCUUUAAAAGAAAAGUAUGGUGGACUUUCAGCUACGAAGCAGAGAGAAAUUGUAAUGAACUUUGGAAAUUACAAAAUACGACUUAACCAUAUGAUGAAACAACAUCUUAGGGAGAUGAAAAGAGUGAUAAGAGAGCUUAAGACAUCUGAACAUGUCCUCACUGAUGACCAACAAGUUGAGGUAGUCCAUUAUAGACAUCUCUUUUUAAGUGAUAGAAGUCCAUGCUGACUUGUGAACUGAACCUUAUAGGUUGACAAGAUGUGUAGAAAUAGAGCGUUGGCUAUCAAAAAUGAUUGGAUCAUCACUUCUCAUUUUAUAUAUAUAUUAUGGAAAUUUUUUUUAAAGAUAAAAAAAUUUUAAAUAGCAUACUCUAAAUUUAACUUUUUAUUUUAUUUUCUAUUUCUAAUCCAAAUAGUCUCCACAUCCAGUGUGCCCUAUGAAUUCACCCACAACAAAAAAACAUCAAAGGGCGUAAGAUUUGAUUUUAUAACUAACCCGUUUUUUUUUAACUCUUUAAAAAGAAUAAAAACACAGAUAUGCAAGAUAUUUCCACCAAAUUCAAACUUUCAUUCUAUGGUUAUUUUAUGUUUCUCAAAUUCUCAUAAAAAAAACUCAAGGUUUAAGAUUGUCAAUUUUAUAUUCAUCUACACGCUGAUUUAUUUAUUUGCAUAUUUUUCUAUUAAUUAUUUCUUUUUCUUUUUCUAUUUCUUUGUGAAACCAAAAUAACAAUUAUAUUAUAUGGAGAAGGAAUAUAAGUUGAAAUGAAACUUUUACCUGAAGUUUUCUUUGGAAAAAGAGAGAUAACUUCUCCUCUUCACUUUAGAUCUAAAAUCUCAAUUUUUCUCUAAACUUUAUUCCCUAUAGUAUUUAAAAGUGUAUCCAAAACGUAGUUUAGGCUUUAUGUAUAUAUAUAUAUAUAUAGCCUAUAGUUCAAAAUUUAAGCCCAUAAGGUCUAAAAUUUAAGCUUUUGGACCCAAAGUUAUAUGUUUGGGCAAACCCAACCGUUAGGUAUGUAUAAUUACUUAAAUAGAUAAAAAUAUUUAUUGAGGUAUUGUUUACGUAAAUUUAUUAUUUUCUAUUUUUAAAAACAACAAAAUAGUAAUAACUCUCACAUAAAACACAUAAAAUAUUAGAACUUUUGACAUUUAUUUUGAAAGGGUAAUGAUUUUUAUUUUUAUUUUUUUACAUUAAGGUAUCAAAACUUUUUUACUUCCUCCAAUUUUAAACCUUUUAAAAAUAUUUUUUAAGAACAUAAGUUUAGAUAUAAAAUAUGGUGUUAUGUGAUAAUAUAUUUGGAUUGUUUUCACUUAUUUUUUACUCUUUUAAAAAUAUAAUUUUACAAAUAUAAAAAAUAAUUAAAAAUAAAAUACUACGAACUACUUUUAAGAAAUAUUUAAAAAUGUGAAAAGUAUGUUAAAAAUAUUUUAAGUUCUCAAAUAAAUUUUUAUUUUGAAAAUAUUAUAGAAUUAUUUUUAAAAACUGUUAUUAUAAAUUAUUUAAAAAUAAAUACUCUCAAAUAAACCCUAUGUUACACCUUAUUCUUUUCUUUACUUUUAUUACAUCAUUAAAUUGAUGUACAAUAAUUGUGCUCCGAAAUCAAACAUUUAAGUUUAAUUACAUGGGUUUAUAUGAUGACCGAAUUUGGAGGUUAGGAUACUACAAUCAUUUCAUAUAUGAAACCUAAAGGCUUGAAAUGAAAAUGACUUGAUAAGCUGAAAUAAUUAAGUUUACCAAAAAGUCUUAACUAGAAAUUUAAUUUCACAUAGAAAAUUCAUAUGACAAUUCUCUCAAAAGUAGUAGUAACUAGUUUCAAAACUGAACAAAUAAAAGAACUUCUCAAGCCCUUCCUACUUAUGUCACUAAUCCUUCCUAGAAUCAAGUGUACCUAAAAACAUUUAAUAGAAGGAGUGAGCUCGAAAGCCCAAUAAAGGGAAGAGAUCAAGUACAUUUAUUUUUUUUUUAUUUAAAAAAAUGAAAUAUAGAAUGCUUGUAACAUGAGUACAAUCAUAAGAACCAAACUUAUAUUACAUAUGUUAUCUUCGAAAAUGUAUCAAAUUGAAGUUCUUAAUAAACCUGCAUAUAUUCAAUAAAAAAAUUUGGUUUUUAAUAGAAGUGUCCAUCAUAGUGGGACUUACAAAAGUACCCAUCAUAGUGGGACUUACAGAGGUGCCUAUUAUAGCGGGAUUUACAUAAGUGACUAGCCAUAUUCCUUAUAUGUUGGUGGGCAAAACCAAAACCAAUUUAAUGAUACACUAUACAUUAGUAACUACCUUACUCGCUAGGUUUUUAAAUCAUUGUGAACCCCACCAAAGGUCACAAAGGUCAAUAUCUUUUUCCCUGGUUGACUAGGGCUAGAUAACUAGAAUGCAUAUGUAAAGUAAAAAUAUAAUCAAAUCAAAACAAUUCUCAAUAUCAAUAUUUCAAACUUAUCUAAACAUUUUUCAAAUUCACUAAUCAAAUAUAACAAUAAAAGUAAGAAUUUCAUGUUUUAAUUAUUAUUCUAAUUUUCUCUUUGUUAUUUAUUUAUUUGAAUUUUUAUUUUAACUCAUAAGGGGUACAAGGGAUAAAAUAUAAAGAAGGGAAAUGAAAUUUAUUUGAGUCAUAUUUUUAUUUUUUACUAAUUAAUAUCUAUAAUAUACAUACAUCCUAUAUAUAAAUCUUAAAAUAAAAUAAAAAUAAAAAGAUUGGGUUAUAGUAAAAAAAAAAUUGCUUUAAAAUCAUGUUUUAAAACUAGUCUUUAGCUUUAACCCUUGACCUGUAACUCGUUUUUGCUGAAAAAUCGACAUGUUUUUAGGAGACUUUGUCUAGUCUAAGGGGGGGUGCUACCUUUACACGAAGUGAUGUUUUAAAAUUCUGGUUUUAUUCAAAAAAAUUCUACAGAAAUUUGAUCUUCAAAUAAACUAUUUAUCUUCUUUUCCCUUGUUUUUGAAUCACCUGAGAGAUUUAAAGAAAUCCUUCAUAUUAAAGUUUUAAUAAAUAUUAUUUCAAAAUAUAUUUAUUUAUUUAUUAACCCUAUACCAAAAUCAAGUAAAAUCAAUUCAUAUAGGGAAAUAUCUAAUUUCCAUUACUUAGGUUGACUUAACUUGUUUUUCUUAAACAAUUACUCAAAAAUUUUUCUUAAGGAAUUUUAGCCUAAUAUUUUCUGGCAUCCAACCAUUUAAAUGAUUUAUUAAACCUUUUAUUAAGAUUAAUUCUUCUAUACCUCAAAAUCACAUUGGAAAUACUUCUACAACCUCCAUGGUACAAAGAAAAAAAAAACCUUUUACUUUCAAUCAACAUCAUAUUAUUUUCCAACCCAAAAUACACUAACAAAAUUUUUCAUAACCACUUGUACUAAUUUUAAUGUUUUCCUAUGAUAGUUCUAUAGUCUCCACAUGCAGUGUGCCCUAUGAAUUCACCCAGAACAAUAAAAUAUCAAAGAGCAUGAAAUUUGAUCUUGUCACUAACACCUCUUUUUUGACUCUCUAAAAUGAAUAAAAGUAUAGAUCUACAAUAUAUUUCCACCGGAUUCAAACUUCAAUCCUAGAAUUACCUUAUGUUUCUUAAAUCCUCACAAAAAAAAACUCUAGAUUUAAAAUUUAUGAAUUUUAUAUUCAUCACCGAUUUAUUUAUUUACAUUCUUUUUUAUUAAAUAUUUUUUUUAUUUCUUUGUGAAACCAAAAUAACAAUUAUAUUCUAAGGAGAAGGGAAGGAAUAUAAGUUGAAAUGAAACUCUUUGAAGUUUUCUCAGGCUCCUCUUAAUGUGGUUUAGGGUUUAUUAUUAUUAUUAUUGUUAAUUAUAUAUAUGAUAUAGUCCAAAAUUUAAGCUUAUAGACCCAAAAUUAUAUUUUUGCCCAAACCUAACCCUUAUGUGUUACAAUUUACAUGUAUAAUUACUUAAAUGGAUAAAAAUAUUUAUUAAGGUGUCGUUUAUAUAAAUUUAUAUAAAUCUAUACAUUUUAUGUAAAAGUUCUUAGUUUAUAUAAAUAUAAGAUGGUACUAUUUUUUAUUUUGCAAAUAUAAGAAAUAAGAUGUGUACCCAAACCAUCACUAAUUAAGUAAUUUAAUUGUUCUAAAAGAGAAAUAAGAAAAUAAGAAAGUUUUUUUUCUUCUUAAAAAGCUUUAUAAAAAAUAAGGAAUAUAUAAUUUUAGGAAAAAAAAAAUUAUGUAUAUAUAUAUGUUAAUGUCUAGAAGUUAUUUAACUCUUAAAAAAAUUUGAGUGUAGAAAGCUAGAUAAGAAAUGUUGAGAAAUAAAGCUAUUAAUAGAAUUUAUGAUAAGAACUGUUGAGAAAUUUUUGCUUAUUUCCCUUUUUUGUUUGUUUGUUUUUAUGUGGACCAGCUUGUAGAGAUUUAAAGAUCUUAUGAUAAGGAGCAGUCAAUGGUAUUCAAUUGAUGUACAUUCAACUGUGAAUUUGAAGAAUGAGAUGAAUGAUAAAAUCUAAAUUAUUGCAUGAAAGUAUAAAUAUAAAGGAAUAUGAUAUAAAUAAAUAAACUUAAAAUAAAAAUAGGAUCAUAAUAUAAAACAAUAAGACUACAAAAUAAUGAAAUUUGAUUAGAAAACAAUAAAAUCAAAAUGAAAUGUAUGGCAACUAUGGAAAAGUUGCUCAACUAUAAUAUCGUAAGUACAUGUAAUAAUUCUCUUUAUGAUAUUUGGGAUAUGAAAAAAUAUAUUUUUUCUUUACUCAUUUCUUUUUCUGGUCAUUUUAUUAAGAAAAAUGCUAAUAUAUUGUAGUGGUGUUUCUUAAAAUCCAAAUCUAGAUGUGGACCCCGCAUUUCGACUCAUGCGUUUCCCACUCGAUGGCGAGCUCGAUUUUAAUUUGAAAAAUGAUUUUUAUUGAUUAAGAAAAUGACUUGGAGUCGCCACUUAUUUUUGUUUUAUUUUUGAAAGGGUAAACAAAAUAAGAAAGAAAACCCUAAGUGCGACUCCUUAUUUUGGAAAAGGUGAUCUACAAAAAAUCGGAUCGGGCUUGGGGGUCAAGUUACUUAUCGAGAAGGUACGGUAAAAGACCAUAGCACCCCUCUAAGUCCCUAAAGUCGGGUCUCUACUAAUAAAAUGAAGCUGACGUGGCAAUUGACGAGUAAAUCAAUGAAUAUCCUGAAUGAUCAUGCAUACAUAAGAGUCAAGACAUGCAUAGACAACGAUUAGAGGGAAAAUGGGUACAUACCUGGGGCAACGAGCCGACAUGCGCUAUCAAUAGAGAGGGUUAGUGCACAAUUUAGGAAUAAUCGCAUGUAUGUCAGAGAGUAGGGUAAAUCAAUCACGUAUGAUAAUCAAAACAAGCGAUCAAUCAAUCAAUCAUAAAGUCACCCAUGUUGAGCACCCACCAAAGCCCGUUUAUUUAGCAUGACUUAAUGUCACAGAUUCCAUUAUUCUGGAAUUAUGAAAAAUUCGUUCACGCUUAUUAAAAUCAAGAGGAGUGGAAGAUCGUUUGAAAACCAGAGCGAAAUUAAAACUAUUUGAGAGAAAAUUAGACUUUUGAAAUUUAAUUGAAAAAUUGGAAUCUCGAAGAUCACUAGAAAAUUGGAGUUUUAGAGUUUAUUUGAAGAUCAGACUCUUAGAGGUUGAAUGUGAGAAUGUGAAUUUUAGAAAUCGAAUUUGAAAGAGAUUGGAAUUUUGAAAAUGAUUUGAGGGUUCGGGAUUUUAAAAAAAGAUUAAGUUACGAAAAUUGGGAUUAUGGGAGUUAAAUUUUGAAAAGGAUCAGAAUUGUAAGUUAUUUAAGAAGUAGAAAUUAUGAAAGUUGAUUUAUAAAAAAUUGGAAAUCUUAGAAGUCAUUCGAAGGCAGAAUUUAUAGAAAUAAUGAAUAAAAUAAUAGUGAUAAUGAUAAUAAUAAGUAGUGGGAUAAAUACGGGGAUUGGAGCAUGGGAAAUUGAAAAUUGAGUUCAAUGAUUGAGAUUUUUAAAAGAAACAAAUAGAUAAACAUAGAAUAAUGUUACUAAUUAAUCAAAACGAUAUUUGGACGGAUGAAAAUGAACAGUGAGAUUUGUGAGAUUAAAAAUUAAAUUAAGAAGUCAGGUUUUUGAAGAAUUGGACUUUGAAUAAAUAAAUAAAUCUAGGAUGACAAUUCUGCUUAAGGAAAAUAACAUUUAAAUGAAUAAAGAAGAAUAGUGGAAUUUUUAGGGUUGAAAAUUAAGUUAGGACAUCGGAUUUUUGAAGGGGUAGACUUUAAAUAACUAGAUAAAAACGGGAUUGUAAUUCUAAUUGAUGAAAAUAAGAUUUAAACAAAUUAUUGAAAAAUUAAGUUAAGGCAUGGGAUUUUCGAAGGAUUAGACUUUAAAUAAAUAGGUAAAUAAGGGAGGAUAAUCCUAAUUGAUGAAAAUAAGAUUUAAACGAAUUGUGGAAUUUUUAGAAUUGAAAAAUUAAAUUAGGGAGUUGGAUCUUCGAAGGAUUAGACUUUAAAUAAGUAAAUGAAUAUGGGAUACUAAUUCUAAUUAAAGAAAAUAACAUUUAGACCCAUAGUAGAAUUUUAGGAUUGAAAAUUAAAUUAUGACAUUGGAUCUUUUUAAAGGAUUGGAUUUUAAAUAGAUAAAUUAAUAUAGGAUGAUAAUACUAAUUAACGAAAAUAACAUUUAAACCGAAUAAAAAGAAUAGUGGAAUUUUUAGGGGUUUGAAAAUUAAGUUCAAUGAUUGAGAUUUUUAAAAGAGAUAAACAAGUGUGGAGUUUUCUAAUUGACGAAAAUAACAUUUAGGCGAAUAGUGGAAUUUUUAGGAUUGAAAAUUAAAUUAUGACAUUGGAUUUUUGAAGGAUUAGACUUUGAAUAAAUAAAUAUGAGACAAUAAUUCCUAAUUAACAAAAAUGACAUUUAGACGAAUAAGGUUUGAACGGACUAUUGAAAAAUUGAAUUAAGACAUGGGACAUUGUAGGGUUAGACUUUGAAUAAUUAGGUAAAUAUAGGAUAAUGAUUCUAAUUGAUGAAAAUAAGAUUUAGGCGAAUUAUUGAAUAAUUUAAAUUAAGAUAUGAUUUCCUUGAAAGAUUUAGACUUUAAAUAGCUAGAUAAUGUGGGAUAAAUAAUUCUAAUGGAUGAAAAUGAGAUUUAAACAAAUAUUUUGAAGAAUUAAAUUAAAACAUAGGAUUUUUGAAGGAUUAGACUGGAUAGAUGGAUGAAUAUAGGAUAAUAAUUCUAAUUAAUGAACAUAAGAUUUAAACGAAUAUUUGAAGAAUUAAAUUAAGGCGUAGGGUUUUCGAAGGAUUAGACUUUAAAUAACUAGAUAAAUACAUGAUGAUAAUUCUUAAUUGAUGAAAAUGAGAUUUAAACGGAUUAUUGAAGGAUUAGAAUUAUCUUUAUUAAAUAUAAAAUAAAUCCAGGGACCCAUGCUAUUCAUACCUCCCCUUCCUUCUUCCCAAAGCUCUUUGCCCUCUCCGGGUGUUUGGCUUCCUCCAGAAAAAAAAAACUCCCUCCAGCUCUCCACCCUUCUCCCCUUUUUUUUUGCUUCCUGCUGCUAUCUUCCUUGGCAAGCCAUCACCAACUUUGCUGUUCACCCAUCAGCAAACAUGGCUAGCCAUCCUCCCUGCUACUUCACGUCCCAUGCAGCCGGGAUUCAUGGUAAGAGAGGGGGUCCCCCUCACACUUCAAAAGGAAUGCAAUGAAAAAUAAUAAAAAGAAACUACAUCCACUCUCUUCAGGUCCUCACCCAGGGGUCUACACUAGACUAUUAAAUACAUAUUGUGAGAUUUGAAUUGUUAAACGAUAGUGCAAAUAAAUGAAAUUAAGGUAUUAAAAUAUAAAUAAAUGAGAAUAAAGCAUAAACAAUAUGACUUAAAAAUGUAUAUUAUAUAUAUAUAUAUAUAUAUAUAUAUAUAUAUAUAUAUAUAUAUAUAUAUAGUUUUAGGUAAAUACAACUAACCUUAAUUGAUUUGAAAAUUCGUCAAAUAUCUCACUUAUUUUGAAUUAAAAGAAAAAUGCAUAAAAAUAUCAAAUAAGAAGAAAAAAAAAAAAGAGGUAUGUCAUGAAAUUUAAAACCAAUAAAAAUUAGAUAUAUUUAACCAAAAUUUCAAGAGCAAUUAAUGAAAUUAACCCAAUAUAUUUUUGUAUUGUAGGUAAACCUUUUUAUUAAAUGGUUGGAGGCUAUAGGGGUUGCAUUAAUUUAUGAAAUAAAAAGGGUUUUUCCAAAAAACAUAAAAAGUAUUCAGUGUAGGCUUCUUUGCUUUCUUCGAAAACUUUAAUUACAUAAUUUUUAAUCCCUCUAUUAGUAAUUAUAUUAAUAUAAUUACUCUAAUUUAAAACCAAAUUCAUUUAAAAAAAGAUUAAUUUCAUUGAAACCCUUUAAGGUUUGGUGUAAAUAUAUUCUAUCAUUAUUGGUUUUAAAUUUCGUCAAUUAAUAUUCCUAAAAAGAUUUUAAUUAAGUAAAAAUAUUUUAGAUUAGAGUGUUUAACAGUUUUUUAAAAAUAAAAUAUUAUUUUUUAAAAAUUAAUAUUUAUAUAUCAAAUAUGUUUAUAAGAAUGUUAAUUGAUAAAAUUGAAACCUAAGAUAGCUUAGCAUAUUUAUACUAAAUGGGCUAUCAACGAAAUUAACCCUUUAAAUAAAAAGAAAAACCUAAAAGUUAUUAACUUGAAGAGCUUCAGACCAAUAUCACAAAAGGCUAACCAAAUUAACAAAAAGUCUAUAAAUCAAAGAUGGUGAAACUUAAGCUAAUCCAAAUUAGAAAAAAUAAAAAAUAAAAAAACCAUUUUUCGAAGAUCUGCAGCUAGGUAUCAUUUCCCAUGCAAUAGUAAAUGUACAUGUCCAGUACCCUGACUCAGUCAUCCCUUCUAGUUUAAAGUUCCAAUAAAUACAAAAUCAACAAAAUCUUUUUCUUAAGUUUCCAAUAAAGCUGUUUGAAGCCUGAUAUGUCCUUCCAGCUUAAAGUUCCAAUAAAUCGUUGCGUGUUGGGAGGACAAAAUUAAUUUCUUGGUUUCCAAUACGGCUCUUCAAAUGCACUCCAGUCAAUUCUGAAAAUGCCUAUGUCCAUAAGUGUGACUCUUUCCUAUUACAUCUUCUCAUUUAUGGGAAUGCGAAAAAUUUGUUGUUAGAAGUAUAUAUUAGUUGGUGUCUAGAUUGAAAGUAGCCUUUCAUCCUGUCGGAGGUUGCAACGCAAUGGAUUAUGAGGUAACCUUCAGAACAUGCAUCUUCUUUUAUAUUUUAUUUUUUAUUUUUUUAUAAGUUUUUGUCUUGUUCAUGUUACGAUGUUUACCAACCAAAAAUACCCUCAGGUGUUUUCUCCUUUCUUAGUAAACCCUUAUAAGUUUCUCGAGGAAAAAGAAAUUGGCCUUGUUCCAGGUAUGAUGCCGUAACAAAAUUAAACACCCAUAAGGAAUCGCAAUUCCAAUCCCUAAACAAUGGUAUGGUAAAUGGGACGGUGUGAUGUGUGAAAAUGGACGCUCCGUUUGAAAUGAUGAGGGUUUAAUCAAUAAUAACAAUUGUGUUUUUAAUCCAUGUAGGAUUUAUAAUUAAGAUAAGGUACUCCGGGGUGAUGAUAAGGAUAUGCAAUAAUAAUUAACAAAAAUACCCAUUUGAUUCAUUUUUAUUUUUAUUCUACUACUUGUCACUAUUCUUUCUUAUUUAACCAUUUUUUGAAUUUUUAUUAUUUUUUUUAACUCUUUUAUAAAUAAUUAAAAAAUUAAUAUUAUUUUUUAUUUUUAAAUUACAAAAAAAAUUAUAUUAAUAAUUCAAAGACCAUUUUGGAAAAUGCUUUCUAAAAAAAUAUUAAUUGAAAUAAAUAAAAAUUAUAUUUUACAUUUAUUUUUAUUUUUUACAUUUUAGAAGUAAAUAAUUUAAUGAUUAAAAUACCAUUUAAAAUAAAUAUAUUCACUAUUUUUAAUUUUUUUUUAUAAUAAAAAGUAUUUUUAAAGUUUUUUUUACUAUUACAAAAUAAAAAAGUUUAAUUUUUUUUUUUUAAUCUUCUUCCUUCCUUAUUUUAAUAACUUUUUGAACAUGACUUUUAGUAAUAAGUUAUAUGAAAUGUUAUAAAUUUGUUUAUUAAAGAUUUUUUUUAAUGAUUUGAAUUAAUUGAAAAUUUAUUAAAAUCAGAAAAAGAAAAAGAAAUAAAGAGGAUGGAUGGAGAGUUUUUAUUUUAAGUACUCAAUUAAAAUGUUUUCAUAUGACCUAAUUUUAGAAGUGAAUUAUAUCAAUAAAUAGUAGAGAUUGAAUUUUGCUUAUAUAAAAGGGUUGAAAUGUAUAUUUACUUAUUUUAGAUGAAACAAGUAACUAAAAAUUAUAUAGAUUAUAUUUGAGUUUGGUUUUAAAAUAUUUUUCUAGUUUUUAUUUUUUAUUUUUUUAUUUUUAAAAAUAAUUUUUAUUUUCUAUAUUGUCUCUUUUUGAAAAUACAUUUAAUUAAAAAAUGAAAACUAUUUUUAAAAAUGAAAAUUGAAAACCUUGUUUAGUACUAUUUUUUUUAUAUGAAAAAAAAUUAUUUAUUCAUUUAUUGCACCACUAUACAAUUGUAUUACACUAACUGUACAAAGAAAAUGUAUUAAGUGUACAAAGGUGUACAAUGCUACCAUUUGUGAAAGAUUAUAAUUAAUUAUGAGUCAUUCCUUUAUUUUUCUUAUCACUCACGAAUUGUGCAUAUAUGUCAUGCUCUUUAUUUAAUUCCUGCAUGGAAAUUCCAAUACUUUCUCUAAUAAUUAUAUUUGGGGAAAAAUUUUUUGACAUUAAGUCAUUCACCAUAUUCUCAACUAAACCAUUGGAAAUAUGGUUAAACACUCCUACGUGGACAUUGACACAUAACUUAUGAGGGAUAUGAAAUUUGUGUCAUUAUACAAGGGUAUUACACUAACUGUACAAGGAAAAUGUACUAAUUGUACAAAGGUGUACAAGAUUACCCUUUGUGAAUUAUUUUAAUCAAUUUUAAACCACUUUUUUAUUUUCCUUGUCACCCAAGGAUUGUACGCUUAUGUCAUGCAUUUUAUUUAACUCUCACAUGGAAAUUCUAAUAUUUUCCCCAAUAAUGAUAUUUGGGGGAAAAAAUUGAUCCUAAGUCAUCCACCAUUUUCUUAACCAAACCAUUAAAAAUGUGAUUAAUACACCUACAUGAACAUAUAACUUAUGAGAAAUAUGAAAUUUGUGUCAUUGUAUAAGGGUAUUACACUAACUAUACAAGGGAAAUGUGUUAAGUGUACAAGGGGUGUACAAGACUCCUAAUAGGUUUUAUACAAUUUUUAAACAACUUGAAUUUGACAUUAAGACGAUUAUUGAUAAUUUUUUUUUUUACCAAACUAUGUCAUUAAGACAUUCUCUACAAAAAUCAACACAUAGGAAAUAAAAUUAAAAUCAAUCAUGUUUGAAUUGUUCAUUAUAAGUAAACUAAAUGAAAUAUAUAUUUUUUACUAUUUUUCCUUUAUAAACAUAAUUUCAUUGUUAUCAAUAGAGAUUAAAAAAAAAUCAUAUUUAAAUGGAAUUAAAAAUAAACAAAAAUUAUUUUUAUAACAUUUUUUUUAAAUCAUUAAUUUAAAUUAUGAAAUUAGUUUUAAAAUUAAAAAUAUUUGUUGUAAUUAUAGUUUUGAAGAUUUCAUGAUUUUUAUUUUAUUACUUUGACAAAUUUGCUUUAAUAAGAAAAUAUUUAUUUUAAUGAUUUUAAAUAUUUAAAUCUUUAUUAAAAAAUAUUUAGGAUUAGUGUGGAGAGCAAUUAGGUAAUUUUGGAAUAGAGAAAUUUUGAAUAUUUUGAAGACUUUAAUUCGGCCAGUUACCCUAUUUACACUUUCAAAAUUAUUGGAAGGUUGGUAAAUUAGUAUUAAAAAUAUUGUCUUCUUGAUUAAUAUUAUAUAUAUAUAUAUGCAUGUGAGUGUUUACAUUAUUUUUGAAAUAUAAACACCAUGUGUCUAAUUUGCAAGUUAGAAAAAAAAAUUAAUAAUAUUUUCUGAGGUAUUUAAAAAGUAUUUAUUAUAUGUUCUAUAAAUUUGAAAAUAUAUCAUAUUUGAUGAUACUUAAUUUACAAGUUAGAACAAAUAAAUAAUACUAAUAUUUUAUGAGGUGUUUAAAAAUUAUUUAAUAUAUAUGAGAAAUAAUAUAAGUUUGAAAUAAAGAAUCAUAUUUAAAAUUAUAAUCAUAUUUAUCAAAUUUUUUACUAAGAUUAUCUUUAAUUCUUUUAAUAUAUUUAUACUCAUUUAUUUAAAAAAAAUGAAAUUUUGAUUUUUUUUUUUUUUUGUAAACAUGUUCUAUUACCUUUCAAGUAAAAAAUUAGAUAAGUUUGAAAGUCAAUAAAAAAAAUUAAAUACCACUUUCAAUAAUUUUUAGAUAAAAUUUUAUAUAAUAUAUUUUAUUUAAAUUUAAUUUCUAAAGUUUAACUAAAAAAUUGUAUUGAAAAUUUUCUUGUUGUGAGUCAAAAUACUUUGCAUUAGUCUAUCUAGAUAAGAAAAAUUAUUAAUAUAAUAUUAGAACUUCAUAUCUUAGUUAUUUAUUUCAAUAAAUUUAUCUUUUUAAAAAUUUUUAAAAUAAAAACAUUAAAAAUUAAAAAGCUAAAAAGGAUAUAUAUAUAUAUAUAAUAAAGUGAAGUGAUAGUCAAUUUUUAAAUUUUUUAAAAUAUGGUUAAUGUAGAAAAUAUAAAAAAUAAUUAAAAAUAAGAGAAAAAUAUAAAUGAAAGGGUAAUAUAAAUUUAAAAUAAAAAAUGAAAAUUAAACUAAAGGAUAAAAAAAUAUUUGGAUGAAAAUUCCCAAAAAAUUUAUCAUUGCUUAUAAUAAGAGCAAAAAGAUUCAAUAUCUUUAAAAAUGAAAAACAAAAAAACGUUAUUGCUUUUUAUUUGACAUAAAAUAGAAAUAUAGAUUGGAAGAAAAAGAAAAAAAAGUUAGAAAUGAGUAAUACUUAAUAGGGAAUAGAAAAGGGAAAAAAAAACACAAAAAAUUGAAAUUCACACUCAUUUGUACCUAUGUAAGGGUUAAGGGUAUUUUAGGGAUUAAUGAAAGACAAUAUCCUUCAUCUUAAUUUUCAUACUUUGUUUGGGUUUUGAGCUUAAAUAUGCAUGAUAUAUAGACCAAAUGUUAAUUUUUGGGCCUAACUGGGCCAAAAACACAAUUCUCCCUAAUCAACAUGCCUUAAAAAAAUAGGUUUGAUUGAAGUCCAUGAUAAAUACACAACCAUUACAAUAGGGAUCCAUACACAACUUCAAGGCAUGCUCAUAAAUAUAGCCUAUUCCAAUUUUAGUUUGAACUCUUUCCUAUUCUAAUAUAGCUUCUUCUCAUUUGUUCAUUGUCCCUUUUUAUCUCUUAUUUUCAAAUCAAGCGUUGAGUAUUGACUAGAAAUGUUUUAGCCAUAAAUUUUUUUUUUUUUUUUUACAUCCAAUUUCUCACCAUCCAAACAUAGCAAAAACAAAAAACAAAAAACAAAACAAAAGAUAAUAGAAAAAUAAUAAAGUUUUUCUCCCUUUUCCACUUUAAGCCAUUGAAUAUAAGUGUUUGAACCUAUUAAAGCCUAAACUAAUAAAUUAAAAGAAACAAAAUGAAAACUCCAAUGGGUUCUUAGAGUAAAAUAAUAAAUUAACGAACUAGAUGUUCUUUCUGUGUGCUGAAAGUUAUGUUUUAUGGUCAUCACUUUCUAGGUGUUUUCUUUUGCGAGAAUUUAUGAUUAUCUGAUUUGAAAAAGGAAAAAUUUUGAAAAAUGCAUGGUCAUUUAUAGAUCACAUAUUAAAUAUUGUGACUUAAAUUUUCAAAGCACCAAAAUUCUUGUUCUUCCAAAAUUAGGGUUUGAACAUUAUAUAUCCUUACCUAGAAUUCAAAAUUAGUUGUAUUCUUUGAGAUAUACCGUUGAAACUUGAAAUUGAAAAUUUGCAAUCAACAAUGGCUUAUAUUAGAAAAAUUUAGGUUGGUGUUGUAACCUACCCAACCUCAACUUGAGUCUAAUGCUUUCGAUAAGUGUAGCUUUUAGUUACUUUAAAGGGAUUGCUCUACCAGGUGUAGAUGUUGAUGGUGUUCUUUUUGAUAGCUUUGUAAGUCGUAUAAAAAACACUUCAAUACAUAUGCCUGAAGCAAUUUUUUUUGUUUAUCAAUAGAUGGUUGUCAUAGGAGAAAGAACAUCAAUAGGAAUCAGUGAUUCACCAUAGAAUGUAGCUUGUUAUGGUUCAUUACUAAAAUGAUCUAACAUGAACAUUGAUAUGGUUAAUUUUGAUCAUUCAAAACCUUCAUGAUUAUAUCAAUUCAACCAUAUUGACCACUAUGAGAUAAACAUGAAAUGAAACAUAAAUAAAAUUCCUACUACACUCGAUUGGCCCUAUAAAAGUAGGUCAGAAGAUAAUAGCUGGCAUAAUUGACCUCCUGGACGUUUACUUCAAUGGUGAAAAGUGUCAAAGGCCAGAAAGUUGUUAAGCUGCCUAAAUCAGCCAUGCCGUGGUGAUUGCCAUUGAUAAUUCUUGUGGUACUUGUCUUUCAACUUAAGAAAAGGGUUGACUCAUAAUUCUUGGUAUAUCCUUAUUUAAAAUGGGUUAUUUUGUUGGACUAAGUGGACAAUUGAUUUGGACCUUGCUUACGUGGCUUUUCCAAGUGGCUUAUCCAACUAUGAGAGUUGUUAAAGUGUAGAGGGCAUUUUUGGAAGGGCCUUAACAUCAUUAUUACAAUGUAUGAAAGACCAUUUAUUUUCCCCAAAAUCCACUGAAUUUGAAAAGUAAAAAGGCAAAGUUUCUAAAAGGCAAAAUUUUGCCCCUUGGUGUAUGGUUACAUAAAUUUUCCAUUUUUUUUUUAAAGAUUUCAUAUAGUUUGGAUAUUGUUUAGAUAGGUUCAUUACACUUAGGGGGUGUUCAAAUGAUGUCCGAUAAAAUCAAAAUCCAAAAAUACUAAAAAAAUUAGGCAAGGUACGAAGAAUGUAAGGAACCCUCCCUAGUCUCCACUUCUUUGAACUUUUAAAAAAAAAAAUUGGGACUUCAUAUGACUUAGAUAUUGUUUAGAUAAGUUCGUUCAGUGUUUGAAAUAUCAGUAAACAUGGAUAUAUCAGUAUUUGGAUUUUACGGAUAUAUCGAAAAUAUUGGAUAAAUAUCGAUGGAUAUUUUUACACAAAUAUCGGUGAGACAAAAAUUAUUCAAAAUUGAUGGGAAUGCUUGGAAAACUCCAAAGAAUAAUAAAAUAAGCAAGAAUACACAUGUUAAAGUUAUUUUGUAAGUCUAAUUGACAUAAAUAUGGUCAAGGAAAAAAAUAUUGAUAAACAUAGAUAUAUCAGUAGAUUCGAUACUUGGAUUUUAAGAAUAGAAAAUAUGAAUUUUGGGAUUAUACACUCAGAAAGUUAGAAUUGAGUUAGUAAAUAUCUGAUUUUAUUAAAAGAAAAUAUUUUAUACAUAAACAUAAUACAUAUGACAUUGCAAUAGUCUUUAAUACCAAAAUGAAGAUUGAUGUGAUUCCAUUAUAUUGUUAGAUGAAAGGAGCCCAUCUUGUUGAAGACAAUAUUCAUACCAGGACAUGGAGUUUCAAUAGUAUUGAUUGUCAGUACGAACAUGUCAUGCAUAAAUUUCUUGAAAUCUAGGGUUUUCCCAUAUGCUUGUUUGAAAUCCUUACUGUUGUAUCUGAUAUGGAAUGUAGUACCACAUUAGUACGGAAGAAGGAUAGUUAUACCUUUCGUACUCUUCAUUAGUGGAACUUGAAAGAUUUGGAGGAGGCUGACCAUAACUCAUUGCAUAAGGGGCAUAAAUGUUGGAUUCAUUUGAUGAGUCAUUAAAUUGAGUCUCUAUACUCAUUGAAUCAAAACUGGCCAACAAUGAGUCCUCAUUACAUGGCGUCAUUCUUCGUUGUCUUCCUCUAUAUGGCUUUCCAAUGCCUCCAACACCUAGACCAGCUCUUCUAGAGUCGUGGUCUUCAUCUUGAGUACAAUGUGUGAAAUCAUUUUCACAAGUAAAUGCCAAUGGUUGUCCACUUUGCUGCUAUUGCCAAACAUCCCAUCCAUCAUUUCUAGGGUUGCUACCAUCAUUGGUCUCUUCUCUUCUUGAACCAUCAUAGUCGAAAGCAAAAGUACCAGCAGCACUAGAUUUGCUACUAUGUUCAACACUCGUAGAGUCAAAAGAAGGUCGAGAAGUGACUGCCAGUUGAGAAGUUCCUUGUAGAAAUGAAUCUCUCAUGUCUUGGCUGAAACUAUCAGUAUGAACUUCUUCAGAUAACACCUGUUCAACAUCAACCCUUACUUCUCGGACAUGUGCGACAAUUCAUGGGUCGGGAUUUCCAUCUUCAUCAUUUAAAUGAAGAGGUUUAACCUAUUGAAACAAUUGGUUAUCUUAUUCUUCACCAACCUCAACUAUAAUGUCAAGUAAAUCGAGGUAAUCUUUCUCUACAACUUUGUCAUUUUUUGCCUCCACAUCACAGGUCUUUAGUUUCAUAUUAUAAUAACAAAAAACUAAUUGUUGGAGCCUCGGGUAAGUAGGCUGAUUUCUUUGCUUUGUAUGAAUUAAGGUAAAUGUGCUCCAAUUUCUCUCACAAGUUGAAAAUAAUGCAGUUUGUGAUAAAACCUUGAUGGUUAACCUUCUUAAUGUAGGAGUGUGGUUUCCAUACAUGAACCAUCAUUCAGUUACAACCAAAUAAAUGAUAUUAAUACUUAUAUUGGAAAGCUAUAAUAAUAUGUUAAUGAAAUGUAUUAUUAAUUCACAAAUAAUACUCACCAGGAACCAUUUAUGACCUUAAAGCAAUCACUGCUUGAUCACCAAAUCCUCUCAUUGCAUCUCAGAAUAAUAUAAGCUACAUAUUAAAUCAUUGAAAGUAAAAAAUUGAGUAAAUAAAAUUCAAUUAUUUAAUUUAUAUUAUAACUCUAAUAAUUUACCUUAUUUCCAAAUUGACUAAGACCUUCUGUUGCAAGAUCUAAUUUUGCAAAGACUGUCUUAAACAACUUGAAGUAGAUCAGGAUUAGUGCCAACUCCACGUUUAUAUUGAAACCUUGGAUUAAGAAAUAAUGCUACAAUAGUAAAGUAGAAAUAUAGAAUUAAAAUAUUAUGAAAGAAACAUAUUAAAUACCAAUAACUUUUGAAUAUGAAUAAUACUUAGUUACCUGCUGCAUGAAAAGAAUGUUUAAGAGUUCUAUCCCAAUGAUCUGUGAUUAUUUCUAAUACCUAUUCUUUAGCAUUAAGUUGAAUGAGGUUCUCUUUCAUAACUCAAAUCAAUUUGUACACAAAUGGCAUUGUAGGAACAACUUCUGAAUCGACAAUGUGAAGAACCAUGUAUAUCGCCUCAUAGAUUAACACAAGCUUUCCCACUAUCUCUCAAUACGCAUGAUCAAACAUAAGUUUCUCGAUUUCUUUUUCGAUUAAUGGGUCACUUAACUUGUGUUGUUCCAUUUAUUAAUGAUAAACACUUUCUUCAAGUUUGCAUUUUGUUUUUCAAAAGAUUGUCAAGGACAAAAUAAUUGGUUGCAAAUCUUGUUGUUCCAGGGCGAACUAUGUCUCCACCACACACCUUCUGCAUCUGUGCAAGCAACCAACUAUGGUUAUAGAUGAAGUUGGUUAUCUUUUGAACCUUUGUAAUCACAUCUGCAACACUCGACCUUUUAUCGAUGUCUUCGAACAUUAAGUCAAUGUAAUGUGUUGCACAUGAAGUCCAAUAAAGGUUGUAUUUUUUCAUUAACAGCUUCCCUGCCUUCAUGAAUGCCGACCCAUUAUUUGUAACUAUUUGUACCACAUUUUGUUUGCCAACUUCCUUGAUCACAUCCUUCAACAAACCAUAUAUGCAUUUGUUGUCCUUUAUAUAAUUUGAUGCAUCAGCAUAUUUGAGGAAGAUUGUGCUACCUUGUGAAUAUACCAUGAAAUUAAUUAUGCUUAAUUUCGUGGGCCCAAUCCAUUAGUCACACAUAAUCAUGCAUCCAUAAGUCUUCCACUUUUCUCUUUGAACAUUAACAUAAGCUUCUAUGUCUUUGUACUUCAUGUCCAAGUACUUGUAUUUGAUUUCAUAAGGAGACGGUGGUUCUAUACCCAUACCUACCAUCCAUAUAUAAUUAAAGCAUAUAAGAACAUUUGUGGCAAUCAUACUUUAUAAAUAAUAAUGAUAUUGUUAAAAUGAAUACUAUUUUUAAAAUUAUAAUAAUUACCUGCAUAUUGUGUACCCAUAAUCAUGUUCUUGAAGUGGUGAGAGUUUGUUUUAUUGGGUGCAACACUCUCAUAUAUGAAGAACUUACUGAUCAAACGUCCCAUGGUUUCCUUGAUGGCACCAUAUUUGAAAAGAUUUUUCACAUUUUUCUGUCUUGCUGCUAAAGAUUUGUAUAAUGAGGGUGCACUAGGCGGUGAUGGAUCUAAAUAUCGAACACUUUGCGAUCUUCGCAUAUGUCUUGUUGGAUUAGUUGGAUAUGAAGAUUUACCUAUUAUAAUUAUUAAAAUUAAACAUAUAUGUUAAUUUAAUAUUAUUGAUAAAGUUGAUAAGAAACAGUAAUAAUUCAAAUUAAUAUUAUACAUGUUUUUCUUUUGCCUCUUACAAAAUGUUCUUCUUGUUGUUGAUUCCAUUAAGUAGCUUUCAAUGCUUGAACUGUUGUUCUAUAAGUAUGCCGCUCAUGAGGGUGCAUGUCAACCAGAUACAUAUACACAUCAUCAUCAUCAAGGUUCUUCUCAUCCUCCUUAUCAGUUACAUGUCUAUGUCUUCCUCUCAUUAUGUCUUGCAAUUCAGCUCGAAUCUCUUUUAUAUCUGUUGUUUUCUUCUCUUUUAUCUUAUUUUUUUUCUCUAGAAGUCAUCUUAUAUCUUGUUUCACUUCAGGAGGCAUGUUAGGACACUUUUUUGUAUUUGAAUGAGGGUUUGUAUGCGAUAGGUGAAAUCUAAAACAAGUAAUCCCACCACUCUUUAUUGUCAAUCCACAGUAAUUGCAUAUUAUUCCAUUUUUGUUCCCUUCCAUAGGUGUACAAUAUUUCCAACAAGGAUCUCAACCCAUGAUACCACUUCCACUUCCACUAGCCAUUUUCUAAACAUGUAUUUUAAAUUCCUAUACAAAAUAAUAUCAAAUUUAAAAUUAUUAAAGAUAAAACAUCUAAGAAAUUUAAUAUUAAUAAUAUUCAUGAAAUUGAUAAGAAUCAUUGCUAAUAAAAAUUGAAAUUAAAAUUGAAUUAUGCAUAUAUGAAAUAGAUAAACAUUACAAUUAAAUCUCUAUAUGAAUUUAAUUUAAAUUAAAUUAAAUUUUCAUAUUCAUGAAAUUGAUAAGAAUCAUUACUAAUAAAAAUUGAAAUUAAAAUUGAAAUUAAAAUUGAAUUAUGCAUGGGGAAUCCAAAACUUAUAUUUAAUCUAAAAACAUCAAUUGUGAGUAAUUACAUUAUAAUAAGGUUAGUAAUAAUUUCUAAUAUUUUAUUGCAUACAUCAAAGUUAAAGCAGAUAUAGUUUUGACCUUCAAUAGAGUUUGACAAUAUUAAAUUUUUCCUCCUUUACAACUAUUUAUUCCAAUGCAUCACAAUUAUCCCAAUCAUUGGUAUUUAUGUGUGGUUAAUUUUAAAAAUUGUAAUAUCCAAAUUUUGGAUUCAUUACGAUCAAGAAGUAGGGACGAGUUUUGAUAUAAUAAUGUGAAAAUAGUGGUAUUCUUUCAAACUAUGUUUUUCCUUUUUUUUUUUUUUUUUGUUUAUGUAAUGCAUAAUUAUUAACACUUUGAAAAUGAAUCAAGUUGAAUUUUGUCAAACCUUCUCCAAGCUUGAUGAUAUAGGGAAAGAUGUCUUCCAGUUCCAUCUUUGGUUUCCACCCAAGAUAAUGGGUUAUUUAUAUGACUCACAUGAAUAUUGUUUAUCUAAUCUAUAAUGAUUACAUCAUUUUAUCAAGUCGGUUUGCAUUUCUUCUAUUUUUAUUAGAUGGGAUUUUGGAGUCCAUGUGAUUAAACAUAUGCAAACAUUCGAAAAUGGUGAUCCCAUCAAGGCUCUUAGCAUAUCAAGUUCCAAUCAAAUAUGUUGGCAAAUAGCAAUUAAUUUAGUGCUACAAGAGGGAAACAAAGAAAAACAAACGAUUUUGACUAUUAUUUGUACAAACACAUCUACAUAAGCAAUGAGAAGAUUAUUAUUAUGAAAUUUGUUGUUUUUUCAAUUUUUGUCAAUUGCAUCUCCAUAUAUGGUCAUUUUCAUGGGAAGUAGUAACAUUAGAAGACCAUAUAGGGUCCAACAUAAUUAUUAUUAUGGAUCGAUUGAGCUUUCCUCAAUUGAUAGCAAUGAAGUGGUUGAUUGGUUCUGAAAAAGAAAAAGAGUUUCCUAAAUCCAUAAGUUUCUUUUUCUUCAAUCUAACAAUUAUGUAAUACUAUGUUUAUGAUUAAACAAUAUACUAAGUCAGAACAUCAACAAAUACAAGUACUAAUUUUAAUCUAUCCUAAUUUAUUCCAUUAAGGAAUAACAAAAAGCAUGCAUAUCAUUUUCAUAUGGAGUAUUGUUUGGAUUUUCACCAUGACAUUUUGUUGUAACAAUUUGUUCAUAAUGUUGAAAUUGUGGUUCCUGCACAUUGACAAUCCAUGGUAAUAAUAUACACUUCUAAUUUCAUUACAAGUUGUUCAACAUUAUCAUUAUCCAAUAAUUAUGCAAUACUAUGUUUAUGAUUAAACAAUAUACUAAGUUAGAACAUCAACAAAUACAAGAACCAAUUUUAAUUUAUCUAAUUUAUUCCAUUAAUAAAUAACAAAAAGCAUGCAUAUCAUUUUCAUAUGGAGUAUUGUUUGGAUUUUCACCAUGACAUUUUGUUGUAACAAUUUGUUCAUAAUGUUAAAAUUGUGGUUCUUGCACAUUGACAGUCCAUGGUUAUAAUCUACACCUCUAAUUUCAUUACAAAUUGUUCAACAUUAUCAUUAUCCAACAUUAUGCAAUACUAUGUUUAUGAUUAAACAAUAUACUCAGUCAGAACAUUAAUAAAUACAAGUAUUGAUUUUAAUCUACCCUAAUUUAUUCCAUUAAGGAAUAACAAAAAAAAUGCAUAUCAUUUUCAUACAAAGUAUUGUUUGGAUCCUCACCAUGACAUUUUGUUGUAACAAUUUGUUCAUAAUGUUGAAAUUGUGGUUCCUACACAUUGACAGUCCAUGGUUAUAAUCUACACCUCUAAUUUCAUUACAAGUUGUUCAACAUUAUCAUUAAAUAAUGCAUAUUAAAAAUGUCUUAGUGAAAUGUGUUAAUGUGAGGAGAGUACGUUUAUCUUUGCACCAAGAUCCCAUAUACAUGUUAGAUGGUGGAUUUCACAUACGAUUCGCUCUCAUUCCUUGUAUUUGUAGAGUUUAAGUCAUGUAAAGUAAUGUGACUUUAGGUAUUUUUAAAGUUUAUUAAAUUAUUUAGAAGACAAUCAUACAUGACUUAAAGUUUAGAAAAUGUCAUGUGAAUAAUUUAAUGAAGCCAUCUAUUCCAUUUUAAUGUAACAUUGGGAAAAUAAUUAAUGCAUUCAAAACCAUUAUGUUAGUUAUAAAUGGAACUACAACUAAAUAUUGACAUUUACGAGUAACACGUAAAGGAUCUUGCAUACCAUAUCAUUAUCAUUGAUACCAUGAGGGAUUGUAGAUUGUCAACACUUUCAAAUAUUGUGGCCUACUUUUCUUGAAUUGUGUCAACACUUACAUACCAUAAAUGAUCUUUUACAUCGACUACAUUGUCUUCUUUUUUGAAUAUGUGAUGCAACUUUGCUUGGAUUUCCUUUAGUCUUCACUAUACUUGGAUCACAAACUUGAUGGUGACCUAUGGCUCCAUCUAUUCCUAAAUUUUUUCCCUUCAAAUUAAUAUUACAAAGCUCCUUUAUUUUCAUUAUUAAACUUUCAAUUUCAUUUUUUGGUUAUAGAAAUGAAGUUAAAGAUUGUGAAACAUAGUAAGAGAGUUUGUUGCACAUAGAACUCAAUGAAUUGUACCAUACGUGUGAACCAUGUCAUUUUUCAUCUCAUUCACAGGUGGUGAUCCUGGAUGCGACUUUGCUAACUCUAUCCACCUCUUUAAAAUACAUGAACUAGGACUUUCUUCUAACUGUUCAACCUUCAUAACAACAUAUGACAACAAGGGAUGUCAAUAAACUCAAACAUCAUUCACAAGCAUUUUAAUGUUACAAUAUUUAACCAAAAUUAGACUUCUCAUUUAGAGUUUGGGUGUCUAAACUUAGAUAAUGUGUAUGACUGAAAUGUAUCCUUGUUUAUAAGUCCUACUACAAAGAAUAACUUUACAUUCUUCAUCUUCUAGUGAAAUUUGAGGAAGAAUUCCUUAGUGUACAUAUUGGUAGCAUGAUUUUCAAGGAUGGAUAGUUUUGUUGAAAGAACAAGUCAAGAAUUCUUAGACUCAAACUCUACCUUUGCCUCAUUGUGUCGAAUUCUUGUUAUUGCCUUAUCAAAUUGUUGUACAAACUCAUACAACCACAAAGGAAUUUUCAAAAAUCAAUUUAGAUAAGCAUUCAUACCCUUACACCUUUGUGUGUUUCUCAUCUCUCCAAAGAAAUUUCCUGGUAAAUAUGCCUCUACCCACCUUUUUUGUUUCGCAUAAACCUCUGUAACCCAACAGUUUUCAUGAAGACCUAACUUUUCAAUCAUAUCAUGCCAACCGUAUUUGAAUUAUUUGGGAUUCCCUCUCAUGAACAUGCACCUUGCAAAGGUGUUUGUGAAGUCCUUAAUAUGCACAUUUGUGAAUACAUUUUAUUGGAGAUAACAUGCACUCAUUAUAUGACAUGCAUCAGGAAGCAUUUUUUAUCACCUUACACAUUGCUUUAUCCCCAUCAGUUACAAUAGAAAUGAGCUUCUUGUUCAUCAUUGUUAUAAGAAACGUCUCCAACACCUAUUCAUAUGUACCAAUACUUUCAUCCAUCAAUAGCAUAAAACCAAAGACCAUAGUUUGGUGAUGAUGAUUAAAACCAACCAACACAACUAGUGACUUCUUAUAGGCAUUAGUUCGAUAUGUUGUAUCAAAUGCCAACACAUCUCUUAAACAUGCAUAAUCUAAUUGAUAUGUAGAAUCAACUCAAAACAAGUUUGCUAGUUGACUUUCUUCAUCAAUAUUGAAUUUAUAAUAAAAUGAAUGAUCCGCUUAUGUCGUCCUACAUAAGUAAGUCAAAGCCACUUUUGCAUUACCAUCUUUAAUUUCAAUUCUAUGCAUUGCAUCAACAUGAUUAUAUAUAUCUUUUGGUGUGAAACCAACAUGUUCAUGUCCUCCAAAUUGUUGGAUCAUAUAGUCCAUAAUUUGGGCAAUUUUAACAUCAACUUUUUGCAUAACAUUAACUUCAGCCUUUUCUGGAUUACUUAUUGCCUGAUGAGACCAAAGGAAUUGUGUGUUCAUUGCACCAACCAAAGGAUGGUUAUGGUCUCCUCUAAACUUUUUAACAAUUCACCUAGUUUUCUAUUAAAGCUAAUACAAAAAGCAGUUUGACAUCUAACUCUAGUCAAUGAUUGUGGCUAAUGUUGUUGAUUCUCAUUUUCAAAACACUUUGUUGAUUGAUGUCCUUCUCUAGAACACACCCACUUUUGAGAUACUAUAUCUGCAUUUUUGUCUCAUUCCAAAUCAUCUUUUUGAAUACUAAAUCCUGUCACUUUAGUGAACAUGUUGUAAAAUGUUUUUGCUUUAUCUAUAUAAUUGAAUUCCAAUUUGCACACUUCUUCACUUGAAUACCAUUCAACACUUUCUUUUUCAAAGUUUGUGAAUCAUGGGUAUAACUCCCACCAGUAUAUGGAUCCUCAUGAAUUUCAUUUUCAAGCUGCACUAUAAAUUCUUUACUCUCUCAUUUUUCCAUGUCUAAUACUACCGCCUAAAAAUUUCAAAAUAGAAGCAUAUUAUAGUUGUCAAUUUUACAUUGAUGGACUUAGAAUAUAUUGCACCAUAUAUUUUAAUUUUUUUGUCUUCUUUUUCAAUGCCAACAGAUAGUUUUCAUAAGAGGAAUACAAAAUGUUUGUCAUUUACAUCUAGUGAGUAGUAGUUGAGAAAUGGAGUUACUGGUCCCAAAAUGGUGGUCGAUAGAUUAUGGCUAGAUGGGCCAUAAUUGUAGCAAUGUGUACUAGUUGAGGAACAAUAUUCGAUCGACAACAUUGCGGUCGACUAGUUUGUGUGGUAUUGUAGAUGGUUUUGAAUGUGGCAGGGUUUAUCAGUUGAGAAACUUUUCCUCCAUGGGUACCCACUGGUGUUUUAGGCUUCAUGUAAAAAGAAAAAGAAAAAAAUUAAAUUGAGGAUAAAAAAAAUGGUUAUGUGAAAUUUAGUCCACCUACUUUUUUGAGCUAAUAUAAAGUUCAGAAAUAUAAUUUAUCUUUCACAAUGAGUUAUUUUCCCACAAUGAAGGCUAGUAAAUAAUAUGAUUUUGAUUAAUAAGGUGAAACAUUAAGCUUACCUUGAGAAUCAAAAACUGUACUUUUGGGUUUCUUCACUAGCACAAUUUGCUCUGAUUUUUUGCUUUCAUGGCUUCCAUUCCAACACUUCUUCUUUCACACUCUCUAUUUCCCUUUAAAAAUUUUCUUCUAUUAAAACUCCUACCAUAUGGAUGUUGGUUGGUGGAUGAAUUAAUACUAGUUUUUAAUAUUUUGUCACAUUUAGGAUAUAAUUUCUACACCAGUACACUUGGUUGUUGAUAUUUACCACUUUUGAUAUAUAUGGGUAGAUGAUAUUAAAUAGGACAUUAAUAAAAAUGAGGAAAUUUUUAUUAUUUUGAUUUGUAAUGGUAAAUUGAAAAAUUCAUGAAAUUUAAAUUAUUAGCAUUUGAAUUUUUAGGGGAAAGUUACACCGUUAACAAUAACUACAACAUUAAAAUAAGUUGAAUUGAGACUGUUUAUAAAUAAAUAAAUAAAUAAAAACUAUAUGCAAAUUACUAUAAAUUAAUGAUUUGCACAUAACAAUAAGUUCAAUUGGAACUAUGUGUAAUUAAUUAAAUUUAAAAUUGAAUGUAUAGGCAACAUGUAGAUACAUUAAAAAAAUUCAAUUAACACUUAUGCCUAAAUAAUUUAAUUAUAAAUUAAAACUACAUCCAAUUUAAUCAAAAUUAAACAAUUUACCAUUUCAAUUAGUUAAAUUGAAAGUAGCCAAAAUGUAGAUUCAUUAAAAUUUCCUAAUUAACACUUAUGCCUAAAUAAUUUAAUUAUAAACUAAAACUAUAUCUACUUUAAUCAAAAUUUAACAAUUUACCAUUUAAAUAACUUGCAUUGAAAGUGUGGGUGAAUUGAGACACAUUAAAAUUUCCAAAUAAACACCUAUGCCUAAUUAAUGAAAUUUUAAAAACUCAAACUAUGUCCAAUUUAAUUGAAAUGAAAUAAUUUACCAUUUCAAUUAUUUAAAUUGAAAGUAUGGGCAAAAUGUAGAUACAUUAAAAUUUCCCAAUUAACACCUAUGCCUAAUUAAUUUAAUUAUAAACUAAAGCUACAUCUAAUUUAAUAAAAUAUUAACAAUUUACUUGUUAGUUAUUUAAAUUGAAAGCAUGGGCAACAUGUAGAUACAUUAAAAAAAUUUCAAUUAGCACUUAUGCCUAAAUAAUUUAAUUAUCAACUAAAACUACAUCCAAUUUAAUAAAAUUUUAACAAUUUACUUAUUAGUUAUUUAAAUUGAAAGUAUGGGCAACAUGUAGAUACAUUAAAAUUUUCCAAUUAACACUUAUGCCUAAAUAAUUUGAUUAUAAACUAAAAUUAUAUCCAUUUUAAUUAAAAAAAAAAAACCCAUUCUAAGUAAAUCACUAAGGUCCAUGGUAAACUGAUUUGGGGUAGCCACCUAAAACCCUCAACCCAUCCAUUUUUUCUUCCCAACAACCAUACCUGAAACACAAACCCUAGAGCUGAAAUCUCAAUCCAUGGCACCCAAACAAGCUCUAGAGGCAACAACGACCAAUAACGACAAAAGGAAGGGACUGGCGAUAAAGCAAAAUGUUGAGGUCUAGAAUAAAGCCACAUUUGAUAAAGGUAUGUUCACUACUCCAAAGUUGACAUAGAGAUUUAAUUUUCAUUUUGCCAAUAGGAGUGUCAUCCCGAUUAGGAACAUAGAUUACUCAUAGUUAGGUUUUUUCCAAUUUUUCACAGCUAGCUAUUGUGUCUAUGAACAAACUUGUUUUUCUUAGGGUUGUGAAAUGCUUUUACUGCAAUAUGAAAUUCGAAGAAGAAGAACCCAUUACUACAAACAUUAAUGGUUUAGAAAUUAAGUUUGAUGUUGGUGACCUUUGUAAGAUUUUAGAUAUUCUGAACAAAGGGUUGUGUUUAUAUGAAUCAAAGAAGUGGCUGAAGGUUGAUGGUUUCAAACCUACAAAAGUUGUACAAAGGUUGUGUAGCUAUAACAAAGCCAUUAUGACUAAUAAACCAACAUCUCAGACAUUAACUUUGUUGAGUAGGACCCUAUAACACAUGAUUUCUUACACGUUUAUCCCCAAAGGUGCACAUCAAGAUGAUGUUUCAUUCUUUGAGGCAUUUUUGGUUGACAACAUUCCAAUAGAGAGGAAAAUUAACAUGAGAUAUAUAAUUUUUCAGCAUAUGAAAGUUUGUCCAUUGAGUGAAGAUUCCGUCCUCCCAUAUGAGAUGUUUAUUACAAAGAUUGUUAAAUUUUUCAAUGCCAAUUUACAUCAAAAGAGUGACGGUAAAAAGCUAAAGUCCCUUGAUACAUACAAUCUGGCCUUAAUGCAUCGUAGGCAAUUUGUGCAUAAGAAAGAUGGUUCAUGGAGAAGAAAGUCUUUUGUGGAUCUUAUAGAGGUGGAUGUGCCUUCAGAUGAGAUGUCUUCAAAGGAGGAUGAUGACAAUUGCGAUAUAAAGGGAGAAGAUACCAAAAACGAAAUUGCCACUAGAUCAUAGAGAGGCAACGAGAAAUGAGCAAAGGUCGUUGCAGAUCAUCCCUCUCAUACAACUAGAAAAAAGGUUGAGUCUUCAGAUAACCUAAAUGCCCAAAUUAGCUCGAUUGGUAUGCUCUUAGAGGAGAUGGCAUUGGCAAAUGAUGGACGAUUGAAAUCUCUAGAAUGAUGAAUUGAUAGGUUCGAGGAGGAAUUAAAAUCGGGUAUGGAGAUUCUAAGGGGCUAGAAUAAAGAGAUGAUGACAUUUUUCAAAGCCCAAUUCCCACCUCAUGACCUAGCCUAGUACUAACCCAUUCCUACAUCUUGGACUGAUUAUAUAGUUACCAAAGUUUGGUUUUUUUUUUUUUUUGGAUAAUUUGGGAAUGUAAUUAAUAUUAUGUAUUUAUGACUUUGUCUUAGUUAUUUGGUCACUGAUGAUAAGUCAUUGACAUAUAUAGGUGAUAUAUUUAUCUUAAUAUAUAUGGAUGGUAUAUGGAUGAUAUAUUUACUUUUACAACAUCAUUAGAUUGAUGUAUAGAGUAGUACUCCAAAAUAAAAUAUUUAAGUUUAAUUUUUUUUUGUUUUUUUUAAUAUUAGAAAUAAAAUUCAACACAAAAUUCAAGAACUUUUAGACAUUUAUUUAAAGGGUAGUGAUUUUUAAAAUUGAAAAAAAAAUUACUUUCUCAAGUUUUAAAAAAUUUUUAAAUGAUUUUUAACAACAUAUGUUAAAUCCAUGCUUUAGGUAAAUUUCUAUAUUUUAUAUUUUUUGUUUUUAAAUAUAAAAGCAAAAAGCAAAAAGUUGGUUUUUGAGCCAAAAACGGCUCAAUCGGUUGAAUUGGAUGAGGAACCGGUCGACCGCUAGCUCAACCGGUCAAGGUCUGGGUCGACUCCCAGCUUAACCGAUUGAGGUCCGGGUCGACCCCCAGCUCAACCGGUCGAGGGUGCAAAAAAACUUUCUCUUUCUUCCAAAACGGUUAUUCAACCGGUUGAGGUCUGGUUGAGGUCUAGUUAAGGUCCGGUCGAUGUCCGGUUGAGGUUUGAUCGAGGUCCAACGGUCACCUGCCAAGCAUUAAAUGCUAACAGCUAGUCAACAGGUCGACCCCCAACUUGAUCGGUCGAACCCCCAACGGCUAGUUUGGUUUUUUUCUUUUAUAAAAAAGCUCAAAUUUUCAUUGUUUCAAGAGCUUAACCUUCCCAAACCUUUCUUGAAUAUAUUUGAGCCUUGGAAGAGUGUUUUUUAGUGCAUCGUUGUUCUAAAACUUGCAUAUCUUUAGUGCACCGUUCAAUCCUAGUUUUCUUGUAUCAUUUGAGCUUAAAGUUUUUGUACUGGGAUUUUGUGAGAUCAUUUAUUUGUAAAUCUUUGAGAGGAAGUUUCUCAAGUGUGGGGUAUCUCUUGAGGGGUUGUUCAAGAGUGGGAUAUCUCUUGAGAAGUGUAAAGGGUGCUUGGAGCCAAAAGUCCAAGAGGGUGAAUUGGAACCAUAAUCCAAUUGUAUUGCUUGAAGGCUUGGUUUGGAAGCCUUGAAUUAGUGGAACCUCAAGCUUGGGAUUAAAGCUAGAGGAGAGUGGAUGUAGGCCGGGUUGCGUUGAACCACUAUAAAAUCUUGUGUUUGCAUUCUCUCUUCCCUACUCUUUUAAUUUAUAUGCAAUUGUCUUUAUAUUGUUUAUUAUAUACUUGCAUAUAAUUAUCUCUUACAAUCACAUAGUUUAAAUUAGAAAAAAGAGACCAUCACCCUAUUCAGCCUCCCUCCCCUCUCUCUCUCUAGGGUGAUUACCAUAGGUUGGAUUAGCCUAUUUUUUCUAACAAUUGGUAUCAGAGCUAGGCUUCUUAUUUAAGACUUAACCAUCUAAGAAGUAAUGACUAAUCCAUCAAGUUCAUCUCACAUUGAAAGUUUUUCAACCACCCGACCUUCACUUUUCACGGGAACCGAUUAUCCCUAUUGGAAAACUAAAAUGACUUGGUUUUUUCAAUCUACUAAUCUUGAUUUAUGGGAUGUCAUUGAAGAUGGUCCCCACAUUCCUUCAAAAUUAGAAAAUGGAGUGAUGGUUCCAAAACCUAAGCAUGAAUGGGAUGAACUUGAUAGAAAGAAAGUCCAAUUAAAUGCCAAAGCCAUUUUUAUCUUACAUUGUGCUAUUGAUAGAAAUGAAUUUAAUCGUAUUUGGCAAUGUAAGUCGGCUAAAGAAAUUUGGAGACUAUUAGAAAUCACUCAUGAGGGAAACAACCAAGUUAAAGAGUCUAAAUCAAUAUCCUUGUGCAUGAUUAUGAAUUAUUUUCUAUAAAGGAUUUUGAAUCUAUUGUAGAGAUGUUUUCUAGGUUCAUGGUGAUUGUAAAUGAACUUGAAGCCUUGGGAAAGACCUACACCGAAGUAGAGAAAGUCAUGAAGAUCUUAAGGUCUCUACCAAAGAAAUGGGAAACAAAAGUGAUGGCUAUUCAAGAAGCAAAGGAUCUCACCAAACUCUCACUUGAAGAACUCAUUGGGUCACUCAUGACUUAUAAGAUAAAUUUGAACAAUCAUCAAAGAGUUGAAGAAAAUAACAAAAGUAUAGCUUUCAUGGCUUUAACAAAUGAUGAUGAAGAGGAAGAAAGUGAAAGUGAAAGUGAUGAAGAAUCCAUGGAAGAAGAAUGCACAAAUGAGGAUGUCAACAUGUGCUUUAUGGCUUUGGAAGAACAUCAAGAUGAGGUAAACUCCAACUCUAACCAUUUUGAAUUUCAAGAUGUACUCCAAGAAUUAUAUUUUGAUCUUGAAAAACUUGGUUUCAAAAAUGUCUCUCUCAAGAAAAAGAUUUCUUGUAUUCAAAAUGAGCUCAAUGAGCAUAAUGAAAAUUUUGAAAAUAUUGAGAAGGCAAAAAUCUCUUUUGAAAAGGAAAAUAAGGAGUUAAAAAUUCUCAAAUGGCCAAAAGACUUUUGAUAUGAUUUUGGCAAAUCAAAAAUGCAUUUUUGAUAAAAAGAGGCUAGCCUACAAGCCUUUCAAAAAUCAAUUUUUUUUAAGAAUUAUUUUAUAAAGGAAACCUCUAGUUUUUCACCUUUAACUAUUUGCAAUCUUUAGAGGAGGUUACAUUAGUGAUAUUUGUCCCUUAAGAAAAUCCCCUCACGUUCUUCAAAACUCUUAAUUAUUUUGGAUUCCAAAUGGAAGAAAGACUAACCCUCUAGGACCCAAAAAGAUAUGGGUACCAUGCUAGAAGGAGGAUAUGCUUACCUUGAAAAUAAUGCAUUGAUGAUAUUGGUAAUGGUAUCCCUUCUAAAGCUUAAUUUGAAAUAUCAUUUUGCUAACACUUGGUAUAUUUUUUUGUUAAUAAUAUAACAUUUGGUAUCACUUUGACAAAAUUGGUGUAUUUGUUAAACCAAGGUUUAGAUUAAAAAGAAGACUUUUUUAUACCUAAGUAAAAUUAAAUGAUCAUAUGCUUGUAUGUGCUAAAAGUGUUAUUCAAUGCAUAUUAUAUAUUUUUUAAAUUGCAUAUGUUCUCCCAUAUAUUUUUUCCAAAUCAUGCUUUAAGUUAGGAAUGCUCUAAGGAUGAACAAUCUUUUAUUUGGAAACUAUUCUCAAAUGAAAAAAGGGGAGAUUCAUUUUCAUGAGGAAUUAUAUUUUUGAUAUCAUGUGAUUCCCCUUAUAUACUUUAUUGAAACUUUUUGUUGAUGACAAAAAUGGGGAGAAGUAAUGGUAGGUUGCUAACUUAGGAAGAAAUGUCAAUAUUGUUUUAGCAAUUCUAUUCAUAUUGAUGAUAUGUGCUUUAUUGGUUAUAUUUGUAUGCGUCAUAUUUAAUAAUAAUGUCUUGCCAAAUUGCUAAAUUGCUCUUUAUGCUAUUUAUGUUUGAUUAUAUCAUUUUGAGCAUCCUUAAUAUACUCCUUGAAGUUUCUAAACUUGAAUAUUUUCUAAAUUCAAAGGAGCAUAUAUUGAGGGGGAGCUUUUUAGCAACCUUGGUUUUAUCAUCAUAAAAAAUGGGGAGAUUGUGAAACCAAGGUUUGGUUAAUCUUGAUUUUGAUGAUAACAAAACAAGGUUUAAAACUAAUGAUUAUAUUUCAAGUGUGAUUAGGCAAGACGAUUUUCAAAGUGGCAAUCACAAAGACAAAUCAAGCCAAAGAGAAAUCAUGAAGAAGAUGACCACCUCAAAGAGAAGUGUUUUUCAAGACCCAAGCUUCAUAAAAUCUCUUUGUAAGGUUGUUGGUGCACUAAGAUUUUCAUGCAUUACAUUAUUUACUUAUACACCAAAAUCAUCCAAGAGUUAUUUUGUUUUAAAUAUUUUAAAAAUUGGAUGAUUUCAUGUUUUCAACUAAAACCUUGUGUUAAAUGUUUUUCAAACUUGUUUUAAAAGGUUUUAAGUUGAAAAAGUUGGUUGUUGAGCCAAAAAUGGCUCAACCGAUUGAAUUGGAUGAGGAACCGGUCGACUGCUAGCUCAACCAGUCGAGGUCUAGGUCGACCCCCAGCUCAACCAUUCGAGGUCCGGGUCGACCCCCAACUCAACCAAUCGAGGUCCGGGUCGACCCCCAGCUCAACCGGUCAAGGGUGCAAAAAAACUUUAUCUUUCUUUCAGAACGAUUGUUCAACCGGUCAAGGUUGAACCUUAAACUGUUGAGGUCCGGUCGAGGUCCAACGGUCACCUGUCAAACAUUAAAUGCUAACGGCUAGUCAACCGGUUGACCCCCAGCUCGACUGGUUGAACCCCCAACGGCUAGUUUGGCUUUUUUCUUCUAUAAAAAAGCUUCAAUCUUCAUUUUUUUCAAGAGUUUAACCUUCCCAAACCUUUCUUGAAUAUAUUUGAGCCUUGGAAUAGUGUUUUUUAGUGCACUUUCUUGUAUCAUUUGAGCUUAAAGUUUUUGUACUAGGAUUUUGUGAGAUCAUUUAUUUGUAAAUCUUUGAGAGGAAGUUUCUCAAGUGUGGGGUAUUACUUGAGGGGUUGUUCAAGAGUGGGAUAUCUCUUGAGAAGUGUAAAGGGUGCUUGGAGCCAAAAGUCCAAGAAGGUGAAUUUGAACCAUAAUCCAAUUGUUUUGCUUGAAGGCUUGGUUUGAAAGCCUUGAAUUAGUAGAACCUCAAGCUUGGGAUUGAAGCUAGAGGAGAGUGGAUGUAGGUCGGGUUGCACCGAACCACUAUAAAAUCUUGUGUUUGCAUUCUCUCUUCCCUACUCUUUUAAUUUAUAUGCAAUUAUCUUUAUAUUGUUUAUUAUAUACUUGCAUAUAAUUGUCUUUUACAAUCACAUAAUUUAAAUUAGCAAAAAGAGACCAUCACCUUAUUCAGCCCCCCCUUCCUCUAAGAUGAUUACCAUAGGUUAGAUUAGCCUAUUUUUUCUAACAAUAUUUAACUAGAACCUCAACAAAGGUGAAUGAAAUUAAUCAUAAAAUAUAUAACAAGAAUUGUAUAAAAGGUUUUUCUUAUUUCUCGUUGUUGUUAGAUGGAUGGUUUUCCUUGUAUGUUAAGAUUUAAAAAAUUUAUGAUGUGAAAAAGUCAACCAUAUUGAUAUAGUAUCAUAUUAAAUUUUGAAUUUGGAGGCUUUAAUAGAUGAUAAAUAUGAUUUAAUAGGAUUUAAAGUGAAAAGUCAACCAUAUUAAUAUAGGAUCAUAUUAAAUUUUGAAUUUGGAGUCCUUAAUAUAUGAUAAAUAUGAUUUAAAUAAAUAAAAUAAAGGUAAAAAAUGAUUAGGAUAUAAAAUAAUGAGACUAUGAUAUAAAAGAAAAAAAAAUUAAAAUAUAAAAUCAAAAAUCAAAAUAUAAAAUAUAGAGGGUACAAAAUAAUGGAACCACAACAAGGUUUAAAAAAUGAGGAUAUAUUGUUGAUAUAUCUUCAAAUUUUUUGUUAUGUGGAUCUUGACAAUUGUCCUAUGGUUCCAACAUGGGUCUUUCAGGUACAAAACCAACCUUUGCACCAUUGGGCCAAUAUGUCUUUACUUAAUAAGUAGACCUACAUUUUAUAUAUAUAUUGAAAACUAAAAUAUUAAAAUAAAAUUUUAAUAAAGACAUUAAUUUAGUUAUUUAUUUUUAAAUUUCAUUUAAUUUAUUAUUAAAAACACAAAAAUCAUGAAUUAAAUACAAAUAUAAUAACUAUAUAUAUUAAGAUAGAUAAAUUAUCAUUUUAGUAUUAAAGUUAUUAUUAAAAUCAAGAAAUUAUAAUUUUAGUAUUAAAUAUAUUUUCAAAUAUCACCUAUUAAUAUUAUAAAAUAUCAUAAAUUAUAUAUUCAUAUAUCAAUUUCUUCGUAUCUCAAUUAUAAUAUAUGUAUUAUUACUUCUUUUAUUGUUUUUUUAUAAAUUUUUCAAUAUUUGACUAAUUAUUGUUUCAUCGAUAUUUUUUUAUAUGACCCAAUAUAUUUGUAAAAUCAAAAUACUUUAACAGAACAAAAAAUUAUAAAAUCUAAAUGCGAAUGCUACAAAAUAGUGAAACCAUAACAAAAACCAAUAAAAUCUAAAUGCCCCAUGGAAAAGGUUCGGAAUAAGUGUGAUAAUUUUCAUUAUGAUAUUUGGGAUAUGAUAAAUAUAUUUCUUUUUGCUUAUUCAAUUAGGAGGAAAUGAUUUUUCAGAUAAAUUAUAUAUAAGAUGGUAUUGUACUUUUUCCUCCUUUGCUUUCUUCAAAUGACUUCUAAUGUCUUUACUAAUAAAAUUAUCAUUUUAAUUUAAAACCAAAUUCAUAAAGAAAAAAACCCCUAAAAAUAACUUCAACAACUAACAUUUCAGGCCAAAUUCACAAAGGCUAACUAAUAUUAUCCAGGGCAAUUUUAAAUCAAAUUCACGUAAGUCCUAAAAUCUAAUAGAGGAACCUCUUUUUGGUCAACACUUACAGGCUGUUGUCAUUUCCAGACAGUAGUAAAUGUACAUGCCACUGACCCAUGAGUCAUCCCAUCAACGUUUAAAGUCCCAAUAAAUUAUUUGCUUGUUUGGAAGACUUAACACUUUCCAAUAAAGCUGUUUAAAAUUCACUCCCGUCAACUGUGAAAAAGUCUGUAUGUCCAUUAACGUGACUCUUUACUCUUGCAUCUCCUUCACUCUUCCCGUUGAACAAGAGGAGAUUCAAAGAAACCUUUCAUCUCUCUUUUUUGUUGGAAGUUGCAAGACUCUGGAUUAUGAGGUAACCUUCAGACGAUGCAUCUUCUUAUACACUUUCUUCCUUUCUUUUCUUUUUUUUCUUUUUUUUCUUGUGUUUGCUCCACUCUUAGUAAACCCAAAUGAAUUUCUCAAGGAAAAAGAAAUUGGCCCUAUCUUCUUCCAGUUAGUCAUGAUGCAGUAACAAAAUUAAACGCCCAAAGAGAAUCACUAUCUGUGGAUCCAUUCUAGUUUCUCCUCUUCUGAUUUUCUUGUUGCCAUCUUUUCAACAGUAUGGUAAAUGGGACGGUGUAAUGUGUGAGCAAGUGAUGAUUUCAACGAAUAGUUCACCAUAUCUCAACUAUUAACCUUCUGGUUUGCUUGUUUGUCCUAGUGUGUUUUCUUUUUCUUUUUUCCUGAUUUUUUUGUCAUAUACAAAAACUAAUCUAGGUGAUUUGUUUAUCGUAUGUAAUACUAAUCCAUUAUAUUUUGUUUCCAUGGGAUGAAGGCUCUAUAAGUUGAGUUGGACUCUUUUAUGAUUGGCUUUAAUGUUUCAUGAUUAGAUUUAUUCUUUGACUGUUGGCUGAGAGUGGGAUCAAAACAUUCCUCAAGCACUUUGGAAGCUCUCUUGAACACGAACUUCAGUAACAUUAAUGGCUCCUUCGUCUGGAGGUAUGCUGUUGGCUUCAACAUCUUUUGAUGUUGUGAUUUAAUUUUUAUGAAUAAUAUACCUUCCUUUGGAGACUAUCUUUGGAUUAUAUAUGUCAGGAAAUCAAUAUUUUGAUUUCUCAUAGGUAGUUUUGAAUAUUGGACUCUAUUACCAAUAUAUCAAGUAUGGCUCUCAUGUUUUGAAGGGUGUAAAAUAAAUAUACCUUAUAUAUAUAUUCUUUUUUAGAAAAUAAAGAAUUUAUUUUUGCAAAAUGCCAUGGUGCCAAAAUCAAUUAUUGAAUUUCAGAAUUUGAAAUUUGGACCAUUGAAUGUAUAUGAGGAGAUUUAGAAUAUUGAAUAAGGGUAUAAAUAAAUGAGAUAAGGUAUAAGGGAAUAAAUAAAUGAGACUCAUGAAGAUGUGUAUAUGAUAUUACCUAUUUUGUGGGAUUCGAUGCCUACUGAAAAAUGUUUUGUUUGGCAUUCUAGAUGGAUCCAUUUUUUAUUUUUUUUUAUAUAUAGCCAUAAUACCCAACUUCUACCAUAUUUGUUUACUUUAAUUUUCAACCCCUUUUGAUUUCUUAAAGUUCAUUAUGGAUUUCUGUUGGGACUAUAUAAAAUGUGUUGUUUUAUUUUAUUUUUUUCUAUUAGCUUGCUCUUAUGUUUAAAAAGUAUUAGUCCAAAUGACAAUAAUAAUUAUGAAAUUAGAAAUUAUCCAAGUUGGUUAUGCUUUAAUUAUUCACCCAAACAACUACCUUUAUGAUUUCACUUUAAUAUGAAAAAUAUUGUUGUGCUUAAGAAGUUAAUAUAACCAUUUUAGGAUGUUAAGGAGGAGAUAUUAGGAGCUGAUUAAUCAUGAGAUGGAAAAUAGAAAUUUUCUAUAAAUAUUUACAUUUUGAAUUCUAAGUUUUUUUUACUUUGAAUUUUAAACAACUACAUUCAUUUAUAAUUGAAAAUGAUAAGCAAUGACAUUUUUUCUCUAAUCGUUUUUUUUUGUAGUAUAGGUUAUUUCUUAUGGAUGAAAAUUGUUAAUGGCAUGAGCAAAGUCGGAAAAAGGCAGGGGUACUUGAAAGAGAGGUAUGCAAUUGACUAUAUUUUAUACAUUUGAUUACAAUUCAAUCAUGAUUUAAUUAUCUUAUAAUUAUUUUAAGACAUAAAGUAAAGAAGAUGAGCAAUCCUUAAAACUUAGAAUUGAAUUGAUGUUGAGCUUCUAAUAAUGAAUAUUAAUAUUAUGGGCUCACACCUAUUAUACAUUUUCAGACCAAAGAAAUAUAUCAAAUUAUAAUUUUUGGAGGCUUUUUUUUUUUUUUAUACUAAAAGUCCAAGACCUAACACUAGCAUUAAGCUUUAAUGCUAUAUAUUAAAACUUUAACCCCAUUAAAACUUUGACCCCACCCACUUAUUUGUUGAGAUCCAAAAUGUUGUGUUUUCUCAAAUUUUGGCCCUUGAAAGUAAUGUCAAGCACAAUUAUAGGUUAUUGUUAGUGGUAGCAAGUUGUUAUGACAUGGUUAAAAAUUUUGGUCAUUAUAAGCUAUUAUUUAGUUAUUUAGUUUUGAAGACAUGGUUUUGGAGCUAAAGUUUUGACAAUUGAUUAACCUCUAAUAGGGGGAGAUAAGAGAGAUCUAGUUUUUACUUAAGAAGUAUUUAGGAAAAUUCUAUGGUACCACUUCGAUACCAUACCGAAAAAAUAGUCUUGGCCAUUGAAAUAAUUUUCCUCUCUCUAUAUAAAUAAUUAUUAAUUAUCCAUGUGUAUUUUGAUUAAAUAUCUACCAUGGAUUGAAAUUUCAAUUUUUAUCAAAGAUAUUUUAUGAAUUAAAAUCAAUUUGAUAAGAUAAAUUAUUAAUAAUUUUAAUUAUUUCAAUAAAUUAAUGUUAAUAGAAAAAGUUGUUAUCACAUGUUUUUUUAAAAAAUUUAGAAAUUAAAUCUCAAAUAAAAUAUUUUAUAUAAAUUAAUUUAAAUUUUCAUUUAAAAUGUAAUAAAAUUCUAGAUUUUUAAAUGUUUGAAUGAUAAAAAUUUUAGUAUUAGAAAAAUUAGAAAUGCUUUUUAAAACCACUGUCAAACAUAUACUUAAUUAUAUUUUACUUCUUUAUAUAUGCAAGGUAAUGGAAAUAGGAUAAUAUCCAAUAAUGAAGUUUAUUGGUAGAUAAUAUGCAAUAGUGGAAAUUAGAUAUUAGAAUAAAAUAAAUAAAUAAAUUAUGAGAUAUAUAUGAUACUGUAGCAUUGCAAUCUGUAGAAGUAAAAAAUAAUAAAUAAAUAAAUUAUGAGAUAUAUAUGAUAUUGCAACACUAUAAUCUUAUAGAAGUAAAAAAUGAUAAAUAAUAAAUAAAAUAACAAAUAAAUAAUAAUAAUAAUAAUAAUGCAACACUCAAACCUAAAGACUCACCUUGUUGCAAAUAAUGAAAUGUAGAUAAUAUCCAAUAGUGGAAAUUAAAUAUUAGAAUAAAAUAAAUAAAUAAAUUAUGGGAUAUAUAUGAUAAUGCAACAUUGUAAUCCUGUAGAAGUAAAAAAUAAUAAAUAAAAUAAAAAUAAUAAUGAAACACGAAUUCGAACCUAAGUCUAUCAUUUUAAAAGAGUCCCUUAUUAUCACUAAUGUACCAACACUUGAUGAUAUAAAAUACAAUUUAUUAGUGUUAUAUUGUUUAUUUCAAAUUAUGAAUGUUGACUUGUGUAUAAAAUAAUAAUAAAAAUUUGAGGGACAAUAAAAGACAUUUUUUUAAUAAUUAUCUUUCUAAUUAAAUUUUGAUUUGUUCAAAUAUUUAAUUAAAGUAUGAGUAUGUGUUACUCAUUGAAAUUAAAUUAAAUUCUUUUGGUCAGUGCAAAAUGGUACAAAUGAAGAGAACUAGGAGAGUACUAAUGGGUAGAAGACCUUGAUUGUGUUUGGAUACGCUUAUGAAUUACAAGAGGGACCCUAGCCAUUCUAUAAACGAACAUGUGAUUCAUGUGGUUAAUAUGAUCAAGUGUUUGGAAGUGGAAUAUAUUUUUUUGUCAAGCCAUGAAAAGAGAAUUUUACAAAUGUCAUUAACGGAAUCUGAGGAUAAAGUUUUAGAAAAUAUGUGGGAAUUUGUUCAAGAAGGGUCUCAUGGUUUGACAAAUAGGUUUUUUGAUGACGUAGUAGCUCUUUUCAAGGAACAUUGACAAAUAUACAUCGUGAAGAAUAUGCCAUUAGACGAACAACGGUGCAUUCUAUUUCUCCUAACUCGCGAAAUGUAAGUUUUUCAAAUUCUAUUAGGCAUAAAAAUCUUAGAGGGUUAUGGUUAUUAAAAACAACUUCUAGAGUUAUAGAAGACAUUGUGUAUAAUCCUAGCAUUGCUCCUUUUAGUUUCAAGGGAGAAGAUUAGUUUUUUUUUCUUUCUAUAUAUUACAUUUUCUUUUAUGUUUUGUACAUAAAAUAUAAAUAAUUUGAUAUGCAAGACAUGACAUGUAUAUUUAUCUUGUUGAUGUGGCUUAGAAGAAAAAGAAUUUUUUAGCUCGCAUUACAUUGUUAAGUUGUAUGCAAGAUGAUCUCAUGAUUAUGAGGUAUACCAAAUUGCUCAUGAGAUGUGGGAAGCUUUAAAAGAAAAGGAUGGUGAACUUUUAGCUACGAAGCUGAGAGCACUUGUAACGAAAUUUGGAAAUUACAAAAUGCGAUUGAACCAUACAAUGAAACAUCUUAGGGAAAUGAAAAGAAUGAUAAAGAGAGCUUAAGACAUUCGGACAUGUCCUCACUAAUGACCAACAGGUUGAGGCAGUCCAUUAUAGGCAUCUCUUUUUAAGGGAUAGAAGUCCAUGCUAACUUGUGAACUGAACCUUAUAGGUUGACAAGAUGUGUAAGAAUGGAGUGUUGGCUAUAAAAAAGGAUUAGAUCAUCACUUCUCAUUUUAUAUAGGGAAAGUUGUGUUUCGCAAGCCCCAUUUCCCAAUAAUAUUGUUUUCAAAACCCAAGUUUGCAUAACCUAAGAUAUGUUCACUAUUUCAAGAAAAAUUUUCCUUUUCAUGCACUAUAUAUUGUUUAUAAUUGCAUUUUCGAAAAUACCCCUCCAUGCAUCCCUGUUAGCAACCAUCACCCGUCUCCAUGUCACUGGAAGUUGUGCUUUUAAUAAACACGAAAAUCUAAAACUUAAAAGUUAUCAAAUUUGCAAAACCCACAGAACACCUGACUCGAUAAACUUUGAAAUUUGGGGAAACUCUCUGUCACUUCCUCUUAUUUUGCCUUAACUCGAUUUGCAUUUUCAUGGCUUGUUUGCUCUGCAUUUUCAUAACCCUCUGUCACUUCCUCUCAUUUCGUCUCAUUUUGGCCUAACCCUAAUGUCUCUUUUCAUGAGUUGACUAGUCUUGUAAUGUACUAUUAAAACUAUUGCCCUUUAGGCUUAAAUAAGAAAUUACGACAUAUUUGUAAUAUAUUUUCCUUAUUUCAUGUUGUAGGUUAAGUUACCAAAAUCCCGUUACUUGGGAAAAAAUUCCAAUCAAUCAUAGAUACACUCCUUAUGGAUAAGAAAAAUGUCAUCAUUGAUAUGGGAUUCGGGGAAUUGCUACAGCUUGGUUGCAAAGAGUUGUGUUAUGAGCUAAUAAUGUGGAUAGUCCCUAAUUACGACAUUGCCUACCACCGCUUAUGUAUGCAAACAAAAGUUGUUGUCCCAGUCACGCCCAAGAUGUUAGGGAGAUGCUCGGCAUCCCGGACAAUGAUGUGACAUUCUCAUUUACAAUAGGCUCGACACACCCAAUUGCACAUACGACAUUAAAAUAUUGGAAGAUAAUUUGCAUGAUCUACUAGUUGGCAAAGAAUUCAUGAAGUCCUUUCUCAUUUUCGCCUGUGCCACUAUCCUUACCCCUAACUCAAAAUAAGAAGGUAUGCAUGACUUGUGGGACACGAUUUGGGAUAAUGAUGUGGGGGUGCACAAAAAUUGGAACAAGUUUGUUCUUCAAUAUGUGGAGGAUGGGAUAAGGGAUUAUCGUAAUAGUUACCCGACAUACAUUAGAGGUUGUGUGUUGUUUCUUCAGGUAUUGCGUUCUCACCUUCUCCACAUUAACGUCAUGCAUCUAUCAAAUGAAUUUAUUCUAUUGUUGAUAUUUUAAUGUCUUCUCUAACCCACUUAUAUUUGCUUCCCACUGUACAGAUUUUCUAUAUGACCAAGUUCUACAUGACGUCUUUUCAAGUUGAAGUGUGCAAUCCACUAAAGGGGUGCAAAUGGAUGUUCAAAAAGGUUGUGGCAGCAAACAAGUUACAUCUACCCUCAGGCAGAGAUUUAAACACACAGUGAAAAGGCUUGUCAAGCCAGCCAUCAUUUUCAAAUCCCCCUUCGUCUCUCAAUGUGUUAGACUAUUUCCUAAAAUCAGCCAUCAAGAAAGGUUGGUUACUGAUUAUGCAUUGGCGAAAGAUGGUGAGCCAAAGUACUUCACAUGAAUUCAUCAUCUAUUGUUAAUGCGAGCAUUAUUGUUAAAGUUUAUGGCUAUUGACUAAACGCAUUUUUUACAUUGCAGUGAGAUCUUGUGCGAUAUGCAUGACACAUAUAAUCGUGGAGGUCAGCACAACCAAUACUUUAGAAAUUGGUUUUUUUGAAGUUUUUCUAAACCAACCCAUGAUUUUGGUGUGUGUUGUGCAGGACAAGAUGCAUCUAUAUCGAUUGAGGUUGGUUGUUACCUUGGUUACGAAUACGGCAAACAAUGCUAGAGAGAAGGUCAUGAAGGCAUGUUGAAUGUGAUGUAUGGGGGUUGUGCCACUUUAGUUAGUUGCAAUUUAUGAAAUACUACAAGUCGCCUAUAAAAGACAAUGUCAAAGAGAAGGGAAAGACGUGUUUGUAAAUGAUCAUGGUUUGCUUUAUUUGUUUGUUAAUAGUGUUUGCCACUGUGCACCAAUUUAUGCUAACAGAAUAAUGCACGUUGGGACAACAGUGGAAACAUUUGUCAGGGAUUAUCUGGUGGGAUUUGUUGAACUUCCAAUCAUCCCUUUGUCUUUUAUUCCAUGAUGCUCCAUUAACUUUAUUAGUCAUGCUUAUUGUCUUCUGUUUUACAGGAAAGGUUGAGCAGAGCUACAAAUUGGCUGAUGUUAAGUGCAUCAGCAAGGCCAAGUGUGAUUAAUAGGGGAGGUCAUUGAUGGCACCUUACUUGCCUGAGAGUGGGGCUGGUGGUGGCGGCAGUCCAUAAUCAGAAGGUGGGGCCCUCUAUGCUAUUGUGAUGCUUAAAUCAGUUUUAGGUUGCACUAUUAUUAUCUACUAUAUUUUGUUUGUUUUAGAUAAAACUACUUCUUAGCUUCAUGUCACCUUCUUUUCCCUUCUUUCUAUUCUCAUGAUUAUUAUUAUUAUUAUUAUUAUUUUUCUUAAUUGCAAACGACAAUUGGAAAACAUAAUUGUUGACAACCAUGAAGACACCAUGACGAAGACAGGAGCAAUGUUACUUUGGAAUCGUGGCUGCUGGAAAAAGGGAUGUGAUCAUAAGACAUUCUCAUCAUCACUCAGACUUUAUAAUAUAAUUGUUCAUAUUUUGAUUUUUGUUUGUAAAUUUAGGCAUGCCCAAUACUAGAGCUCUCUAAAAACUAUAUAGAUACAUCAUAAUUGGUUUUUUUGGUUUACCAUUUUUACUUUGGGAAACCAUUGCAUACUUCCGAUAUAUUUGGGUUGUGCCCCCUCUUCUGUUAGGUGCUUUUAGAUUAAUUUAUCAGUGACUAAAAAAAUACAUUGGUAUAUGAAAUUUUGGUUGAGCUAAAGAGGUUACUCCAUGACCUCUUUGCAGGUGCGCGGUUCUAUGAGAGCCAUGCAAUAUGAGAAACUAUUGCCUUGGUUGAAGAACUUGCUUUCUAUUCUGCAUACUAUUUGGCCAAGGUAAUUCUGCUAUAUGAGAGGUGAAGCUAGAAUUUUUAAGUUUGUUUCAGAAGCCAUCUUUGUCAUGUAUGUUUAGGAAUUCUGUUCGGUAUGAUAUAUUUUUCUUUCAACUUCAUUCAUACUGGACCUAUGUUUCUCCCAAUGCAUUACAUGCAGGCUUAUUCUUCAUUUUGCUUGUUGGUAGGAGGUUAACACCCUUUCUAAUAAUAGCUGAUUAUGCUAUUACAUAAUUCAUUGC